CGCAGCCACACCUGUUCCCUCCACCCUGAGGCUCUCGCCGCGCCACCUCGCCCGCGAUAUCCACCCCGCCAAUGGCGUCCGAGCUCCAGAUUUUUCUGGCCCCCGCACGUCUCAUCCCCUUCCCCUUCCUCCCGCCGGGUUAAAUAGCCGCCUCCGCCGCUCCUCUCAAACCAUCCCGCCAUACACCACCACAGCCCCACUCCUAGAGAGCACGCACAUCGGACACGCACGAAGUCUCCUCGACCAGCGAGCAAUGGCGACCACCGCGAUGGCGCUCUCCCCCUCCUCCUUCGCCGGGAAGGCGGUGAAGGACCUGCCGUCGUCGGCGCUCUUCGGGGAGGCGCGCGUCACCAUGCGCAAGACCGCGGCCAAGGCCAAGCCGGUGUCGUCGGGCAGCCCGUGGUACGGCUCCGACCGCGUGCUCUACCUCGGCCCGCUAUCCGGCGACCCCCCGAGCUACCUCACCGGUGAGUUCCCCGGCGACUACGGAUGGGACACCGCGGGGCUCUCGGCCGACCCCGAGACCUUCGCCAAGAACCGGGAGCUGGAGGUGAUCCACUGCCGGUGGGCCAUGCUGGGCGCGCUCGGCUGCGUCUUCCCGGAGCUGCUCGCCCGCAACGGCGUCAAGUUCGGCGAGGCCGUGUGGUUCAAGGCCGGCUCCCAGAUCUUCAGCGAGGGCGGCCUCGACUACCUCGGCAACCCCAGCCUCGUCCAUGCGCAGAGCAUCCUCGCCAUCUGGGCCUGCCAGGUCGUGCUCAUGGGCGCCGUCGAGGGCUACCGCGUCGCCGGCGGCCCGCUCGGCGAGAUCGUCGACCCGCUCUACCCCGGCGGCAGCUUCGACCCCCUGGGCCUCGCUGACGACCCCGAGGCGUUCGCGGAGCUCAAGGUGAAGGAGAUCAAGAACGGCCGCCUCGCCAUGUUCUCCAUGUUCGGCUUCUUCGUGCAGGCCAUCGUCACCGGCAAGGGCCCUCUCGAGAACCUCGCCGACCACCUUGCCGACCCCGUCAACAACAACGCCUGGGCCUUUGCCACCAACUUCGUGCCCGGCAAGUAAGCUGCUAGGUGUUGUGUUAUGUCUGGAAACCGACCGUGCACGUACGUACGUACGCGAUCAAGUGUGCGCAUGCAUGCGUGCAUGCAGCUGGGUUUCGUUUGUACUACAACCAUGCAUGAUGUAAAGUACGAAGGUUGAAUGCAAAAGGCUGUUGUUAGACAUGAUGAUCUCUUAGGAUCAACCUGAGCAUGCAAUCACCUGUGUUAAUUAACCGGUAGUUGAUCUUGCAAUCGAUCGGCUUUCAGUUUCUUAGUUCAGUGGAUGCUUAUCAUACAGUGGCCGGCAGUGGAUCUUUACAGCAGUAAAAGUAGAUGUCUUUGGCGAGAAUCAAGAGGAACUUUUUUUCCAAGUGGAGAACAAAUAAUCUGUCUGAAAGUUGAACUUGAAACCACCGUUAAGUAAUCUACGGCAAUCUGACGAACCUCUCCAUGAAUGGCGAAUCCAUCGGCGAGAAGCUACGUCGCAAGCUAAAGCAGGCAGCAGAACUUUCAGGAACAUUGCCCACCCUAACAAGCAGCAGGAAUCCUGAAGGAAAAGAGGACCUUUCAGAAAUGACAGAGUAAGCAUGUACUAGAUUUGAAGGCUUCAAGACACAAAACUGAAGAAACUAGAAAUGCAUGGCCUAAAGAGUCACUAGAAGAAAAUUAAAUUAGCAUCACAAGAUUUUAUGGGCUGCAAAGGUAUGAUGCCAUGCCAGGCAACACAUUCAGUGAAGGUGGGGCGUAAAAGAUAGCAUUAGCAGUACAGCAAAACAAAUCAAAAUUUCAAACGGCGCCAUAAUCUUGCUCCAGGGAAGAAGAAUAUAAAGAGAAAUAUAUUCAGACCAGCGAGUCAAGAACAAAAUUCACUUGGCAUCAUCAGCCGGUACAGUAAUUACGUAUGAUGUUUCUGUUGUUUGAACACCCAAUAAUCCUCAGACACAUACUCCCUCCGUAAACGAAUAUAAGAGUGUUUAGAUAGUGAUCUGAACGCUCUUAUAUUUCUUUACGGAGGGAGUACUAGGUACCAAAUCACUACACUUGCUGGAAACUGUAAUCAUGAGGAGUGGUAGUUUGUAGCUACAAUACAUGCACUGCCUUUUCUGGUAGUUGAUAGCACCUGGACUAGUACAUGGUAGUAGCACCACACACAACAAAGUACAACUUGCUCUCCAAAUCACAAAGCAAUACGGCAUACAGCUCUUGAGCAGUUCGACUGAACAUAUAUGCCGUGAGGUCCUCACGCCGUGUCGCCGUGGGUCUUCUUCAUCAGGCGAGCCCGAGCUAUAGCCACCGUAACGAUGGCAACAAGAGUCGGGACUAUAUACACACACGCACAGGGCGCACAGGUCCGUUGUGAGCGACAUCGAGUAGCAGAUAGCCAUUGAUCGACGACGGCGUGAUUCAUCAGAACAUUUAGCGUCUCAGGAUCAGAUAGAUAGACAAAAGCGCUACACAUGCACAAACGGGGGUACGGGUAUCUGCAGAGGGGUUCAUGAAAGGAGAAGGAUUUGCAUGCAAGUUAUACUGAGUCGGUCGGAAAGGCUGUUUACUGCUCCUUGCAGUAUACCGUUUGUCAAGUCUUGGCCCCUCAGAAAAUUAUAUAUCUUGAAGAAACAAAAAACAAAAAUGUGAAUGUGUAUCUGUGAGAUGUACUAGCUAGAGGGGAGGUAUAUAUCAAGAGAAUAGUGGAUUACAUCACAAUUCUCGAAGCUAAAAAGACUUUGAAUAACUAGUUAAACUAGAUGAUACCCCGUGAAUUGAUGCGGAAUGAAAUCGGUUGCAAAAUCCUUGGUUGUAUAAUAAGCGUGAUACAUAUUAUAUAUUGCAUUUAAUUAUUCUAUAGUUUGCAGAUAUUUAUUGAAUUUAAGUAGCAUAAUAAGCGAACUGAUAUCCUGCAAAAAGUAAAAAACGAUCUGAUAAAAGGUCUCUUAAAUAGGGUUCAACUUUAUUGCAGCUUGCAAAGACAGAAGGAUCUGUAUAUGUAAGGAAACAAAUUCGUAGAUAAUUACCCGUCAAUCAAAUUGCCUACAAAGUUUGCGAAGAUCACCAGCACAUUAACCCAUGCAUUCAUGGAACGCUCGUACUCUUCAGAGCACUUCGUCUGUUCCUCAUUCCAUCCACGGCGAGACUUGUAGGCGAUGAUCCGCAGAGUACCGUAGAUCAAGCCAUACACGAAGACAGUUCUCCAGAUGACAAUGUAUCAGGGAUCAACUACUUAGCUAUAUAGGGUUUUGGGGGGGGGGGGGCAUUGGUCCCCUUCCCCUCACUAACUAUUUCUUUAAUACUUGUUUAUGAGAGAGAUUAACGUAUGCUCGGGCCAUGACCUUUUCGAAACCGGAGCCCACCACGUCCAUUGAAAUAGGUAUUGUCGAUAACAAAAACUACGGCGAUGCUGAAACCGGAGCCCACCACCAUGACCAGCGAGUUUUUUUGCUACAUCCAUUUUAAUGGUGAUGAUUGGUGGCCGUGUUCGUGCAACCCUAUGCUGUGAACGUCGACGGAGGAAAAAACGUCAACCAGCAUGGGAAAAUGUUUCAACUGACACGAGAAAAAGCUUCAACGGGUUGCAAGCGGUGCUGCUGAGAGCUGCAGGCCGGCAGCACGGUGGUGUUGCGACGGACGUGCUACAAUGGCGGCACGGUGGUCCUGCGGCGUGCUACGUCUAGCACCACGGCUUGCUGGAACCAUUCGCGGCCGGAACUGGAACUGGAAGACGAUGGAUACCGCAGUUGGCGACGGCCGGAGAGCCGGCGACGACUAGCCAGCGAUGCUACAACCUCUGGCGAGGAAGGGGCAAAUAGAUACGGCGCAGCAACAAUCAUGUGGAUGCUUUUUUUUCUUUGAGCGGUGCUGUGACGGGGUUGGUAGUCGCCGCGGACGCCAGCUGCCGUUGUUUCCCCUCGCGUGAGAUGUGCUGUUUGGUUGACCUUUUCCCUUUUUUCUCCUGUACGCGUGGGUGUACGCGUGAGAGCUGGACGAAGAACGAAUACCGCUUCGAUCCAACCGUAGUUAAUGGGCAGAUCGUUCGGCUGCGCGGCGACCGGCCCAAAUUUGGGCCGGCGCGCCGGCGCCUAGCACCCGCCAUUCAGUUUCCCUUUGUGCAAAUCUCACGAGAGAGGUCUCCAAAGGUGUGACCCUGUCUGCUUUGCUAGAGUGUUCAUCAGGCAUAGCUCCUCAACGCUGGCUAAACACAUACCGUAUUAAAAAUUUAAAACGACAAAUUCAGUCAUAAAUUACAUUAGGCAAACAAAAUAUAUAUUAGGAAAACCAUACAGAGGCCGCAGGCAUUAAGAUAACUCUACUAAUCAAACAACGUGAUCACCAAAAGGAUGCAUUCCAUUGAGGACAGCAACAAGUAGGGCUGAACCAAAAGCUCGUAGCUCACGAGCUUAAUGAGCGCUCGAUAGUUUGGCUCGUUAAGCUCGGAGCUCGCUUCUUAAUGAACAGAGCCAAUCAUAGAUUUCAGCUUGUUAAGCUUAAUGAGUUUAACGAACGAGCUAACGAGUUUCACGAGUAGCUUGUUAAACUCGUUAGUAACAACAUAACACAUAUUUUCAUCUUACGUGACAAAUUUUUUGUAGUAACUCAGCCCAUCAAUCAAUCUAAUCGACAUAUGAGGCAACAAACUAGUGCAUUUCUAUCUGUAGUCACCAUAUUUCAUCUUGAAAACCACACCUAUACAUUCAUCCUGCAUAUCGAAACACAUUAUAAUCUGUUAACGAGCGCUCGCGAGCGCUCACGAGCUUAACGAGUUUCAAACGAGUCGAGCCGAGCAGGGUUUUCUGCUCGUUAAUCUUAAUGAGCUUAACGAGCCGAGCCUUAACGAGCACGAGCUUAACGAGUACGAGCUUAACGAGUCGAGCUGCUCGUUAGUCCACCCCUAGCAACAAGAUUAUCUAUUGACCAAAGUUAAAAGAAAAUCUAUCGACCAGAUUUGCACAGAUGUCAGUUAUCGACCAUUAGCAAGAACUUGUUUCAAUUGCAUAUCAUAAGGAAUUCGAAGAACUGCUUCAAGUACAGUAUUGGGCCGGGAAGCACAGCUUGGGGAACUUCAAUAUCGACGGGCUUGCUAGCUACUCCCUCUGUCCCAAAAUAUAAGAACGUUUUUAACACUAUACUAGUGUCAGAAACGUUCUUAUAUUAUGGGACGGAGGGAGUAAAUGGCAAUUGGCACAUACAAUAUUUAUACCGAAAAAGGCUUUCGCCCCGCUUUAUAAAUAAAGCAAACCGCCACAAGACAUACAACCAAAGCAGGUUCACACACACACACCACCCGAGUAUCACAACAAAGUACGAAGGUUCUGCUGAGGGCACAGCUCAACAAGCCCAAAAGAAAGAGAAAAAACAGAGCCUGCCCAGCGCAGGGAAUCUAGUCAGGCUCCGGCGGAGGCGGCGGGGGCGGCGGCGACAGGCGGACGGCCAUCGAGCGGAGAUCGGCGAUGAAGGCUGAGAUGGCGUCCCGGUCCGGGGGGCGGCUAAGCGGCCGCCAAAGCUGCAAGAAACCCGAGAAUUUGUAGAGAGCGUCAGUAGCGCGACGAAGAGGAGUACGCUGGAUCACAAGCUUAUUGCGAACGGUCCAAAGAGUCCAGGCAAGAACCCCAACCUCCAGCCACCUAAUGUGGCGAGAGGACAUGGGGGACAAUUGAAGUUCAGCAAAUAAGUCCGGGAAAUUGGUGUGGCACCAACUUCCACCAACAAUCUUGCGAAAGCAGCUCCAGAGGAACUGGGCGGAGACGCAGGCGAAGAAGAUGUGGUUGGAGUCUUCAGGAACAUCACAGAGGGGGCAGAUACCAGUGCCCGGGCCAUUGCGCUUGACCCGUCCACGAAUCCACUGCCACAUGAAGAUGCGAAUCUUUAGGGGGACGCGGACGGACCACACCAUCGAUAAGGGGAGGGGAGCGGAGGAGGGGGCAAUGGCCAGGUAGAGCGAUUUGGUAGAGAACUGGCCCGACGGCUCCAAGUGCCAGCGCACAAGGUCCGGACCCCCAUCCACCAACGGCUCAUGCAGAGCAACACAGUCAAGCAACUCACGCCAAGCGGCGGAUUCCGCCGGCCCAAAGGGCCGACGGAAAGCAAGGCGCCCUAAGUCAAGAAGGGCCCUAUCAACAGAAAUCAUAGGGUCGACGGAGAUAGAGAAGAGGGUGGGGAAGCGGGCCGCAAAGGGAGAGUCGCCGGCCCAGUGAUCAAACCAGAAUAGCGUCAAGAGGCCGGACCCCACCGAGAUAGAGGUACCAAUGCGGAGCACCGGGACAAGAUGGACGAGAGACUGCCAGAACUGAGAUCCGCCCGAUUUCUGGCAGAAGGCAAGGGGUUGACCACGCAGGUACUUAUUCCGGAUAAUGUCCAGCCAGAGGCCACCAUGACCCUGCGCGAUACGCCACAGCCACCGGGAUAGAAGGGCAAUAUUCAUCCGUUUAGACCACAUGAUGCCCAAGCCACCCUGCUCCCUGGGCUUGCAGAUGUCAGGCCAGCUGACCAUGUGAUACUUCUGCUUGCCAUGCUCGCCAGCCCAGUAGAAUCGGGACUGAAUUUUGGCGAUCUCCUUAUGGAGAGAUUCAUGAAGGCUGUAGAAACUCAUAAGAAACAAGAGGAGGCUGGACAGGGAUGAGUUGAUAAGGAUAGUCCGGGCCGCCUUAGAGAGCCACCUCCCCUGCCAGGGCUCGCACCGGGACUGGAGCUUGGUCACGGAGGGCCGCAGGUCCGCGACAGAGAGACGCGAGUCACUAAUGGGCGUCCCAAGGUAGGUAGUGGGGAAAGAGCCCAGGCGGCAAUUAAGUCUGUUGGCAAUGGCCACAGAAUCAGAGGGGGAAUAUCCCAUCACCAUCACAUCACUCUUAUCAAAGUUGAUCUUGAGGCCCGACAUCUGUUGGAAGCAAAGAAGGAGGAACUUGAGGUUGGUGAUGUCCAUCUCCGAGCCUUCGACCAUGAUGAUCGUGUCGUCAGCAUACUGGAGGAUGGAGAUCCCCGAGCCCCCAGAGAGGUGGGGGGUAAUCCCUCGGAUGUGGCCAGUGGCUUUUGCCUUAUCCAGAAUGGAGGCCAAAGCGUCCACGACCAUAUUGAAGAGGAACGGGGAGAAGGGGUCGCCUUGGCGCACCCCACAUAGGGUAGGGAAGAAGGGACCGAUCUCGCCAUUGAUGUUGACCGCCGUGCGACCGCAAGAGACCAUUUGCAUGACUCUCGUGAUCCACCGGUCGUCAAAGCCCUUCUGAAGAAGGACUUCCCUAAGGAAGGUCCAGCUAACCGUGUCAUAGGCUUUAUGGAAAUCGAUCUUCAGAAAGAUCGCCUUCAGGCGCUUGACCCGGACCUCAUGAAGAACCUCAUGAAGCACCAGGACACCAUCCAGGAUGUACCGACCCUUAAUGAAGGCCGAUUGGUUAGGGUGGGUAAUCCGAUCAGCUAGCAGGGUCACCCUAUUGGCGUACCCCUUGGCCAGGAUCCGGAAGAUCACGUUAAUGACCGUGAUCGGGCGGAACUGGCGGAUGUCAGCCGCCCCAGGGACCUUGGGGAUGAGGGAGAUGGUCCCGAAGUUGAGGCGACCUAGGUCAAUGGAUCCCACAAAGAAUUCAUCAAAGAUGGCCAAGACCUCUGGUUUAAUCACGUUCCAGAAGGUCUGGAAGAAAAUGACCGGAAGACCGUCCGGGCCCGGCGCAGAGGAGGAGUUCAUACCCUUGAUGGCCUCCCAGACCUCCUGCUCAGAGAAGGGAGCUGUCAGGGACGCGUUCUCCGCGUCAGAAACUAGUUGGGCGCCGGCCCAACAAUCAGGGGCGAGAGAGAUGCCGCUCCUAGGAGCAGGAGAGAAGAGGGACCGAUAGAAACCGUCGACAUGGGUGCGGAUGUCACGGGGAUCCUGAAGGAGGGUUUCCCCAUCCCACAGGCAGGGGAUGGUGUUGCGUCUACGGCGACCGUUGGCAAUCGCCUGGAAGUAAGCCGUAUUCGCGUCUCCCUUCAGGACCCAACGCUGAGCGCCCCGAAGGCGCCAAUAUGCUUCCUCAUCGGUGUAAAUCACGGAGAGCUGGUCUUCGAGGUCAUAGCGGGAAAGCCACUCGUCCGGGGAGAGACCCACCGCGUCAGCCCGAAAGUCGAGGGCCUGGAUCGCGGUAAGCAACGCCUUCUUACGCUCCCUGGCGUCACGGCCCAGGUUGGCCCCCCAACCCUUCAUAAAUUGCCGUCCACGCUUCGCACAGAAGUGCCACGUGUCAAUAGCAGAAGGGUGGCGAGGGUGGGGGUGGGCCCGAGCCUCGAUCCACCGAGCACACACGGCGUCGGUAAAACCCGCCUGGGAGAGCCAGAAAGUCUCGAAGCGGAACCGAGGGGGGAUCGGCGGACGUUCGUCCACGGAGGAGAGAAGCAAGGGGACAUGGUCCGAACCAAUCCGGGUGAUGGCGCGGAGAGAGGCUAGGGGGCAACGGAGGUCCCAUUCCGGGGAAACUAGGACCCCGUCCAAGACGGACAGGGUCGGGGAGGCUUGUCGGUUGGUCCAGGUAAACCGGGCCCCAACCUGAUCAAUCUCCCGGAGGGCGAGGUCGGCAAUGAAGUCCAUCCACGCACGUGCUAGAUCGGUGCCAGAAUGUAAUUUUUGUGCAUUCUGCAAGAAGAAAAGUUAUGUACAGAGAAAAACAUGGGAAGGAGCUCAUAGCAGCAUUCAGAGAAAGCAUCACAACCAAUAUUCUCCCAGACCCUACGUCGACCAAAGCUACAUGGAUUGGUGUCCACCAUUCAUCCGAAAGGAAACAAGCAACCGACCAGGCACCUAUCGACAAAGCUUUGUUCAGGCCCUUCAUUAAGCAUCCUAUUCGCACCCAGCCAACAGGGGGUUCCCCUGACUCUGGAACAGGAGACCUUUCAUGGUCGCCGCAUUUCUCCGACGAAACAUAUACUCCAUUGCACGAUUCAUUGAUUCAACCAACCUGUCGACACGACGAGGAGGAUUUCUCACCUGUACUUCAGAAUCCUUCUCACUUCUUAGUUCAGAAGUUCCAUCCUCGCGCGCUCUGUACACCGCUCUGUUUUGGUAACCGCUCGAGAUAUUCGGUUACCGCGCGGUUACCACGUUUAUCGCUCCCUCACGAUAAACACUCAUACCGAGCAAAAAAUCCCGAUUUUUUGAAAUAUUUGAAUUCAAACGAUCGCCUUGUAGUUAAAUAAGCUGCAUCUGUGUUUUAAACAGAGAACUUAUCGUGGCCCAGUGGCAAAAGGUGUUUUAUCGCCAGACGUUGGUCGAGGGUUCUACUCGGGCUACGCACUGCUUUUCUAAACUUUUAGAGAUGCAAAAGUUUUUACCUAUGAAAAAUUCUGCAGAAGACAGGGAACGAACUCGGGGCGCCUGAGCAAGGGAUAGCUGCGGGUUGAGAGCCACUACGGUAGAACAACUUUACUGACUAUUAAUAGUUAAAAGCUCAUCUAUAUAUAACUCAAAAAAAUUGAAUUCAAAAUUUGGUUUUAAAUUUCGUCCGAUUUUUUUUCGGUAAUUCGUGGUUACCGUGGUUACCGAGAAUCUCGGUGCCCCUCGCCUGAGCAAGGGAUAGCUGCGGGUUGAGAGCCACUACGGUAGAACAACUUUACUGACUAUUAAUAGUUAAAAGCUCAUCUAUAUAUAACUCAAAAAAAUUGAAUUCAAAAUUUGGUUUUAAAUUUCGUCCGAUUUUUUUCCGGUAAUUCGUGGUUACCGUGGUUACCGAGAAUCUCGGUGCCCCUCGAGAAAAAAAUCUCCACUUGGGAUCCAAAACCUUGGUACUCCGUUGGAAAUUUCUCGCUCGCUCACUUCAAGUACUGUAUCUAGCACUCUCAAGUUCAAUCCUUCAUACAGAUCCUUGCACUGAGUUGCCGGCUUGCCGCAUCGCUAUCGAUGUGGAAUCUAGUAAGAAAUAUGGCUAGAAUCAACAAAUGUACCCAUCAGAAAGAGACCCCAAAGCAUGUGGUUCCGAUUACUUCCUCUCGAUCAAUUCCUUCCACUUGAUCAAUGAGAGGUGUGACACAAAGGAUUUUCAGAGAGUAGUUCAUAAGCAGCAAGCCCACGAUUUGAGCAUGUGUAGAUAAAACCAUCCACAAAUACACAUGCGCCGUUUAAAAGGCGGUUUCUAGGCAUAGCCCUUGGCAGGUAUUCUCCCCAUAGAGUCCAAGGCACGACAACAUGCCACUUCAUUGCACCGAUGUCAAACCGAAGACAAGAACAUGUGAUACUAUCAGAGACUAUAAAGGAAUCAUCACCCAGUGCUACAUAUCCCGAGAGCUUGACCUUCCUGUCAAGAACAUAAGACUGGUCUGUGUGGCAGCGCACCCAUGAGGUGGAUCCAGGAGGAGAAACAGAGUGGGCCUUAGAGUAAACUUGGAGAGUUUCAGUAAGAGCAAAAGUCUCUCGACCAACUUGGAUAACCAUAACAAAAGGAUCAACAGAAACAGGCCGUCGUGCAAGGAUAUCCAUAGUGUGACAUGUGGUGUCCAGAUUAAUCACAUCCAUGCCAUCUUUUAGGAAUGAGACAGCACAUAGAUCUGAGCUACUCCGAAAAAAAUGCCUGUGACCAUGAUCAUCUCCAUGUACAAUGUAAUGUGGUUUGAGAGGAGGGUCUGUUUCUAACUCUAGAAUCUCAUCCAGACUGGUUUUAUAGAUAAAUGAUUGUGAACCACCUUGGCAGAUAAUAAACAAGAUAUCCUUGUCAAUAUGGAUAGGUGGUGGCUUCACGUACCUAGGAGGACUUGGUGGGAGAUAAUGCCUGCAUGUGCAAGAAGCAAAAUGUGUCAUGCAAUAAUUAAAAAGCUUGGAAGGUAGGCACAAAGAAAGAAACUUGGAACCAAAUUAAUAUCUAGACCUGCAAGGAUCAUCAGGCACUUGGUCUUCAUGGGGUUGAGGCAGCAUCUUCUCGUCCAUAUACUCUCUAAGUGGUUGAUUAGUGGACAAAUUAAAAGAGUAAUUUGUAAGCAAGAUGACCAAAAUGAACACAUGGAUUAGUGGAGACAAAAACUUACUGCACAAAGCAUAAUUGAAAGUCAUGGAUGUGUUUCAUGGGCAACAUGUCGAGCCGGCGGAAGGUGGAGUGCAGGACCUUGACAUCCCAGGGCAGGGGAGCAAUGUGGAAGGUGGUGACAAAGGCAUGUAGGUGGUCACACCCGCAUGAGAGGUCGAGGCUGAUCCAGACGGAGCACAGGACCCCCGAGCCGAGAUGGGCGAGGAAGCCAUCUCCUGUCAUCACAAUGAAAGGACAGACGGAGUCGAUCCUCGCAGGCGGAUGCAGCUUGAUCCUUGGCUCCUCAUCUGCCGGUGUGAGCUUGUAUUCGUAGACCACGUUGUUCCACAGCAUGUAGAUGGCGUUGCUCUCUUGUGCGUACAGGCCACGGCCAUUGAUAGGGACGUAGUGGUCGUCUGAGGUAGUGUGGAUUACCUUGGUCCAGCCGGAGUCCGGGGCGGAGCAAUCGAAGGUGAAGAAGAGGCCAUUCUGGAGGGAGAUGAGAAUCAUGGUGCCCCCGUCCCGGCCGUGGCCGGGGAGCACCGCGUAGCCCUGGAGGAAGCUGCCACCCCAGAUGGGGAACGAGCGGUCGAAUUUGCAAUGGUGGAUGGAGGGGCUGCCGACCUGCUCCCAGCAUCCUCCGGCUACGCCCUCUUCCUCCUCGUGGAUGACGAGGCGUUGCACCACCACGUGGAAACUGGAGAUAGAGCAGCGGUCCGCGGACACGGCCCAUAGGUGGCCGUCCGCGGAGAUGGGCAUGCACCGGCCUUGCGUGCUCCAGGCCAGCGGAGGGAGGGGCGCUUCAGCCCGCAGCUCCUCCUCGGCGGCUUCCAGCUGCAGCCGCAGGGCGUGGGUUGGCUCGUUCUCCUCCUGCUGCACGACGCAGAGGGAGCGGCCGUCCGGAGCCAGGGCGGCGUCGGCCCCCAGGCUGCACCCCGGCGGCCUUUCGAGGUCGUGAAAGAUCUCCAGCACCUCGUUGCUCCGGCCGGAGAUCCGCCCCGAUCUCGCCACGCGGAGACGGUGGAAGCGUAGGGCGCCCCUCAUGACGCCGACGAGCAGCGACCAGGCAGGGCCCUCGUCGGCGUUCAAGGGAAUGUCGACGAAAUCGUUGCCGGGGAAGACCUGAGGGAGCGGGGCCGCCCUCUUNNNNNNNNNNNNNNNNNNNNNNNNNNNNNNNNNNNNNNNNNNNNNNNNNNNNNNNNNNNNNNNNNNNNNNNNNNNNNNNNNNNNNNNNNNNNNNNNNNNNNNNNNNNNNNNNNNNNNNNNNNNNNNNNNNNNNNNNNNNNNNNNNNNNNNNNNNNNNNNNNNNNNNNNNNNNNNNNNNNNNNNNNNNNGCCCUCUUCGGGUUAGGGUUAGCCUCCGCUGCCGCCAUCUUCGGGUUAGAAUUAGGGGUUUGGAGACAAGUCCGGGUCACUAAUUAAAUUGGCGGGAUGUUUUUUUUUUUUUGAGGAUUUGAUGCUUCGUGAUGGGCUGCUGGCAAUACGCCCAUGCCACGAACCCACGAGCCACACGCUAGCGCCAGUUGGGCUGGCCCAACUUUAUCUAUUUGAUUUUCUUAUUAAAUAAAUCUUUAAAAGUGUUCAUAUAAAAAAUAUAUUUAAAAGUGUUCAGAUGUUGUAAUAAAUCUGUUUACAUAUUUUUUAUAAAAGUGUUAAACUAUUUAAGUUUUUACCGAUCCUAAAGAAAAACAAUAAGGUUUUCUAUACAAUUCUAAAAAACCAUGAAACUUAAAAGAUGUUCAAUUAAUUAAUUUUGUAAGGUGUUCACGCUUUAAAAAAAGUGUUUGCGUACUUUUUAAAAAUCAUGCAUUUUUCUCAUGACAUUAAAAAAUGUUCGCAUAAUUCGCAAAAAAUAAGUUCCUGACAUUAAAUUUUCAAAAUAUUGUUUGUGGAAUCAGAAGAUUAUUCGCGCAUUUGUUUUUAAGAAAAAUGCUUAUGUGAGUUUAGAAAAUUGUCUAUAUGAUUUUAAAAAACAUCAAACUUAGAAAUGUUGGGGAACGUAGUAAUUUCAAAAAAUUUCCUACGCACACGCAAGAUCAUGGUGAUGGCAUAGCAACGAGAGGGGAGAGUGUUGUCCACGUACCCUCGUAGACCGUAAGCGGAAGCGUUAUGACAACGCGGUUGAUGUAGUCAUACGUCUUCACGAUCCGACCGAUCCAAGUACCGAACGCACGGCACUUCGAGUUCAGCACACGUUCAGCUCGAUGACGAUCCCCGGGCUCCGAUCCAGCAAAGCUUCGGGGAUGAGUUCCGUCAACACGACGGCGUGGUGACGAUGAUGAUGUUCUACCGGCGCAGGGCUUCGCCUAAACUCCGCGACGAUAUGACCAAGGUGGAAUAUGGUGGAGGGGGGCACCGCACACGGCUAAGGAACGAUCCGUAGAUCAACUUGUGUGUCUAUGGGGUGCCCCUUGCCCCCGUAUAUAAAGGAGGGAGGGGGGAGGCCGGCCGGCCCUUGUUGGGCGCGCCAGGAGGAGGAGUCCUCCUCCUAGUAGGAGUUGGACUCCUCCUUUCCUACUCCUACUAGGAGGGGAAGGAAGGGGGAGAGGAGGGGAAGGAAAGAGGGGGGCGCCGCCCCCCCUCCUAGUCCAAUUCGGACCAGAGGGAGAGCGGGCGCGCGGCCCUUCCUGGCCGCCCCUCUCUCUUCCCACAAAGGCCCAUGUGGCCCAUUAACUCCCCGGGGGGGGGGGGGUUCGGUAACCCUCCGGCACUCCGGUUUUCUCCGAAAUCACCCGGAACACUUCCGGUGUCCGAAUAUAGUCGUCCAAUAUAUCAAUCUUUAUGUCUUGACCAUUUCGAGACUCCUCGUCAUGUCCGUGAUCACAUCCGGGACUCCGAACAAACUUCGGUACAUCAAAACUUGUAAACUCAUAAUAAAACUGUCAUCGUAACGUUAAGCGUGCGGACCCUAUGGGUUCGAGAACUAUGUAGACAUGACCUAGAACUAUUCUCGGUCAAUAACCAAUAGCGAAACCUGGAUGCCCAUAUUGGUUCCUACAUAUUCUACGAAGAUCUUUAUCGGUCAAACCGCAUAACAACAUACGUUGUUCUCUUUGUCAUCGGUAUGUUACUUGCCCGAGAUUUGAUCGUCGGUAUCCAAUACCUAGUUCAAUCUCGUUACUGGCAAGUCUCUUUACUCGUUCCGUAAUGCAUCAUCCCGUAACCAACUCAUUUGGUCACAUUGCUUGCAAGGCUUAUAAUGAUGUGCAUUACCGAGAGGGCCCAGAGAUACCUCUCCGACAAUCGGAGUGACAAAACCUAAUCUCAAAAUACGCCAACUCAACAUGUACCUUCGGAGACACCUGUAGUACUCCUUUAUAAUCACCCAGUUAUGUUGUGACGUUUGGUAGUACCCAAAGUGUUCCUCCGGUAAACAGGAGUUGCAUAAUUCUCACAGUUACAGGAACAUGUAUAAGUCAUGAAGAAAGCAAUAGCAACAUACUAAACGAUCAAGUGCUAGGCUAACGGAAUGGGUCAUGUCAAUCACAUCAUUCUCCUAAUGAUGUGAUCCCAUUAAUCAAAUAACAACACAUGUCUAUGGUUAGGAAACAUAACCAUCUUUGAUUAAUGAGCUAGUCAAGUAGAGGCAUACUAGUGACUAUAUGUUUGUCUAUGUAUUCACACAUGUACCAUGUUUCCGGUUAAUACAAUUCUAGCAUGAAUAAUAAACAUUUAUCAUGAAAUAAGGAAAUAAAUAAUAACUUUAUUAUUGCCUCUAGGGCAUAUUACCUUUAGUCUCCCACUUGCACUAGAGUCAAUAAUCUAGUUCACAUCGCCAUGUGAUUUAACACCAAUAUUCACAUCUGCAUAUGAUUAAUACCCAUAGUUCACAUCAUCAUGUGAUCAACACCCAAAGGGUUUACUAGAGUCAAUAAUCUAGUUCACAUUGUUAUGUGAUUAACACCCAAAAGAGUACUAAGGUAUGAUCAUGUUUUGCUCGUGAGAGAAGCUUAGUCAACGGGUCUGUCAUAUUCAGAGCCGUAUGUAUUUCACAAAUAUUCUAUGUCCACAAUGCUCUGCACGGAGCUACUCUAGCUAAUUGCUCCCACUUUCAAUAUGUAUCCAGAUUGAGACUUAGAGUCAUCUGGAUUGGUGUAAAAAAACUUGCAUCGUUGUAACUUUAACAACGGGCUCUUUUAUCACCUCCAUAAUCGAGAAACAUCUCCUUAGUCCUCACUAAGGAUAUUCUUGACCCAUGUCCAGUGAUCUACUUAUUUGACUGUUCCAUUUUGAACUAUUUCAAAAAUUUAUCAAGGUAUGUACUCAUUUGAAAAAUCUUAUCAAGUGUCUUGAUCUAUCUAUAUAGAUCUUGAUGCUCAAUGUGUAAGCAUCUUCAUUGAGGUCUUGCUUUGAAAAACUCUUAUUCAAGUAUCCUUUCAUGCUAUCCAGAAUUUCCAUAUCAUUUCCAAUUAACAAUAUGUCAUCCACAUAUAAUAUUAUAAAUGCUACAGAGCUCCCACUCACUUUCUUGUAAAUACAGGCUUCUUCAAAAGUCUGUAUAAAACCAUAUGCUUUGAUCAACUCAUCAAAACAUAUAUUCCAACUCCGAGAUGCUUGCACCAGUCCAUAGAUGGAUCGCUGGAGCUUGCACAAUUUGUUAGCACCUUUAGGAUUGACAAAACCUUCUGGUUGCAUCAUAUACAACUCUUCUUUAAGAAAACCAUUAAGGAAUGCAGUUUUGUUUAUCCAUUUGCCAGAUUUCAUAAAAUGCGGCAAUUGCUAACAUGAUUCAGACAGACUUAAGCAUAGAUACGAGUGAAAAACUCUCAUCGUAGUCAACACCUUGAACUUGUCGAAAACCUUUUGCGACAAUUCUAGCUUUGUAGAUAGUAACACUAUCAGCGUCCAUCUUCCUCUUGAAUAUCCAUUUAUUUAACAUGGCUUGCUGAUCAUUGAGCAAGUCAAUCAAAGUCCAUACUUUGUUCUCAUACAUGGAUCAUAUCUCAGAUUUUAUGGCCUCAAGCCAUUUCGUGGAAUCUGGGCUCAUCAUCGCUUCCUCAUAGUUCGUAGAUUCAUCAUGGUCUAGUAACAUGACUUCCAGAACAUGAUAACCGUACCACUCUGGUGCGGAUCUUACUCUGGAAGACCUACAAGGUUUGGCAGCAACUUGAUCUGAAGUUUAAUGAUCAUCAUCAUUAACUUCCUCACUAAUUGGUGUAGUAAUCACUGGAACUGAUUUAUGUGAUGAACUACUUUCCAAUAAGGGAGAAGGUACAAUUACCUCAUCAAGUUCUACUUUCCUCCCACUCACUUCUUACGAGAGAAACUUCUUCUCUAGAAAGGAUCCAUCUUAGCAAUGAAUAACUUGCCUUCGGAUCUGUGAUAGAAGGUGUACCCAAUAGUUACCUUUGGGUAUUCUAUGAAGACGCACUUCUCCGAUUUGGGUUCGAGCUUAUCAGGUUGAAAACCUUUUUCAUAUAAGCAUCGCAACUCCAAGCUUUAAGAAAUGACAGCUUAGGUUUACUGCUAAACCAUAGUUCAUAUGGUGUCGUCUCAACGGAUUUAGAUGGUGCCCUAUUAAACGUGAAUGCAGCUGUCUCUAAUUCAUAACCCCAAAACGAUAGUGGUAAAACCGAUAAGAGACAUCAUAGAUCGCACCAUAUCUAGUAAAGUACGAUUACGACGUUCGGACACACCAUUACAUUGUGGUGUUCCAGGUGGCGUGAGCUGUGAAACUAUUCCACAUUGUUUUAAUUGAAGACCAAACUCGUAACUCAAAUAUUCGUCUCCGUGAUCAGAUCGCAGAAACUUUAUUUUCUUGUUACGAUGAUUUUUCCACUUCACUCUGAAAUUCUUUGAACCUUUCAACUAUUUUAGACUUAUGUUUCAUCAAGUAGAUAUACCCAUAUCUGCUCAAAUCAUCUUGUGAAGGUCAGAAAAUAACGAUACUUGCCACGAGCAUCAACACUCAUUGGAUCGCAUACAUCGGUAUGUAUUAUUUCCAAUAAGUCAGUAGCUUGUUCCAUUGUUCUGGAGAACGAAGUUUUUAGUCAUCUUGCCCAAAAGGCACGGUUCGCAAGCAUCAAAUGAUUCAUAACCAAGUGAUUCCAAAAAUCCAUCUUUAUGGGGUUUCUUCAUGCGCUUUACACCGAUAUGACCCAAACGGCAGUGCCAUAAAUAAGUUGCACUAUCAUUAUUAACUUUUCAUCUUUUGGCAUCAAUAUUAUGAAUAUGUGUAUCACUACGAUCGACAUCCAACAAACUAUGUUCAUUGGGUGUAUGACCAUCGAAGGUCUUAUUCAUGUAAACAGAACAACAAUUGUUCUCUGACUUUAAAUGAAUAACCGUAUUGCAAUAAACAUGAUCAAAUCAUAUUCAUGCUCAACGCAAACACCAAAUAACAUUUAUUUAGGUUCAACACUAAUCCCGAAAGUAUAGGGAGUGUGCGAUGAUGAUCAUAUCAAUCUUGGAACCACUUCCAACACACAUCAUCACAUCACCCUCAACUAGUUUCUGUUUAUUCUGUAACUCUUGUUUCGAGUUACUAAUCUUAGCAACCGAACAAGUAUCAAAUACUCAGGGGUUACUAUAAACACUAGUAAGGUACACAUCAAUAACAUGUAUAUCAAAUAUACCCUUGUUCACUUUGCCAUCCUUCUUAUCCACCAAAUAUUCAAGGCAUUUCCGCUUCUAGUGACCAUUUCCUUUGCAGUAUAAUCACUCAGUUUCAGGCUUUGGUCCAGCUUUGGGCUUCUUCGCGGGACUGACAACUUGCUUGUCAUUCUACUUGAAGUUCCCUUUCUUUCCCUUUGCCCUUUUCUUGAAACUAGUGGUCUUGUCAAUCAUCAACACUUGAGCUCUUUCUUGAUUUCUACCUUCGUUGAUUUCAACAUCACGAAGAGCUCGGAAUCAUUUUCGUCAUCCCUUGCAUACUACAGUUCAUCACAAAGUUCUACUAACUUGGUGAUGGUGACUAGAGAAUUCUGUCAAUCACUAUCUUAUCUGGAAGAUUAACUCCCACUUGAUUCAAGCGAUUGAAGUACCCAGAUAAUCUGAGCACAUGCUUACUAGUUGAGCGAUUCUCCUCCAUCUUUUAGCAAUAGAACUUGUUGGAGACUUCAUAUCUCUCAACUCGGGUAUUUGCUUGAAAUAUUAACUUCAAUUCCUGGAACAUCUCAUAUGGUCCAUGACGUUCAAAACGUCUUUGAAGUCCCGAUUCUAAGCCGUUAAGCAUGGUGCACUAAACUAUCAAGUAGUCAUCAUAUUGAGCUAGCCAAACGUUCAUAACGUCUGCGUCUGCUCCUGCAAUAGGUCUGUCACCUAGCGGUGCAUUAAGGACAUAAUACUUAUGUGCAGCAAUGAGGAUAAACCUCAGAUCACGGAUCCAAUCCGCAUCAUUGCUACUAACAUCUUUCAACACAAUUUUCUCUAGGAACAUAUCAAAAUAAACAUAUGAUAGCAACAACGCAAGCUAUUGAUCUACAACAUAAUUUGCAAAAUACUACCAGGACUAAGUUCAUGAUAAAUUUAAGUUCAAUUAAUCAUAUUACUUAAGAACUCCCACUUAGACAGACAUCUCUCUAGUCAUCUAAGUGAUCACGUGAUCCAAAUCAACUAAACCAUAACCGAUCAUCACGUGAGAUGGAGUAGUUUUCAAUGGUGAACAUCUUAUGUUGAUCAUAUCUACUAUAUGAUUCACGCUCGACCUUUCGGUCUCCAUGUUCCGAGGCCAUAUCUGCAUAUGCUAGGCUCGUCAAGUUUAACCUGAGUAUUCCGCGUGUGCAAAAUUGUCUUGCACCCGUUGUAGAUGGACGUAGAGCUUAUCACACCCGAUCAUCACGUGGUGUCUGGGCACGACGAACUUUGGCAAUGGUGCAUACUCAGGGAGAACACUUCUUGAUAAUUUUAGUGAGAGAUCAUCUUAAAAUGCUACCGUCAAUCAAAGCAAGAUAAUAUGCAUAAAGGAUAAACAUCACAUGCAAUCAAUAUAAGUGAUAUGAUAUGGCCAUCAUCAUCUUAUGCUUGUGAUCUCCAUCUCCGAAGCAUCGUCAUGAUCACCAUCGUCACCGGUGCGACACCUUGAUCUUCAUCGUAGCAUCGUUGUCGUCUCGCCAACUAUUGCUUCUAUGACUAUCGCUACCGCUUAGUGAUAAAGUAAAGCAAUUACAGGGCGUUUGCAUUUCAUACAAUAAAGCGACAACCAUAUGGAUCAUGCCAGUUGCCGAUAACUUCGGUUACAAAACAUGAUCAUCUCAUACAAUAAAAUAUAGCAUCACGUCUUGACCAUAUCACAACAUGCCCUGCAAAAACAAGUUAGACGUCCUCUACUUUGUUGUUGCAAGUUUUACGUGGCUGCUACGGGCUUAGCAAGAACCGUUCUUACCUACGCAUCAAAAACCACAACGAUAGUUUGUCAAGUUGGUGCUGUUUUAACCUUCGCAAGGACCGGGCGUAGCCACACUCGAUUCAGCUAAAGUGAGAGAGACAGACACCCACCGGUCACCUUUAAGCAACGAGUGCUCGUAGCGGUGAAACCAGUCUCGCGUAAGCGUACGCGUAAUGUCGGUCCGGGCCGCUUCAUCUCACAAUACCGCCGAACCAAAGUAUGACAUGCUGGUAAGCAGUAUGACUUAUAUCGCCCACAACUCACUUGUGUUCUACUCGUGCAUAUGACAUCUACGCAUAAAACCUGGCUCAGAUGCCACUGUUGGGGAACGUAGUAAUUUCAAAAAAAUUCCUACGCACACGCAAGAUCAUGGUGAUGGCAUAGCAACAAGAGGGGAGAGUGUUGUCCACGUACCCUCAUAGACCAUAAGCGGAAGCGUUAUGACAACGCGGUUGAUGUAGUCGUAUGUCUUCACGAUCCGACCGAUCGAAGUACCGAACGUACGGCACCUUCGAGUUCAGCACACGUUCAACUCGAUGACAAUCCCCGGGCUCCGAUCCAGCAAAGCUUCGGGGAUGAGUUCCGUCAGCACGACGGCGUGGUGACGAUGAUGAUGUUCUACCAGCGCAGAGCUUUGCCUAAACUCCGCGACAAUAUGACCGAGGUGGAAUAUGGUGGAGGGGGGCACCGCACACGGCUAAGGAACGAUCCGUAGAUCAACUUGUGUGUCUAUGGGGUGCCCCUUGCCCCCGUAUAUAAAGGAGGGAGGGGGGAGGCCGGCCGGCCCUUGUUGGGCGCGCCAGGAGGAGGAGUCCUCCUCCUAGUAGGAGUAGGACUCCUCCUUUCCUACUCCUACUAGGAGGGGAAGGAAGGGGGAGAGGAGGGGAAGGAAAGAGGGGGGCGCCGCCCCCCCCCCCCCUCCUAGUCCAAUUUGGACCAGAGGGAGAGGGGGCACGCGGCCCUUCCUGGCCGCCUCUCUCUCUUCCCACAAAGGCCCAUGUGGCCCAUUAACUCCCCGGGGGGGUCCGGUAACCCUCCGGCACUCCGGUUUUCUCCGAAAUCACCCGGAACACUUCCGGUGUCCGAAUAUAGUCGUCCAAUAAAUCAAUCUUUAUGUCUCGACCAUUUCGAGACUCCUCGUCAUGUCCGUGAUCACAUCCGGGACUCCGGACAAACUUCGGUACAUCAAAACUUGUAAACUCAUAAUAAAACUGUCAUCGUAACGUUAAGCGUGCGGACCCUACGGGUUCAAGAACUAUGUAGACAUGACCUAGAACUAUUCUCGGUCAAUAACCAAUAGCGGAACCUGGAUGCCCAUAUUGGUUCCUACAUAUUCUACGAAGAUCUUUAUCGGUCAAACCGCAUAACAACAUACGUUGUUCCCUUUGUCAUCGGUAUGUUACUUGCCCGAGAUUUGAUCGUCGGUAUCCAAUACCUAGUUCAAUCUCGUUACCGGCAAGUCUCUUUACUCGUUCCGUAAUGCAUCAUCCCGUAACCAACUCAUUUGGUCACAUUGCUUGCAAGGCUUAUAAUGAUGUGCAUUACCGAGAGGGCCCAGAGAUACCUCUCCGACAAUCGGAGUGACAAAACCUAAUCUCAAAAUACGCCAACUCAACAUGUACCUUCGGAGACACCUGUAGUACUCCUUUAUAAUCACCUAGUUACGUUGUGACGUUUGGUAGUACCCAAAGUGUUCCUCCGGUAAACGGGAGUUGCAUAAUUCUCAUAGUUACAGGAACAUGUAUAAGUCAUGAAGAAAGCAAUAGCAACAUACUAAACGAUCAAGUGCUAGGCUAAUGGAAUGGGUCAUGGCAAUCACAUCAUUCUCCUAAUGAUGUGAUCCCAUUAAUCAAAUGACAACACAUGUCUAUGGUUAGGAAACAUAACCAUCUUUGAUUAAUGAGCUAGUCAAGUAGAGGCAUACUAGUGACUAUAUGUUUGUCUAUGUAUUCACACAUGUAUCAUGUUUCCGGUUAAUACAAUUCUAGCAUGAAUAAUAAACAUUUAUCAUGAAAUAAGGAAACAAAUAAUAACUUUAUUAUUGCCUCUAGGGCAUAUUUCCUUCAAGAAAUUAGGGUCAAAAUUUAAGUGAUCAAAAGAUGAUUGGAGCAUAAAGCUAAUAGUCUUGUAAACUUAGAAAUUAGGGUCAAAAUUUAAGUGAUCAAAAGAUGAUUGGAGAGUAAAGCUAAUAGUCUUAUAAACUUAGAAAUUAGGGUCAAGAUUUAAGUGCUCAAAAGACCUGAGGGAUCGCGAUCGAGCAGCCACCCCUCCCCUUUGCUCUUCUCGGGCGCCCACAUCUUUGGGUUAGGGUUAGCCUUCGCGGCCGCCAUCUCCCACUCCGACUUGCUCUCCGCCACCGUCACCUUCAGGUUAGGGAUUUGGGGGUGACUAAAUCGGCAGGUUGUUUUUUUACCUGCAAUUGCAAUUAUAAGUAAGCUACGUAGCCUGCCUUGUCUUAAUUUUCGGAUCCACCUGAUAUGAACUUGGUUUGUAGUGUGCUAUAUAUACAUAGCAGUAGUAUUUUAUAGAUGAUGAAAAUGGAUUUUUCAAUCCUACUCCAAUAUACUCCCUCUGUAGAUAAAUAGAAGACGUUUUAGGUCACUAGAGUAGUGUGAGAGUCUAGCUUAAUAGGAAUGAUAGGCUAGUCAUAUCAACAAGGAAUUCCUUAUUUUCCGAGAGCCCAUUUGAAAAAUUUCAAAGUUAAGCAUGCUUGACUUGGAGAAAUUCUAGGAUGGCUGACCGACCGAAAAUUUUGGCUAGUCCCGAGUGUGUAGGAAAGACUAGUGUUGGUCUGUGGGGCUAGUCUAGAUCCCUCAAGGUGUAAGUGCCGGGAACUGGUGGGAACGUUCCUGUGGGCCGACGAGCAAGUCGAUUCCUUUGAGUGGGCGUGUAUGUGAGAGCCUAUCUUAAUAUAAAUGAUAGCCUACUCAUAUCAACAAAGAAUUACUUCUUUCCCAAGAGCCCAUUCAAAAAGAACUUCAAAGUUAAGCGUGUUUAGUUUGGAGCAAUUCUAGUAUGAGUGACCAAACAAAAAGUUUGUCCUAGAUGCACACAACUGAGGACAAAGUGUAAGGGCAUAUUUAUCCCUUAGGUGUUUUGGUGAUUGAUGACAAUGCUUUUGCGGACUAAUCGUGUGCCUUGAGUUUCUCAGAUACUUCAUCACUAGGCACGAGACGAUUCGGUGCCCCUCGGAGACUAUUGAAGUCGGCGUUGUUCUACGUUCCUCUUUGGUGGAUUUGAGUCGUAGGAGAGCCGUACUAUUAAGAGGGGGUCCGCGUCGGAAAGGUUUGGGUGGAAUCAACAUGUACACUUGUCCUACCUUUCCCUGCACUUUGGAGCUUUUCUUUGUUAUCUUGGUUGUGCUGAAAUCUGACGACUACUGAUGUACUUGCGGUAGUACCGCUCCUCCUGAGCCGUAGUACCGCGGCUCCUAGGCCUAGUGCCGCUUCGGUAUGGUAGUAGGGGCGGAUGUAAUUUUUUACAUCCGCGCCACCCACGGUAGUACCGCUCCCCAGGAGUCGUAGUACCGUGGCCCUCCUACCUAGUACUGCAGCGUCACGGUAGUAGGCGCGGAUGUAAUUUUUUACAUCCGCGCACGCAACGGUAGUACCGCGCCUCGCGAGUGGUAGUACCGCGUCGGAUUUUUGUACUACCUCAUGUUCAGCGGAAGUAGGCACGGAUGUAAUUUAUUUCAACCGCGCCCUUGCCAGGCGAUGACUUUCCUGCCUUGCGGUAGUACCGCAAGGAGGAGCGGUAGUACCGCUCAAGCGGUAGUACUACCCCCUAGUCAGGUAAGUCCCAGCCUCUGCUGCGGUCGCAGAAGUACCAUGAUCUGCCACGGUAGUACCGCGCGGCCUCGCGGUAGUACCGCGCCCCUGGAGCGGUAGUACCGUGUGUCACGGGCUGAACAUGUGAAUAACGGUUGGUUUUUUCCCUCGCCUAUAUAAGGGGUGUCUUCUACCUCUAGUUGACUAUCUCUUCCACCUCUAAGCUCCAUUGUUGCUCCAAGCUCCAUUUUCGCUCGAUCUCUCUCCCUAGCCAAUCAAACUUGUUGAUUUGCUCAGGAUUGGGUGACAAGGGCCCGAUCUACACUUCCACCACAGGAUAUUUGAUUCCCCCCACUUAUCCCUAGCGGAUCUUGUUACUCUUGGGUGUUUGAGCACCCUAGACGGUUGAGGUCACCUCGAAGCCAUACUCCAUUGUGGUGAAGCUUCGUGGUGUUGUUGGGAGCCUCCAAUUGUUGUGGAGAUUGCCCCAACCUUGUUUGUAAAGGUUCGGUCGCCGCCUUCAAGGGCACCAUUAGUGGAAUCACGGCAUCUCGCAUUGUGUGAGGGCGUGAGGAGAAUACGGUGGCCCUAGUGGCUUCUUGGGGAGCAUUGUGCCUCCACACCGCUCUAACGGAGACGUACUUCCCCUUAAAAGGAAGGAACUUCGAUAACACAUCCUCAUCUCCACCGGCUCCACUCUUGGUUAAUUCGUGCCUUUACUUUUGCAAGCCUACUUGUGUUACAUCCAUUGCUUGCUUAUGUGCUAGUUGUUAUUGCAUCAUAUAGGUUGCUCACUUAGUUGCACAUCUAGACAACCUAUUUUGUUGCAAAGUUUAAUUUGGUAAAGAAAAGCUUAAAAAUUGUUAGUUGCCUAUUCACCCCCCUCUAGUCAACCAUAUUGAUCCUUUCAAUUGGUAUCAGAGCCUCGUCUCUUUAUUAAGGACUUUGCCGCCCGAAGAGUAUGGUUGACACCAACGACGGUGCGGAGGAACACUCCGGUGUGAAUUCCAUCUCGUCUUCGGCCGAAGAGGGAACCUGGUGAAGGAAAUAUGCCCUAGAGGCAAUAAUAAAGUUAUUAUUUAUUUCCUCAUAUCAUGAUAAAUGUUUAUUAUUCAUGCUAGAAUUGUAUUAACCGGAAACAUGAUACAUGUGUGAAUACAUAGACAAACAUAUAGUCAUUAGUAUGCCUCUACUUGACUAGCUCAUUAAUCAAAGAUGGUUAUGUUUCCUAACCAUAGACAUGUGUUGUCAUUUGAUUAAUGGGAUCACAUCAUUAGGAGAAUGAUGUGAUUGACAUGACCCAUUCCGUUAGCCUAGCACUUGAUCGUUUAGUAUAUUGCUAUUGCUUUCUUCAUGACUUAUACAUGUUCCUGUAACUAUGAGAAUUAUGCAACUCCCAUUUACCGAAGGAACACUUUGGGUACUACCAAACGUCACAACGUAACUGGGUGAUUAUAAAGGAGUACUACAGGUGUAUCCGAAGGUACAUGUUGAGUUGGCAUAUUUCUAGAUUAGGUUUUGUCACUCCGAUUGUCGGAGAGGUAUCUCUGGGCCCUCUCGGUAAUGCACAUCAUUAUAAGCCUUGCAAGCAAUGUGACCAAAUGAGUUGGUUACGGGAUGAUGCAUUACGGAACGAGUAAAGAGACUUGCCGGUAACGAGAUUGAACUACGUAUUGGAUACCGACGAUCAAAUCUCGGGCAAGUAACAUACCGAUGACAAAGGGAACAACGUAUAUUGUUAUGCGGUUUCACUGAUAAAGAUCUUCGUAGAAUAUGUAGGAACCAAUAUGGGCAUCCAGGUUCCUCUAUUGGUUAUUGACCGAGAAUAGUUCUAGGUCAUGUCUACAUAGUUCUCGAACCCGUAGGGUCCGCACGCUUAACGUUACGAUGACAGUUUUAUUAUGAGUUUAUAAGUUUUGAUGUACCAAAGUUUGUUCGGAGUCCCGGAUGUGAUCACGGACAUAACGAGGAGUCUCGAAAUGGUCGAGACAUAAAUAUCGAUAUAUUGGAAGCCUAUAUUUGGACAUCGGAAUCGUUCCGGGUGAAAUCGGCAUUUUACCGGAGUACCGGGAGGUUACCGGAACCCCCCGGGGGGUUAUUGGGCCUACAUGGGCCUCGAGGGAGAAAAGGGAAGGAGGCAGGAGGGGGCCACGCGCCCCUCCCCUUCCUAGUCCGAAUAGGACAAGGGAAGGGGGCGGCGCCCCCCUUUCCUUCCCCUCUUCCUCCUCUUUCCCCCCUUCUCCUAUUCCAACUAGGAAAGAAGGGAGUCCUACUCCCGGUGGGAGUAGGACUCCCCCCUUGGCGCGCCCUCCUUGGCCGGCCGCCUCCUCCCCACUGGCUCCUUUAUAUACGGGGGCGGGGGCACCCCAUAGACACACAAGUUGAUCUACGGAUCGUUCCUUAGCCGUGUGCGGUGCCCCCCUCCACCAUAUUCCACCUCGGUCAUAUAGUCGCGGAGUUUAGGCGAAGCCCUGCGCCGGUAGAGCAUCAUCAUCGUCACCACGCCGUCGUGCUGACGGAACUCAUCCCCAAAGCUUUGCUGGAUCGGAGCCCGGGGAUCGUCAUCGAGCUGAACGUGUGCUGAACUCGGAGGUGCCGUACGUUCGGUACUUGGAUUGGUCGGAUCGUGAAGACGUACGACUACAUCAACCGCGUUGUGUUAACGCUUCCUCUUACGGUCUACGAGGGUACAUGGACAACACUCUCGCCUCUCGUUGCUAUGCCAUCAACAUGAUCUUGCGUGUAUGUAGGAAAAUUUUAGAAAUUACUACGUUCCCCAACAGUGGCAUCCGAGCCUAGGUUUUAUGCGUUGAUGUUAUAUGCACGAGUAGAACACAAGUGAGUUGUGGGCGAUACAAGUCAUACUGCUUACCAGCAUGUCAUACUUUGGUUCGGCGGUAUUGUGAGAUGAAGCGGCCCGGACCGAUAUUACGCGUACGCUUACGCGAGACUGGUUUCACCGUUACGAGCACUCGUGCUUAAAGGUGGCUGGCGGGUGUCUGUCUCUCUCACUUUAGCUGAAUCGAGUGUGGCUACGCCCGGUCCUUGUGAAGGUUAAAACAGCACCAACUUGAUGAACUAUCAUUGUGGUUUUUAUGCGUAGGUAAGAAUGGUUCUUGCUAAAGCCCGUAGCAGCCACGUAAAAUUUGCAACAACAAAGUAGAGGACGUCUAACUUGUUUUUGCAGGGCAUGUUGUGAUGUGAUAUGGUCAAGACGUGAUGCUAUAUUUUAUUGUAUGAGAUGAUCAUGUUUUGUAACCGAAGUUAUCGGCAACUGGCAGGAGCCAUAUGGUUGCCGCUUUAUUGUAUGAAAUGCAAACGCCCUGUAAUUGCUUUACUUUAUCUCUAAGCGGUAGCGAUAGUCGUAGAAGCAAUAGAUGGCGUAACGACAACGAUGCUACGAUGGAGAUCAAGGUGUCGCGCCGGUGACGAUGGUGAUCACGACGGUGCUUCGAAGAUGGAGAUCACAAGCACAAGAUGAUAAUGGCCAUAUCAUAUCACUUAUAUUGAUUGCAUGUGAUGUUUAUCCUUUAUGCACCUUAUCUUGCUUUGAUUGACGGCAGCAUUUUAAGAUGAUCUCUCACUAAUAAUCAAGAAGUGCUCUCCCUGAGUAUGCAUCGUUGCGAAAGUUCUUCGUGCUGAGACACCACGUGAUGAUCGGGUGUGAUAGGCUCUACGUUCAAAUACAACGGGUGCAAAACAGUUGCACACGCGGAAUACUCAGGUCAUACUUGAUGAGCCUAGCAUAUACAGAUAUGGCCUCGGAACACGGAGACCGAAAGGUCGAACGUGAAUCAUAUAGUAGAUAUGAUCAACAUAGUGAUGUUCACCAUGGAAACUACUCCAUCUCACGUGAUGAUCGGACAUGGUUUAGUUGAUUUGGAUCACGUGAUCACUUAGAUGACUAGAGAGAUGUCUGUCUAAGUGGGAGUUCUUAAGUAAUAUGAUUAAUUGAACUUAAAUUUAUCAUGAACUUAGUACCUGAUAGUAUUUUGCUUGUCUAUGUUUGUUUGUAGAUAGAUGGCUCGUGCUGUUGUUCCGUUGAAUUUUAAUGCGUUCCUUGAGAAAGCAAAGUUGAAAGAUGAUGGUAGCAAUUACACGGACUGGGUCCAUAACCUGAGGAUUAUCCUCAUUGCUGCACAGAAAAGUUACGUCCUGGAAGCACCGCUGGGUGCCAGGCCUGCUGCUGAUGCAACUGACGAUGUAAAGAACGUCUGGCAGAGCAAAGCUGAUGACUACUCGAUAGUUCAGUGUGCCAUGCUUUACGGCUUAGAACCGAGUCUUCAACGACGUUUUGAACGUCAUGGAGCAUAUGAGAUGUUCCAGGAGUUGAAGUUAAUAUUUCAAGCAAAUGUCCGGAUUGAGAGAUACGAAGUCUCCAAUAAGUUCUAUAGCUGCAAGAUGGAGGAGAAUAGUUCUGUCAGUGAACAUAUACUCAAAAUGUCUGGGUAUAAUAAUCACUUGAUUCAACUAGGAGUUAAUCUUCCUGAUGAUAGUGUCAUUGACAGAAUUCUUCAAUCACUGCCACCAAGCUACAAGAGCUUCAUGAUGAACUAUAAUAUGCAAGGGAUGAACAAGACUAUUCAUGAGCUCUUCGCGAUGCUAAAAGCCGCGGAGGUAGAAAUCAAGAAGGAGCAUCAAGUGUUGAUGGUUAACAAGACCACCAGUUUCAAGAAAAAGGGCAAAGGGAAGAAGAAGGGGAACUUCAAAAAGAACAGCAAGCAAGUUGCUGCUCAAGAGAAGAAACCCAAGUUUGGACCUAAGCCUGAAACUGAGUGCUUCUACUGCAAGCAGACUGGACACUGGAAGCGGAACUGCCCCAAGUAUUUGGCGGAUAAGAAGGAUGGCAAAGUGAACAAAGGUAUAUGUGAUAUACAUGUUAUUGAUGUGUACCUUACUAAUGCUCGCAGUAGCACCUGGGUAUUUGAUACUGGUUCUGUUGCUAAUAUUUGCAACUCGAAACAGGGACUACGAAUUAAGCGAAGAAUGUCUAAGGACGAGGUGAUGAUGCGCGUGGGAAAUGGUUCCAAAGUCGAUGUGAUCGCGGUCGGCACGCUACCUCUACAUCUACCAUCGGGAUUAGUUUUAGACCCAAAUAAUUGUUAUUUGGUGCCAGCGUUGAGCAUGAACAUUAUAUCUGGAUCUUGUUUGAUGCGAGACGGUUAUUCAUUUAAAUCAGAGAAUAAUGGUUGUUCUAUUUAUAUGAGUAAUAUCUUUUAUGGUCAUGCACCCUUGAAAAGUGGUCUAUUUUUAUUGAAUCUCGAUAGUAGUGAUACACAUAUUCAUAGUGUUGAAACCAAAAGAUGCAGAGUUGAUAACGAUAGUGCAACUUAUUUGUGGCACUGCCGUUUAGGUCAUAUCGGUGUAAAGCGCAUGAAGAAACUCCAUACUGAUGGGCUUUUGGAAUCACUUGAUUAUGAAUCACUUGGUACUUGCGAACCGUGCCUCAUGGGCAAGAUGACUAAAACGCCGUUCUCCGGAACUAUGGAGCGAGCACCUGAUUUGUUGGAAAUCAUACAUACUGAUGUUUGUGGUCCAAUGAAUGUUGAGGCUCGCGGCGGGUAUCGUUAUUUUCUCACCUUCACAGAUGAUUUGAGCAGAUAUGGGUAUAUCUACUUAAUGAAACACAAGUCUGAAACAUUUGAAAAGUUCAAAGAAUUUGAGAGUGAAGUGGAAAAUCAUCGUAACAAGAAAAUAAAAUUUCUACGAUCUGAUCGUGGAGGAGAAUAUUUGAGUUACGAGUUUGGUAUACACUUGAAACAAUGCGGAAUAGUUUCGCAACUCAUGCCACCCGGAACACCACAACGAAAUGGUGUGUCCGAACGUCGUAAUCGUACUUUACUAGAUAUGGUGCGAUCUAUGAUGUCUCUUACUGAUUUACCGCUAUCGUUUUGGGGUUAUGCUUUAGAGACGGCCGCAUUCACGUUAAAUAGGGCACCAUCAAAAUCCGUUGAGACGACGCCUUAUGAACUGUGGUUUGGCAAGAAACCAAAGUUGUAGUUUCUUAAAGUUUGGGGCUGCGAUGCUUAUGUGAAGAAACUUCAACCAGAUAAGCUCGAACCCAAAUCAAAAAAAUGUGUCUUCAUAGGAUACCCAAAAGAGACUAUUGGGUACACCUUCUAUCACAGAUCUGAGGGCAAGAUUUUCGUUGCUAAAACCGGAUCCUUUCUAGAGAAGGAGUUUCUCUUGAAAGAAGUGAGUGGGAGGAAAGUAGAACUUGAUGAGAUAACUGUAUCUACUCCCUUAUUGGAAAGUAGUUCAUCACAAGAACCGGUUCCUGUGACAACUACACCAAUUAGUGAGGAAGCUAAUGAUAUUGAUCAUGAAACUUCAGAUCAAGUUUCUACUGAACCUCGUAGGUCUACCAGAGUAAGAUCCACACCAGAGUGGUACGGUAAUCCAAUUCUGGAAGUCAUGUUGCUUGACCAUGACGAACCUACGAACUAUGAGGAAGCGAUGAUGAGCCAAGAUUCCGCAAAAUGGCUAGAGGCCAUGAAAUCUGAGAUGGGAUCCAUGUAUGAAAACAAAGUAUGGACUUUGGUUGACUUGCCCGAUGAUCGGCAAGCAAUUGAGAAUAAAUGGAUCUUUAAGAAGAAGACUGACGCAGAUGGUAAUGUAACUGUCUAUAAAGCUCGACUUGUUGCGAAAGGUUUUCGACAAGUUCAAGGAGUUGACUACGAUGAGACUUUCUCACUCGUAGCGAUGCUUAAGUCUGUCCGAAUCAUGUUAGCUAUUGCUGCAUUUCAUGAUUAUGAAAUUUGGCAAAUGGAUGUCAAAACUGCAUUCUUGAAUGGAUUUCUAGAAGAAGAGUUGUAUAUGAUGCAGCCAGAAGGUUUUGUUGAUCCAAAAGGUGCUAACAAAGUGUGCAAGCUCCAGCGUUCCAUUUAUGGACUGGUGCAAGCAUCUCGGAGUUGGAAUAAACGCUUUGAUAGUGUGAUCAAAGCAUAUGGUUUUAUACAGACUGUUGGAGAAGCCUGUAUUUACAAGAAAGUGAGUGGGAGCUCUGUAGCAUUUCUGAUAUUAUAUGUAGAUGACAUAUUAUUAAUUGGAAAUGAUAUAGAAUUUCUGGAUAGCAUAAAGGGAUACUUGAAUAUAAGUUUUUCAAUGAAAGACCUCGGUGAAGCUGCUUACACAUUGGGCAUCAAGAUCUAUAGAGAUAGAUCAAGACGCUUAAUAGGACUUUCACAAAGCACAUACCUUGAUAAAAUUUUGAAAAAGUUCAAAAUGGAUCAGGCAAAGAAAGGGUUCUUGCCCAUACUACAAGGUGUGAAGUUGAGUCAAACUCAAUGCCCGACCACAGCAGAAGAUAGAGAGAAAUGAAAGAUGUUCCCUAUGCUUCAGCCAUAGGCUCUAUCAUGUAUGCAAUGCUGUGUACCAGACCUGACGUAUGCUUAGCAAUAAGCUUGGCAGGAAGGUACCAAAGUAAUCCAGGAGUGGAUCACUGGAUAGCGGUCAAGAACAUCCUGAAAUACCUGAAAAGGACUAAGGAUAUGUUUCUCAUAUAUGGAGGUGACAAAGAGCUAGUCGUAAAUGGUUACGUCGAUGCAAGCUUUGACACUGAUCAGGACGAUUCUAAAUCGCAAACUGGAUACGUGUUUUUAUUAAACGGUGGAGCUGUAACUUGGUGCAGUUCUAAACAAAGCAUCGUGGUGGGAUCUACAUGUGAAGCGGAGUACAUAGCUGCUUCGGAAGCAGCAAAUGAAGGAGUCUGGAUGAAGGAGUUCAUUUCCGAUCUAGGUGUCAUACCUAGUGCAUCGGGACCAAUGAAAAUCUUCUGUGACAAUACUGGUGCAAUUGCCUUGGCAGAGGAAUCCAGAUUUCACAAAAGGACCAAGCACAUCAAGAGACACUUCAAUUCCAUUCGGGACCAAGUCCAAGUGGGAGACAUAGAGAUUUGCAAGAUACGUACGGAUCUGAAUGUUGCAGACCCGUUGACUAAGCCACUCUCACGAGCAAAACAUGAUCAGCACCAAGACUCCAUGGGUGUUAGAAUCAUUACUAUGUAAUCUAGAUUAUUGACUCUAGUGCAAGUGGGAGACUGAAGGAAAUAUGCCCUAGAGGCAAUAAUAAAGUUAUUAUUUAUUUCCUCAUAUCAUGAUAAAUGUUUAUUAUUCAUGCUAGAAUUGUAUUAACCGGAAACAUGAUACAUGUGUGAAUACAUAGACAAACAUAUAGUCACUAGUAUGCCUCUACUUGACUAGCUCUUUAAUCAAAGAUGGUUAUGUUUCCUAACCAUAGACAUGUGUUGUCAUUUGAUUAAUGGGAUCACAUCAUUAGGAGAAUGAUGUGAUUGACAUGACCCAUUCCGUUAGCCUAGCACUUGAUCGUUUAGUAUGUUGAUAUUGCUUUCUUCAUGACUUAUACAUGUUCCUGUAACUAUGAGAAUUAUGCAACUCCCGUUUACCGGAGGAACACUUUGGGUACUACCAAACAUCACAACGUAACUGGGUGAUUAUAAAGGAGUACUAUAGGUGUAUCCGAAGGUACAUGUUGAGUUGGCAUAUUUCGAGAUUAGGUUUUGUCACUCCGAUUGUUGGAGAGGUAUCUCUAGGCCCUCUCGGUAAUGCACAUCAUUAUAAGCCUUGCAAGCAAUGUGACCAAAUGAGUUGGUUACGGGAUGAUGCAUUACGGAACGAGUAAAGAGACUUGCCGGUAACGAGAUUGAACUAGGUAUUGGAUACCGACGAUCAAAUCUCGGGCAAGUAACAUACCGAUGACAAAGGGAACAACGUAUAUUGUUAUGCGGUUUGACCGAUAAAGAUCUUCGUAGAAUAUGUAGGAACCAAUAUGGGCAUCCAGGUUCCACUAUUGGUUAUUGACCGAGAAUAGUUCUAGGUCAUGCCUACAUAGUUCUCGAACCCGUAGGGUCCGCACGCUUAACGUUACGAUGACAAUUUUAUUAUGAGUUUAUAAGUUUUUAUGUACCGAAGUUUGUUCGGAGUCCUGGAUGUGAUCACGGACGUAACGUGGAGUCCCGAAAUGGUCGAGACAUAAAGAUCGAUAUAUUGGAAGCCUAUAUUUGGACAUCGGAAUCGUUCCGGGUGAAAUCGGCAUUUUACCGGAGUACCGGGAGGUUACCGGAACCCCCCGGGGGGUUAUUGGGCCUACAUGGGCCUCGAGGGAGAAGGGGGAAGGAGGAAGGAGGGGGCCGCGCGCCCCUCCUCUUCCUAGUCCGAAUAGGACAAGGGAAGGGGGGCGGCGCCCCCCCUUUCCUUCCCCUCUUCCUCCUCUUUCCCCCUUCUCCUAUUCCAAUUAGGAAAGAUGGGAGUGCUACUCCCGGUGGGAGUAGGACUCCCCCCUUGGCGCGCCCUCCUUGGCCAGCCGCCUCCUCCCCCCUGGAUCCUUUAUAUAUGAGGGCGGGGGGCACCCCAUAGACACACAAGUUGAUCUACGGAUCGUUCCUUAGCUGUGUAGGGUGCCCCCCUCCACCAUAUUCCACCUCGGUCAUAUCGUCGCGGAGUUUAGGCGAAGCCCUGCGCCGGUAGAGCAUCAUCAUCGUCACCAUGCCGUCGUGCUGACGGAACUCAUCCCCGAAGCUUUGCUGGAUUGGAGCCCGGGGAUCGUCAUCGAGCUGAACGUGUGCUGAACUCGGAGGUGUCGUACGUUCGGUACUUGGAUCGGUCGGAUCGUGAAGACGUACGACUACAUCAACCGCGUUGUGCUAACGCUUCCACUUACGGUCUAUGAGGGUACGUGGACAACACUCUCCCCUCUCGUUGCUAUGCCAUCAACAUGAUCUUGCGUGUACGUAGGAAUUUUUUUGAAAUUGCUACGUUCCCCAACACCUCGGUCUCACGUGAGGAAUUCAAUGUGGCUUUAGACACAUUGAAAACCUCCAUGAAGGUCGAGGUUAAAAGCAUGUUUACUGAAUUUCUAGAAGGACUUAAACUAUCUACCUCGCUGAUCAAAGUGGGUGAUCCUACUAACAAGGUGACGGAUGCUACCUCCGACAAGGGGGAAGCUAACAAUGAAAAGAGUCCUUCUACUAGUGGUAGAAAUGGCACCGACAUCUUUGCCCAUGUGGAACCUCCUAUCUAUAGAGGAUCGAUUCCCUCCACUCAUUUAAAUCAUGCCGGUCCUCCUCCUAAAUAUGAGAAGCAUGAAGAUUUUGACUCUUGGGUUUAUCGUUUCAAGCGUCAUUUAAAACAUGUGAACACUAACCUUUGGGGAAUCAUUGAAGAAGGUUUUUAUCCUCAUGACCGAAGCAACUUCACCCCUCGAGAAGACGUGGACAAUCAAUUCAAUGAGAGUGCUCUCUUCAUCAUCCAAUAUGCUAUCCUUCCCGAAGAUCUUCCUCAUCUUCGACCUCAUGUCAUGGCUAAAGAAGCAUGGAAAUGUGUCGAGCGUCUCUAUCGAGGAAGUGCUAGCAUUCAACGCUCCAACUAUGAAGUGGUGCAAGAUGAAGCCGAUGAGUUUGCAAUGAAAGAAGAUGAAGAACCUCGUGAGCUCUUUCGAAGAGUGACCAAACUCGCGCUCGCACUCCGAGAUCAUGGAAGCAAGGACACGGAUGACAAUUGGAUCAAGCGAAAGUUCCUCAAGGCCAUGAUGCCCUACAACAAGGCCAUGUCCUCCGUCAUUCGUCAAAGACCGGACUUCCACUCCAUGACCUCAAGUGAAGUGUUGGACGAGUUCGUUGCAAUGAGCAUCUUGGACAAGACCGCUGACAAUGUGGUGCUCCGUUCUCAAAGGGCAAAGAAGCCCAACCUUGCUUUGAAGGCCAAGGUUAUUAUGGAAGAAGAGGAAGAAGUGGAAGAUGAGGAAAGCAACCCCGAAGACACCAAAUUUGAUUACCAUGAGCACAUGGCCCUUGCUUCAAGACAAUUUUGGAGCCAGAAGAAUUCAAGACCCAACUUCAACAAGAACAACUCAAGUGGCGUCAAGGGCAAGCAACGAGUUAGAACUUGCUUCAACUGUGGCAAUGUGAGCCAUUUCGUUACGGAUUGUCCUUACGAGAAGCGAGAAGACAAUGGUGGCAAGUUCAUCCGAAAAGACAAAGCCAAGUCCUUCCCCAACAAGAACAACUUCACCAAGAAGACUCCCACUCGUGGGUUGGUGGUUCAAGAAGAAUACCAAGAGGAUGAUGAUGAUGAUGAAAAUGAAGAAGCAAUGGCCAUGGCAUCCGUUGCCAUUGCUACUACUCCCCGGGUGUCUCUCUUUGAUUCACCCAACGAAAACAUCACCGCCAAAUGCCUCAUGGCUAAAGCUUCAAACAAGGUGUUUGCUUCCGGUGGGGGAUCAUGGUUGCUCAAUAGUGGAGCAACAAAUCAUAUGACCGGGAGCAAGGACUUGGUGGUGGACGUGCAAGAGAUUCCAUCUAUGCCCACCAAUGUCGAGUGGGGUGAUGCAUCGCAUUCUAAGGUAUUGGGUCUCGGCAAGGUUGUCAUUUCUCAUGAUCUUACGAUCGAGAAAGUCAUGCUUGUUGAGUCCCUUGCAUACAAUUUGCUUUCCGUUCGUCAACUUGCACUCAUGGGUUUUGCUACAUUCUUUGACAUUGAUACCGUGGCCCUCUUGUGGAGCAAGACUCUUAAAGUAGCCUUUGUUGGGCAUGUCGAGAAUGGUCUCUAUGUGAUUAACUUUUCGGAGCGACCCACUAAGACCGUGACAUGCCUAAUGGCUAAAGUUGACGUGGGAUGGCUUUGGCAUUGCCGUUUAGCCCACGUCAAUAUGAGAUCUUUGGAAAGUCUUCUCAAGGGGGACCAUGUCCGUGGACUAAAAAAUGUUAGUUUUGCCAAAGAUCGUGCUUGUAGUGCUUGUAUCGAAGGAAAGCUUCAUGAAAAGGCUCACCCUCCAUCAACCAUCAUCUACUCGAAGAGACCCUUGGAGCUCCUUCACAUGGAUCUCUUUGGGCCUCCAUCUUUUGAUAGUCUUGGAGGUAGAAAGUAUUGCUUGGUGAUUGUGGAUGACUAUUCAAGAUACACUUGGGUAUUCUUCUUCAAGAGGAAGAGUGAGACUCAACAAACCGUCAUCGACUUUGCAAAUCAAGCUCAAUGUCAACACAAUGCAAAGAUCUUGACAAUAAGAAGUGACAACGGCACCGAGUUCAAGAACUACACCUUGGAUGAGUUUCUUAGUGAUGAGGGGAUCAAGCACCAAUAUGCUGCUCCAUACACCCCUCAACAAAAUGGUGUUGCGGAGAGGAAGAACCGGACGUUAAUGGAUACGGCUAGGACCAUGAUGGCGGAGUUCAAGUCUCCAUACAACUUUUGGGCCGAAGCCAUCAACACCGCAUGUCAUGCAUCCAAUCGGCUCUAUCUUCACAAAGGCUUGAACAAGACUCCUUAUGAGAUACUCACCGGCAACAAGCCCAACUUCAAGUACUUCCAGGUGUUUGGUUGUAAGUGUUUCAUUCUCAAGAAAGGUGUUUGUUUGUCUAAAUUUGAGGCUAGAGCUCUUGAGAGCAUAUUUGUUGGUUAUGCUACAAACUCUCAUGCUUACUGUGUCCUCAACAAGUCCACCGGACUCAUUGAGGAGACGUGUAACAUGGAGUUUGCCAAAAAUAACGGCUCCCAAGUGGAGCAAAGUGGUACUUGUGAUGUAGGUGAUGAAAUUCCUCCCCAAGCCAUAAGAAGAAUGGGUAUUGGUCAUAUCCUACCCAUUGAGGAACCCCUUGUGGCUGAAGGAGAAGGACAAUGCUCCACUCAAGUGGAGCCAUCACCUCCCCAAGACCCACACGCUUCCGAAGAACAAAGUGAAGGCUCUCACCCUCAUGAACAAGACCAAGGGCAAGAUCAACCUCAAGAUGGUGGUGAACCUCUAAAUGAUGCCCAAGGUCAAGUUCUCCCCCUCGAGCAAGUUCAAGAUCAUGAGCAAGCUCAAGAUCAAGAACAAGCUCAAGACGGCGCUCAAGAUGAUCAAGUUAACCCUCCUCCUUCCACACCCGAGGAGGAAUUAGAGCGUCGUGCCACGAAGAUUGCUUCCAAGCUCACCACCCAAGGCCAUCUCAUGGAAAACGUGGUUGGAAGCCUAAGAAAGGGGGUAAGCACUCGUAGACAAUUAGCAAACUAUUGUGAACAUCACGCGUUUGUCUCUUGUGUUGAACCCCAAAAGGUCUAUGAGGCGCUCGAAGACUUGGAUUGGCUCAAUGCCAUGCAUGAAGAACUCAACAACUUCGAGUACAACAAGGUGUGGAGAUUGGUGCCAAGACCUUCGGGGAACCACAAUGUCAUUGGAACCAAGUGGAUCUUCAAGAACAAGCAAGAUGCUCAUGGGAACAUCAUUCGCAACAAGGCGAGAUUGGUAGCACAAGGCUACUCCCAAGUCGAGGGUAUCGACUACGAUGAAACCUUUGCUCCCGUUGCUCGUCUUGAAUCCAUUUGUUUGUUGAUUGCUUAUGCUUCCCAUCACAACUUUAAGUUGCAACAAAUGGAUGUGAAAAGUGCUUUUCUUAAUGGUCCUAUUAAUGAGUUGGUCUAUGUCAAGCAACCCCCCGGGUUUGAGGACCCCUACUUCCCGGAUCAUGUGUAUCAACUCGAUAAGGCACUCUAUGGCCUUAAACACGCCCCACGUGCGUGGUAUGACCACCUUACCGAGUUGCUACAAGAUCGUGGAUUUGAAGUAGGACAAAUCGAUCCCACUCUUUUUACUAAGAAGGUCAAAGGGGAGUUGUUUGUAUGCCAACUAUAUGUUGAUGAUAUUAUCUUUGGUUCUCCCAACAAAGCUUUCAAUGAGGAAUUUGCCGCUCUCAUGACCUCCAAGUUCAAGAUGUCUUCGAUGGGAGAGUUGAAGUUCUUCCUUGGUUUUGACAUCAAACAAAGAAGAGAAGGAACCUUCAUCAACCAAGCCAAAUACACUCAAGACAUGCUUAAAAGAUUCAAGCUAAGUGAUGUCAAGCCGGCUACUACACCAAUGCCUACCAAGUGCCAACUUGACAUCGAUCCCAAUGGUAAAGCGGUGGAUCAAAAGGUAUAUCGCUCCAUGAUUGGCUCCUUGCUUUACCUUUGUGCAUCUAGACCGGAUAUCAUGUUGAGUGUGGGGAUGUGUGCACGGUUUCAAGCCGCACCAAAGGAAAGUCACUAUUUGGCGGUCAAGCGAAUCUUUCGAUAUUUGGCUCAUACCCCAAACUUUGGCUUAUGGUACCCAAGAGGAGCAAAUUUCAAGCUUGAAGGUUUCACGGAUUCCGAUUGGGCGGGGGACAAAGUGGAUAGGAAGUCCACUUCCGGAGGAUGCCAAUUUCUUGGUUACUCUUUGGUAAGUUGGUCUUCCAAGAAGCAAAGUUGUGUGUCUCUCUCGUCCACCGAAGCGGAGUAUGUGGCGGCCGGUAGUUGUUGUGCUCAACUCCUAUGGAUGAGGCAAACUCUAAAGGAGUACGGUAUCAUUUGUGACAAAGUGCCUCUUUGGUGCGAUAAUGAAAGUGCCAUCAAGAUUUCUCUCAACCCGGUACAACACUUCAAGACGAAGCACAUUGAGAUUCAGUAUCACUUCAUCCGGGCACAUUAGGCGAGGGGAGAUCGAGCUCAAGUAUGUCAACACUCAUGAUAACCUUGCAGAUAUUUUCACGAAGCCCUUGGAUGAAGCAAGAUUUCGCGAGUUAAGGCAUGAGCUAAAUAUGAUUGAUUUGAGCAAUGUGACUUGAACCCGUGCACCCCCCACCACACUUAACUUGUUGUCUAGUUUAGGUGUAGGCAUGGACAUAGGGGGAGUGUUGUUCUCUCAAUGAACUCUCCCUCCCCCCAUCAUGCAUAAAUCGAUCACCUCUUUCACAUUAGCCAUUUUUUAUGGUACUUGUGCUUCAAAGACGAGUUUUGGUCAUGGGCCCAAGGAUAAUUCUUCGCGGUGCCAUACCAUCCAACUCAAACAUAGGUGGCUUCAGCCACCGCCCUCUCUCCUCGAGAGGCUUUGUCGCUUGGUGGUUUCUUGUUGUCUCUCUGCCUCUGGUUUGUGCGUGUUCUUGAGGUUUCUUGUGUGUGAAAAGUUUCCGUGCAAAGGCUUUUUCCUCGUGUUGAAACUUGCGGUGACUUGAGUUCACGGUACUACCGCGGCCAGCUACGGUACUACCGCAGCCUGCCACGGUACUACCGCUCGCGGGAGCACGGUACUACCGUCACCACGCGGCAAUAAUUUUUUACUGCCGCCUGGUUGAGCGGUACUACCACCUCGGUGCGGUACUUCCGCCCGAGCGGUACUACCGCGAUGAUACGCGGUACUACCGUGCCGGUUUGGGCCCGUGGGGAUAAGGACGGGCAGGGGGAGUUCUAACUCCCAUACCCAUUCGCAGUUCUUCCCCCACAUCGCCUCUUUCUCUUCCUUGCUCAAGAACGGAGCCGACGUUCGUCGCCGGAUCUCCUCCACCGGCUACCCUCCCGUGAUUCCAUCCGGUGGGAUCGUUCCCCACCACGUGCUCUUGCUAUGGACCAAGGUUUUGUCCCCAACUCCCUCUCCUUGUUCUUUGGGUUUGGUGUUUCUAGGUUUUGGGGGAGGCUUGUGUGUUCUUGAGAUUCAUAGGCUUAAUCUCUGCAAGAGUAGGAUGAAGGAGCGUGGUAUUGCGUAGGAUUUAUACUUGUAUUGUUGUCUUGCGCUAGAUUUGAUCACCGUAGCACCGCCGUUGUUUCGCGGUUCUUUUCAGAUUCAAACCACCGGUUGGAUCUGACGCAACGCGGUACUACCGCCCGUCUGGCGUGGUACUACCGCUUGCAUGGUACUACCGCCCUUCGGGAGCGGUACUACCGCGCUCUGUGCGGUACUAAAAUUUUACUUCCGCUCCAACCACGGCACUAUCGUGACCUCACACGGUACUACCGCGUUUGGAGAGGUACUAAUAUUCUAGUACCGCAGGCAGUGGCAGUUCUACCGUGGCUCACAUCUAUCGCAUGCCAACUUUCUCGUAUGCCUUCUAUGUGUUUCUUGUGCUUUAUCGUGGCCUUUGCAUUGAUCUUCUUCGCGUCUUUGGUGUUUUGCGUGUGUGUCUCAGGUGGUGGCUCUCGCCGGGCCAAUCCCAGUCGUGACACUGGCUCCAAGCGUCUGCGCAACCCAGGUGAAGUACCAGAGGGCUCGUCUGCCUCCAAGCGCAAUGUCAAGACCACAACUAGCAAGCACAAGGAGCCCGCUAAGGGCAUGGAUGAGAUAGCCCCAACUGAGUAUGUCCGUCUCAGGCAGCUUCACCCUUAUGUGCACCCGCGUUCCACUGUCAGAGGCUGUGAGCUGUUCUGGAACAAGCAACAGACCAACAUCUAUCUGGAUGUCAUCAAGAACAAGCAGAAUACCUACAUGGAGGUGAAGUGGAUUGAUAUGCAUCACAUGAGGAAGGACAAGUUCCGUGACUACUUUGGAGAGGCUCUGGACUUGGUGGAGCAGUUUGGCAUUGAGCAUGUGAUAUCCUUCCACCUUGACUAUGACCCUGAGCUUAUCUGUCAGUUCUUUGCCUUAGUUUACUUUCACUCCAAUGAGGAACAGAGGAUGACCUGGAUGACCAAUGGCCGUCAACUGUCUGCUACCUGGAAGGAGUUCAUGGAUCUUCUCCAGGUUCCUGAUGAUCGGCUCAACACUCCAGUGGGUGUUCGCCCCCAUGCCAAUGCUGAGUCUGCCAACAAGGACAAGCUUGCACCAUUCAUGGUUGAGAAGGCGCUCGCCAAUGGCAAGACAACUUUGGUGCUCAACUCUUUUCUGGAUAUCAUGUAUCGCAUCUUCCGCAACUCCUUGUUCCCUCGCAUCGGUGACAAAGACAAGGUUCAUGCCUAUAUGGUGGAUAUGAUGCUCAUUUGCGAGGAGGCUCGUUCGACUCAGUCUCAGCCACUUGAUGUUUCACACAUCAUGUGGUGUGAACUCCAGUUUGCAGUGUUCAAUCGCAAGGUGCCUAUCUAUGGGCCCUAUCUGUUUCUGCUGAUCUCGAAGACUUGGGAGAAGAUGUUCCCUGGUGAGGAGUUCCUUGCUCCAGACUGGAUUCGCCAUGAGCCCAUCUGUCUGCGUAUCAAAUCCAACUGGGCCAACACCACUACUCGUGCCGAGGCGACUGCUGCGAGGGCUGCUGUUGAUGAGGAGGAGGUUGGCGCCGAGGAUGUUGCUGAGGGUCGUGCUGCUAGGCCUUCCCAGAGUGCCACUAUGCCAUCAUGGGCCAAGAAGCUGAAGGACAAGAUGAAGACUCUUUUCUGCAUGCAAGCCAAGGGGCAGUACAGGACUCACGUGGCGUCCAAGGAGAGUCAUCGCCGGGACAACAAGAUCAUGCAGCUCUAGGGUGAGGAAGUGUCUGGCGGGUCUGAGGAGCGCAUCACUCCAGAGGCCGAGUGGAUGGAGAAGCAAGGCUACAGGUGGACUGAUUCUGAGGAGGAUGUCGAGGAGACCAUCCCUGCUGCCGAGGAGACCGACGGAGAGGGUUGGGACGAGUUCCCUGCUUGAGCCACCUCUUGUGUGUAGGUGUCCUCUCUGCCUUUUUGGCGUCUCGAUGCCAAAGGGAAGAGAGUGUAGGGAUUUGCGAGUGUGUCGUGUGUUUGCUGCUUUCUCGGUUGAACUAUUUGCUGCUUUCUCGUUUGAACCUCGGUUGCUUUACUUCGUUUGGUGUAAGACAUUUGCACUCUAUCUAUCCUAGCGAGCUUGUGUUAUAUUUGUGCUAUCUUUAUGCUAUGCUAUGUUAUUUAUCGUGCCUUGGUCUCUAAAAUAUAGGGGGAGUGUUGAUCCUAGUCUGUGUGCUAUGCAGUCCAAAGCAUUCAUCUAGAGUGCACACAUCUAGGGGGAGCCCGUUUAUAUUUUAGAGAGGUGGGGUUUACCCUUGCUCUAAAUUAUCUUAUCUUUGUGCAAAUCCCGUGUUGUCAUCAAUCCACCAAAAAGGGGGAGAUUGUAAGGGCAUAUUUAUCCCUUAGGUGUUUUGGUGAUUGAUGACAAUGCUUUUGCGGACUAAUCGUGUGCCUUGAGUUUCUCAGAUACUUCAUCACUAGGCACGGGACGAUUCGGUGCCCCUCGGAGACUAUUGAAGUCGGCGUUGUUCUACGUUCCUCUUUGGUGGAUUUGAGUCGUAGGAGAGCCGUACUAUUAAGAGGGGGUCCGCGUCGGAAAGGUUUGGGUGGAAUCAACACGUACACUUGUCCUACCUUUCCCUGCACUUUGGAGCUUCUCUUCAUUAUCUUGGUUGUGCUGAAAUCUGACGACUACUGAUGUACUUGCGGUAGUACCGCAAGUACCAGCGGUAGUACCGCUGUGGGUCACGGUAGUACCGCUCCUCCUGAGCCGUAGUACCGCGGCUCCCAGGCCUAGUGCCGCUUCGGUACGGUAGUAGGGGCAGAUGUAAUUUUUUACAUCCGUGCCACCCACGGUAGUACCGCGGGGACCCACGGUAGUACCGCUCCCCAGGAGUCGUAGUACCAUGGCCCUCCUACCUAGUACCGCACCGUCACGGUAGUAGGCGCGGAUGUAAUUUUUUACAUCUGCGCCCGCAACGGUAGUACCGCGCCUCGCGAGCGAUAGUACCGCGUCGGAUUUUUGUACUACCUCAUGUUCAGCGGAAGUAGGCACAGAUGUAAUUUAUUUCAACCGCGCCCUUCCCAGGCGAUGACUUUCCUGCCUUGCGGUAGUACCGCAAGGAGGAGCAGUAAUACCGCUCAAGCGGUAGUACUGCCCCCUAGUCAGGUAAGUCCCGACCUCUGCUGCGGUCGCGGAAGUACCGUGAUCUGCCACGGUAGUACCGCGCGGCCUCGCGGUAGUACCGUGCCCCUGGAGCGGUAGUACCGCGUGUCGCGGGCUGAACAUGUGAAUAACGGUUGGUUUUUUCCCUCACCUAUAUAAGGGGUGUCUUCUACCUCUAGUUGACUAUCUCUUCCACCUCUAAGCUCCAUUGUUGCUCCAAGCUCCAUUUUCGCUCGAUCUCUCUCCCUAGCCAAUCAAACUUGUUGAUUUGCUCGGGAUUGGGUGACAAGGGCCCGAUCUACACUUCCACCACAGGAUAUUUGAUUCCCCCCACUUAUCCCUAGCGGAUCUUGUUACUCUUGGGUGUUUGAGCACCCUAGACGGUUGAGGUCACCUCGAAGCCAUACUCCAUUGUGGUGAAGCUUCAUGGUGUUUGUUGGGAGCCUCCAAUUGUUGUGGAGAUUGCCCCAACCUUGUUUGUAAAGGUUCGGUCGCCGCCUUCAAGGGCACCAUUAGUGGAAUCACGGCAUCUCGCAUUGUGUGAGGGCGUGAGGAGAAUACGGUGGCCCUAGUGGCUUCUUGGGGAGCAUUGUGCCUCCACACCACUCUAACAGAGACGUACUUCCCCUUAAAAGGAAGGAACUUCGGUAACACAUCCUCGUCUCCACCGGCUCCACUCUUGGUUAAUUCGUGCCUUUACUUUUGCAAGCCUACUUGUGUUACAUCCAUUGCUUGCUUAUGUGCUAGUUGUUAUUGCAUCAUAUAGGUUGCUCACAUAGUUGCACAUCUAGACAACCUAUUUUGUUGCAAAGUUUAAUUUGGUAAAGAAAAGCUUAAAAAUUGUUAGUUGCCUAUUCACCCCCCCUCUAGUCAACCAUAUCGAUCCUUUCACAAAGUAUGUAGGAAAGACUGUUCAUCCGUGGGGUCAGUCUAGAUCCCUACAGACGUAACGGCAGGGAACCAGUGGCCGGUCCGGGGCAUUACAAGUAUUGACCUAAUAAAACGUCUUACAUUAUUUGUUUACAGAGGUAGUAGCUCGCUAAACCGUAAAUUUUACUCCUAUUACUUAGUACUAAUUAUUUGUUUGAAAGUAUGGAUUACAUUUUUAGUGCUAAUUUUAAAAUUUGAGGGGGGGAGAUGAAUCCUAAAUGUUUCGAAAAUAUCAAGUGGAAAUGAAUGCAUGACAUGACUGGCUGGUUGAGUCGCAACAUUGCAAGAGUGGUAGUAUCUGUCUCUCUCUGCCACUGCUAGCUUAAUGCCCACAGUAAUUCUGAUGGUACAGUUUCCCUUAGUUAUUACUAGUGGAGGAACAACAACAGCCAAGGCAAAGGAUCAUACUACACUGGCAAGGAUGCAUGACUCGCUGUUUGUGCAGUACUCCCUCUAUUCACUAUUAUUAUAAGAUGUUUUAACUCAUUUCUAUUUGUAUGUAGUUUAUAUUAUUAAAAUAUCAAAAACAUUUUAGUGAACGGAGGGAGUACAAGAGUAGGAGUUGUAGGGACGUGGCUCACUGGCGCACGGGCGCCCGAUGGCAGCAACGAGCACACGCCCAAAAAAGGAAGGGGCGGCCCACGCGCACGAGCAUGCAGCCUAAAAAGGAAGGCACGCGACCAGGCAGCGCNNNNNNNNNNNNNNNNNNNNNNNNNNNNNNNNNNNNNNNNNNNNNNNNNNNNNNNNNNNNNNNNNNNNNNNNNNNNNNNNNNNNNNNNNNNNNNNNNNNNNNNNNNNNNNNNNNNNNNNNNNNNNNNNNNNNNNNNNNNNNNNNNNNNNNNNNNNNNNNNNNNNNNNNNNNNNNNNNNNNNNNNNNNNNNNNNNNNNNNNNNNNNNNNNNNNNNNNNNNNNNNNNNNNNNNNNNNNNNNNNNNNNNNNNNNNNNNNNNNNNNNNNGGUCCUUCCUCUAGCGCGCCCCGCAAACCCCCUCUCCCUCCUCUCUUUUCUUUCUUUCUUGAGCAACAAGUACAGAUCUUCUUCCUCCUUUCCUCCUCUUUUUCCUCCUUCCUCUUCCUUUUCCGCCCAGAUCUGGAGAACCAGGCUGCAUCCAUGGCGUCUUGACAAAAAGCAACAUCAAAAGGUAACCACCGUCCUCCAAAACCUCUGCCCCUCCUCUGUUCGUGAUUUGACCAGGAAUUUCAAAGAGAGUUCCCCCUUCAUCGUGAUUUACCUAGAAAAAAAUCAAGUAACUCCCCCCACCCCCCUCUCUCGUAGGAUUUGUAGGUGUGUGCAAAACACUAAGGAACUAAUGAUCCAAUUUUAGGCAAUUCUAUUGCGUUGACUAAGCAACUGCAAAAACAGUCCCUCCAUGCUUGAUCAUGAACCCCAGCCCCCUCCAUGGUUGGAAAACUAAGCAACUGAUACUCCAAUUUAGGCAAUUGCAGUGUGUUUGUUGAGCAAAUGCAAAAAAAGAGGGGAUAUGAACAAAAAAACCUUUUGUCCCUGCUUGAGAGAUCAAUAAGAUUUGUCUGUUCCUGAUUUGCAAAACUGAGCAUCUAUGUGCAUAAUGUAAGAAAAAAGUGGGGGAGGGGGGCUUUCCAAGCAACUCCCCUCUCUCAUAAGGUUUACAGAUGUUUGCAAACAAGAUAAAAUGAGCAACGGAUCCUCCUACUUUAGGCAACUCUAUUGUGUUCCUUUAACAACUGCAGAACAUUGUGUGUGUGUGUGGGGGGGGGGGGAAUAUGAACAAAAAAAAGCUUUGUCCCUACUUGAGAGAUGAAGAGGGGUUGUUCUUUUCCUGAUUUGCAAAACGAAGCAACUAUAUGCAUUAUGUAAGAAAAGGAGAAACAAUUUCCAAGCAAACUUCUCCCUCUCAUAGGGUUUGCAUGAUGUUUUGUAGAAAAAACUGAGCAACUACCAUUCCAAAUUAGGCAAAAAAUCUAUUGCAUUCAUUCAUCAAACUCUAGACACACAGAGAUAAAAAACAAAAAGGUGUGCAUCAGGAUGUUUGCAUUCAUCAAACUGCCAGUGUCUACAUAUAGUUCUCAAUGAUCCAUAAAAGCAUAGUAAAAACUGAAAAAUAUAGCAUUCACACAAAAGCAUUCAAACCUAGUUCAACACAUAUGCAUCUCCUCUCACAAAAAAAAGAUGUGAAAAGUAACAGCAUUGCAUAGAAGAUCUGCCUUAUCCACACAAAGCUACUACUUUUUUUUUUUGAAAAAGGGUCUUCUGCCCACGCUUAGAUCUGCCUAACAUAUGUGCAUUUUCCCCCACUGUGAAAAAGCAGUUGUCGCCUCUUGUGUGCCGGUGGUAACAGAAACAACAAAAUGUAUGACCAAAAAAUUGAAUUUGUGUGAAAAAUAACACAAAAGUUGCCUCUGUUUAUCUUUACAGUUGCCUAAAAGAAUGUAUAUGGUUGCCCUGUUUUAAUCUAGUACUGCUUUUACCUCAAUUUCUCCUCCCAACAAAAAAAUAUGUUUGUCUUUACUGCACUGUUAUUGACAAGAAAAAAAAUUGUUUCUGCAGGGUCAGCUGAUAAAAAGAACGGAGAGGGACAAGAAAAAAAAAGGAUGAUUGAUCUCAAUGAACUACCGGUUGACGUAGAGCCUGUCAACAUUUCGGUUGAGUCGGGUGCCCCGUUCUUAAAUACAGCCUAUAAUCAGCAGGAUAUCCAUUUGGAAGAGGGGGUUGGUGAGUCCCCAGACCCCGACAUUGGCUCUAAUAAUUCUCAUGUUUCGACCACCCAUGUCGCUGCUCCCAACGCUGUAGUUGGUCCUGCUAAUGCUACAGUUGAUGAUGCACCUGACUUGGAAGAUGAAGAAGUAGGGUCGCAGCUGCAACUGCCCUAUGUUGGUAUGCGAUUUGACACGCUAGUGGGGGCAAGAGAACACUACAAUCACUAUGCUCUAGCGGUGGGUUUUUCAAUCAAAUCAAACACGUCCCACAAGUCGGCAUACACAGGUGUGCUGGACAGUUCAAUCGGUGCAUAGGAUACGUUCUCUGGAACCAGUUACCGGUGGCAUCUAUCCCUUGUGGAUCAUGAGAAAUGAGGCGCCGAUUCAAGUGGUUUACUAGAAGUAACAAAUGACAGUAAGAUCAUAGUAAGAUAGUGCCAUCGAUGUUUGUUUUUCAUGUUCACUAUAUAAUGGUUAAAUUCUCUUUAAGAAAAAGAUGAUACAUCACUAUAUAUUAAGGGGGGAAUUUAAAAUUUUCAAUCCUUAACAUUUUCAAAAAUAUAAAAAUGGUCCCUUAACUUCAAAACUAGCAAAUCUUAGUCCCUAAUUGAAACCAGACAAGUUUAGUCCUUCCUGCUUCUUCGGGUGGUUUCCUGCCGACAUGGAGUCAUAUGCUCAAAUGUUUUAGGUGCUUGCAAAUUUUCAUCGAAAAAUAUCAUCCGACGAGCUCUACAUGUGAGCAACAAAACAAUGCUCAAAAGUGCUCAAUACUUUGAGCAAUGAAAUCUUUUUCUUGCGUAGAGCUCCUCCUCAAACAUUUUUUCAGCAUGAAAUUUGGCAAGCGCCUACAAAGUUUGAGCAUAUUUGAUGUCACAAAAUUUCAUAUUUAGUUUUCUAUUUUUUUGAAUUUACGGUUCAUGAGGGUUUAAGGACACCCGAGAGCAGACAUGGCCACCUAGGCUAUACCUAGGUUUCGGCCCAUGAGCUCACGUACCCGACACAUCAUGGGCCCCGCCCGACACAUCGUUAAACGGAGCGUACCUCACGCAGCACGCCCGAGGCCGUGUCAGGGCCGCGUGGUCAGGCCCAUGUUCCGGCACAAGGCGACACAUUUCUUUCUAGAAUUAAUUUUAUAUAGGUCAAAACAGCCCAAAUUGGCCCAGAAUCAUGUGCUCCAUAAGGGAUAAAUGGGCCAUAGGCCCAACGCCUUUAACUAAUGUGCUGGGCCUGGAGCAGGACGAGAUCACUAAUUGAGAAGUACUCUUUGUAAUACAAGAUGGGAAACUCCCAACUUCCCAGCGGUGAGAUUUUUCUUUUUUCGUAGAUUCGUUUAUACGAAAUGUUUUAUCUCUUAAACCGUGCAUCAAAAUCUCGAACCAUUUUCAUCGUUGGAUUCCUCGCGCCGAGAUCUUUGAAAUUAGAUCUCAGGUUGAUAGAUUUUGAUGUAAAAAAAUUAACGAAAAAACCAAACAAAAAAACCAAACCGGGAGCAUGUUUCCCCCUUUCCAGUAGUCAUUUUCGUGAGGCACGUCGAAACUAAAACCAUGCCUCUCGCAGAAGCAAAAUCUCACGGAAGGAAAAAAAUAGAAUUUUUUUUUGGUUUUCGAGAGGUAGCCGUGCCUCUCGCGGAAGCAAAACCAUGUCUCUCACGAAGAAACACGUUUUUUCGUUUUCGUGCGGCACGACCGUGCCUCUCACGGAAGAAAAAUCAUGUCUCUCAUCGAAGAGGAAUGUAUAUAUAUUUUUUGUUAUCGGGAAGCACGGCUGUGCCUCUUGCGGCAGCAAAAUCGUGUCUCUCGCGAAAGCAAAAUCGUGCCUCUCACGGAAGCAAAACCGUGCCUCUGACGAAGAAUGAAAGAAAAACACGUUUUUUCCAUUUUUGAGAGGCACGACCAUGCCUCCCGCGGAAGCAAAACCGUGCCUUUGACAAAAGAAAAAGAGAAAACAUAUUUUUCGUUUUUGAGAGACACGGUCGUGCCUCUCAUAUAAGCAAAAUUAUACCUCCCUCGAAAGCAAAAUCAUGCCAUCACGUUUUUUCACGCAUUUUUUUGAUAAAAUGUUAAGAAAGACGGGUGGAAAACAAAAAGAAAACACCCAGAACGCAAUAUAUGACGACGGUUGAGAGCGCGCCAAAUGGUCUCAGGCCACCCAUGUGAUUGGUGGGCGUUGCUGUCGGCACGGCACGGCCCGUCCCGUUUAUAAACGGGCUGCCGUGGGCCAUGGCAGGCACGCUUAAUAGGGGCCUAGCUGUGCCGGCCCAUUUGGUCAGGCCACUCUCUCUUCAAGCCCUAAGGCUCCACGCUCCCCCUCCCGGCCGCCUCCGCACUCUGCCUUCGCAGCCGCCGCCGCCGCCGCAGCUAUGGGUGAGCCCCUCCGUCUACCAGCUCCUCUUCCUCCCGCAACCUGGCCCGUUUGCCUUCUCGCACGUAUUAUUGCGCGCUCGUUUUGAUGGAUUCGUGGUGGCAGGCGCGUACAAGUUCGUGUCGGAGCUAUGCAGGAGGAAGCAGUCGGACGUGAUGAGGUUCGUGCAGCGCAGGGCUCUCGGCUCCCAGGCCAAGCAGGUUCGCUUUCCCUCUUACUCCAGAUCCGAUCCUCUCCUGUGUUCCUUGUGCGAUGCCAUGGCUGGGUGCAUCUAUGUCUGUGAUUGCUGGCCUAGGCCGAGUAGUUUUCUUUGUCUGUAUUUCUGGUUGUUCGUUGUGCGGGGAAAAUGCGUCUUUUCUGCCCCGUCGAUGCUAGGUUUAGUUUUAGUUGAUGGAAGUUAAUUCCUAUGCCAUUUUUCUGCAAUAAACUACAGCUGGUCUUUUGGAACAGAUCCGAGCUUACUCCGGUCAUGAUGCCACCAACAAAUGUUUAUAAAAUACACGCGCGAGGAGACACUAUCUGGUUGUCUCUUGCGUUAACUACCAAUUUUACAAGCUUUAACCGCUUGUGUUCAUUGCCCCGUUGUUUCCGAGUAGUAAUUUGGACCACCCCAUUCAGUUUAUAAUAUCUGAAACUUAUGUACUGCGGACAUAGUUAAUUGCAUCAUUCAUGUCUAAAUUCUUGCCUUGUUUCAUUGUUGGAUGCCUGUUUCUGUUUCUAUGCGAGCCUUGCACACUGAAGCAUUUUCAUUGGACAUAUACACAGCUAGUUCCUUGGGAUCAUACAUUGGAUUGAGGGUUUGAUUGGUAGUAUUAGAUGCUACCAUUUGGUAAAAUGUUAUUGUCCAUUAAGCAUUGGUGCAUAGCUGGCGCCGGAGGUGGGUCACCGCAGUGUCAGGAAUGAAGGGAAGGGCUGGCGCCGGAGGGGACUGCAGCCGCAGCCAUUAGAGGUCAGAUUGGAUCUGACCGCUGCGAGCAUGGCCAGAGACAACGGGAAGGGGCGCGGGAGAAAAGGAAGGAUCAGCGGCGGAGGAAAAACGGAACGGGAGGGUCUCGACUUGCGGGGCUCCGCCGUCUUCGUUUUGCCUGGGCGCCGCCGUCUUUGAUCUGCCUGGGUGCCGCCGUCUUUCUCGUGGUGGAGGGACGAAGGGACGAAAGAGAGGCUGGAAAUGAUUAAUGAAUUAAACAGAGAGACCCAAAAGGAUUCAAUAGAAACCAAUAGGGUAUUAAUUUCAUAGUCGAGGAAGUAUUGGCAGAGGCUAAAUCAAGCAGAGUAGACCUGUUUUCUUCUAGAUCAAAAUUGACAUUAGCAAACGAACGAAUAAAUUCAUUUAGAUUGACUGCCAUUGCUCUGCCCCAAACAAAACAAAACAAUGUAGGUCGCUAUCAGAUCUCUAGCAAAGCAAACCUCCCUGAGAAUUAGGGCAAUUCUAAUGAGGGAGCUUAGCCUAGGUUCUGAACUGGUUUCCCUUGUAAGCUAGCCCUACUCAUAUGGAAAUCCGAAUGGCGAUGAAUCCAAUCCAAUACAGACAUCCAAACAAUACAGUGGUCUCCAAUACAGACAUCCAAACACAAAGUUAGGGUAAUAUGAUGGAGCUGUUCUGUACUAUGUGAUAGGCCUAUAGUGCAAUCUUCAUUCAUUCUACUCCCUCCGUUCCUAAAUAUAAGGUGUAUUAGUUUUUCAAAAAGUCAACCGUUGUCUAUGUUUGACCAACUUUACAGCAAAAUAUAUAAAGAUUUAUAAUACUAAAUAUAUAAAAUGUAAAAAUAUAGUUCAUGAUGAAUCUAGAGAUAAUGAUUUGGUAUUCUAGAUAUUGAUAUUUUUGUCUAUAAACUUGGUCAAACUUAGAGAAGUUUGACUUUUUGGAAAAAUAAUACACCUUAUAUUGAGGAACGGAGGGAGUACUAAUUAGCUCGGUCCGGAAUUUCUCGUUUUUAUUACUCCUACAUUGAUUUGCAACAAAAUGUUGUAUGUUAAAGCGAGUUUUGAAAGGUAGGUAAAGCAAUACUAGAAAUGCGUGUACAAAAUUUUCCAGAUUUUUUCGUGACUUUUGUUAGUUCACUGCAAGUCCAUUCAUAUAUCUUGUCGAAGGAAAUGAUAUUAGAAGGAGGCUACAGAUCUAGACAUUUGCUACCCCUUUUGUUGUAAUUUGUAAUGUCAAGUUUGUUAAUUGUUGUAGCUUGGCAAGCCUAUUGAGGAGACCAAGGAAGAUGUGUACCCGAGGACCCACAAGUCGCCUGCCAAGAUACGCAUAAUUUUGAAAUCUUUCAAUAACCAGAAGAACAAUCUGAAGGAGCUUGCGCCAUACAUGCAUAAGGUCGGGCUGCCUGAAUCGCGGUCCUUAUACACCGUGCUGCGAUCACCUCAUAUUGAUAAGAAAUCCAGGGAGCAAUUCUCAACGCAUGUGAAGAAAGUGUUUGUGGAGAAAACAGCGGAGACGCAUGAACUGGCCAAGAAGUUCUUCUGGUUGAAACGGCUUCGUAUGUUGGGGGCUCAGUACGAAGUCGUUAUUAAUUUCAAGACACGCUUGGGUAAAAAGAUUGGCUGCAGCAAAGGUGGUGACCUGCUUUGACAUCCAAAACAGGGUUCAGGCAUAGAAUAAAAAGGAGGUAAUAACAAUAUGACAAAAUGUUUCUUUUGGGCAACUGAAUUAUCCCCUUAUAUUUAAAAAUAAACCAUACUGGGUUGGUCGCUGAUGAAUUAAUUGGUUUUUGCUUCCUGGCUGCUUUCUUGUCUUGUAGGUACUAGAGCUGCUUCAGGCCACACACAAGCUAUCCAUCCAACUUGUGUGGAUCUUAAUUUCUGGCCUUGGUUUGAUCUAGCAUGUAAGUACUAUAUGUUCUAUGUAAUGUCAUAUGGAACUAAGGAUGCAUGUGACCUAUGUGAGGAUGUUGCUUUUUUGGUAACCAUCCAUGUAUUUCGAAAGAAAAUGGUGAUAAUAAUAUGUGGAGAAGAGGAUAGACGAUGUCUGUCUGUCUUCUUUUGUUGUGAUAUACUAGUUCCAUCUAUCUGCCGGAGCCUGAAUAUAUGAGAGCCAGCAUGAAUGUUUGAUGUGUAAGUAACCGAAUCUGGUUAUGUUAUGUGGGUGACAAUCGAUUCACGUACUAUCGAGAUUAUGGUGUGAUGCUUCAUUAUAACCGAUAUAAAACUAUCUAUAGAGUAUCUAAUGUAGCUAGGGUGCAGAUGAGCAAUACAGAAGGCGUCUGCCGGUUGCCGGUUGCUGCAGAACACUAACCGGUCGAGGAACGGCAAUGCUGCCCUCGCGCUCCGGCGUCUGAGGCUUCCGGCUCGCCCCGCGGCGGCCGUAUCCUUGAGCAGCAACACCGCCUUACGGUGGGGUACGUCUCAAAACAUUAGCUGGACGCAUGUAUCACCUCGAAUUCGCAUUGGCUUUAUCAAGGAGGAGGAGGUGGUGAGAUUAAGAUGUAGGCGUGCCCUAAUUACCUUUGUUACGCUUACAACAAUUAUGCAAAAGACACGCUUGCGACUUGGCAGAUCUCACAAGCUUACCAAUCUUAGACUAGCCACAGUGGGAGUAACUUCAGUAGUAACAUCGAGUCCAACUCAGUAACUUUGCUUAUAUAGCAAUGAGUUAAUGAAGAGAGAGAUAGUUACAGUAACUUAGCUAGUUACUGUAACAUCACAUGUCCCAAUGCAAUAUGAGUCUAUAACCUAAUAAACGAAGCUUUGCAUGUUACCACACUUAUGUUACUAUCCACUAUGAAGGUAGUAAUAUAGUCUAGGGAUUUGUGUAUGUUACUAGUAUAUGUUAUUAUGCAUUGUGGCUAGUCUUACUCCCUCCGGUCCUUUUUACUCCGCAUAUUAGAAUUCUCUCGAGUCAAACUUCACAAAGUUUGCCCGUAUUUAUAUGAAAAAAUAUCAACAUCUGUCAUGCUAAAGUUAUAUAAUAUGAAACUUUAAGUCAUGACACAUUUAGUGGUAUUAUUUCAGAUUGUGAAUGUUGGCACUUUUUUCUACAAAGUUGGUCAAACUUUACGAGGUUUGACUUCAGUCAAAUCUUAUAUGCGAACUAAAAAGGACCGGAGGGAGUAUGCGCGUUUAUACUUUGCGGGGACAAUAAAUAUUCUGCACCUUCAUUGACUAGAUAAAAUGGCAGCCGGCAUAACUCAACUUGCGGCAUCUUUGAUUGAUUAAUUUAAUCCACCUGCUUGCGCGCGCACUCGAAGUCGAAGCCACGCUGGUAAUUCUUCUUGGAUGAUGAUGAUGUUGGACGACGACAGGCCUCCUUCCACCGGACCACGUGCGUCUGCGGCGACAGAGUCGGAUGUGUCCUCUCCGGGGGGCUUCUCGGGCAGGGCAAGCUCCUGGUCGUGGGGCUCGGGAGGAGGGGACUCGGGCUUCGGAGGAGGGGACUGGGGAAAAUACCAGGUGCUACGGGAGCACCUAAGUUGCUCCCGGAGCUCCUUAGCCGUUGGAUUUAUAAUCUGACGGUCAUCUAAGAUACGCUGAAUUUGGUUGCAAUAAUGAACUUUUAGGGGUAUUUUUUUGAAUAAAUGCGCGAGCUCUCUCCUUGGCCUUUGGAUUUUAGAUCCAACGGCUGAGAAGCUCCCGAAGCACCUAAGUUUAGGUGCUCCCGGAGCACCCGAGGGGACUGCUAGUCAUCUGUUGGAUACUGUGUCCCAUGAUUCAUAGCAAGUUUUUCUCCGUUUCAGCAACGGAGCCGCAUUAAGUUUAAGAGUUCAAUAUUAAUAUUCUCAUACAUAUCAAGUGACAUUGACGACCUUUUUUAUCAUCAAAUCCUCACACACAUAUUCUCUCCCUCCCUCUUCCUCACUCUCUCUCCCCCUCUCCUUCUCUCUCUCUAACACACACACAUAUCCAUCUUAUUGGACACGGGACCAUAAUGCAUCUAUUUCACACACACGCUAGUGCAUAGCAAUAUGGAUUAUGUGUAUUAUAUUUGCCACCACAACUGAGGGAAUUAAUUUCAUGUGAAUCGGCCAGCCACAACUCCAAGAAUACGCGAAGGAGGUGGCCCGGGUCGGCAUCGGCGCCGUCCGGCGCGGGCCACGGGCCCGCUUCCAAGUGCGUCUGCGCGCCGGCCACCCACGCCGGGUCCUUCAAGUGCCGCUUCCACCGCACCAACUCCCAGGGCCAGGGAAGUCGCCCUUCUUCGCCCCCUUCACCGGUCGCGGCCAACGCGGUGCCGCGGCACCCGGCCUCGCCGUCUUCGUCCUCCGCACCGUCGCGAGCCAGUGACGCAGCCCAAGCAUCGGCCUCGAGAAUCAAGAACACUCGACAAUGGAGAGGGAAGGGAAGAUCAUAUACAUGUCAUAAGAAAGGGAGUUUAUUUACUGCUCCCUCGAUGUAUUGUUUCCUUUGUUUGGAGAUUGAUUACCAUCCGUGAGUUAAGGUAAGGUUAAUGUGAUUUAAGGUAAAGUUAAUUAAUUUAGAUUUGAUCUUUAUAGAUUGUUCGUGAUUGAUUCUACAUUACUAAAUAACUUGCACUGGUAUGGAAAGUUCUGAUCUGUUUAGAUUUCUUUCGUUGUGUGAGAGGGUGACGCGAAAAUAAACCGAUGAAGUGGGGGGAGGGGACGAAAAAAAUCUACAAAAAAAACCAGCGAAGGUGGGAGGAGGUACCAAAAAAAACCAUGGGAGGUGGGACGAAAAAAAACCCUGAAAGCGAGACUACCAACUGCUCCAUUAGGAGUAGAGAUAUAUAGGACUAUAAACCAUGUUCAACUUUUUUUUCUCGAAUACGCAAAGCUUGCGCAUCAUUGCAUUGAUAGAAGAAGUGAGAAUGAUUACAGGAGGUGGUACAACACAUGACACGGACGCAAGGGGCGUGACCAUGGUGCCCGAAACGGAAAGAUGAGAGAUGCACGACCCAAACAAAGAAGAACACGGCUAAACUCUCCGACCAGAGAAGCAAACCAAUCUACAACUAGACGAUCAAAACUCCGAAGCCCGCACCGAGGACGCCGCGAGCAACCAAGACAACGCCUUCAAGAAGGAGAACGACACCGAGAUGCCGUCGUCGUCCGAUAUGGAAACCCAGACCUAGGGUUUCCCCUGAUGCUCGAAGAGGGGCACGGAACGGCCAUGGCAACGCCUCUAGGAAGGUGACGACACGCGCGUGCGUCGCCGCUGCCAGCAAAAGAUGCGGGGCUUUCGCUCUGGCCAAUUCCAAGCAAUCCCAAGCCGUCGAAACACGAGUCGAAGAGGAGGUCGUCGGGUGUAGGCCGGUGCUGCGACUGCAGGAAGGGGAGCCAUGCGCGGUGCCAAAGGAGGCACCAUGCAUCGCCGGGCGCGCGAACUCCGGAGGAGGAUGAAGAUGCGUGGCUGCGCGGAAUGAAGUGGGGAUGGGACGGUGACCAUAGCCCCGAAAAGCCAGGAUUUAGAAGGAACGCAGAUCCGAGCCACCGGGACCGGAGCAGCAGGGACGCCAGUGGGCCCAGGGAACUGGAAGGGGACGCAGCACCCAGAGCAUGCCAGUGACUAAGAUGCACCGGGAUGGAUGGCCAACCAAGACACCACAGGGUGGUGAUGGUGCGGAUAUGCCAAGGAGCUAAAGAGCCAAGAGAGCCGGAAAGAGCGCAUCUUUCGAGGCUAGUCGGGUCCGAAGCCGCGCCGGCCGGGCGCUGGAAGGGGGCGCAGGUCCAUUGCCGCCGGGCCGAAGCCGCCCCUGCGGGGUGAGGGAUGGCAAGGUGGUGGUGUUGAAGCGGAUUCGCGCGCAGCCAAACCCGGCCGGCGUGCCAAAGAAGGCAGACACCGACGGGCAGAGCAGCAGCCUCCAUGGCCGGCCCCCGAAGAGGCGGACCUGACAGGGGCGGGCCCAACUCAAGUCAAGGGUAUUCAACUGAAUACCCAUUAUUUUGGGCAAAAUACUAGGUAUAUAUACUGUUCUGUAUAUAAGAGAAAAAUGAAACUGGGAACACGUCCACCACAAGUCCACUACUAGCCAGUUGGCCCAGUAGCCCAACCUCUCUAUUUCCCUCGACACCACGAGUCCACGACUUGGUCGGUUGAUCCAGUAGCGCCGCAUGUACGCACACGUCUACCCUGACGAAUGGGCACCUGCCUCUCUUCCCCUGACGCACGCAUCGGUCGUUCUGUUCUCACACGAGACGCCACUCUGCCGCCGGCCGGCCAAGGCUGUUGCCGUCGCCUCGCCUGAUCGGAGAUCGCGCGUCGGCACGACGCACCACCGCAACGAAUCCACCCCUCGCUUCCUGCCUUUCUUCGUUCUGACCUUCUGAUCCUUCAAGUCGACAACGGACAGCAGGCUGAAUCAAUUCAACUGCCAGAACCCCAGAUUGAUCUAUUGAAGGUAUAAUUGCUAAUUAGAAGUACUAAUCCUUCGACUUCUGAAAGUAGGAUCUCUUCCCUCAAGCCGAUUCAAACUGAAUUUCAUCGAUAAGUGCAGAGUACCAACACACUUUUGUUCUCGCUGCCCAGCAGGCCGCUGCAUUGCUGCAGUAUAGAGAGGGGCAGGGUUUGAGCUCCUAUAAGUAAUAAGUUAGUCCGGCCACUUCUCUUUUAUUUAAUUACAGUGGAAUUAGAGACUUGUUUGCGGUCAAUUAUGAAUUGUUUAGACAUGAUAAUUUGGUAUUUUUCAUUUGAGUUUGUAAUGUGAGAAUUUUUACAAAUUUUGAAUUUGUUACAAGGAUCAUUAUGUAUAACGAUUAGUACUCUGAAACUUGAACAAUUUUACUUUUCAGGUGUAAAAAACAUGAAGAGGAAGAACACGGAUGAGGAUGGGGACAUCAUCACUCAUUUUUAAAGCAUCAAGGAUCGCAGUUAUCGUUUAAUGAGGUUUCUUAUCAUUUCUAUUUUUUAUCCUCUACAGAUCUUAGAUUUCCCCAUGAUAUGUUCAACAUUUUUUACUUCGAUAUGUUGAACAAUACCAAAGUUAUGAUUAAUUUUCGUGAAUAUAAUAUAUUAUGUGAUAUCUUGUAUAUAUUUUAGAACUAGUACAAUAUACUGUUACAAUCGGUUAUACUCGUNNNNNNNNNNNNNNNNNNNNNNNNNNNNNNNNNNNNNNNNNNNNNNNNNNNNNNNNNNNNNNNNNNNNNNNNNNNNNNNNNNNNNNNNNNNNNNNNNNNNNNNNNNNNNNNNNNNNNNNNNNNNNNNNNNNNNNNNNNNNNNNNNNNNNNNNNNNNNNNNNNNNNNNNNNNNNNNNNNNNNNNNNNNNNNNNNNNNNNNNNNNNNNNNNNNNNNNNNNNNNNNNNNNNNNNNNNNNNNNNNNNNNNNNNNNNNNNNNNNNNNNNNNNNNNNNNNNNNNNNNNNNNNNNNNNNNNNNNNNNNNNNNNNNNNNNNNNNNNNNNNNNNNNNNNNNNNNNNNNNNNNNNNNNNNNNNNNNNNNNNNNNNNNNNNNNNNNNNNNNNNNNNNNNNNNNNNNNNNNNNNNNNNNNNNNNNNNNNNNNNNNNNNNNNNNNNNNNNNNNNNNNNNNNNNNNNNNNNNNNNNNNAACGGAGGCCGGCCGGCCGGAGCGCCGCAACUAGUCGGAGAGGGCGUCCAGAUCGCGUCAGGCCGGACCAGGUGAAAGGACAUGUGGUGCCCCCAUGUGUGGUUUUGAUAAUUGAUGACAUUCUCUAUGGACUAAUGGUUGCAUUGAGUUAUAUUUGAAGGAUUUGUCCAUAGGCUUUUCUUGAAGUCCAUGUGUUGGUUUCAAGGAGUUUAUGUGUUGACCAAGGUGCUAUUAAGGAAUUAUCCAAAGAUUGGUCAUGUGAGUAUUGAGCUUAUUGCAAGCAUGUCUUGAAGAAGAAGAUUGUGUGAUCAUUCAUGUUUACCUUCAAGACAUCAUCCAAACGAAUAGAGUUGGAAAGAUUCAAGGUUGAUCAAGACUAAGUCAAGAGUGAAUCAAGUUGAUCAACUCUCAAAGCGUAGAAGAUGUACCGAGAGGGAUCAAGUGAUCCCAUGGUAUGGUAAGAAUUGUCCAUUGCCUUCGUGUACUAACCCAUGGUCUAUGUGAGAGUUCUAUGUGGGGUUAGGUACAUGUCCAUGGGCUUGCAUCAAGAGGAAGAUAUCAUACAACCCAUGGAAAGGAUGACAUCAAGUAGUGAUCGUCAUCAAGAUUGUCGUGUGCAAGUUCAAGUGUAGCAUCAUGAAGAGAUCAAGUGCUUGAAGCUUGCCAUCCAUUAUGGUGUCAAUGCACUUGUGAAAAUGUGCCGAAGAGUGGCUCACCCAUAAUGGAGUAUGGGGGAGCAAUUAGUCUCCAUCGACCCAACGCAAUCAAGGAAGGUGGUCCAUCUUGCGGAGGACAAGAUCGUCAUCAUCUAGCUCAAGUGGAUCAUGCGCAAGGCAAAGGUUUGCCCUUGAUAGGUUUUCUAUUUUACCGGUCUCAUGGUGGUAGUUGGGAGACCGGGUUAUAGGAUCGAUAGCCGUACUAUUAGGGGGGGGGGGCUCUCAAGUGAGUAGCUUGAUCGUAUCGUUCAUCGAGAGCUCAAACCAUUGCAUCCUUGCAUCAUGUUUCUUGGUUUGUGUUUGGUUCUUCUCCUUAUGAGUUUUGGAGCUUAUGGUCAUUUUUAUGACAAGCUCGAGUUCAUCGAAAACGGAGUUCACUUGCAUCUUCUAUGAUGUUUUCGAUGUUGGAGGGUAUGCCGGUUCUUCUCUGUUGGAGUUUUCACUCCUUUAUUUGUUAGGCAUACAUCCCCUGCCUCUUCUUACUAUAACCAGUCGCUGUUUUGAUGCUACUCGUUGUCUUGUAUCCAACAAGCUUGAGUUUGCUCAAUUCGGAGCUCAUAUGAAGAAGUUAUGGCAUUUCUGCUUUUCCCCCUGCUCUGGUCUGUGCGGUAGUACCGCGGUCCUCAGCGGUAGUACCGCCGAAGCUCGUCAAGCGGUAGUACCGCUCCCCGAGCGGUAGUACCGCUUCCUGAGCGGUAGUACCGCUUGUGAGCUUCGGCCGUAGUACCGCAGUGGUUCCGGGCUACUACCGCCUCGAUUCUCGACUGCUAUUUCUCGUGUCGGGUUUUACGGUACUAAUAGCGGCAGUAGGGGCGGUAGUACCGCUCCAAGCGGUAGUACCGCCUGUACUUCCGCGGUAGUACCGCUCGGGGGACAGGGCCCUGUUUUCCUCGUCAGCGCGGCAGUACCGCUGGGAGGGAGCUGCAGUACCGCUUAUAAGCGGUAGUACCGCCCUGCCCAAGCGGUAGUACCGCUCUGUGCGUGGCUGGUUGGUGGGUAACGGUUGGAUUUUUCCCCUCCUAUAAAAGGGGGUCUUCUUCCCAUUGAACCUUAUCCUUUGAGCUCGUGUUCUUCCCCCAUUGUUGACCUUCUUCGAGCUUGCUAACUCUCAAUCCCUCUAUGAAUUCUUGCUAGUUUUUGAGGGAAAAGAGAGAGGAGAUCUAGAUCCACAUUUCCACCAAUCACUUUCUCCUCUAUGUGAGGGGAACCCCUUGGAUCUAGAUCUUGGAGUUCUUGGUGUUCUCCUUCUUGUUCUUUCUCUCUUUUUCCCACCCUAGCAUUAGUUGCUUCGGUGGGAUUUGAGAGAGAAGGACUUGGGCACUCCAUGUGCCCUUGCCAUUGCAUUUGGUGCAUCGGUUUGAGUUCUCCACGGUGAUACGUGGAAGUUACUAGUUGAGAAGCUUAUUACUCUUGGGUGCUUGGUGCCCUUGAGCUUGUUCCUCUUGGGUGCUUGGGCGCCCUAGACGGUUGGUGGUGCUUGGAGCUCAAUCAUUGUGGUGUAAAGCUCCGGGCAAGCGUCGGGGUCUCCAAUUAGGUUGUGGAGAUCGCCCCGAGCAAUUUGACGGGUACCGGUGACCGCCCCCAAGGGUUGCCAAAGUGUACGGGUCCGGUGACCGCCCCCAAGGGUUGCCAUUUGUACGGGUUCGGUGACCGUCCUCAAGGGUCCCUUAGUGGAAUCACGGCAUCUUGCAUUGUGCGAGGGCGUGAGGAGAUUAUGGUGGCCCUAGUGGCUUCUUGGGGAGCAUUAUGCCUCCACACCGCUCCAAACGGAGAUUAGCAUCCGCAAGGGUGUGAAUUUCGGGAUACAUCAUCGUCUCCGCGUACCUCGGUUAUCUCUUACCCGAGCCCUUUACUUAUGCACUUUACUUUGUGAUAGCCAUAUUGUUUCUUGUCAUAUAUCUUGCUAUCACAUAGUUGAUUAUCUUGCUUAGCAUAAGUUGUUGGUGCACUUAGGUGAGCCUAGUUGUUUUAGGUUUUGUGCUUGACAAAUUAACCGCUAGGUUUAUUCCGCAUUUGUUCAAGCCUAAAACGUAAUUAUUUUAAAGCGCCUAUUCACCCCCCCCCCCUCUAGGCGACAUCCACGAUCUUUCACCAGGGCAUCACUGCGAGGAACUGCGGUCGGGGCAGUCCACCCGCGCCGCCAGCAAGCAGGAGAGGCCGCUGUCGCCGCCGGAGGAGGAGGCCGCCGCCGCAGCCGGCCCAGAUAUGGCGCGAGGGGGAGGGUNNNNNNNNNNNNNNNNNNNNNNNNNNNNNNNNNNNNNNNNNNNNNNNNNNNNNNNNNNNNNNNNNNNNNNNNNNNNNNNNNNNNNNNNNNNNNNNNNNNNNNNNNNNNNNNNNNNNNNNNNNNNNNNNNNNNNNNNNNNNNNNNNNNNNNNNNNNNNNNNNNNNNNNNNNNNNNNNNNNNNNNNNNNNNNNNNNNNNNNNNNNNNNNNNNNNNNNNNNNNNNNNNNNNNNNNNNNNNNNNNNNNNNNNNNNNNNNNNNNNNNNNNNNNNNNNNNNNNNNNNNNNNNNNNNNNNNNNNNNNNNNNNNNNNNNNNNNNNNNNNNNNNNNNNNNNNNNNNNNNNNNGCCGCCGCCAUCCCAGGGCCCGGCGCGGCUUCGCCGGCCGGCCCUCCGGCGGUGGCGAGCGGUGGGCGGGCGCCGGGCGCCGGCAGCUAGGUUCCCCCCGAGUCACCCGGCUCGGGCAACACGGGGGUCGGGGCUGAUAGUGGGUCACAACAAAGUGAUUGCGACUGUCGUCUCCAGUGUUUCCACGUUCAACUUUUUUAUCUAGUGAUUUUUCCGCGUAAUAUUUUAUGAGAGAACCGAAUGAUUCCCCUCCUCGUAGUAUGUCUUGGAGUACUAUUUAAGGCACAUUCAAGAAUAAUUCAUUGCCUCUAUUAGCAUCCAUGUGACAAAGCCGCAACGAGAUGCUGGGGACACAUGUUUAACGAGAUUUGUGCACAUUUGAAACUUAACAUUUAGAAAAUCCUAGAAAAAAAUCAAUAAACCAUACGUAUUCCCAAUACUCCUUUGAGAAACUUUUUAACUCAUUUGGACCACAAGCUUUGGAGAUAUUAGCAGUUUGUUGGCUCGGUUUUUUUCUUUUCAAAAGUCAAUACUCUUCUUUCAGGAUGCGUUCAGCCUGGGAGUUGAAUUCCCUGUCACUAAAAUGCAAAGUACUGCACAUUAAGUGUGUGGAACAGACCACAGUACGUGGGAGCGCACAGACCAACAAUGCCCAGAAUCACAUAAUAUUGUUCGAUUACGUUAUGAGGCUGCCACUAAAAGGUAAGUAUAGGAACAUACCACACACACACACUAAAUUCUGUUCAAACUUUCCAUCCAAGAAACAACAAAUGGAGCUCAGCAAUGCAUGGAAGAAGCUCAGCAAUAUAGAAACGCCCAGCCGCCAACAGCCCAUUCCGCAGGCUGUACCGGCGCCGCCUGCCUCGGUCUCGGUGGCGUCCACCCCGGCACCAGCGCCAGGCCUCAUCUAUCACCGCACCUGGGCGUUGUGCCUUUACGCCAGCGAUAGCAGUCCACCACUGCCGUGAGACAACGAUCCGGCGCCCCACAUUGUAAGUUCCAGAUUUUUCACUGGUUGUUGGUUUACACAAGAUACUUCGCCAUUCAACACGAAGUUAUCUUCUCCUAGCCUUUACCGGUCGGCUUUUAUUUAGUUUUGCUCAGAGUUAAACUGACAGCUCAACUGGUGCAAACCAAAUAAAAAAAAGAGUUAAUUACAUUUUUAGUACAUGAACUUGUACGGUGGGUACAAAUUCAUACAUAAAGUUGAAAAAUGUAGCAAAAUAGUACAAUAACUUGCGUUUGAGGUACAUUCACAUACAUUUCCGUCCCGGGCUGUUAUCUCUGUUUACUUGACAGGUGAAGCCGACGGUAUUCGAACCAAAGACCGCACAACAUUAACAUAGAGAGGCUAGCCAGUGUACAAACUGUUACAUGUUGUUUAAUUUGUCAUAGUCUCCUUCUUAUAUAAUUGAUAGAAUUGUUCUUGUUCUUUCUUCAGAUAAUUUUUGAAACCAAACCGGCGUGACUCCUGGUUCAGAUUUUUACAGACGUACUGCCCCUUUACUGGUUCAUCAGCUGGUUUUUUAGGCACUAUAAAUUAGGAUGUAUUGUUUAGUAAGAUCAUCUAUAAUCGGACCCUUCAUACUUGCCCUAAACGUCCGGACGGGCUGCCUGGGCACUGUCUGGAUCAAAAAAGGCCACCCAACCGUGCUACCCAUAUCCGGCCUAAACGUCCGGACUGACCGGCACUCUCCAUAUCAGGCCAUAUAUGGAGCGGAUAUGGGGAGUCUCGAAUGCGCCUGGGCAUGCCUGCCAAGUAGGACUGGCCGCUGGUGUUCGCGCCAAUUCAGUCAUAUCUGCCUCCCCUCUCCUUGCUUGAGCAACACUUUUCUCUUCUCUGUUCACCCUCCUCUGCAUUGUCGUCACCAGACUUCCACCGGUAUCGGUGCUCCGCCGCCAUCCCAUCAGUGCUUCGCCACCGGACGCCCCAACGCACACUGCUGCCGACCAGGUCGCCACCGAACAAGGUUGCCGCCACCAGACGGCUUCCCGGUACGUCAAACUCCCCCAUAUUUUCACCCCAUGCUCUACGUGUUCGAUGACAUGCCUGAGCCGGUUUUUGAUUCUUUUGGUCAUUACUUCUAGUUCACGAAUGGACUCGGAAAGGAAAUCAGUAAACUUCAAAAAUAUCCUUCGACGGCUUUGUUUUUAACCCCGGUUUGUAAAACUAAAACACACGCCUGGUUCAGUGGACCAGUGAGCCAAACAAUUGCUUGAAGCUAAAGUGUCGCUCGCGUGCAGUGCAUAGUUUUUUAUUCAGAUCAAUUUUCCUUCUGAAAGAUAUAUAAAGUACCAUCUGAAGCAGUAAGAAUCUGUAGCUCACUGCCUAGUCGAUCACGUGCGUGUCGCGGACUCUCGAGUUCUAGUCUUGCGGGAGCAACGCACAACUCUUCUUUAUUUUUUCUUCCUCUUUUCCCACUUACAAUUUUUUUAGAACAUUUCCCACUUACAGGUGGGCCACAUACUUAGAGACCACGCAGAGUUAACAGGGAGAUAACGACUAGGGGCGGAAAUGUAUGUAAAUGUACUUCAAACACAAGUUGUUGGACUACUUUGUGUCAUUUUUCAACUUUGUGUAUGAAUUUGUACGCACUGUGCAAGUUUAUGUACUAAAAGUGUUAUUAACUCAAAAAGCUCAGCUGGUGCCACAAAUUAGUAAAUGUAAAUAAGGUAAGAUCGGCCGCAUUGGAUUUCACCUUAUUGGGCAGUUCUUUUGGCACUCAUUUUGGGAAUGAUAACAAGGUACAUCAGGAAGAGUGACGCAGCAGAUGCACUCCCUUUUCCAGGUCCAUGGGUCACCUUUGGUCUUGCAAUCCUUUUGAAGACACCAUUUCAAUGUCAGUUUGCCCUCAUCAUAGAUGUUCUCUGGCUCAGGACGACCUAUUGCAUAAUAUCAUAUAGCUAUCAGUCCACAGUAUGCAAAUAUAUAUAGAAAACAAUAUGGUAGUUAUGUAUCUUACAUUGUCCAACGAUAAUUAGACCCCCGAUGAAGAAAACAGCAACCGUGUACACCACGCUCCCCUUCAUAUUUUCCAUGGACUGUAUUAGAUACUCCUUGCUAGUACGCCUUUAGACGUGAUUUAAGCACCUGCUACAAAAAGGAAGAAGUAAAGCAAUGUGUUGCAAUGGUAAGUAACAGCGUUUCUAUAACAAUAGUUAGAAAUAGACAGCUCUACGUAAAAGUAGAGGGACCUGAUACAAUAAUAAAAGAUACAUCAUUACAGGAAGCAUACAGAGUAUUCCCUAUUUAAAUAUGUCUAACUGUACGCGACUUAUUCCCUAUUUAAUUCCCUUGAAAUUUAAGUAAAAGUGUAAAACAUAUUGCAGAAAAUAGCUGCGGUUUGGAUGAAAGACAAAUAUUAGAGGCUUCUUUCCGGGUUUACACGUGGUUAUGAAUUAAUUACAAAAAGGAAAAUAAAACAUAAGCAGCAGCUAGUUAUCUUAUAUACAUGCCAACCAACAAACAAAAGGGAAACCAAACAGCCUUUAGACGUGAUCUAUACAGGUCAAGUGCACAACACAACCACAACGAGCAACAUCAUCACCACUUCAACAGAUUCACCACUGAUUCUCAAGUCUUUAGCAUAGCAGUAGCACAUAGCAGUCUUUGGCAACGGUUUGAUACCAUAUUUCUCAGAGUUACAAUUGUAAAAAACAACAAACUGUCACAUAUAGUUGCAGUGGUGAUAGACGUGAUUUAUAUUGCUCAAGAAAUUAGCAGACUACCAACUUGUAUACAUGAAAAACAACGCUUCAGCAAAUCAGAGUCAACUGACUGUACCAACUAGCAGGGAUGUACACAUUAGAGAGAAUUUAGGAUGCACCUUGCCGGCCGUGGGUCGGGAAUGUGGAAAAACUUCAACCUCACUGCGGCGUCCGGCGUGUCGUCUCUCGCCUCGCCGGCUGGAAGCUCACUACGGAGUGGACUGCGAGGGCACUAGCAGUGUUGGGAGGCCGUGAUUUAAGCACCAGCUACAAAAAGGAAGAAGUAAAGCAAUGUGCUGCAAUGGUAAGUAACAGCGUUUCUAUAACAAUAGUUAGAAAUAGACAGCUCAAUGUAAAAGUAGAGGGACCUAAUGCAAUAAUAAAAGAUACAGCAUUACGGGAAAGAGAGAGAGUAUUCACAUGUCAGCCUUCCUUUAAAUAUGUCUAAUUGAACGUGACGCAUUCCCUAUUUAAUUCCCUUGAAAUUUAAGUAUUACAGAAAAUAGCUGCAAGAUGAAUGAGAGACAAAUAUUAGAGGCUUCUUUGCAGGUUUACAUAUGGUUAUGAAUUAAUUAAAAAAAAAACAUAAGCAGCAGCAGCAGCAGCACAAGCAGCAGCAGGAGGUUUAGUAGUACAAGCAGUUAAUUCCAGCAGUUAGCUAUCUUAUAUACAGGCCAAACAACAAACAAAAGGGAAACCUAACAGCCUUUAGACGUGAUCUAUAUACAGGUCAAGCGCACAACACAGCCACAACGAGCAACAUCAUCACCAAUUCACCAGACACCAGUUCACCACCGAAUCUCAAGCCUUUAGCAUAGCAGUCUUUGGCCACGGUUUGGUACCAUAUUUUAAGAGUUAUAAUUGUAAAAACAACAAACUGUCACAUAUAGUUGCAGUGGUGAUAGACGUGACUUAUAUUGAUCAAGAAAUUAGCAGAUUACCAAAUUUCAUAUAUGAAAAACAACGGAUCAGCAAAUCAGAGUUAACAGACUACCAACUAGCAGGGAUAUACAUAUUAGAGAGAAUGUAGGAUGCACCUCGUCAGCCGUGGGUUGGGAACCUCGUCUCUCACCUCGCCGGCUGCAAGCUCACCACGGAGAGGACUGCGAGGGGACUAGCGGUGUUGGGGAGGCCGGGAGGCGCGACAGGAGGGACGGCCGGACGGCGGUACUGGUGCAGCCAGCCGCCGCGACAGGAGGGACGGCGGGACGAGUGCAGCCAGCCGCCGCGACUAGNNNNNNNNNNNNNNNNNNNNNNNNNNNNNNNNNNNNNNNNNNNNNNNNNNNNNNNNNNNNNNNNNNNNNNNNNNNNNNNNNNNNNNNNNNNNNNNNNNNNNNNNNNNNNNNNNNNNNNNNNNNNNNNNNNNNNNNNNNNNNNNNNNNNNNNNNNNNNNNNNNNNNNNNNNNNNNNNNNNNNNNNNNNNNNNNNNNNNNNNNNNNNNNNNNNNNNNNNNNNNNNNNNNNNNNNNNNNNNNNNNNNNNNNNNNNNNNNNNNNNNNNNNNNNNNNNNNNNNNNNNNNNNNNNNNNNNNNNNNNNNNNNNNNNNNNNNNNNNNNNNNNNNNNNNNNNNNNNNNNNNNNNNNNNNNNNNNNNNNNNNNNNNNNNNNNNNNNNNNNNNNNNNNNNNNNNNNNNNNNNNNNNNNNNNNNNNNNNNNNNNNNNNNNNNNNNNNNNNNNNNNNNNNNNNNNNNNNNNNNNNNNNNNNNNNNNNNNNNNNNNNNNNNNNNNNNNNNNNNNNNNNNNNNNNNNNNNNNNNNNCGCCGCGGGAGGAGGCGCUGGCGACCGGGGCCGUGGGAGGAGCCGGCGGCGAACGGGACGACGGCGGGUGGCGUCGCGGGACGAGGAGCAGGGGAAUUUUGGGGACAGGGUUUGGGGGAGUGAGGAAGAUUUGGAUCUCUAGCAGACCCCGUGUAUCGCCGUCCUGCAAAGGUCGUUUACGGUAUCUCGUAAAUAGAAAUAGCGGGACAUGAACGGAUCAGCAGAAUAAAUCCCAUAAAUUUCGUCGGAUUUCUAACUCGAUUUAAAACAUCUAGUUCGCGCCAUUAGCUCACUUUAAAACUACUAGGAUAGUUCAUACAUAUCAUAGUUCAUACAAGCAAACUUAAAACAACUAGAUUGAUAGUUCAGCACAUACAUAGCAUAGUCCAAACUAGCAGAUACUCUUCGCCGGAGUCGCCGGAGGCCUCGCUGGGAGCCGGCUUGUUGUUGUGGAGAGUGUGGUAGAUCAGCGUGGAAGAGAGGAUCUGUCGGACUUGAUACUCCUCAAAGAGGGCCAGGACACGCACGGCCGCAGCUGUAUUGCCGACGGUGGCGGCCUGCUUCGCCUCCCACCAAGCGUGCUGUGACGCCCGGAGGCGUUGGAGGGCCGGAUCGAACAGCCGCUCNNNNNNNNNNNNNNNNNNNNNNNNNNNNNNNNNNNNNNNNNNNNNNNNNNNNNNNNNNNNNNNNNNNNNNNNNNNNNNNNNNNNNNNNNNNNNNNNNNNNNNNNNNNNNNNNNNNNNNNNNNNNNNNNNNNNNNNNNNNNNNNNNNNNNNNNNNNNNNNNNNNNNNNNNNNNNNNNNNNNNNNNNNNNNNNNNNNNNNNNNNNNNNNNNNNNNNNNNNNNNNNNNNNNNNNNNNNNNNNNNNNNNNNNNNNNNNNNNNNNNNNNNNNNNNNNNNNNNNNNNNNNNNNNNNNNNNNNNNNNNNNNNNNNNNNNNNNNNNNNNNNNNNNNNNNNNNNNNNNNNNNNNNNNNNNNNNNNNNNNNNNNNNNNNNNNNNNNNNNNNNNNNNNNNNNNNNNCGCCCUGCACCCGCGGACGCCAUCUCCGGCGAGAUCCGAUGGUCAAAUGCGCCGGAAAUUGCUGCCGGAAGGGUAGAGAUUUCUCGUCGAACUUUGGAAUUUGCAGCGGAGAUGGAUGAGGGGAAUGCCGAACGGGAACCCUAAAAUGACCCCGCACCCGCAUAUAUACGGGAGUGCCACCGGUUUACGGGCUGCCUGUAAAAAAAAUUACGGGGCAGGUCCUUCUUUGCGGACCUGUUCGGGCUGUAUUUUUGGCCCGUCCCGUAAACUGGCCGCAAGAACGCAGUUCGUCGGAGUUAUACGAGAUCUGCUAGAGAUGCCCUUACGAUAUUUUUUUCUUAAAGUUAAAGAUCCAGCAAUCGCUGGCUUUUCAUUGAUUCAGCAAGAGCAGAUGGAAAACAUGGUGUGAUCGAGUGAUCAAAUGGAUGCCUAGGGCAAUAGAGGAAAACCAAUAAUUUUUUAACCCAAAAAAGCAAAGAAUUUUUUAUUAAAAAGAAAAAAAAGGCCAUAUGGACAGAAAACUAGACGGUUGAGCCUGCUAUCUUGCAAUUGCAUCCCCGAAGAGGCUCUUUUAAGGCAGUUUGCGUCUGCCAGCCUCCUAUGAUGUCUUUGUGUUGUCGGGGUUUAGUUUCGAAGGUGCAACUAUUUCUUUCUUGUCAUAUCUCCCACAUUGAUCUAAUGCCUUUUCUUGUCGCCGGUGCAGUUGCGGCAAUGAUGAUGCAAGAGAUGAUCUCGGUCCUCAUCCUCUUGUCAGUUCAACCCCCUGCACGAACGGAGCAUAGCCAUGCCAUUGUGCCACUUGAUUCCAAACCAAUGUACACCUCCUGAAUAAGUUUACCCAGGAUUCCAGGUCCAAACAUAGUGCGCAGAAAUAUCCAUUUGGCUAACCCGGCCCGAUGUUGCAGCCUGUCGUUGCACCAAAGACGAUCUUGGUGCAACAACCAUGCAUGAGGACAUUUUGAUUUUUCCAGGAGCUCAUGCCUUUCAAAAGAGGACUCUGAACGCCAGCUUCUUCAAGGUUAACUUCAGAGAGGGUGCUUGGAUACGUUUUAGUCUCAUGACUAAAAGUAGUGGGACAAAAACUUGCUAGCCUCACCCAUGCUUGAAUCCAAAUACUAAAGAGACUAAAAUCAAGUUAAUGAGCAUUUAUUAUCCUCCAAACCUUCCAAUCUAGAACUCGCAUGUGUUAAAAGAGAGGAGUUAAAUGAGGAGAGAGAGGACUAAUCCACAUUUUAGUAGGGGUACCCCUGAUUAAAAAAAUUUAGUCUCAAGAUUAGUUUUAGCCACUCUUUAGUCAGGGGUGCUUGGAACUUUAGCCUCUUAAAGAGACUAUUUUUAGUCAGACUAAAAUAAGUCUCUUGGAUCCAAGCACCCUCUGAGAUCUCUACCUCAUCUUCUGCAUUUUCUCCUUCCAUGAAAUCCUCACGGCCAUUCACUUCUAGUCGUUCCUCCUCCAGCAACGGCGGCAAAGUCGGUGCAACCAUCUUCUUCACAUGUUUCCACAUGACAAGCAUCUGCACCCAAGGGUUUCUCGCCGUAAUGUCCUCAGUUUCCCAUUAGAAGGCUUCGGGCGAGCAACAUCCGCAGAGGGAGACCCAUAAUCGCUCCACCUACCUCAGGCUUCACCUCGGUCCCGAUCGACGUCAUGCCCUUGGACUGUGUAGAUGACGACAUUGCAGCAGGGAAGAGCUUGUGCGGUGGCGGUGCGGCAGCGAAGACAUAUCGACCUGGUGGCUUUGCCUGCUUUCUGCUGCUUCGCUGCCUCCGCCCUAACCUACUUUAUGUAUGCUUGUCUCUCCGAUUCCUUGCGGGAGGGGUCAAGAAACCCUAGGCCACCGGACCCUUCACGGUUUUUCUAACUUCGGCUUGGACACAGGUGAAUCACCACGACCAAGGAGGCCAUGCCAUGUGAGGGCGGAUAAGGCCGCUGCAGUUCCAUCAUGCUGCCAGGGCAAGCACACGGGGAGGUAGCCACCGGCGGCCGGAGUGGCGGCCGGUGGCGGGGACGAUCGCGUCCUGAUCGCCUAGUGAGUGAAACCCUAGCAAAGUGUUUUCCAUCCUAACACGAUGGAACAACAUUCAUGGACUUCUAGGGAAAAAAAACCCACAAAAAUGCUUUCUUUUUUUUAUCACAGUACAGACGCAAAACGAUCAUACAUACGCGCAUACACUCAUCCCUAUGAACGCGCGCGCACACACAUCUUAUCCCUAUGAGCACCUCCGAAAGAUCGAGCUGGCAUGUCAUCUUGAGAUUUACGAGCACUAGGACUUGAACCCUAGUGGACUGGGGAUACCAGUGUCAGUCUGUCACUCUGACCAUUCAACCACAUAUUGGUUCGCCAAAAAAUGCUUUGAGAAAUAGCCUUUUGAUUUCUCUCGAGAAAUUUUCACACGUAUAAAUCACGUUUCUGGACACGCGGAAUCGCUGGGAGAAUAGAUGUCAUCAUCGGCGUCCAUCAUCAUCAAUCGAUCGAUCAAAGGCCCAUGCCGCCGGACGGACACACCAACCAUCCAUCCAGUCCAGUACAGUCCAUGGCCGCCUCGUCUCCAACCUGCCACCCGCCCCUCUCCUCUCCCAACUCCCCGCUCCCAUGGAUGCCUACCGUUGCCGCUCCCCUCCCAUCCCCGCAGGAGGAGCAGUCAGCCAUUCAAGGCCACCUCCUUCCUUCCUUGUCUCCCCCGCCGCCGCCAUCUUCGACCUUCCUUCCUUCCUUGCCGUGCGCGCGGCCGUCAGGCAUUCUGUCGAACACCUACGGUGCGUACCGGAGUCGGCCAUCCAUCCACUCCUCUUCUUCUCCUCGGAGUAGGACUCCCUCCCGUAAUAAAAGUAUAAAACCAACUGCUCCUCUCCGUCUCCGUGUGUGCUCCAAUCCUGCCCUCCAAUCGAGUGUUCUUUCGUUUUGCUUGCACCAUUCUAACAUCUACUCCAGUUCAGAGGAUACACAACCACAGUAUGCAAGCAAGACUGAAAGAAACAUCUCCCGGUGCUUCGGCUGUUCGCUAACCAGUCAGGAUUUUUCUUCUCCCGGUGCAGUGCGGAAGGUUAGUUAGAGGGGCAAGGCAGCAACAAUGGCGGAAUCCGACCAAGUUAACGGGAUGUCCUCGGUCGACGAAUUCUGUAAGGCGCUUGGGGGCGACUUGCCGAUCCGCAGCGUGCUGGUUGCCAACAAUGGGAUGGCUGCCGUCAAGUUCAUGCGCAGCAUCCGCCCCUGGGCCUUGGAGACCUUUGGGACCGAGAAGGCCAUCCUUUUGGUGACCAUGGCGACCCCAGAGGACGAGGACCUCAGGGUCAAUGCCGAGCACAUAAGGAUCGCCGACCAGUUCCUGGAAGUCCCCGCUGGGACAAAUAAUAACAACUAUGCAAAUGUACAGCUCAUAGUUGAGGUUAGCGCAAUUCAUCCAUCCAUCAUUCUCCUGCUCCCUUAUGUUUUUUUGACCUACUUACUUGUGGAUUAGUUUAUCAUCCAUGUUCAUUGCGCCUUGAUCAACCAAUUAUUUUAACUGGGUUUUCUCCGCUGAACAAGCUCCUGGGACGCGAGGUUUAUAGCUCUCAGUUGCAACUGGGUGGCCCCAAAAUCAUGGCUGCAAAUGGAGUUGCCCAUCUCACAGUGUCAGAUGAUCUUGAAGGUGUUUCUGCUAUCUUGAAAUGGCUCAGCUAUGUACCUCAGUAUGUCGGCGGUCCUCUUCCUGUUCUGAAACCUCUUGAUCCACCGGAGAGACCUGUAACAUAUUUGCCGGAGAAUUUAUGUGAUGCCCGUGCAGCCAUCUGAGGCAUUCAGGAGGACACUCAAGGAGGCAAGUGGUUGGGUGGUGUGUUUGACAGAGAAAGCUUUGUGGAGACAUUAGGAGGAUGGGCGAAAACUGUUAUUACCGGAAGGGCAAGGCUGGGUGGGAUUCCAGUUGGUGUCAUAGCUGUGGGAACCCAGACAAUGACGCAAGUGAUCCCUGCUGACCCUGGCCAGCCUGAUUCUGCCGAGCAUCUGGUCCCUCAAGCAGGACAGGUGUGGUUCCCAGAUUCGGCCGCGAAAACAGCCCAGGCACUGCUGGAUUUCAACCGUGAAGAACUCCCACUGUUCAUACUUGCUAACUGGAGAGGCUUUUCUGGUGGGCAAAGGGGUCUGUUUGAAGGGAUCCUUCAGGCUGGUUCUAUGAUUGUCGAGAACCUGAGGACAUAUGAGCAGCCUGCUUUUGUGUACAUACCAAAGGCUGGAGAGCUGCGUGGAGGCGCAUGGGUUGUGGUGGACAGCAAGAUCAAUCCCGAGCACAUUGAGAUGUACGCCGAGAGGAGCGCAAAAGGGAACGUCCUCGAGGCACAAGGGCUGAUUGAGAUCAAAUUUAAGCCGGACGAAGUCGAAGAGAGCAUGCUAAGGCUCGACCCCCAGCUGUCCAGACUCAAUGCCAGACUCCUCAAAGAAAUUAGGACGGGUACCUCGGAAACGGAGACCGUUAGGAUCAGGAGUGCGAUGACUGCUCGGAUGAAGCAGCUGAUGCCCAUAUAUACCCAGGUCGCUACUCGGUUUGCUGAACUGCAUGACACCACUUCCAGAAUGGUUGCCAAAGGCGUGAUCAGUAAGGUGGUGGAUUGGGAGGAGUCCCGGGCCUUCUUCUACAGGAGAUUGCGAAGGAGGGUUGCCGAGGAUUCGCUCGCCAAACAAGUUAGAGAGGCCGCUGGAGAGCAGAUGAUGCAUACUCACGGAUCAGUACUGGAGUGCAUCAAGAUAUGGUAUAUGGCUUCUCAAGGACAAGGAGAUGGCGGGCAGUGGAACGACGACGAAGCUUUCUUCGCCUGGAAAGACGAUCGUAACCACUAUGACAAGCAUCUUGAGGAGCUGAAAGCUGAACAAGUAUCUCGGCUAUUAUCGCAUCUCGCCGAAAGCUCCGAUGUGAAGGCCUUGCCCGAGGGCCUUUCGCUCCUCCUUGGCAAAGUAAGCUUACUUUCUUUUGUUUGUUUUUCCUUGGCAUAUCUACAUACGCUUCACCUCACUGAUGCAUUCAUCGCUGCGUACACUGUACAGAUGAAUCCUUUAAAGAGGGAGCAAGUUAUGGAUGGCCUCAGGCAGCUUAUUGGCUGAUCUAUCAGUGGCCUUGAAGCAUGGAUUUAUUCAUCUGUGGUGACUUUUGUAAAAUCUCAAUAUGCUAUGCCGGCUCAGUCUCCCGGAGAUGCUCAUAGGGAUAGGUUGUGCGUGCGUGCGUUCAUAGGGGUGAAUGUAUGCUUGUGUGUACGAACAACUUUGAUUGUAUGUGUCAAAGAAAGUAUGUUACUCAAAUGUCACUUUUUAUCAUCUCAUCACUGAAAAUUAAGAAAAUAUAGAAGAACAUACAUGCACAUAUACACGCAACUCCACAUGUACCUCUUUCCAGCUGAAAGCAAGUUUUUUUUUUCUUUUGAAAUUUUUUCGAUCUAUUUGAACAUUAAAAGUAACAAAAAAUACAUCCAGAUCCAUAGACCAAGGCUGUUUGGAUUUUAAUGAAUGUGGCCCUGGAGGUACCACGACUCUGCUAAUCAUCCAACAAAUAGUUUAUACACCCCUUGCACUUGCACUGAUCAACACGUUAUUUUAGUAUUCACAAAUAGGCGAUCUGAUAAUAGUACUGUAUUCUAGUAAUGCUCACUCUUUUUAGUUAAACCCAUUAAGAGGGGCUAGAAUGGUGGCCAACCAGCUACGCCAUGUGGCGCAUGCUGGUUGGUCACGGCGAGAAAGUUUUUUUAUAGUUUUUUAAAUGGUAGUGAGACAUUUUUUUGAGAAAAGUUUUUCUAGGCCUUUUCUUUUUUCCUAUUAAGAUGGUUGUGAUGUCCACAUGAUGCGAGACUAUUUUUUUAAAAAUUUAACAUGAUGAUGAGGUGCGUAUAGCUUCCUCUCAAGCGGCCUGCAAUGGCGGGCCCCGACCACUAGUUUGCAAGCAUGGGUGGGGGCGUUUCUCGGCAAGUCUUGAUGCACUCCUGUUGGGUAUGAGAACACGGUACGUCCGGCGGAGUGAGGCAGCAGAAGCACUCUGAUUUCCAGCCCCAGAAUUCAACUUUGGUCCUGCGGUUCUCACAUGCAAUGGGACCCGCACUCAUGACGCCUGUGGAGAGAUGAUGCUUCAUGAUCCGGGACAAGUCAAGACGCCAUUACCAUGACUCUGCCGUGGUUGCCACCGGCCCACUGGAAUCCUUAACUGCAGCUCGUCUUCCUCCCCAACAGCCAUGGCUCUUGUCCCCAUGACCACGAGGGCCGAGGAGUACAUCUCUAUUUCACUGACGUAGUACUCAAUAAAAUUCAUAAACCCCACUGAUACUGUUUAGAAAAAUGGAACACAAACAGUGAAAUCCUAUGAGGAUUUUCAAUUGUGACAAUUAUCUGAAUACAACGGUUGGUCAAUUUCUCUAGUUAACAUUCCAGUGUGUGCAUUAACAACAUGUACAAAUCAUGUUGAUAGUAGCACAGAGGGGUCGUUUUGCUUAGUCAAACAAAAUAUAAAAACAUAGUAAUCACACAUAGAGAUAAGAAAUAAAAGGAAGUGAGACUUACGGUUAAAAUAUCCAUCACUAAUUUUUUUGCGAGCGAUGUCCAUCGCUAAUUAGAAAUUAACACACAUGAAGUAUCUCUAUACUAUGUCAAGCAUCCUCGAUGCAAUGCCCUACAUUACAAUCAACAUGUCUUGAACACCCACAUGGUGAUUUAAAUAAGUUUCAAUUGCCAAGAAAAAAAGGUAAUUACAAAGCACACCACAGAACGUGAGUGAUGAUAUAAAAUAGCCCAAAGAUAGAACUGUUCUUUCACAAUCGACUUCUGAAUAUAAUCAAAAUGUCGUAGCGAAUAUUAGAGUCUAACAUCAGGAUGUAAAUCACUCAAUGUAUUAACCAAUUUCAAAAGGAAUAAUUCAGAAUAGCAAGGCAUUUCAAAAUACUUGUAUCAAAAGGGCAACUGAUGUACAGAAGAUAAAAUAUCAUGAUAUAUGCAUCCCAAAUUCUUUUGCAGCAAUUUCAACGAAUUAGUGUACCAAGACAGAAGUUAGACAAGAGGAGGAAUUUUUUUCAGAGAGCACACAAUAAUUAGCCAACUAAAAGAUCUAAAUUAGUUAUUUGUUUCCUAGUGGUCGCAAAAGACAGGUGUUCUUUUCUUCUUCGUGAUCCUACAUGCUACUAUAUACACGAACUAAAAAAAGUUGAUGGUUGGUCAAAUAUGAAGCUGGGUUUGUAACUUACUAUUAAUAUGCUAGUUACCGUGGAAAUUCUUCUGAUGGCUUGCAUGUCAUGUAACUUUAUACACUUAAGAAUAAUCACAAGCGAGCAUCGAUCUUCUGAUCUGGCCCAAAAAUCUGAGUGUUGCAGAUAAUAAAAUUCCACAAACCAAUAUGAUUUCCUGGGUUUUUUUUUGCCUAAAGGUUGCGAAAUUAAAACAAAGGGUAGACAACACUAUUUUUUUUUCGAAACACUCGACAACAGUAAUUGCAUAAUACCACUUAACAUAUGAUAAUACUGGGAAUUAUGAUGGAACACCGAGAUGAGCUCAAUUUAACAAUGCCAACAACGAGACACAUAACAUGGAGAGAAACAACAUCAAUCUGGGGUCUCCUUUGCCACCUUGGCACGGACUGGUCAAAACCGGUCAAAACCAAGAGAAGGGACGGAACUUAUUCGGUUUCAAGAGAUGGGGACGCAAUUUGACCGGUUUCGUAGUUGAGGGACCAAAUCUAUAGUAUAUAUAUACUCCUCCAAUAGUUAAGUGGCGAAAAAUAUACUUUUCUCUAUUAAUCAUGUCUUUUUAAAUAGUACUUCCUCCGUUUGGAAUUACUUGUCUCGGAAAUAGAUGUAUCUAGAACUAAAAUACGUCUAGAUACAUCCAUUUUCGCGACAAGUAAUUCCGAAGGGAGGGAGUACUAGUUUGGAUUGCUAAUCACAUGUGUCACGUAGUCUCUGUUAAUCAUGUCUGCUUUUUAUUUUUCACGCUCUCGUCACUAACAUUUUUUGACUAACCGCACAAGAGAGAAACAAAAGCAUGUGUCGUAGGCCAAAGUGCUUGGUCUGCCUCAACGCACUACAUCAGCAAAGACAGAAACAAAAGCACCCACUCUCAGUGCCCCCAAAACUGUCAGGGCCCAAAUCUGGCAUCCCCUAACGCAGAUCCCUAAUCACACUCAACCAUCUUUUUUGGUGCGUGCAAAGAUGAAUGGAUCAUAUAUAGGAGGAAGUAGCAAAGCAAUCAAAGGAAAAAACAAAAGCACGGCGCUGGCUUUGCCAUCGCGAACCACCUUGAAGACGGCAUUUAUCCAACAACAUACUGUGCGUGUAUGUUGCUCGUAGUGGAGCUCUAGCUUUAAGCUCCACUACUUUUUUUUUUGAGAUGUUUAAGCUCCACUACUGGUACUGGCUCGUGCUGACAGUGUGUGUGCUGUGGCCUGCUACUUCCUAUUUGGGUAUCAUCAGGAGCACUAUAUAUCUCUUCAUCCACUCAACUCUAGCUCAGAAAUUCUCCUCAUAUGCCUCGCAGUUCCGUGCCAUCACCCUCCCGUGCAUGCCGUCGAAGAGCUUUGAGUCGACGAUUCACACUUUCGGCUGCACCUUGCCAUCGCUGCACCUUUCGGCUGUUCCUUUGACAUGGUGAUGGAAUAUGAACCAAAUGUACGCAUGAUGACAAAGAGUGUUAACCUAAGAACUCAACUAGUGCCACGAAUUAGUAGAUAAAUAAGAUAUGAUUGACUGCAUUGGACUUCAACUUUUAUUUAUUACUCCCUCCGUUUUUAUUUACUCUACAUAUUAGAGUUGACUGAAGUCAAACUUCGUAAAGUUUAACCAAGUUGAUAGAAAACAAUAUAGACAUUUAUCAUAAUAAAUCUAUACGAUGUGAAAGUACAUUCAAUAAUAAACCUAAUGUUGUUGAUUUGUUAUUGUAUAUCUUAAUAUUUUUGUUUAUAAACUUGGUCAAAGUUUGUAAAGCUUGACUUUGACCAAAGCUAAUAUGCGAACUAAAUAAAAACGGAGGGAGUACUCCCUCCGGUUUUAACUUUUUAUUUGCUUCACAUAUUAGCUUUGUCUCGGGUCAAACUUUCUAUACUUUGAUCAAGUUUAUACAAAAAAAACAUCCACAAUACCAAAUCAAUACCAUUAGAAUCAUCAUUCAACAUAUUUUCACACCCUAUAUAUCUUUUAUUGCGAAAGUUUUCAUUGUUUUCGAUAAAUCUGGUCAAACUUUAUCAAGUUUGACUUAGGUACAAGCUGAUAUACGAAGUAAAUAAAAGUGGAGGGACUACUCUGAUCCAUAUUACUUGUCAAUGGUUUAGUACAAAGUCACAAAAAGUAGCAUAGAUAUACAACCAUGAAAAGGUACGGUGUGCAUCAAUCAACACGUUAUUUUAUUCUAAUAGAUUGCUUUAUGUAUUCUUAUAAUGCACACCCUUAUCUCACUGUGGCGGGCAAUUUUUCUGACACCCGUCUUGGGAGUGAUAGCAAGGUACGUCUGGAAGAGUGACGCAGCAGAUGCACUGCCUUUUCCAGGACCAGGGGUCACCUUUGGUCUUACAGUUCCUUUCGAUACACCAUUCAGGGUUAGCUUGCUCUCAUCUAAUGAUGAGAGCAGCGUAGUCGCGUUGGCAUGGCAUUCAUCGUUGGUUUGCUUGGGCUCAAGACGGCCUAUUACAUACGCAAUAGUAUAUGAUUGUGAGUGCACAAUCGACAACUAUCUUAUAUACAUAGACGAACAAUAAUUAAGAUAAUGUGCUUACAUUGUCCAGCAGCAAUUAAGCAGCCGGUAAACAAAACGGCAAUCAUGUAGACCGCGCUGCUCCCCUUCAUAUUUUCGGUGAACUGCAUAUGAGAUGAUGAGAUAGUUAUAAGCAAUCUGAGGCAAUGUCCCCCUCCCACCUCCCACUUCAGUAUAUAUAGAGUUUGAGGGUACACUCCCAAUUAACGCCGAGACAUGGUAUGCAUUUGCAACGUAAUUGAGAAGAGAAACUUUUUGCCAGGCUAUACUAAUUGAGAGAAAUACAUGUUAGAGAAAAAGGGUUUCCCCCCGCUUUGUAUUUCAAAGCAACCAUCCGAUGUAGCCAACGAUAGGUGUUGGGGCGGAAACAGCACAAGCACGCCCAAAAGAAAGAAAAAAAAAGAAAAAAAAAGAAACAAAAUGCCGAUAACGGCGGAUCGACAAAAGACGACGAAGCCUCGCGACCGCUGCGUCCAUCAGAGAUCGCCCACCAAGCUCCGAGACUCCGAAGCGCCGGUACCAAGCAACACCUCCAAGAAGGGACGCGACGAUGGCGACGCUGCUGCUAAGGGUUUCCCCCGGUACACGGCGAGGAGAGAGGAAGGGUAGCCCCGGCGCCCUCCAGGAAGGUCCGGUGGUACCUGAUGAAGUCAUGUACCUAGGGUAGGGUCAUGAACCUAUCUAGGAUACCCUACCCAAGGACGUCCUUAGAAGAAGCUACCUUCCAGUCGACCAAGAGGGACUCCACUCGACGAUCUCAAGGACACUCGACGAUGAAGAUAGCCACUCGACCAUGAAGCUAAUCACUCGACAACCAGGAGACCUAAAGUCAUGCAGCACGCAACGGCCUGUCAUUAAGUAGCUUUAAUAGUCUUCAUGGCACUUUAUGUGGGCGUUACCAGUAACUCCCUGUCUUAAUGUACUUUAAACCCUGCAUAACUGAGGGCCUGAGGGGUCUGGCGAACUCUAUAUAAGCCACCCCCCCUCCUCAGUGUAAAGGGUUCGCACCCCUGUAACUCAUACGCAUAUAAUCCAGUCGACCGCCUCCGGGCUUCGAGACGUAGGGCUGUUACUUCCUCCGAGAAGGGCUUGAACUCGUAAAUCCCUUGCGUAUACAACUACUCCAUAGCUAGGAUCUUGCCUCUCCAUACCUACCCCCCAUUCUACUGUCAGACUUAGAACCACGACAGUUGGCGCCCACCUUGGGGCAGGUGUCUUAGCGACUUUUUGGAGAAGUUGCAAUUUGUCCGAUCGCCUUCAUCAUGGUUUCUGGCGGAGUUCUAGUCGAGGGCCGCGAGAUCCGUCUCGGUGCGCUCGCUUUCAUUGCCGACGACUCUGCUUGGCUUCAGGAGGCACCACUCAACAUCGACGCGCUCCCCGUCCGCGGUGCGACGCAUUUUCGGGCGUGUGUCCGCGGCGUCCUGCUGCGGCAGCCGUCGACUCCGUACCAGUCGACUCAUGUGCCGUUCUCCCUUCCUGUCUCCCGCCAGCGCAAGCUCUCCGGUCGGUCGAGACUUCAGCGGUGGGUGAGACACGCAGUAGCUCGCCAAUCGGCCACCACCCAAGUCGUGGCAAUUUAGCCCGACGAAUCUCUCUACGGCCUGUUCGAUCUGUCGACUGGCUCCGUAGAGACUGCAUCCGAGUGCGACAGCAGUGAUCCAGCGGCGGAGGUCCUGAUGGUCAAUGGGCCUCGUAGCCCUCCCGGCUUCCCCCGCAUCGACGGGAUGGACGAUGGAGGCGACCCCGCUCAGGCCCAUGAGGAAUAUCAACCCGAGCAACUCACUUCUCAGCAAAGGGAAGAUCUUCGCCGCCGGAACAUGGAUGCUCUGCAUAUUCCUAUCGCAGGAGAAACUCCCGAGGCUCGUGCCUUGGAAGAGGCGCGUUUGGCCAACUUGGCUGAACGCACUCGACUGGAGAACCUCCAGCGAGCACUCGACGAGCAUGCGCGGCAACGAGUACCCGACUCCAGUCGACGUCAGCUCUUUCCGCAACCAACUCAGGUAUAUCGGACCCCGAUUCAGAAUUUAGCAGCUGCAGCCCGUAUAGCGGAGUCAAUUCAGCCCUCUCAGUCGGAGGCUGGCAGAGCCUUGAUGCAGAUCAGGGAUUUGCUCCGAGCAGCAGGAGAUCAGAAUUCAGCUGUGUCACAGUCGCGCAACAGGAUUCACAGUCGAUCCGUCGCUGCGAAUACAGUUCAGUCGGCUCAUAGCCCAAGGUCGCUUCCGAGGCACGUGGGACGUGAAGGCCGGCGGGACCAGUAUGAUGACCGAUUUGAUCGUGAUGAUAGGCGUCGAGUGCCCACUCCUUCCCCGAGGGGUGGGUCUAACGCCCAUCGGCAGCAAGAUGACAGGCGCCAGCUCAGUGUUGGGCGGAGAGCUCCGGUCGACCCCAGGGAACCAGGCUUUGACGCGAGAUCCAUCAUCGUGCAAGGUUUGGUCGAUCGGAACAGAGCUUAUAGAGGUGGCCAUGACAGAGAUGCACCCACUAGCAGUCGAGUCCAUGUUUCAGGUCCAGAAUGCUUUAGCAGAGCCAUCAGAGCCGCAGUGAUACCCCCCAACUUCAGGUUGGCGACUGGGGUAAGUAAGUUCACCGGAGAGUCCAAGCCUGAAACUUGGCUUGAAGACUACCGAGUGGCGGUACAGAUUGGCGGCGGUAAUGAUGAGGUGGCCAUGAAGCAUUUACCACUCAUGUUAGAGGGUUCAGCCAGGGCGUGGUUGAAUCAGUUAGCUCCUAGCAGCAUUUACACUUGGGAAGAUCUUUCCCGAGUGUUCGUCAGGACGUUCGAGGGAACUUGCAAGCGACCGGCCGGAUUGACGGAGCUGCAAGUCUGCGUACAAAAGUCGAAUGAAACAUUGAGAGAUUACAUCCAGAGAUGGAUCACUUUGCAUCAUACCGUGGAGAAUGUGUCUGUUCAUCAAGCGGUCCGUGUCUUCAAGGAUGGCGUCAAGAACAGAGAGUUGAGCCUGAAGUUUGGUCGAACCGGCGAUAUGACCCUGAGUCGAAUGAUGGAGAUUGCCACCAAAUACGCUAACGGUGAAGAAGAUGACAGGCUCCGGAGUGGCAAGUAUAAGCCAAGUCAGUCGGAAAAAGGAAACUCCAAUCGGAAGCAGAAGCGGAAGGCCGAGCCAGCUGCUCCUGGAGAGGCUCUGGCCGUGACUCGGGGCAAAUUCAAAGGGAAGCCCAAAGGAUCUUGGAACCCCAAGAAGGUAAAGGAUAAGGAAGGAAAUGACGUGAUGGAUCUGCCGUGUCACAUCCACACGAAGAAAGACGAAGAGGGUAACUUCAUCUACCCGAAACAUACCACUCGCCAGUGCCGGCUCUUAAUCCAGCAGUUUCAAGGAAAACAGCCCAAGGACAAAGAGAAGGAGUCGGACAAGGCCGAGGACAAGGAGGACAGUGAUGGAGGGUAUCCUCAUGUUAAUUCCACCCUGAUGAUUUUUGCUGAUGUGGAGAGCAAAAGUCGACUGAAAGUUAUCAACCGUGAGGUAAAUAUGGUCGCCCCGGCGACACCAAGCUAUCUGAGAUGGUCACAAACUCCCAUUAUGUUCGACCAGUCCGAUCACCCGACUCACAUAGCCACCCCUGGGAAGCAAGCUUUGGUGGUCGACCCAGUCGUCGAAGGCACUCGACUGACUAAGGUACUGAUGGAUGGCGGCAGUGGGUUGAAUAUACUGUAUGCAGAGACACUAAAGGGAAUGGGCAUUCCCAUGUCCAGGCUCAGCUCCAGCAACAUGAGUUUUCACGGAGUCAUUCCUGGAAAGAAGGCUGAGUCACUCGGCCAAAUAGCUCUAGAUGUAGUGUUCGGCAACUCGAAGCAUUUCCGCAAAGAGAAGCUGACAUUUGAAGUCGUGGAUUUCCAGAGCGCUUACCACGCCAUUUUGGGGAGACCAGCCUAUGCCCGGUUCAUGGCUCGACCAUGUUAUGUGUACCUCAAAUUAAAGAUGCCUGGCCCCAAAGGUGUGAUCACUAUCACUGGCAACCGGAAGAAAGCAGAAGAGUGUUUCCAGAAAGGCUCGAAGAUUGCGGAUGCCCAGAUAACAGUGGUAGAGCUGGAGGGAUACAAGAAAAAUGCAGAUCCGAGUGAUUUGUUGCGGGCCAAGAAGCCCGCCACAGAGUCAGUGUUCCAGUCGUCUGGGAGACGAAGCCAGUUCAUAUCCACCCGACUGACCCCAACGCAGCUCCAGCCCAUAUUUCCACAACACUCGACUCUAAAUAGGAAGAAGCGCUCAUCCAGUUCCUCCGUGAGAACUGGGACAUCUUUGCAUGGUAGCCAGCUGACAUGCCGGGUGUUCCCAGGAGGCUGGCUGAGCAUCGCCAACAUCUUCGACGGUCCGCCGUUCAGAAGAAAAAAGCCAUUGGCGAGGAGGUGGCUCGACUCCUUGCAGCAGAGUUUAUCCGAGAGAUAUACCACUCCGAGUGGCUCGCCAAUGUCGUCAUGGUCCCCAAGAAGGACAACUCACUUCGCAUGUGCAUUGAUUUCAAACACAUCAAUCGGGCCUGCCCGAAAGAUCAUUUUCCUCUCCCUCGCAUCGACCAAAUUGUCGACUCGACUGCGGGAUGCGAGAGAUUGUCUUUUUUAGACGCCUAUUCCGGGUACCAUCAGAUCCGUCUGUAUGGACCUGACGAGAUCAAAACAGCUUUCAUCACUCCAUUCGGGUGCUUCUGCUAUAUCACCAUGCCAUUCGGUCUCAAGAAUGCCGGAGCCACGUUCAUGAGGAUGAUUCAAAAGUGUUUACUCACCCAAAUCAGUCGGAAUGUGGAAGCGUACAUGGAUGAUAUCGUGGUCAAGUCACGAAAGGGUUCCGACCUGUUGACUGAUCUCGCUGAAACAUUUGCCAAUCUCAGGAGGUAUGAUAUCAAGCUUAAUCCAUCAAAGUGCACAUUCGGAGUACGUGGCGGAAAGUUACUCGGUUUUCUCGUUUCAGAACGAGGAAUCGAUGCUAACCCAGAAAAAGUUGGCACCAUACUCCGAAUGAAACGCCCUGUGCGUGUGCACGAUGUCCAGAAGCUUACUAGAUGCUUGGCCGCGUUAAGUCGAUUCAUCUCUCGGCUCGGUGAAAAGGCAUUACCUCUUUACCGACUGAUGAAGAAGGCAGACAAGUUCGAGUGGACUCCAGAAGCUGAUGCAGCGUUUGACGAGCUAAAAGCUCUGCUCUCCACCCAGCCGGUGCUUGCUGCUCCAAUCAGCAAAGAGCCUCUGUUACUUUACAUUGCAGCCACAGGACAAGUCGUCAGUACAGUACUUACGGUCGAGCGGGAAGAAGAAGGGAAAACCUUCAGAGUUCAGCGCCCAGUAUAUUAUCUCUCUGAAGUUUUGACUCCAUCAAAGCAAAGAUAUCCUCAUUAUCAGAAGCUCGUAUAUGGGAUCUACAUGACCAUGAAGAAGGUUGCUCAUUAUUUCUCUGAUCAUGACAUUACAGUCGUCAGCGACGCACCACUGUCAGAGAUUCUGCACAACAGAGAUGCAACUGGUCGAGUGGCUAAAUGGGCGAUUGAACUCCUUCCCCUUGAUAUCAAAUUUGAGGCAAAGAAAGCCAUUAAGUCCCAGGCUAUAGCAGAUUUCCUUGCCGAGUGGAUUGAACAACAGCAGCCGACUCAAGUUCACUCGGAGCAUUGGACCAUGUUCUUUGAUGGCUCUAAGAUGUUAAAUGGUUCUGGUGCUGGGGUGGUUUUGGUUUCCCCCCGAGGAGAUAAGCUCAGAUAUGUGCUCCAAAUCCACUUUGAUUCCUCCAAUAAUGAAGCAGAAUAUGAAGCACUUUUGUAUGGGUUGCGCAUGGCCAUUUCACUCGGCGUCCGUCGCCUUAUGGUUUAUGGCGACUUAGAUUUGGUGGUCAAUCAGGUGAUGAAAGAGUGGGACGUUAGAAGCCCAUCCAUGACUGGAUACUGCAAUGCAGUGAGGAAGCUUGAAAAGAAAUUCGAAGGGUUAGAGCUCCACCAUAUACCCCGACUGAAAAAUCAAGCGGCUGAUGAUUUGGCGAAGAUAGGGUCCAAGAGAGAAGCCAUUCCCAGUGAUGUGUCACGGAUCAGUCACAGAAGAUCCUUUUACCGAAGAAGCUCCGCAGCCUAAGAGUGUCACGGAUCCGACUAAGGUUGAAAUUCCAGCGGUGGUCGAUCUGAUCAUGGAAGCAUUGGUGAUCACUCCUGAUUGGACAGUACCGUAUAUCGCAUAUAUCCUAAGGAAAGAGCUCCCAGAGGACGAAGAAGAGGCUCGACAGAUCGUCCGCCGAUCUAAAGCCUUUACCGUGAUAAGGGGACAACUGUACAGAGAAAGCGCGACUGGAGUUGGUCAGAAAUGCAUAACGCCAGAAGAAGGUUGAAUAAUCCUUGACGACAUCCACUCGUGGACCUAUGGCCAUCAUGCGUCCUCUCGGACCAUCGUGGCCAAAGCAUACCAAGCCGGAUUUUACUGGUCGAGAGCGAAUGAAAUGGCAAAGGAGAUAGUCGACAAGUGUGAGGGAUGUCAAUUUUACUCCAAUAUGUCACACAAGCCCGCCUCAGCUUUAAAGACCAUACCACUCGUCUGGCCCUUCGCAGUAUGGGGGUUGGAUAUGGUUGGCCCUUUGAGAACAGGCAGAAGCGGUUUCACCCAUGUGCUGGUAGAAGUUGACAAGUUCACCAAGUGGAUUGAGGCCAAACCCAUCAAGAACCUUGAUGCCGGUACUGCUGUCAGCUUUAUCAGAGAAUUGAUAUUCAGAUAUGGAGUCCCGCACAGCAUCAUCACUGACAACGGGUCAAACUUUGAUUCCGAAGAAUUCAGAGCUUUUUGCACAUCUCAAGGCACACGAGUCGACUAUGCUUCAGUCGCCCAUCCACAGUCAAAUGGACAGGCAGAACAAGCCAACGGCUUGAUUCUCAAAGGGUUGAAACCCCGUUUGAUGCGUGAUCUCAAGCAUGCGGCUGGUGCAUGGGUCGACGAGUUUCCGUCUGUGCUUUGGGGGUUAAGGACCACGCCUAACCGGUCGAUUGGGAGAACUCCGUUCUUCUUGGUCUACGGAGCUGAAGCGGUCUUGCCAAGCGACCUACUUCACAACGCUCCUCGAGUCGAACUUUACACCGAGUCUGAAGCAGAACAAGCCCGGCAGGACGCGAUCGACCUUCUGGAGGAAAAAAGGGAGAUGGCUUUGAUCCGAUCGACCAUUUACCAACAGGACCUGCGUCGCUUCCACGCCAAAAAUGUAAGGAGUCGAGCCUUCCAGGAAGGAGAUCUGGUUCUCCGAGUGGAUCAGCAGAAACCACAUAAACUUGCUCCUUCUUGGGAAGGCCCCUUCAUCGUCACCAAGGUUCUCCACAAUGGAGCAUACCGUCUUUACAAUGUCGAGCAUCAGAUCGACGAGCCCCGAGCUUGGAACGCGGAGCUUCUCCGCCCCUUUUAUACUUAAGUAUUCACUCGGAUGGAUUGUAAUAAAAGUACUUCUGUAGUUUAUUUAUCAAAGACAAGAGCUUUAUAAUUUUCCAGUAAUUGUCAUUACUUUUGUCCACAUAAAGCAAUUCCCCAGUGGGUGGCUUGGCUGCGAAUCCGAUUCGCCUAAGUCUGUAACAAAAAUCCUAACCGAGUGGUGAGCCAGCCUCCCACUCAGGGGCUUAGCUGCGAAAUCCGUUUCGCCUAAGUUAAACAAAAUCCUACCGAGUGGUAAGCCAGCCUUCCACUCGGAGGCUUAGCUGCAGUCCAAGUACUCGCCUAAGUUCAACAAAAUCCUACCGAGUGGUAAGCCAGCCUUCCACUNNNNNNNNNNNNNNNNNNNNNNNNNNNNNNNNNNNNNNNNNNNNNNNNNNNNNNNNNNNNNNNNNNNNNNNNNNNNNNNNNNNNNNNNNNNNNNNNNNNNNNNNNNNNNNNNNNNNNNNNNNNNNNNNNNNNNNNNNNNNNNNNNNNNNNNNNNNNNNNNNNNNNNNNNNNNNNNNNNNNNNNNNNNNNNNNNNNNNNNNNNNNNNNNNNNNNNNNNNNNNNNNNNNNNNNNNNNNNNNNNNNNNNNNNNNNNNNNNNNNNNNNNNNNNNNNNNNNNNACAAAUACAACAUGCGCUCUGCAAGGAGGACGAGGUGCAGGUCGACUGCUACCCUCUCCUUCCGAGCUACGCCACAAAUACAACAUGCGCUCUACAAGGAGGACGAGGUGCAGGUCAACUGCUACCCUCUCCUUCCGAGCUACGCCACAAAUACAACGUGCGCUCUGCAAGGAGGACGAGGUGCAGGUCGACUGCUACCCUCUCCUUCCGAGACACGCCACAAAUACAACGUACGCUCUGCGAGGAGGACGAGGUACAGGUCGAUUGUUACUUCCUUCUCCAGCGGUACGCCUUGAAAAUCCUACCGAGUGGAGAGCAGACCUCCCACUCGGGGGCUUAGCUGCAGCCCAGUGCUUGCCUAAGUUUUUGAAAACCCUACCGAGUGGAGAGCAAACCUCCCACUCGGGGGCUUAGCUGCAGCCCAGUGCUCGCCUAAGUUUUUGAAAAUCCUACCGAGUGGAGAGCAAACCUCCCACUCGGGGGCUUAGCUGCAGCCCAGUGCUCGCCUAAGUUCUUGGAAAUCCUACCGAGUGGAGAGCAAACCUCCCACUCGGGGGCUUAGCUGCAGCCCAGUGCUCGCCUAAGUUUUUGGGAAUCCUACCGAGUGGAGAGCAAACCUCCCACUCGGGGGCUUAGCUGCAGCCCAGUGCUCACCUAAGUUUUUGAAAUCCUACCGAGUGGAGAGCAGACCUCCCACUCGGAGGCUUAGCUGCAGCCCAGUGCUCGCCUAAGUGUGUUGAGGAACAAGUCGAUUACAACAAGCGUUUCGCCCUAGCCUGCAAAAGACACCUCAAACCAAAAUGCAAACAUAUUCAGUGUUGAAUCCAAGUUCAAAUAACAUCCAACAGAACUGAAAGUGCUCAGGCGCUAAGACCGUUAAGGUUUAUCGGUUACAAAAUUCACUCGGCAUACCGAGGCAAAUUUAAGAUAUCAAGCAUAGAAGUUUUUUACCCCUCCUGCGGAGGGCUGGAAGGCGCAGCAAAUUCGUCCAGGUCGAUUCCGUCUACAAUCAGAGUGGCAGCAGCGAUGAAGGUCUCCAUGAAAGAUCGGAAAUCAUACUUCUUGGUAUUAGCCACCUUAAGGGCCGCCAGCUUGUCCUCUCGCGCGUCCUUGUAGUGAACACGGACCAGAGAUAGAGCAACAUCUGCGCCGCAUCUGGCAAAAGACUUCUUCCAUUCUUGCACUCGACUUGGAACCUCGUUCAGUCGAGUCAUCAAAGACUCAAGGUCAUUCUGGAGCGUCUCUGUUGGCCAGAGUGUUGUGUCGAUGCGGGAAGUUGCGACCUUCAGCCUUGCAAGAUAGUCCACUACGGCAGCAACGCGAGAUUCGAGUCGAAACACAUUCAUGGCGACUUCGUCCUUCACAGGAGAGUUGACGGGAUCCAGGUUUGUUUCCAAUCGACCAGUUUCCUCUUCAAAGUUCUGGCAGAACUCUGCAAACACAGCCCCAGAGUCAAGAUAGCAGUCGGAUGGAGAGAUCAUAGUUAAAAUGCCUGUUCGAUACCAAAACAUUACCUUCAAGCAUGAGGAAUAGCUUUUUGGCGAGUCCUCCCAAAUAAGCCUCUAGAUCAUUCUUCUUUCCCACCAACUCACUGGCCUUGUCACUCAAGGCAAUCUUGUCACUCUUCAUUCGACUGACCUCCUUAUUGGCCGCAUCAAGAGCAGCUUUCAGAUUGGUAUUUUCCUCUUCAAACUUGGUGAUCGAAGCUACUUCUCAUCUGCGAGCUUAGUCUUCUCUAAAGCCGCUUUCUGCAUCUCAGCCAAGUCAAGGUCUUUCUUCUUCAGAGCAUCCCUCAGUUUGUCUGCAAAGUCACAGCGAGAUCAGAAUUUGAAACGGACAAGAGGCCAAAAGCAGUCAUAGAGGUUCUCACCAAACAUACCUUUUGCUUCCUCCUUCGACUUCGUGAAGUUCUCCUGGACCAGUUUCAGAUCAAGCUCAAGCUGGAUUUGUUUUUUCUCCAACUCAGUGUAACGAGCCGCAAGCUCGCAAGAUUUCUGCGAAGAACUAAUCAACAAAUGUCAAAGACAGUUCACUUCCGAGUGACUAAGGAAAAAUCAUAUAAUUUCUAAGACUACAACCGAAUAUAAACAUUCGACUAUAGUCUCGGGGACUACACCCAGUGGGUGCACUCAGCGUGCCCCCACUAGUUCUACCAGUUAGAGUCGAUCAGUCGACCAACAAGUAGCAAAAAAAAGAGAGGUUAUCUUCAGACUGUCGUCGACUGCCAGCAGUCGACCACAGUCUCGGGGACUACACCCAGUGGGUGCACUCAGCGUGCCCCCACCGAUUUCUCAAUCCAUUCGACCUGAUCGAAUAAAGGAAAAACUUAAGACAUAAAGACUAUGGUCGACUGCCAGCAGUCGACCAUAGCCUUGGGGACUACACGUCUACACCCAGUGGGUGCACUCAGCGUGCCCCCACUAAUCCGGAAUGUCAGUCAACACAACCCAGUGGGUGCACUCAGCGUGCCCCCACUAAUCCGAAAUGUCACUCAACACACCCAGUGGGUGUACGACGAAUACUGAAAUUUUCAGAAAGAAGGAUUUUAAGAUAUCAUAUCCUAAUAGAAUAGGUGGUGGUCGACUGACCUGAACAUUGCUCUGAAGAGCUGAACUGGCGUCAUAAGCCGCCUGACUGGCGUCUCGGAUUGCCUUCACUUGCUCCAUCAUGAUCCCUGCUUGGCGUAUUGCUUCUUUAGAAGCACUGGCUUGGUCUUCUGGAACAUGGUGGGUCGAGAAAAGUGAGGGCUGAGCAGCACUCGACGACGGAGGACGAGCACUCGUCAACGGCACCCCAAAAGAUACGGUAGGCCGAGUGACGUUGUCCCCUUCUACGACCAACGUCUCGGGUGCUGGCACGUCCUGAGUCUCCUUGCCAGCAGACGUUUUCCUGUUCCUCCUCUGCCUCAGUGGUUCCUCGUCAUCGUCGUCGGGAAGGUCAAUAACGACGUUAGAUUGAGCUGCAGAAAAGAGUCAAAAUUAAAGACAAAGAGCCAACCGACUGAAUACAGAACUACAAAGGUCAUACCAGGUCUUGAAGUGACAGCAUCUUCCAUCUCAUGAUCCUCAGCCCUGGCCAAAGUAUCAGAAGUAGCAGCACUACAGUUCCAGAAGUCAAUCGGUCAGCUCACGAAUCGGCCAAGAAUAAAUUCAUGUGAAACGAAGAAACUCAAGCUACACUAUUACCCUAAGAUAGUGGGGAUCACCAUCUUCAUCUUUGGCAAGACCUUCGUCGGCUUCGACGGCGCCACUCGAGAUUGCUUCAGAGCUUUUUCAGUCGGCGCCGGAGAAGUCGUCCAAGGACGCUUGGUCGACUGCGUGACGGACGCAACCCCCUUACCACGCUCAGCUGCUGGAUCAUGGACAAGCUUCGAGCGUCUUUCCGAACGAGGAGGUGCAACCUCCUCCUCCUCCUCCUCCUCCUCCUCUUCCUCCUCAUCAGAGUCACCAUCUUCAUCAUCGUCAUCGGCAUCCGAAUCCCACUCCUCCAGGCUUUCACCCCCACUUCCCUCCUCCUCCUCAGUCGGCGCUUGCGCUCCAUUGGGCAUCGAGUACAACUCAGUGGUGGCCUGACAGACAACAAAACAAGACAAAGGUCAAUCGACCAAUUUGCAGUGAAGCAGAAUGAAUAAAGCAAGAUUACAACCGAGGAUAAGUGGUCAUACCAUGUCCGGCGUGUAGGUAUGGUCGAGUGGUGGAAUCCUCCUAGCCCCUCGAGGGUUAUCCUUAUUCCCUGUGAUGGCUGCCAUCCACCUCUCCAGCGUGGUGUCGUCGACUGCCUCUGGAUGGACCCGAGUGGUAUCUUCGGUGUCGCAGUACAGCCACAUCGGGUGGCCUCGGUAUUGGAGCAGCUGAAUACGCCGUCGAAGGAAAACCUCCAGAAGGUCCAUGCCGGUCACUCCGUCCCGAAUGAGCUGGACUACACGCUCCACCAACAUUUUUACCUGAGCCUUCUCCUCCGGAAGCACCUUCAGAGAAGACGGCCUGUUCACUCGGUCUAUGGAGAACGGAGGGAGACCAGUCGACUGCCCCGGCGUCGACUCGUCUUGGCAGUAGAACCAGGUCGAUUGCCACCCUCUAACCGACUCGGGAAGGGUCAUGGCCAGAAAAGCGCUCUUGCUCCUCAUUUGGAUUCCCAGACCCCCGCACAUCUGGAUGACCUUAGUCCUAUCGUCAUCAGGACUCGCCUUUUUCACCGUCUAAGAGCGACAAGUGAAUAUGUGCUUGAAGAGACCCCAAUGCGGUCGACAACCCAGGAAGUUUUCGCACAGAGACACAAAGGCGGCGAGGUAGGCGAUGGAAUUGGGAGUAAAAUGGUGGAGUUGCGCCCCAAAGAAGUUCAGAAACCCCCGGAAGAAAAGACUCGGCGGCAAAGAGAAUCCACGAUCUACAUGAGUGGCUAGGAGAACACACUCACCCUCCAGUGGCUGUGGUUGCCAUUCGGUCCCCGGAAGCCUUGCGGACCCGUGAGGGAUUAGCCCCUCAUUGGCCAGGUCGUUGAGAUCCGCCUGGGUGAUGGUCGAGCGGAUCCAGUCCCCUUGGACCCAACCUUGCGGCAGGCGAGACCUCGACGAAGAUCCACCCCGACUGGUGGCUCUCCCCUUCGCUUUCGCCGUCGUCGUCGCCUUCUUCGCUCGCUCCAAGGCCGCCGUCUUCUCCUUCACCAUUGUCGCCGGCGAAGCGCGCGAGGAGUGGAUGGGCGGAGGCAAAAGUGGGCGCGGUAGGCGGAGAUGAAGGAGGCAGAAAGGGGAAUGGGGAGGCACUGUUCAAAAAACCCUCGCCCGACGCAUUAUAUAGGGACGCUUCCGAGUGGCUGACAAGUAGGCCCGGGUGGACCUGUCAAAUCCCGAAACAGUCGCGCGCAAGCGAUACAUGGCGAAAAAGGCGGUGCAGAAAUCGAGGCGUUUACGCCUUAUCUCAUCCGAGUACCGCGGUCUGCCCCGCUUCACGCGCUUCCCAAAAUUUGGAUCCCGCAAAAUACGCUAACAGCAGAUCAACCUGUCAGACGGUAGAUUUCCUGCGAUCCGUCGCUCGGAGGUUCACCAGGUUCGAAAGUUCACUCGACAAAGGAAAGGAAUGGAUCAAGGCGACUGAAAGAAAAGUUGAUGCCAUCGCUAAAAAAGGUCAUUGAUCCAGAAUAUUGUUGGGGAACGUAGCAGAAAUUCAAAAAUUUUCCUACGUAACACCAAGAUCUAUCUAUGGAGAGACCAGCAACGAGUAGAAAGGGGAGUGCAUCUACAUACCCUUGUAGAUCGCUAAGCGGAAGCGUUCAAGUGAACGGGGUUGAUGGAGUCGUACUCGUCGUGAUUCAGAUCACCGAUGAUCAAGUGCCGAACGGACGGCACCUCCGCGUUCAACACACGUACAGCCCGGUGACGUCUCCCACGCCUUGAUCCAGCAAGGAGAGAGGGAGAGGUUGAGGAAGACUCCAUCCAACAGCAGCACAACGGCGUGGUGGUGGUGGAGGAGCGUGGCAAUCCCGCAGGGCUUCGCCAAGCACCAUGGGAGAAGAGGAGGAGGGAGAGGGGCAGGGCUGCACCAACGAGAGAUCAAAUCAUGUGUUAUGGGCAGCCCCAUGCCUCAAUAUAUAUAGGGGGAGGGGAGGGCUGCGCCCCCUUUAGGGUUUCCCACCCCAAGGGGCGGCGGCCAGCCUCCAGAUGGCAUCUGGUGCGGCGGCCAAGAGGGGGGGGGGAGGAGUCCAUCCUCCCCAAGGCACCUCGGAGGUGCCUUCCCCUUCGAGGACUCUUCCCUCUAGGGUUCCCUAGGCACAUGGGCCUCUUGGGGCUGGUGCCCUUGGCCCAUGUAGGCCAAGGCGCACCCCCUACAGCCCAUGUGGCCCCCCGGGGCAGGUGGCCCCACCCGGUGGGCCCCCGGGACCCUUCCGGUGGUCCCGGUACAAUACCGAUGACCCCGAAACUUGUCCCGAUGGCCGAAACAGGACUUCCUAUAUAUAAAUCUUUACCUCCGGACCAUUCCGGAACUCCUCGUGACGUCCGGGAUCUCAUCCGGGACUCCGAACAACAUUCGGUUACCACAUACAAGCUUCCUUUAUAACCCUAGCGUCAUCGAACCUUAAGUGUGUAGACCCUACGGGUUCGGGAGACAUGCAGACAUGACCGAGACGUUCUCCGGUCAAUAACCAAUAGCGAGAUCUGGAUACCCAUGAUGGCUCCCACAUGUUCCACGAUGAUCUCAUCGGAUGAACCACGAUGUCAAGGACUCAAUCGAUCCCGUAUACAAUUCCCUUUGUCUAGCGGUAUUUUACUUGCCCGAGAUUCGAUCGUCGGUAUACCGAUACCUUGUUCAAUCUCGUUACCGGCAAGUCACUUUACUCGUUCCGUAACACAUCAUCCCGUGAUCAACUCAUUGGUCACAUUGCGCAUAUGAUGAUGUCCUACCGAGUGGGCCCAGAGAUACCGCUCCGUUUACACGGAGUGACAAAUCCCAGUCUCGAUCCGCAUAAAACAAUAGAUACUUUCGGAGAUACCUGUAGUGUACCUUUAUAGUCACCCAGUUACGUUGUGACGUUUGAUACACCCAAGGCACUCCUACGGUAUCCAGGAGUUACACGAUCUCAUGGUCAAAGGAAGAGAUACUUGACAUUGGCAAAGCUCUAGCAAACGAACUACACGAUCUUUGUGCUAAGCUUAGGAUUGGGUCUUGUCCAUCACAUCAUUCUCCUAAUGAUGUGAUCCCGUUAUCAACGACAUCCAAUGUCCAUAGCCAGGAAACCAUGACUAUCUGUUGAUCACAACGAGCUAGUCAACUAGAGGCUCACUAGGGACAUAUUGUGGUCUAUGUAUUCACACGUGUAUUACGAUUUCCGGAUAAUACAGUUAUAGCAUGAAUAAAAGACAAUUAUCAUGAACAAGGAAAUAUAAUAAUAAUACUUUUAUUAUUGCCNNNNNNNNNNNNNNNNNNNNNNNNNNNNNNNNNNNNNNNNNNNNNNNNNNNNNNNNNNNNNNNNNNNNNNNNNNNNNNNNNNNNNNNNNNNNNNNNNNNNNNNNNNNNNNNNNNNNNNNNNNNNNNNNNNNNNNNNNNNNNNNNNNNNNNNNNNNNNNNNNNNNNNNNNNNNNNNNNNNNNNNNNNNNNNNNNNNNNNNNNNNNNNNNNNNNNNNNNNNNNNNNNNNNNNNNNNNNNNNNNNNNNNNNNNNNNNNNNNNNNNNNNNNNNNNNNNNNNNNNNNNNNNNNNNNNNNNNNNNNNNNNNNNNNNNNNNNNNNNNNNNNNNNNNNNNNNNNNNNNNNNNNNNNNNNNNNNNNNNNNNNNNNNNNNNNNNNNNNNNNNNNNNNNNNNNNNNNNNNNNNNNNNNNNNNNNNNNNNNNNNNNNNNNNNNNNNNNNNNNNNNNNNNNNNNNNNNNNNNNNNNNNNNNNNNNNNNNNNNNNNNNNNNNNNNNNNNNNNNNNNNNNNNNNNNNNNNNNNNNNNNNNNNNNNNNNNNNNNNNNNNNNNNNNNNNNNNNNNNNNNNNNNNNNNNNNNNNNNNNNNNNNNNNNNNNNNNNAGUCUCCCACUUGCACUAGAGUCAAUAAUCUAGUUCACAUCGCCAUGUGAUUAACACUCACAGGUCACAUCACCAUGUGACUAAUACCCAAGAGUUUACUAGAGUCAGUAGUCUAGUUCACAUCACUAUGUGAUUAACACUCAAUGAGUUUUAUGUUUGAUCAUGUUGCUUGUGAAAGAGGUUUUAGUCAACGGGUCUGAACCUUUCAGAUCUGUGUGUGCUUUACAAAUCUCUAUGUCAUCUCCUAGAUGCAGCUACCACGCUCUAUUUGGAGCUAUUCCAAACAAUUGUUCUACUUGAAGCUAUUCUAAAUUAUUGCUCCAUUAUAUGUAUCCGGUCUCUCUACUCAGAGCUAUCCGGAUAGGUGUCAAGCUUGCAUCGUCGUAACCUUUACGACGAACUCUUUUACCACCUCCAUAAUCGAGAAAAUUCCUUAGUCCACUAGUUACUAAGGAUAACUUUGACCGCUGUACUGUGAGCCAUUCUUGGAUCACUCUUGUACCCCUUGACUGACUCAUGGCAAGGCACACUUCAGGUGCGGUACACAGCAUAGCAUACUGAAGAGCCUACGUCUUAAGCAUAGGGGACGACCUUCGUCCUUUCUCUCUAUUCUGCCGUGGUCGAGCUUUAAGUCUUAACUUCGUACCUUACAACUCAGGCAAGAACUCCUUCUUUGACUGGUCCAUCUUGAACACCUUCAAGAUCAUGUCAAGGUAUGUGCUCAUUUGAAAGUACUAUUAAGCGUUUUGAUCUAUCCUUAUAGAUCUUGAUGCUCAAUGUUCAAGUAGCUUAAUCCAGGUUUUCCAUUGAAAACACUUUCCAAAUAACCCUAUAUGCUUUCCAGAAAUUCUACGUCAUUUCUGAUCAUUAAUAUGUCAACAACAUAUACUCAUCAGAAAUUCUAUAGUGCUCCCACUCACUUCUUUGGAAAUACAAGUUUCUCAUAAACUUUGUAUACACCCAAAAUCUUUGAUCAUCAUCAAAGCAUACAUUCCAACUCCGAGAUGCUCACUCCAGUCCUCAGAAGGAUUGCUGGAGCUUUGCAUACUUAUUAGCAUAUUUCAGGAUAGACAAAACCUUCCGGUUGUAUCACAUACAACCUUUCCUCAAGAAUCGUCGAGGAAACAAUGUUUUGACAUCCUAUCUGCGAGAUUUCAUAAAUAAUGCAGUAAUUGCUAAUAUAAUUCCAACAGACUCUUAGCAUCGCUACGAGUGAGAAAGUCUCAUCGUAGUCAACUCCUUGAACUUGUCGAAAAACAUCUUAACGACAAGUCGAGCUUUCUCAAUGGUGACACUUACCAUCAUUGUCUGUCUUCCUUUCAAAAUCCAUAUGUACCUAACAGCCUUACGACCAUCAAGUAGUUCUUCCAAAGUCUACACUUUGUUUUCAUACAUGGAUCCUCUCUCGGGUUUUAUGGCCUUGAGCCAUUUAUCGGAAUCCGGGCCCACCAUCGCUUCUCCAUAGCUCGUAGGUUCAUUGUUGUCUAGCAACAUGACUUCCAAGACAGGAUUACGUACCACUCUGAAGUAGUACGCAUCCUUGUCAUCCCACGAGGUUUGGUAGUGACUCGAUCCGAAGUUUCAUGAUCACUAUCAUAAGCUUCCACUUCAGUUGGUGUGCGUGCCACAGGAACAACUUCCUGUGCCCUGCUACACACUUGUUGAAGUGACGGUUCAAUAACCUCAUCAAGUCUCCACCAUCCUCCCACUCAACUUUUCGAGAGAAACCUUUCCUCGAAAAAGGACCCGAUUCAAGAAACAAUCCCUAUUGCUUUCGGAUCUGAAUUAGGAGGUAUACCCAACUGUUUUUGGGUGUCCUAUGAAGAUGCAUUUUAUCUGCUUUGGGUUCGAGCUUAUCAACCUGAAACCUUUUCACAUAAGCGUCGCAGCCCCAAACUUUCAAGAAACGGCAACUUAGGUUUCUCCAAACCAUAGUUCAUACGGUGUCGUCUCAACGAAAUUAUGUGGUGCCCUAUUUAAAGUGAAUGUGGUUGUCUCUAAUGCCUAACCCAUGAACGAUAGUGGUAACUCGAUAAGAGACAUCAUGGUAUGCACCAUAUCCAAUAGGGUGCAACUAUGACGUUUGGACACACCAUCACACUAUGGUGUUCCAGGCUGUAUCAGUUGUGAAACAAUUUCCACAAUGUCUUAAUUCUGUGCCAAACUCGUGAUUCAGAUAUUCAUCUCUAUGAUCAUAUCAUAGAUCUUUUAUCCUCUUGUCACGACGAUCUUUCAACUUCACACUGAAAUUACUUGAACCAUUCAAUAAUUCAGACUUGUGUUUCAUCAAGUAAAUAUUCUCAACAUCUACUCGAAUCAUCUGUGAAGUAAGAACAUAACGAUAUUCACUGCAUGCCUCAGCACUCAUUGGACUGCACACAUCAAAAUGUGUUGCUUCCAACAAGUUGCUAUCUUGUUCCAUCUUACUGAAAACGAGGAUUUUUAGUCAUCUUGCCCAUGUGGUAUGAUUUGCAUGUCCCAAGUGAUUCAAAAUCAAGUGAGUCAAAACGGUCCAUUUGCAUGGAGUUUCUUCAUGCAUAUACACCAAUAGACAUGGUUCGCAUGUCUCAAACUUUUCAAAAACGAGUGAGCCCAAAGAUCCAUCAAUAUGGAGCUUCUUCAUGCGUUUUAUACCGAUAUGACUUACGUGGCAGUGCCACAAGUAGGUGGUACUAUCAUUACUAUCUUUUGGCAUGAACAUGUGUAUCACUACGAUCGAGAUUUAAUAAACUAUUCAUUUUAGGUGUAAGACCAUUGAAGGUAUUAUUCAAAUAAAUAGAGUAACCAUUAUUCUCCUUAAAUGAAUAACCGUAUUGCGAUAGACGUAAUCCAAUCAUGUCUAUGCUCAACGCAAACACCAAAUAACAAUUAUUUAGGUUUAACACCAAUCUCUUUGGUAGAGGGAGCGUGCGAUGCUUGAUCAUAUCAAGCUUGGAAAAACUUCCAACACAUAUCGUCAGCUCACCUUUAGCUAGUCUCCGUUUAUUCCGUAGCCUUUUGUUUCGAGUUACUAACACUUAGCAACCGAACCGGUAUCCAAUACCCUGGUGCUACUAGGAGUACUAGUAAAGUACACAUUAACAUAAUGUAUAUCCAAUAUACUUCUAUCGACCUUGCCAGCCUUCUUAUCUACCAAGUAUCUAGGGUAAUUCUGCUCUAGUGGUUGUUCCCCUUAUUACAGAAGCACUUAGUCUCGGGUUUGGGUUUUACCUUGGGUUUCUUCACUAGAGCAGCAGCUGAUUUGCCGUUUCAUGAAGUAUCCCUUCUUGCCCUUGCCCUUCUUGAAACUAGUGGUUUCACCAACCAUCAACAAUUGAUGCUCCUUCUUGAUUUCUACUUUCGCGGUGUCAAACAUCGCGAGUACCUCAAGGAUCACCAUAUCUAUCCCUGAUAUAUUAUAGUUCAUCACGAAGCUCUAGCAGCUUGGUGGCAAUGACUUUGGAGAACCAUCACUGUCUUAUCUGGAAGAUCAACUCCCACUCGAUUCAAAUGAUUGUUGUACUCAGACAAUCUGAGCACAAGCUCAACAAUUGAGCUUUUCUCCUUAGUUUGCAGGUUAAGAAAGUCAUCGGAGGUCUUAUACCUCUUGACAUGGGCACGAGCCUGAAAUCCCAAUUUCAGCCCUCAAAACAUCUCAUAUGUUUCGCGAUGUUUCAAAAAUGUCUUUGGUGCCUCAACUCUAAACCGUUUAACUGAACUAUCACGUAGUUAUCAAAACGUGUAUGUCAGAUGUUCGCAACAACCACAGACAACGUUCGAGGUUCAGCACACUGAGCGGUGCAUUAAGGACAUAAGCCUUCUAUGAAGCAAUGAGUACAAUCCUUAGUUUACGGACCUAGUCCGCAUAAUUGCUACUAUCAACUUUCAACUAAUUUUUCUCUAGGAACAUAUCUAAACAGUAGAACUAUAGCGUGAGCUACGACAUAAUUUGCAAAAACCUUUUGACUAUGUUCAGGAUAAUUAAGUUCAUCUUAUGAACUCCCACUCAGAUAGACAUCCCUCUAGUCAUCUAAGUGAUUACAUGAUCCGAGUCAAACUAGGCCGUGUCCGAUCAUCACGUGAGACGGACUAGUCAUCAUCGGUGAACAUCUUCAUGUUGAUCGUAUCUUCUAUACGACUCAUGUUCGACCUUUCGGUCUCCGUGUUCCGAGGCCAUGUCUGUACAUGCUAGGCUCGUCAAGUUAACCCUAAGUGUUUCGCGUGUGUAAAUCUGUCUUACACCCGUUGUAUGUGAACGUUAGAAUCUAACACCCGAUCAUCACGUGGUGCUUCGAAACAUGAACUGUCGCAACGGUGCACAGUUAGGGGAGAACACUUCUUGAAAUUGUUGUAAGGGAUCAUCUUAUUUACUACCGUCGUUCUAAGCAAAUAAGAUGUAUAAACAUGAUAAACAUCACAUGCAAUCAAAUAGUGACAUGAUAUGGCCAUCAUCACUUUGCUCCUUUUGAUCUCCAUCUUCGGGGCUCCAUGAUCAUCAUUGUCACCGGCAUGACACCAUGAUCUCCAUCAUCAUGAUCUCCAUCAUCGUGUCUUCAUGAAGUUGCCUCGCCAACUAUUACUUCUACUACUAUGGCUAACGGUUAGCAAUAAAGUAAAGUAAUUACAUGACGUUUAAGUUGACACGCAGGUCACAAAUAAAUAAAGACAACUCCUAUGGCUCCUGCCGGUUGUCAUACUCAUCGACAUGCAAGUCGUGAUUCCUAUUACAAGAACAUGAUCAAUCUCAUACAUCACAUAUAUCAUUCAUCACAUCCUUUUUGGCCAUAUCACAUCACAUAGCAUACCCUGCAAAAACAAGUUAGACGUCCUCUAAUUGUUGUUUGCAUGUUUACGUGGCUGCUAUGGGUUUCUAGCAAGAACGUUUCUUACCUACGCAAAGACCACAACGUGAUAUGCCAAUUGCUAUUUACCCUUCAUAAGGACCCUUUUCAUCGAAUCCGAUCCGACUAAAGUGGGAGAGACAGACACCCGCCAGCCACCUUAUGCAACUAGUGCAUGUUUGUCGGUGGAACCGGUCUCACGUAAGCGUACGUGUAAGGUUGGUCCGGGCCGCUUCAUCCCACGAUGCCGCAGAAUCAAGAUAAGACUAGUAACGGCAAGCAUAUUGAACAAUAUCGACGCCCACAACUACUUUGUGUUCUACUCGUGCAAAGAAUCUACGCAAUAGACCUAGCUCAUGAUGCCACUGUUGGGGAACGUAGCAGAAAUUCAAAAUUUUCCUACGCGUAUCACCAAGAUCUAUCUAUGGAGAGACCAGCAACGAGUAGAAGGAGAGUGCAUCUACAUACCCUUGUAGAUCGCUAAGCGGAAGCGUUCAAGUGAACGGGGUUGAUGGAGUCGUACUCGUCGUGAUUCAGAUCACCGAUGAUCCUAGUGCCGAACGGACGGCACCUCCGCGUUCAACACACGUACAGCCCGACGAUGUCUCCCACGCCUUGAUCCAGCAAGGAGAGAGGGAGAGGUUGAGGAAGACUCCAUCCAGCAGCAGCACAACGGUGCGGUGGUGAUGGAGGAGCGUGGCAAUCCCGUAGGGCUUCGCCAAGCACCUACGGGAGAGGAGGAGGUGUCACGGGAGGGAGAGGGAGGCAACCAAAGGCCUUAGGUAUCAUUGCUCCUCCUUUUCCCCACUAUAUAUAGGGCCAAGGGAGAGGGGGAGGGCGCAGCCUUGCCCCCUCCUCCAAGGAAGGGGUGCGGCUAAGGAUGGGGAGGAGUCCAUCCUCCCCAAGGCACCUCGGAGGUGCCUUCCCCCUUUAGGACUCUUCCCUUUUUCUCUUCUCUUGGCGCAUGGGCCUCUUGGGGCUGGUGCCCUUGGCCCAUGUAGGCCAAGGCGCACCCCCUACAGCCCAUGUGCCCCCCCGGGGCAGGUGGCCCCACCCGGUGGGCCCCCGGGACCCUUCCGGUGGUCCCGGUACAAUACCGAUGACCCCGAAACUUGUCCCGAUGGCCGAAACAGGACUUCCUAUAUAUAAAUCUUUACCUCCGGACCAUUCCGGAACUCCUCGUGACGUCCGGGAUCUCAUCCGGGACUCCGAACAACAUUCGGUAACCACAUACAAACUUCCUUUAUAACCCUAGCAUCAUCGAACCUUAAGUGUGUAGACCCUACGGGUUCGGGAGACAUGUAGUCAUGACCGAGAUGUUCUCCGGUCAAUAACCAACAGCGGGAUCUGGAUACCCAUGUUGGCUCCCACAUGUUCCACGAUGAUCUCAUCGGAUGAACCACGAUGUCAAGGACUCAAUCAAUCCCGUAUACAAUUCCCUUUGUCUAGCGGUAUGGUACUUGCCCGAGAUUCGAUCGUGGGUAUACCGAUACCUUGUUCAAUCUCGUUACCGGCAAGUCUCUUUACUCGUUCCGUAACACAUCAUCCCGUGAUCAACCCCUUGGUCACAUUGUGCACAUUAUGAUGAUGUCCUACCGAGUGGGCCCAGAGAUACCUCUCCGUUUACACGGAGUGACAAAAUCCCAAUCUCGAUUCGUGCCAACCCAACAGACACUUUCAGAGAUACCCGUAGUGUACCUUUAUAGCCACCCAGUUACGUCGUGACGUUUGGCACACCCAAAGCACUCCUACGGUAUCCGGGAGUUGCACAAUCUCAUGGUCUAAGGAAAUGAUACUUGACAUUAGAAAAGCUUUAGCAUACGAACUACAUGAUCUUGUGCUAGGCUUAGGAUUGGGUCUUGUCCAUCACAUCAUUCUCCUAAUGAUGUGAUCCCGUUAUCAACGACAUCCAAUGUCCAUAGCCAGGAAACCAUGACUAUCUGUUGAUCACAACGAGCUAGUCAACUAGAGGCUCACUAGGGACAUAUUGUGGUCUAUGUAUUCACACGUGUAUUACGAUUUCCGGAUAAUACAGUUAUAGCAUGAAUAAAAGACAAUUAUCAUGAACAAGGAAAUAUAAUAAUAAUACUUUUAUUAUUGCCUCUAGGGCAUAUUUCCAAUAGUCUCCCACUUGCACUAGAGUCAAUAAUCUAGUUCACAUCGCCAUGUGAUUAACACUCACAGGUCACAUCACCAUGUGACUAAUACCCAAGAGUUUACUAGAGUCAGUAGUCUAGUUCACAUCACUAUGUGAUUAACACUCAAUGAGUUUUAUGUUUGAUCAUGUUGCUUGUGAAAGAGGUUUUAGUCAACGGGUCUGAACCUUUCAGAUCUGUGUGUGCUUUACAAAUCUCUAUGUCAUCUCCUAGAUGCAGCUACCACGCUCUAUUUGGAGCUAUUCCAAACAAUUGUUCUACUUGAAGCUAUUCUAAAUUAUUGCUCCAUUAUAUGUAUCCGGUCUCUCUACUCAGAGCUAUCCGGAUAGGUGUCAAGCUUGCAUCGUCGUAACCUUUACGACGAACUCUUUUACCACCUCCAUAAUCGAGAAAAUUCCUUAGUCCACUAGUUACUAAGGAUAACUUUGACCGCUGUCCUAUGAUCCAUUCAUGGAUCACUCUUGUACCCCUUGACUGACUCAUGGCAAGGCACACUUUCGGUGCGGUACACAGCAUAGCAUACUGUAGAGCCUACGUCUAAAGCAUAGGGGACGACCUUCGUCCUUUCUCUCUUUUCUGCCGUGGUCGAGCUUUAAGUCUUAACUUCGUACCUUACAACUCAGGCAAGAACUCCUUCUUUGACUGGUCCAUCUUGAACACCUUCAAGAUCAUGUCAAGGUAUGUGCUCAUUUGAAAGUACCAUUAAGCGUUUUGAUCUAUCCUUAUAGAUCUUGAUGCUCAAUGCUCAAGUAGCUUAAUCCAGGUUUUCUAUUGAAAAACACAUUUCAAAUAACCCUAUAUGCUUUCCAGAAAUUCUACAUCAUUUCUGAUCAACAAUAUGUCAACAACAUAUACUCAUCAGAAAUUCUAUAGUGCUCCCACUCACUUCUUUGGAAAUACAAGGUCCUUAUAAACUUUGUAUAAAUCCAAAAUCUUUGAUCAUCUCAUCAAAGCGUAUAUUCCAACUCCGAGAUGCUUACUCCAGUCCUUAAAAGGAUCGCUGGAGCUAGCAUACCUUUUAGCAUCCUUAGGAUCGACAAAACUUUUCUGAUUGUAUUGCAUACAACCUUUCCUUACGAAAACUAGUAAGGAAACUUGUCUUGACAUCCAUCUGCCAGAUUUCAUAAAUGCAGCUAAUGCUAACAUGAUUCCGACGGACUUUAAGCAUCGCUACGAGUGAGAAAAUCUUAUCGUAGUCAACUCCUUGAACUUGUCGGAAAACACUUCGCCACAAGUCGAGCUUCAUAGAUGGUGACAUUACCAUCCACGUCCGUCUUUUUCUUAAAGAUCCAUUUAUCUUAAUGGCUUGCCGAUCAUCGGGCAAGUCCACCAAAGUCCAUGGAUCCGUUCUCGGAUUUUAUGGCCUCGAGCCAUUUAUCGGAAUCCGGACCCACCAUCGCUUCUCCAUAGCUCGUAGGUUCAUUGUUGUCCAGCAACAUGACUUCCAAGACAGGAUCACCUUACCACUCCGAAGUAGUACGUGUCCUUGUCGUCCUACGAGGUUCGGUAGUGACUUGAUCCGAAGCUUCAUGAUCACUAUCAUAAGCUUCCACUUCAAUUGGUGUAGGUGCCACAGGAACAACUUCCUGUGCCCUGCCACACACUAGUUGAAGAGACGGUUCAAUAACCUCAUCAAGUCUCCACCAUCCUCCCACUCAAUUCUUUCGAGAGAAACUUUUCCUCGAGAAAGGACCUGAUUCUCGAAACAAUCCCUUAUUGCUUUCGGAUUUGAGACAGGAGGUAUACCCAACUGUUUUGGGUGUCCUAUGAAGAUGUAUUUUAUCCGCUUUGGGUUCGAGCUUAAUCUUGAAACUUUUUCACAUAAGCGUCGCAGCCCCAAACCUUUAAGAAACGACAACUUAGGUUUCUCUAAACCAUAAUUCAUAUGGUGUCAUCUCAUCGGAAUUACGUGGUGCCCUAUUUAAAGUGAAUGUGGUUGUCUCUAAUGCCUAACCCAUGAACGAUAGUGGUAAUUCGAUAAGAGACAUCAUGGUACGCACCAUAUCCAAUAGGGUGCAACUAUGAUGUUCGGACACACCAUCACAUUAUGGUGUUCCAGGCGGUAUUAAUUGCGAAACAAUUUCCACAAUGUCUUAAUUGUGUGCCAAAACUCGUAACUCAGAUACUCAUCUCUAUGAUCAUAUCAUAGACAUUUUAUCCUCUUGUCACAAUGAUCUUCUACUUCACUCUGAAAUUAUUUGAACCAUUCAAUAAUUCAGACUUGUGUUUUAUCAAGUAAAUAUUCUCAACAUCUACUCGAAUCAUCUGUGAAGUAAGAACAUAACGAUAUUCACUGCAUGCCUCAGCACUUAUUGGACUGCACACAUCAUAAUGUGUUACUUCCAACAAGUUGCUAUCUUGUUCCAUCUUAUUGAAACCGAGGCUUUUCAGUCAUCUUGCCUAUCUGGUAUGAUUUGCAUAUCUCAAGUGAUUCAAAAUCAAGUGAGUCCGAACGGUCCAUUUGCAUGGAGUUUCUUCAUGCAUAUACACCAAUAGACAUGGUUCGCAUGUCUCAAACUUUUCAAAAACGAGUGAGUCCAAAGAUCCAUCAACAUGGAGCUUCUUCAUGCGUUUUAUACCAAUAUGACUUACAUAGCAGUGCCACAAGUAAGUGGUACUAUCAUUACUAUCUUAUAUCUUUUGGCAUGAAAAUGUGUAUCACUACGAUCGAGAUUCAAUAAACCAUUCCUUUAGGUGCAAGACCAUUGAAGGUUUUAUUCAAAUAAAUAGAGUAAUCAUUAUUCUCCUUAAAUGAAUAACCGUAUUGCGAUAGACAUAAUCCAAUCAUGUCUAUGCUCAACGCAAGCACCAAAUGACAAUUAUUCAGGUUUAAUACUAAUCUUGAUGGUAGAGGGAGCGUGCGAUGUUUGAUCACAUCAAACUUGGAAACACUUCCAACACAUAUCGUCAGCUCACCUUUAGCUAGUCUCCGUUUAUUCCGUAGCUUUUAUUUCGAGUUACUAACACUUAGCAACCGAACCGGUAUCCAAUACCCUGGUGCUACUAGGAGUACUAGUAAAGUACACAUUAACAUAAUGUAUAUCCAAUAUACUUCUAUCGACCUUGCCAGCCUUCUCAUCUACCAAGUAUCUAGGGUAAUUCCGCUCUAGUGACUGUUCCCCUUAUUACAGAAGCACUUAGUCUCGGGUUUGGGUUCAAUCUCGGGUUUCUUCAUUGGUGCAGCAGCUGAUUUGCCGUUUCAUGAAGUAUCCCUUCUUGCCCUUGCCCUUCUUGAAACUAGUGGUCUCACUGACCAUCAACGAUUGAUGCUCCUUCUUGAUUUCUACUUUCGCGGUGUCAAACAUCGCGAAUAUCUCAAGGAUCAUCAUAUAUGUCCCUGAUAUAUUAUAGUUCAUCACGAAGCUCUAGCAGCUUGGUGGUAAUGACUUUGGAGAAACUAUCACUAUUUCAUCUGGAAGAUCAACUCCCACUUGAUUCAAGUGAUUGUUGUACUCAGACAAUCUGAGCACAAGCUCAACGAUUGAGCUUUUCUCCCUUAGUUUGUAGGCUAAGAAAAUCGUCGGAGGUCUUAUACCUCUUGACGUGGGCACGAGCCUGAAAUCUCAAUUUCAGCCCUCGAAACAUCUCAUAUGUUCCGUGACGUUUCGAAAACGUCUUUGGUGCCUCUACUUAAACCAUUUAACUGAACUAUCACGUAGUUAUCAAAACGUGUAUGUUCGAUGUUCGAAACAUCCACAAACGAUGUUUGGGGUUCAGCACACUGAGCGGUGCAUUAAGGACAUAAGCUUUCUACUGUCCGCAUAAUUGCUACUAUCAACUUUCAACUAUAUUUUCUCUAGGAACAUAACUAAACAGUGGAACUAAAGCGCGAGCUUACGACAUAAUUUGCAAAGAUCUUUUGACUAUGUUCAGGAUAAUUAAGUUCAUCUUAUGAACUCCCACUCAGAUAGACAUCCCUCUGGUCAUCUAAGUGAUUACAUGAUCCGAGUCAACUAGGCCGUGUCCGAUCAUCACGUGAGACGGACUAGUCAUCAUCGGUGAACAUCUUCAUGUUGAUCGUAUCUACUAUACGACUCAUGCUCGACCUUUCGGUCUCCGUGUUCCGAGGCCAUGUCUGUACAUGCUAGGCUCGUCAAGUUAACCCUAAGUGUUUUCGCUGUGUAAAACUGUCUUACACCCGUUGUAUGUGAACGUAAGAAUCCAUCACACCCGAUCAUCACGUGGUGCUUAGAAGCGACGAACUAUAGCAACGGUGCACAGUUAGGGGAGAACACUUCUUGAAAUUUUGUAAGGGAUCAUCUUAUUUACUACCGUCGUCCUAAGCAAACAAGAUGCAUAAACAUGAUAAACAUCACAUGCAAUCAAAUAGUGACAUGAUAUGGCCAAUAUCAUUUUGCUCCUUUUGAUCUUCAUCUUCGGGGCUCCAUGAUCAUCAUCGUCACCGGCACGACACCAUGAUCUCCAUCAUCAUGAUCUCCAUCAUCGUGUCUUCAUGAAGUUGUCACGCCAACGACUACUUCUACUUCUAUGACUAACGCGUUUAGCAAUAAAGUAAAGUAGUUUACAUGGCGUUCUUCAAUGACACGCAGGUCAUACAAUAAAUAAAGACAACUCCUAUGGCUCCUGCCGGUUGUCAUACUCAUCGACAUGCAAGUCGUGAAUCCUAUUACAAGAACACGAUCAAUCUCAUACAUCACAUAUCAUUCAUCACAUUCUUCUUGGCCAUAUCACAUCACAUAGCAUACCCUGCAAAAACAAGUUAGACGUCCUCUAAUUGUUGUUGCAUGUUUUACGUGGCUGCUAUGGGUUUCUAGCAAGAACGUUUCUUACCUACGCAAGACCACAACGUGAUAUGCCAAUUGCUAUUUACCCUUCAUAAGGACCCUUUUCAUCGAAUCCGUUCCGACUAAAGUGGGAGAGACUGGCACCCGCUAGCCACCUUAUGCACCAAGUGCAUGUCAAUCGGUGGAACCUGUCUCACGUAAGAGUACGUGUAAGGUCGGUCCGGGCCGCUUCAUCCCACAAUACCGUCGAAACAAGAUUGGACUAGUAACGGUAAGCAUAUUGAACAACAUCAACGCCCACAACUACUUUGUGUUCUACUCGUGCAAAGAAUCUACGCAAUAGACCUAGCUCAUGAUGCCACUUUUGGGGAACGUAGCAGAAAUUCAAAAUUUUCCUACGUAACACCAAGAUCUAUCUAUGGAGAGACCAGCAACGAGUAGAAAGGGGAGUGCAUCUACAUACCCUUGUAGAUCGCUAAGCGGAAGCGUUCAAGUGAACGGGGUUGAUGGAGUCGUACUCGUCGUGAUUCAGAUCACCGAUGAUCCUAGUGCCGAACGGACGGCACCUCCGCGUUCAACACACGUACAGCUCGACGAUGUCUCCCACGCCUUGAUCCAGCAAGGAGAGAGGGAGAGGUUGAGGAAGACUCCAUCCAGCAGCAGCACAACGGCGUGGUGGUGAUGGAGGAGCGUGGCAAUCCUGCAGGGCUUCGCCAAGCACCUACGGGAGAGGAGGAGGUGUCACGGGAGGGAGGGAGGCGCCAAGGGCUCAGGUAUGGAUGCCCUUAACUUCGUACCUUACAACUCAGGCAAGAACUCCUUUUUUGACUGAUCCAUCUUGAACACCUUCAAGAUCACGUCAAGGCAUGUGCUCAUUUGAAAGUACCAUUAAGCGUUUUGAUCUAUCCUUAUAGAUCUUGAUGCUCAAUGUUCAAGUAGCUUAAUCCAGGUUUUCCAUUGAAAACACUUUCCAAAUAACCCUAUAUGCUUUCCAGAAAUUCUACGUCAUUUCUGAUCAUUAAUAUGUCAACAACAUAUACUCAUCAGAAAUUCUAUAGUGCUCCCACUCACUUCUUUGGAAAUACAAGUUUCUCAUAAACUUUGUAUACACCCUAAAUCUUUGAUCAUCAUCAAAGCAUACAUUCCAACUCCGAGAUGCUCACUCCAGUCCUCAGAAGGAUUGCUGGAGCUUUGCAUACUUAUUAGCAUAUUUCAGGAUAGACAAAACCUUCCGGUUGUAUCACAUACAACCUUUCCUCAAGAAUCGUCGAGGAAACAAUGUUUUGACAUCCUAUCUGCAAGAUUUCAUAAAUAAUGCAGUAAUUGCUAAUAUAAUUCCAACAUACUCUUAGCAUCGCUACGAGUGAGAAAGUCUCAUCGUAGUCAACUCCUUGAACUUGUCGAAAAACAUCUCAACGACAAGUCGACCUUUCUCAAUGGUGACACUUACCAUCAUUGUCUGUCUUCCUUUCAAAAUCCAUAUGUACCUAACAGCCUUAUGACCAUCAAGUAGUUCUUCCAAAGUCUACACUUUGUUUUCAUACAUGGAUCCUCUCUCGGGUUUUAUGGCCUUGAGCCAUUUAUCGGAAUCCAGGCCCACCAUCGCUUCUCCAUAGCUCGUAGGUUCAUUGUUGUCUAGCAACAUGACUUCCAAGACAGGAUUACUGUACCACUCUGAAGUAGUACGUAUCCUUGUCACCCUACGAGGUUUGGGAGUGACUUGAUCUGAAGUUUCAUGAUCACUAUCAUAAGCUUCUACUUCAAUUGGUGUAGGUGCCACAGGAACAACUUCCUGUGCCCUGCUACACACUGGUUGAAGUGAUGGUUCAGUAACCUCAUCAAGUCUCCACCAUCCUCCCACUCAAUUCUUUCGAGAGAAACCUUUCCUCGAGAAAGGACCCAAUUCUAGAAACAAUUCAUAUUGCCUUCGGAUCUGAAUUAGGAGGUAUACCCAACUGUUUUGGGUGUCCUAUGAAGAUGUACUUUAUCCGCUUUGGGUUCGAGCUUAAUCCUGAAACUUUUUCACAUAAGCGUCGCAGCCCCAAACCUUUAAGAAAUGACAACUUAGGUUUCUCUAAACCAUAAUUCAUACGGUGUCAUCUCAUCGGAAUUACGUGGUGCCCUAUUUAAAGUGAAUGUGGUUGUCUUUAAUGCCUAACCCAUAAACUAUCCUGGCAGUUCGAUAAGAGACAUCAUGGUAUGCAUCAUAUCCAAUAGGGUGCAACUAUGAUGUUCGGACACACCAUCACACUAUGGUGUUCCAGGCGGUAUUAAUUGUGAAACAAUUUCCACAAUGUCUUAAUUGUGUGCCAAAACUCGUAACUCAGAUACUCAUCUCUAUGAUCAUAUCAUAGACAUUUUAUCCUCUUGUCACAAUCUUCUACUUCACUCUGAAAUUACUUGAACCAUUCAAUAAUUCAGACUUGUGUUUCAUCAAGUAAAUAUUCUCAACAUCUACUCGAAUCAUCUGUGAAGUAAGAACAUAACGAUAUUCACUGCAUGCCUCAGCACUCAUUGGACUGCACGCAUCAAAAUGUGUUGCUUCCAACAAGUUGCUAUCUUGUUACAUCUUACUGAAAACGAGGCUUUUCAGUCAUCUUGCCCAUGUGGUAUGAUUUGCAUGUCCCAAGUGAUUCAAAAUCAAGUGAGUCAAAACGGUCCAUUUGCAUGGAGUUUCUUCAUGCAUAUACACCAAUAGACAUGGUUCGCAUGUCUCAAACUUUUCAAAAACGAGUGAGCCCAAAGAUCCAUCAAUAUGGAGCUUCUUCAUGCGUUUUAUACCGAUAUGACUUACGUGGCAGUGCCACAAGUAGGUGGUUCUAUCAUUACUAUCUUUUGGCAUGAACAUGUGUAUCACUACGAUCGAGAUUUAAUAAACCAUUCAUUUUAGGUGUAAGACCAUUGAAGGUAUUAUUCAAAUAAACAGAGUAACGAUUAUUCUCCUUAAAUGAAUAACCGUAUUGCGAUAGACGUAAUCCAAUCAUGUCUAUGCUCAACGCAAACACCAAACAACAAUUAUUUAGGUUUAACACCAAUCUCUUUGGUAGAGGGAGCGUGCGAUGCUUGAUCAUAUGAAGCUUGGAAAAACUUCCAACACAUAUCGUCAGCUCACCUUUAGCUAGUCUCCGUUUAUUCCGUAGCCUUUUGUUUCGAGUUACUAACACUUAGCAACCGAACCGGUAUCUAAUACCCUGGUGCUACUAGGAGUACUAGCAAAGUACACAUUAACACAAUGUAUAUCCAAUAUACUUCUAUCGACCUUGCCAGCCUUCUUAUCUACCAAGUAUCUAGGGUAAUUCUGCUCUAGUGGUUGUUCCCCUUAUUACAGAAGCACUUAGUCUCGGGUUUGGGUUUUACCUUGGGUUUCUUCACUAGAGCAGCAGCUGAUUUGCCGUUUCAUGAAGUAUCCCUUCUUGCCCUUGCCCUUCUUGAAACUAGUGGUUUCACCAACCAUCAACAAUUGAUGCUCCUUCUUGAUUUCUACUUUCGCGGUGUCAAACAUCGCGAAUACCUCAAGGAUCAUCAUAUCUAUCCCUGAUAUGUUAUAGUUCAUCACGAAGCUCUAACAGCUUGGUGGCAAUGACUUUGGAGAACCAUCACUGUUUCAUCUGGAAGAUCAACUCCCACUCGAUUCAAAUGAUUGUUGUACUCAGACAAUCUGAGCACAAGCUCAACAAUUGAGCUUUUCUCCUUAGUUUGCAGGUUAAGAAAGUCAUCGGAGGUCUUAUACCUCUUGACAUGGGCACGAGCCUGAAAUCCCAAUUUCAGCCCUCAAAACAUCUCAUAUGUUUCGCGAUGUUUCAAAAACGUCUUUGGUGCCUCAACUCUAAACCGUUUAACUGAACUAUCACGUAGUUAUCAAAACGUGUAUGUCAGAUGUUCGCAACAACCACAGACAACGUUCGAGGUUCAGCACACUGAGCGGUGCAUUAAGGACAUAAGCCUUCUAUGAAGCAAUGAGGACAAUCCUCAGUUUACGGACCUAGUCCGCAUAAUUGCUACUAUCAACUUUCAACUAAUUUUUCUCUAGGAACAUAUCUAAACAGUAGAACUAUAGCGUGAGCUACGACAUAAUUUGCAAAAACCUUUUGACUAUGUUCAGGAUAAUUAAGUUCAUCUUAUGAACUCCCACUUAGAUAGACAUCCCUCUGGUCAUCUAAGUGAUCACAUGAUCCGAGUCAACUAGGCCGUGUCCGAUCAUCACGUGAGACGGACUAGUCAUCAUCGGUGAACAUCUUCAUGUUGAUCGUAUCUACUAUACGACUCAUGCUCGACCUUUCGGUCUCCGUGUUCCGAGGCCAUGUCUGCACAUGCUAGGCUCGUCAAGUUAACCCUAAGUGUUUUCGCUGUGUAAAACUGUCUUACACCCGUUGUAUGUGAACGUAAGAAUCCAUCACACCCGAUCAUCACGUGGUGCUUAGAAGCGACGAACUGUAGCAACGGUGCACAGUUAGGGGAGAACACUUCUUGAAAUUUUGUAAGGGAUCAUCUUAUUUACUACUGUCGUCCUAAGCAAACAAGAUGCAUAAACAUGAUAAACAUCACAUGCAAUCAAAUAGUGACAUGAUAUGGCCAAUAUCAUUUUGCUCCUUUUGAUCUUCAUCUUCGGGGCUCCAUGAUCAUCAUCGUCACCGGCACGACACCAUGAUCUCCAUCAUCAUGAUCUCCAUCAUCGUGUCUUCAUGAAGUUGUCAUGCCAACGACUACUUCUACUUCUAUGACUAACGCAUUUAGCAAUAAAGUAAAGUAGUUUACAUGGCGUUCUUCAAUGACACGCAGGUCAUACAAUAAAUAAAGACAACUCCUAUGGCUCCUGCCGGUUGUCAUACUCAUCGACAUGCAAGUCGUGAAUCCUAUUACAAGAACAUGAUCAAUCUCAUACAUCACAUAUCAUUCAUCACAUUCUUCUUGGCCAUAUCACAUCACAUAGCAUACCCUGCAAAAACAAGUUAGACGUCCUCUAAUUGUUGUUGCAUGUUUUACGUGGCUGCUAUGGGUUUCUAGCAAGAACGUUUCUUACCUACGCAAGACCACAACGUGAUAUGCCAAUUGCUAUUUACCCUUCAUAAGGACCCUUUUCAUCGAAUCCGUUCCGACUAAAGUGGGAGAGACUGGCACCCGCUAGCCACCUUAUGCACCAAGUGCAUGUCAAUCGGUGGAACCUGUCUCACGUAAGAGUACGUGUAAGGUCGGUCCGGGCCGCUUCAUCCCACAAUACCGUUGAAACAGGAUUGGACUAGUAACGGUAAGCAUAUUGAACAACAUCAACGCCCACAACUACUUUGUGUUCUACUCGUGCAAAGAAUCUACGCAAUAGACCUAGCUCAUGAUGCCACUGUUGGGGAACGUAGCAGAAAUUCAAAAAUUUUCCUACGUAACACCAAGAUCUAUCUAUGGAGAGACCAGCAACGAGUAGAAAGGGGAGUGCAUCUACAUACCCUUGUAGAUCGCUAAGCGGAAGCGUUCAAGUGAACGGGGUUGAUGGAGUCGUACUCGUCGUGAUUCAGAUCACCGAUGAUCAAGUGCCGAACGGACGGCACCUCCGCGUUCAACACACGUACAGCCCGGUGACGUCUCCCACGCCUUGAUCCAGCAAGGAGAGAGGGAGAGGUUGAGGAAGACUCCAUCCAACAGCAGCACAACGGCGUGGUGGUGGUGGAGGAGCGUGGCAAUACCGCAGGGCUUCGCCAAGCACCAUGGGAGAAGAGGAGGAGGGAGAGGGGCAGGGCUGCACCAACGAGAGAUCAAAUCAUGUGUUAUGGGCAGCCCCAUGCCUCAAUAUAUAUAGGGGGAGGGGAGGGCUGCGCCCCCUUUAGGGUUUCCCACCCCAAGGGGCGGCGGCCAGCCUCCAGAUGGCAUCUGGUGCGGCGGCCAAGAGGGGGGGGGGAGGAGUCCAUCCUCCCCAAGGCACCUCGGAGGUGCCUUCCCCUUCGAGGAAUCUUCCCUCUAGGGUUCCCUAGGCGCAUGGGCCUCUUGGGGCUGGUGCCCUUGGCCCAUGUAGGCCAAGGCGCACCCCCUACAGCCCAUGUGGCCCCCCGGGGCAGGUGGGCCCCCGGGACCCUUCCGGUGGUCCCGGUACAAUACCGAUGACCCCGAAACUUGUCCCGAUGGCCGAAACAGGACUUCCUAUAUAUAAAUCUUUACCUCCGGACCAUUCCGGAACUCCUCGUGACGUCCGGGAUCUCAUCCGGGACUCCGAACAACAUUCGGUUACCACAUACAAGCUUCCUUUAUAACCCUAGCGUCAUCGAACCUUAAGUGUGUAGACCCUACGGGUUCGGGAGACAUGCAGACAUGACCGAGACGUUCUCCGGUCAAUAACCAACAGCGAGAUCUGGAUACCCAUGAUGGCUCCCACAUGUUCCACGAUGAUCUCAUCGGAUGAACCACGAUGUCAAGGACUCAAUCGAUCCCGUAUACAAUUCCCUUUGUCUAGCGGUAUUUUACUUGCCCGAGAUUCGAUCGUCGGUAUACUGAUACCUUGUUCAAUCUCGUUACCGGCAAGUCACUUUACUCGUUCCGUAACACAUCAUCCCGUGAUCAACUCAUUGGUCACAUUGCGCAUAUGAUGAUGUCCUACCGAGUGGGCCCAGAGAUACCUCUCCGUUUACACGGAGUGACAAAUCCCAGUCUCGAUCCGCAUAAAACAAUAGAUACUUUCGGAGAUACCUGUAGUGUACCUUUAUAGUCACCCAGUUACGUUGUGACGUUUGAUACACCCAAGGCACUCCUACGGUAUCCAGGAGUUACACGAUCUCAUGGUCAAAGGAAGAGAUACUUGACAUUGGCAAAGCUCUAGCAAACGAACUACACGAUCUUUGUGCUAAGCUUAGGAUUGGGUCUUGUCCAUCACAUCAUUCUCCUAAUGAUGUGAUCCCGUUAUCAACGACAUCCAAUGUCCAUAGCCAGGAAACCAUGACUAUCUGUUGAUCACAACGAGCUAGUCAACUAGAGGCUCACUAGGGACAUAUUGUGGUCUAUGUAUUCACACGUGUAUUACGAUUUCCGGAUAAUACAGUUAUAGCAUGAAUAAAAGACAAUUAUCAUGAACAAGGAAAUAUAAUAAUAAUACUUUUAUUAUUGCCUCUAGGGCAUAUUUCCAACAAAUAUGACAUACUCAGAACACGGGAAAUAGGUCAGAUAAAAUUAUCAACUCCUUCCUCACUCAAACCUCGAUCCAUUCGGGGGCUAAUGAUGAAGUCAUGUACCUAGGGUAGGGUCAUGAACCUAUCUAGGAUACCCUACCCAAGGACGUCCUUAGAAGAAUCUACCUUCUAGUCGACCAAGAGGGACUCCACUCGACGAUCUCAAGGACACUCGACGAUGAAGAUAGCCACUCGACCAUGAAGCUAAUCACUCGACAACCAGGAGACCUAAAGUCAUUCAGCACGCAACGGCCUGUCAUUAAGUAGCUUUAAUAGUCUUCAUGGCACUUUAUAUGGGCGUUACCAGUAACUCCAUGUCUUAAUGUACUUUAAACCCUGCAUAACUGAGGGCCGGAGGGGUCUGGCGAACUCUAUAUAAACCACCCCCCUCCUCAGUGUAAAGGGUUCGCACCCCUGUAACUCAUACGCACAUAAUCCAGUCGACCGCCUCCGGGCUCCGAGACGUAUGGCUGUUACUUCCUCCGAGAAGGGCCUGAACUCGUAAAUCCCUUGCGUAUACAACUACUCCAUAGCUAGGAUCUUGCCUCUCCAUACCUACCCCCCAUUCUACUGUCAGACUUACAACCACGACAGUACCCUCAGUUGCCACCGCGUCGGUGUCGGCCAAGCCAACAGGGAUUUCUCCCGAUCCCAUCCUCCACCUCAGGCACUCCGGAGUUCGCCACCAAACCGACCACCACCCAGCGCCGACACGGACACGAAGCUUCGACGCUGUCUCACCACGGCACCGCGAAGAUGGUCUGCACAACGAAGAAGAGGAGUCGGGACUAGGGCAGCAACACCGUCAGCAUACGGGAGGGCCCCACCUCACCGUCCAUGCCGGUAGCCGACCGGACGCCAAAGCAGGAGCCUACCGGGCCCGUGGACCCACAGGCCCGGCCGGGCCCUCAGAGGCUCGGACAGCUCCCGCCUCCGCGCAGCAGCUGGCACGCCAUCGACGCCGCAGCCCCAGUCCAAGCCGCUCCCCAGCCUUCCCAUACAGAGAACGUCACGGUCGAGCCGGAGCCGACCCGCAAGGACCCAGAUGUGGCCCUACGGGCCCAGAUCUGGGCCGAGGACGCGCCACCGGCCAUCCAGCACCACCGGAGCGCCCCGCCGCCAAGAGGCAGCACCAUCGCGGCGAGCGCCGCCGGCCUCCGCCACCAGGACGCCGAGCCGCCACCAGCCGAGCAGCAUCGCCGCCUCCCCCCACCCCGGGAAGGAGGAGCGUGCGCGGGGAAGGGACGACCCGCCGCCGCCGACCCCACCCGGCCAGAUCCGGGGGCGCCUGCCGGCGGCGGCGGGGGGAGGAACGAAGGGGGGCGAGGAGGGAGGGGGUCGCGCGCCGCCCCGGCCGCCUCCCGGGGAGAUGGCGGAGGCGGCAGGACAAGGAGGAGGGGGAAAAGGGGGGAGGGGCGGGGCGGGGAGCCCGCGCUCGCGCUGGGCAGCGGUGGAAACGGCGGAGCGGGAGCGGGGAAGCGGGGGCGGGGGAGAGGGACGCCGCGCCGGGCGGGCGGCGGCGGCGGGGAGGGUCUAGGGCCCGCCGGCGGCGGGGCGGAACCCUAGCGGGAGCCUAGCGGAGUCUACCUUUUUGAGAGAUACAUGUUCACCCGCUCAUCAAGAAGUGGUGACUAGCAGGGGAAGCUCGCGACGCUAGCAUCGGUAAGCAGUAUAACAUUCAGAUCAAUCUCUCAACCAAUCUCUGCAGAGGCAGCGCAGCAGAGCGUCAGAGCAACUAACUAAUCUCUCCUCUGUACAAAUCUGCCGACGAGCAAUAGGCACGCGCCACACCAGUCAGGUUACAACUAGAUUUCCUAUAAUAAAAUGAGAAGCAAAUAUUCCACAAGUCGUGACUCAAGCACAUGUACAGGAGUAGGAAGCAGAACCUUCAUUACUUGACACCAUGGGCAUCUCCUAUAUAUCCAAGCUGCACAAGCCUCUGCUCUGUGCUGUGUUGGAAGAGGUAAUUGUUUUCCCAAGAGCUAAGAGACUAGACACCCAAAUUAGUUCGGGUGGUGCCAACAUGAUCCCACACACCAACUUUCCGCCCAGAUGUGUUCCAAUACUGGAGCAAUUUUUACAUUCGAUCUGUGUUAAACUGCAAGGUUUUUCAGACCAAACUCACUCUGCUAGCUAAUACUCCCUCCGUCCCAAAAUAAGUGUCAGUACUCAAUUCAGAACAUCACUCGAGACUGGAUACAUACAGUUGAUAGUAAUGCAAGUCUGGACGAGGUGCUCCCUUGCUAGGGUAGAUCCGUGAAAAGAGAAGGGGGGAAAUGGGACGAACCUGAGGCGGCCGUUGGCUUCGUCGUCGCUGUCGCUCGAAUCGGCGAGGGGUUCUCGGGGAGAGGAGUGGGAGUGGGCGCUCGCGUUCUAGUUCUAGGGGGAUCGGAGCUGCUGGUGCUGGGACGUCUUUCUCUCCCCUAAAAUAGCUAGCACACCAGCUAGUGCACACACGAUAUCCAACAGACCAGCGAUUCAAUUUGAUGAAAGGAGCAUUGCUACAUUCCAUGUAUGUGCAACUUUACAAGAACGUCAGACCAGCUAUGCAAUUUGAGAUGGCAAAGUUACGGUAUGGUAAAAGAGUAGUACUAUGCAUUAUGUGAGAUACUCCUGGUUGUUAAGAAUGCGGAUCAGCAGGAUCUUUACCAAAUGUCGUUGGAGUUAAUCACAAAAGAACAGCUCCAGAUUAACUUUUGUACAACACUGCUACUACCGCGGGUACAAUCGCGUGCCUUGCAUUUCUUUUCAUGUUGGCAUUAAUCUCUUCCGUGUUUUUUUUAAAAGAGGUUAAACCCCGGUCUCUGCAUCAAUCGAUGCAUAUGCAGCCUUCUUUAUUAAUUAUUUCACAAAGAUCUGAUGAGAAUAUACAUCAAUCCACUCGAAGCCAUCAUUCACCUACGGAUGUGUUUGGUAGCAUUCUCUACCUAGCAUGGUUGUUCCCCUUUGACACAUGCUGAUGGUGGACGUGCUGAGUCCAUACAACUGCAGUUGUUUGGUAGUCUUGCAUGUGUUGAGGCAUGCUGGGCUGUGACUGUGUUUGGUAGCCUGCACUGUGAUGAAAAAAAAUAUUUUCAUGCCAGAGCCAGUCAACCUUGUAUUCAUUUAUACAAAAUUAAAGUUGCUAGUGCUGGGCAAUCGUUCAGGGGAAAGCUGUACAAUUCUAAACAAAAGCAGAUUCAGGUGGUUAACUGAGCACAAGGAGAUGAAACCAACACAGUAAUGCAUCGACGUAACUGUUGUUGCCGCUUGUCCUUGGCAAUUCAGAGAAAAAAUUAAGAUAUAAUUAUGUCUGCUAGCCCAUGAUCUACCGAUGCCUGCUAAUCCACGAUCUGGGGCAGCAUCCAGUGGCGCAACGACCAGGGCGAUCUGGGGCAGCGGCGAACUGGGGAAACGAUCUGGGGCAGCGGCGGCCAGGGAAAGCGGCGAUCUGGUUCAGCAUCCAGCUGCGGCAACGACCAGGGCCGGCGGCAAUCUGGGGCGGCAACGACCAGGGCCAACGGCGAGCUGGGGCAGAGCCAACGACCAGGGCCAACGGCGAGCUGGGGCAGAGCCAACGACCAGGUCCAUGGCGAGCACGUCGGUUCGGAGCAGGAGGCGCGUCACGGAGAAGACGGGGAGGAGGAGGCGCACGUCACGGAGAAGACGGGGAGGGUCGCGGUGGGAUUUUUUCGAGCGGUGGAGCCAGCCAUGCUGACCAGCGAACGGCUGUUCGGGUGUUCACUCCUCGUGCAGGCUACGGGGCUAUUUGGGCUGAGUUCAACAUAGCUGAGGAGAGCUCAUGCAAGCUACCAAACAGCAAAAAGUGGGUUGAGUAGGAAACUUUAAAGCUCAUGCACUCUCUAUGCAUGCUACCAAACACACCCACAAACUCGAUAAUGUGGAGUGUUCUCACCCUCAUACACUACUAGAAAAAGGGCUAUAGAGGGAUUGACACUAAUGGCGCACCAGACAAGGGGUGCGCCAUUAGUAUAUACUAAUGGCGCACCACCUUCUGAUACGCCAUUAGAGUUGAAACUACUAAUGGCGCACCUGACCCAAGGUGCGCCAUUAGUAUCAAAAAAAAAUUGAACUAGUGUGCCUGUCCAAACAUACUAAUGGCGCAUCCAGACACAGUGCGCCAUUACUAGUUGUAACUAGUAAUGGCGCAUCCGUCGGAAAGUGCGCCACUAAUGUUGUUUUUUUAUUAUAUUUUUUAUUCCUUUUUUUGCAAUACUACUAAUGGCGCACUGUUCAACCGUGCGCCAUUACUAGUUUAAAUUAGUAAUGGCGCACUGUAGAACAGUGCGCCAUUAGUAUGUUUUUUUUUGCAAAACUACUAAUGGUGCACCGCCAGAAGGUGCGCCAUUAGUAACCUGGAUUACUAAUGGCGCAUUUAGUGCUGGUGCGCCAUUAGUAAGUGGGCAGCAAUAAGAUAUUUUUUUAGACAGCCUCUCCUACCCACACUCACUUUCUCCCCACUUCAUUCUCUCCACCUGCUCCUUGUCUCGGGUGCCUCCUCUUUUUCACCUCAUUUCCACCAUAGAUUCAUUCAAAUUAAGUGGUUAAAUUACCUUGUUUUGAUAGGUAAGUAAGGGGGGAAGCUAUAUUUAUGUUGUUCUCCCUACAACAAUGUGCACAUGCACUUUUUAUGGCCUAGCUAGAUCUAUGUAUGUUCGUGGUGUUGCAUAUGUGUUUGUGUUUGGAGGUGUACCGGUAUUUGAAAUGCGAUAGUUGCCAAUAUUUUGCCGGAAUGUUGAUUCAUUUCCGUUUCGGCGAGAAUUUUGGCAUUAAGCAUUCUUUUUGGUCCUAUUUUUAGGAAAAGUCAUGCCAAAUUUUUUCUUGGUUCUAAAAUAUCGUUUUGCUCUACCCCGCAGGCGACCAUGGUCCGCACGAUGACCGAAGGCAUCGUGAAUAGGUUUUUGAGGUCCGCGAAGGCCGAGAUGCUUCAAAAGAACGAGACGGAGAUAAGAUGUCCGUGUCGAAGAUGCAAGCUGAAGAGCCUUAUUGCGGACCCGGAUUCCGGGCAGGUGCGGGACCACCUGCUCUUGCGUGGUUUCAUGGAUGGCUAUCGGUGGCAAGGUGAUGAAGAUGACUACGAAGUCGUCCAUGGGGGCCGGGCAAGAAAUGAGGAAGGGCAGCAAGACAACCACCGCGGCUCGGGCGGGCGAGAAGACGAAGAAUCCCCAGGAGAUGAUCACGACGGUGAUGCUGUACACAGUCAUCAUGUAGAAGAUGCAGGACAUGAUGAUGAGGAAGAUGCCGGAGCAGACGACGGGCAUGAUCAUGAAGAUGAUGAUGCCGGCGAAGCAGACGACGUUGGACCAUCGAUGGGCUGGGUGCAGGACCCUCAUAUUCAAGAGCUGCUUCUCAAGCAGACGGAUAACGCAAGAGUUGCCGCCCGAGAGAAAGCCAAGAUGGAUCAACUUGAGUUAGACGCGGUUACUCCAUUGUAUGAAGGAUGCAGGCCCGAGGAUACCCGCCUGAAAGUAACGCUCAUGGCUCUGGAGAUGAAGGUAAAACACAAAAUGACCGACGCAUGCUUCGACGAGAACAUGUCAUUCUGGCACGAAUGUCUUCCCAAGGGGAACAAGUGCCCGACCAGUUUGGAGGAGGCGAAGAAAAUCGUGUGUCCUCUGGAUUUACCACACGUGAAAUACCAUGUGUGCAUGAACAAUUGCAUCAUUUAUCAGGACGAGCACACGGAGUCUACCAUACGUCCGGUGUGCGGCGUCACUCGAUACAAGAAGAGGAAGAAAGCUCCUCGAAAAGUGGUGUGAUACUUUCCGAUCACUCCUCGUCUGCAGCGGUAUUUCGCGGACCCUAAGGUAGCAAAGCUCCUGCGUUGGCACGCGGAUAGGGAGGAGAAGAAGCGAGAAGAUGAUGCAAAUGAUCCGGAGAUAGAUAAAAAAGACAAGAUGUUGAGUCACCCUAAGAAUGCGAGCCAGUGGCAAGCGUUGAACUUCGAAGACCCAUAAUUUGGGAACGAUCCAAGGAACAUCGUGCUGGGCGCGAGCACCGAUGGAGUCAAUCCGUUUGGCAGCCAGAGAAGCACACAUAGCACCUGGCCUGUGUUUGUGUGGAUGUACAACCUUCCCCCCUGGUUGUGCAUGAAGAGGAAGUACAUUCACAUGAGUAUGCUAAUUGAAGGGCCGAAACAACUAGGGAACGACAUCAAUUUGUAUCUGGGGCUGCUGAAAGAGGAGCUUGACCUGCUGUGGAAAACGCCAGCCAAUACGUGGGACGCCGCAGAGAAAGAAUAUUUCCCUAUGAGAGCCACACUGCUCACGACGGUGCACGACUAUCUCGGUUAUGGAUAUCUCGCGGGGCAGGUAGUCCACGGAUUUUCUGGAUGCGUAAGGUGUAUGGAUGACACAACGUAUCGCCAGCUAGAUAGAGAUCCUGGGUCUUCGAAAACCGUGUUCAUGGGACAUUGAAGGUGGCUUCGCGACGAUGACCCGUGGAGGAAACGCAAGGAUCUGUUCGAUGGUGAAACCGAACCCCGAAAACGCCCGUGUACGAGGAGCGGCGAGGAAAUAGACAAGCUGUUGAAAAAUUGGAAAGACUGCCCACUGUCGGGAAAGAAGCAAAAGGCGCCAGAGCCGGGAAAGAAGCGAAAGGCGCCAGAGCCGCUGCUGAAGGUAUGGAAAACGAGGUCUGUUUUCUGGGACAUGCCGUACUGGAAGAUCCACCGUGUGCCUCACAGCCUUGAUGUCAUGCAUAUCACGAAGAACGUGUGCGAGAGUCUGCUUGGUACCCUGCUCAACAUGCCAGAGAGGACCAAAGAUGGGCCGAAAGCAAGGGCAGACUUGAAAUCAAUGGGCAUCAGGCAGGAGCUUCACGCUAAUGAUGAUGAUGAUGAUGAUGAUGAUGAUGAGGCGAAGCAGGACACAGAAAGUCGUCGCAAAGGCAAAAAGGCCAAGAAGACCGGAAAUGACUACCCUCCCGCGUGCUUCACUCUAAGUCAUGAGGAGAUCGAGCAGUUUUUCACCUGCCUCCUAGGAGUAAAACUUCCUUACGGUUACACGGGGAAGAUAAGCAGAUACCUAGACCCAGCGAAGCAGAAGUUCAGCGGGAUGAAGUCUCACGACUGUCACGUGCUGAUGACGCAGAUACUUCCAGUUGCAAUCUGUGGGAUCAUGGACGCGCACGUCCGUGAAACGCUAUUUGGCCUAUGCAACUUUUUCGACGUCAUCUCUCGGAAGUCGAUUGGCGUGAGGCAACUCAGAAGGCUACAGGAAGAGAUCGUGGUGAUACUAUGCGAGCUUGAGAUGUACUUCCCGCCCGCAUUCUUUGACGUUAUGGUGCAUCUGCUGGUCCAUAUCGUGGAGGAUAUCAUUCAACUCGGGCCGACGUUCUUGCACAGCAUGAUGCCGUUCGAAAGGAUGAAUGGUGUCAUCAAAGGAUACGUUCGGAACAUGUCACGUCCAGAGGGAAGUAUAGCCAGGGGCUUUCUGACCGAAGAGUGCAUCUCCUACUGCACGAAUUAUCUAGGCAUCGAGAACCCCGUUGGUCUGCCCGUCAACAGGCACCUCGCAGGCUCGCUGGAUGGGGUCACCGUGAGGGUCGCCGCGAAAUGCAUGUCGACUUUGAGGGUCGACUCGCCGACUUUGAAAGAGCAAACCUAGUCGCGCUACAACACAUAGACAUGGUCGAUCCUUGGGUGGUAGAGCACAAAACCUUUAUUGAGAAGACGUACAAUGACCGAGGCCAACAGAGGAUGGACGGAGAUAUACUCAAAGAGCACAACUCAUGUUUCACACGUUGGUUCAAGCAGAAGCUUCUGUCGUACCCUUUACAUGAAGAUUCUUCCAUGGAAGAACAACUCAUAUUCACCUUGUCACAGGGCGCCGAGCACAACCUGAUGACCUAUGAGGCGUACGAUAUCAACGGCUACACAUUCUACACCGAGGACAAGGACAUGAAGAGCGAUGGUUAUCAGAACUCCGGGGUAACGAUGGAAUCCUACAUCGGUAAGGACAAGGAUAGAUACUACGGAAGGAUCGAGAAGAUCUGGGAGCUGAGCUACGCUGGAGAGAAGGUGCCGAUGUUCCGUGUCAGAUGGGCCAAGAGCGUCCUAAAAGAAGACCGAUAUUUCAUCACCAUGGUUAUACCCGAAUCCAAAUCCAAGACCGCGGGCGCAAACGUCACCGCGAAAAAUGAGCCAUGGGUACUGGCUUCCCAAGUGGACCAAUGCUUCUUCAUUACCGACCCGCCAAAGCCCAGUCGUGUUGUCGUGAGGAGAGGCAAAAGGAAGAUCAUCGGAAUGGAUGGAGUAGCCAAUGAGCAAGACUUCGACAAGUACGGCGACCCGAGGAUCGAACAUGACGACGAUGAUGAAGUAGCAGCAUACACCACAAGAAGAAGCAGGACCACCCUACCUAAAGGACGUCCGUUCCACAGAAGAACUCCAUUUGAGAAAAAGAAGGGCAAGAAGAUUGUGAACAGAUAGCUAGCUAAGAUCGAUUGUAUUUAAAUCAUAGCCUUCAUUUCUCGAUUGUAUUUCAUGGGCACUUUUUGAACUAUCAUGAAUAUUUUUAAAUUUCAUGGACACUCAAUCUCGAUCCCCCUCCAUCUCGAUCGCUAUCCCACCUCGCCAGAUCCGGUCCCCCUCACCGCCGAGCACCCCCCGGUCCACCGGCCGCCGCCGCCGACCCCCCGCACCCUCGAUUCCCCUACUCAACCGCCGCCGCCGACCCCCCGCACCCCUCCCCUACUCAACUGCCGCCGCCNNNNNNNNNNNNNNNNNNNNNNNNNNNNNNNNNNNNNNNNNNNNNNNNNNNNNNNNNNNNNNNNNNNNNNNNNNNNNNNNNNNNNNNNNNNNNNNNNNNNNNNNNNNNNNNNNNNNNNNNNNNNNNNNNUGAUGAUAUUUAAAAAAACUUAUUACUGUCUUAUAAAAAAAAUAUUACUGUUAUGAUUUAAACAAGUUUGAACAUAUUUAAACACAAAUAAGUAUCAAACAGCAUUUUAAAUGCAUAAAAAAAUUGUGGAGCCUGGGAAUCAAACCCAGGACCUCCUGGUGUGAGAACUGGCUGCUGACCAGUCGAGCUAGUAGAGGGAGCUUGAUGUGGAUCAGGUCAGGUGGAAGAUAACCUGUUGGCUCGAGCAGAAAUAAAAAAAAAAUACUAAUGGCGCACCAGGGCGAGGUGCGGCAUUAGUAUGGAUGUACUUAUGGCGCACCGAGGGGUGGUGCGCCAUUAGUAUUGUCCCGCCAUCCAUACUUCCUCCCCGGCCCAAACCUAUCCCCUCUCUCUCCCUCGCCCUCGCCCUCGAUCCCCUUCCCCUCUCCUCUCCCGACGCCGCUGCCCCGCCGCCUCGACGCCGCCCCGACGCCGCCUCGACGCCUCGACGCCCGCCCCGCUCCUCCUCCGGCACCUCUCCGCCCAGCCCAAGCCCAAGGCCGCUCCGCCUCCACCUCCUCCGCCUUUGCCGUCGGACGAGGGCGCCGCAGCGUGGGCCCGUCGCGCGGCCGCGCUCUCGCUGCUGGGGCUCACCGGCGCCGUCGCCGCCAGCGCCUUCAGCGACCUCUCCGACCUCCGCGAUGCCGCCCUCGACCUCUCCCUCCCGGAGCUCCUCCCGGACCACCUCCCCGGAGCUCGUUCUCUGCCCACCCAAGGUACCGUCUGAAUGCUCCUCCUCUGUCACUGAAUUUGUUUUGAAUUAGCAGCAAUAGAUAGCAAUAGUGCAGUUAGUUUGGUGGGGUUGAAACGAGGAUUGGGGUCAUGGAAGGAACACAAACAUGAUUAAAAUUAGAGAGUUGAUUAAUUGGCAGCAGUGUGUGAGCUAAUUCAGUAGGCAGUUUUGGAACAAUCUUUUUGGAUAAAGGGUGUUUAUAACCUGAACAUACACUUGUUCCCCACUCAUGGAUAGGUGAAAUGAAAUGAUACAGAUGGUGUAUCUGUAGCCUAGAGAUGUGAUUACAACAUAUACACGGUUGAAAAUGAAGCAAGUCUUUGAUAUGAAGUAGAAAUAAAUAAAUAAAUGACAGAAAGGGUGAAAGAGCUAGGAUCGACAGUGACCACCUAUCCAGGAAUCAAGGCCAAGGUCCAAAACUUUAAAGUGAAAACUACAAAUUCACAGUGAUGCGUGUGUCCAGUGCAAAUGCCACACAAGUCAAAUAACGAUGUGGAUGGGGAAUACAAACAAAGGUUAAAAUUGCAUAGAUAAGAUAGAGCAGCAACAGGCCAAUAGCAAUAGUGCAGUUAGUAUAUGGUGAAGUUGAAAGCAUGUCAGAAUGGGGGGAUGGUGAUUGAAGGAACACCAACAUGAUUAAAACCAGAAAGUUAAGUAAUUGGCACAUGGCAGCAGUGAGCUAAAUUAAGUAGGCCAUGGAUAAUACUCCGUCUGGUCUGCAUCAAAAUAUAAGACACUAUCAUAAGCGUCUUAUAUUUUGAUACACGGAGGGAGUAAAAGGGAGGUUUGUUGGUGCAUUCAGACGGUAUCUAUGCCAACAUAACAUAUAUAUAUACUAGUCUGUUAAUACUUGUUUUGAGGGUACUUUUACUUCUUCUUUCCUAAGUUUUAUUAGUGUACUUUUACUGUCCUCUAUAGGUGACGUGUGAACCGUUGCUUAUGCCGAUCGACUUACCGACUACCUAUUUAAUUGGUUUUCUUUUAAAUCUUAUAGUUCCCGUUGAUUAUAAACUGGUCGGCCGCGAUCAAUCAGUUGGUAUUGAUUUUGUCAGCAGACUUUGAGGUCAGUUUAACCUGUCAUUUUUCAACAGUACUCAACUAGUCUAAGUUACUGAGCAAAGUUAUACACAGCAGUCUAAGUUAGCUAGCCGAUCGAUUCCAUGUGGCCAGAGAUACAAGAUUACUCAACAACAUAUCCUAGCAGCUAGAGGAUGUUCGCGUGCAUGACAAGGCUAUAGACAUGCCGCAUGCACCAGCCGUUAAUUAGCACAAGCUGAUCACGUCGUUGUAUAACUCCUUUGUUAUAGCUCAAUUUGGUUCAGCUAGCUGUAUCUAGGAUUAUCCAUGCAACGAGUGGUCAAAACCAAGAAACUAAGAAAAACUGCACUUGGCAAACAUCUCUAUAGUUUUGCUAAAACUGAGAAAAACUGCAGUUUUUAGAAACCAAAGUAUUCAUUGCCCACACAUUGGAAUACCGAGGUUUUCAAUUACCAUGGUUUUGGAAAAACCGUGUUGGCAAACUAGGCCUUAGUAGUUAAGUCUUAACGUGGUUUGCAUUCAUUUGCAAUUACACUUGUUUUUGCCUCCACUUGAUGGAGCCGACAGCUUCCGUUUACCUGAAACGAGUCUUCUUGUUUUGCGGUGCUCAUUUUUUUCUAAGUGCACUGCAGUACUUGUUCCUUUGUGCACCAUAAGUAAAACUAGCUAAUUUUAUGAAAAUGUAUCAUGUCACUGUCUGUGACUCUCUCUUUUUAAGUCCACAUUCUGUUGGUGGCUCGGUUAACUCCUAGGGUUUUAGCAGUUAUGUAUAAAAAACAUUUUGAUCCAGUAUUGCUUGUAGUGGUUUGUCCAAAAUGUUGAAUGAUACUGCUUGGAGAUGCAUAUAUUGUUUCACCUCUUCACAUGCCAAUGUAUUUUCCAUGUUGUGAUGAAGGCCUUUUUUGCCUUGUCCACCCGAGAGGCCCUUGAGUUUGCUGGAAUGUCGAUUAACUUCCGUUCCAGCAAAUUCGGGUACUCCAUAUGUCCUAUUUUCAGCAAAGGUCAUGCUGAAAUUUUCCGUGAAUUUCAGCAUGACUUUGCUAAAAAUAGGACAUAUGGGGUACUUGUGACUAAUGCAUGGGCCGGGGUACUUGUGACUAAUGAUGAAAGCUUAGGCUUUUAGGGUGCCUCGGCAUCGAAAAACCCUCAAUGAUAAAAGCUUAGCUUUUAGGAUGCCUCAGUGUCGACAAACCCUAAAUGAUGAGACCAUGAUCUUGUUCCUUGACAAUAACCAACUUUUUGACCAAACUUUGUUCCUAUUUAGAGAGAAACAUGGCCAACAACGAUGAGACCGGGGGUUCGGGCGGCAAGGCAUUCUGGGAGCUAUCCCAGGAGAUGGAGGAACAACCUCACUUGUAUGAGGACGCCGCCUUCCCCACCGAUCCUGAGACCACUGAUGGUACCGCCGAGGAUGACCCCACUGAUGCCACCACUGAUGGUGCCGCCGAGGAUGCCACCACUGAUGAUGGCGGCGCACACAUAGAUGGCAGCCAAUCGAAGAGGCAACGGAAGGACCGGCGCCCGAUCGUGCUCCGCACCCUUAAGGAGGAAGUUACUGAAGUGGACUCCGACGGGAAUCCAACGGCGCCCGAAUGAAUAGUCAAGGGGUACUCGCUUCAGCUCGGGUGCAUUCUCCGGAGCACCGUCUCGAUCAACACCGAGAACCUGAGGCAUCCUGACCGAGGGAAUUUGCGCAACCUCCUCUUCACGAAGCUGCACGAACGAUACAAGUUCCCCGCUGAUUUUGAAAACACAAGCCUCAAAGGGAAUAAAGUGAACAAUGCUGCCCUCACGAAGAUGAGCAAGGCCCUGUCUACUUGGAAAAGCAAUGUGAAGAUAAUGAUCGAGAAAGGUGAGAGUUAUGAGAAGAUCAAGGAGAAAAAUCCUUCGAUCACCGAAGAUGACUACAACGACUUCAAGAUCAAUUGCUCGAGCACCGCAAACUCCCAAUCAAGUCAGUGGGGGAAAGAAAUGCGGGAGCUGAACUUAGGGGAACACAAACUCGGUCCCGGCGGUUACAGAGUGGCGGAGCCUAUAUGGGACAAGGAGGACGCGGAGCGUGCCGAGCAAGGCCUACCGCCCCGCUUCGAGAAAUAUAGCGGUAACAAGCAGACCAGGAACUAUGUCAGGUCCCGGUAUAAGGAGGACCCGAUAACAAAGGAGCUUACCACGGAUCCGAAGACCAGGGCGCUUGAGCUUGUUCUGGUAAGGAAUACACCCCCGCGUAAUUAGCUCCAUAUGGUUGCAUUCUAAUUAAUGAAGCCAAAUUUCUAAAUGGUUCACAUUCCUUCCGCAGGCGACUGAAAGCAGUAGCGUGGGGUCGACUAAGAGCAACCCUUGGGACACCACUCUAAAUAGGGCUUGAAUGUAAUGAAGAAUAAGGAUAAGCUCAGUAAGCCGACGUCAGCUGGUCGUGUGGCCGGCAAAGGCUUGUCCACAAAAUGGGGGUCAUACUAUACCGCUGGUGUGCGGAAGGAGAAAAAGACCAGCUCGGAAAGCCAGGCGCGCGAGGUUCAGGAACUCAAGGCACAUGUGGCGCGGAUUCCGGAGAUUGUCCAAGAGCAAGUGCAACAACAACUCGGAGCGACGAUCACCGCCAUUGUGCCUACCUUGAUCCAGGGGUUGAGUGCGUGGAUUGCGGGCGGCCAACAGGGGCCGCCCCCGAUUCCUAGCUUCACGGCCAGCAACUCGCAGAAUGCGAUGGCGGGGCCAUUGGUGUCUCCGGCGGAGGCGGCAUUGGUGUCUCCGACGCCAGCACGGGAGCUUAAUGCACCCGGGUGUACGUCGGCCGGCACCUCUGCAGCAAGCGGCCCCUCCGUCAACUGCACGCCCGCCGUUGGCGGUGCCUCGACAUUAGCCGAGCUCGACGCCAUCAUCACGGUAACUAAUUAAGCCUCUCUCGGUCGAGGACUUCAUCUCCUUGCCUUUGACUGGGCAUCCCUGAUGCCCUACAUGUUUUCGCAGGGCGCCGUCAAUGUUCCGUGCACUCUCCUGCACUUCGUGAACAACGAGUUGGUCGAUGUCACCAAGGGCAAAAUCGUUCAACCGGGCAACCCCUUGUUCCACGGUACCCAGAUGCCACCCAACUUGUUUAGGGUUGAACUGGUUCGGGUGCUGCCAGGCUGCGACGAGUUGUUACCUCCGAUUCGACCCGUCGGGGCCGACGAUGAUGACGUGAUGACCCUCAGCGCCUGCCUGAGCUGGCCCCUGCUUUGGCCGAAGAGCCAGAUUCGUUUGGGGGCGGGGGACACCACCCCAAAGACAACAUCGCCAGUCAUGCCGGCGCCAAGUCGGCCCCAUGGCAAGACCGUCGCAACGGUGCCGGACAUCCCUAUGCCACUGGAUCCAAACAUGCAUAUGGCACAGGAUCAGAACGACGACGACGACGAUACAUUUGGCAACGUCGAUUAGUACUUUGCCGAACAUGGGUACGAUGGCGACUUCAUGGGGCCUCCUUCUCAAGAACCCAACCCAACAAAAGACGUGCGCGAUCUAGCUGGUACCGCGGAGAAGCCAAGUUGCAACAGGCGUCGUCUGCCGUUCAGCUCUCAGGAGACGCCUCCAGCUGCCGACUUCACCGAGCCUCAAAUAGGCGAGGUGCGAAAUAUUAUCAGCCCAAAUACACUCAAGAAGGCGGUCUAUGAGCAGAACUCGGUCCCAUUACAGGAGAAGAAGAAGGCAUGCAAAAGAAAGACUAACAAGGGUGCGAGCCAGCCGGCACCGAGUACGAUCCGUGCUCAGGACGGGCCACCUUCACCUGAGGAUAUCUCGAGGAGGGUGCAUGUGGCGGGUAGGGCGAUGCUACCGACAAAUAUGCUCAAUGCUGCAACUGGUGCUAUGCGGAGUCUGCAUGACAGUGUUCUUUUUUUGGAGAAGCGGUGUCUCAGAGAGAAGGAUGUGGCAUACCCGGUUUUUGCGGCCAAGGUGCCAAAGGGCAAGGGCUUUGUGGAUAACUCCAUCGGGCGUAUGAUCGUCCUGUGGUUUGAUGACAUCCACGCUAUGUUGAACCUUCAUCCGCUGCACUACACCUUCGUUCGGCUAUUUUCGCUGAGUAUGGAGAUGCGGAUCAUUCAAGACAAGACCCUGGACAUCGUGAUAGUCGACCCCUUCUACAUGCGUGCCAAGAUCUUGGGCAGCGCUGGGGACCAGCAAGUCGCGAGUUCUUACCUCGAAGGCGUCAUUCUGGCAAACCAAGAUAAGGAUAACUUCCUCGUGCCUUACUUUCCCGAGUAAGUCCUCCCCUCAACCGGCCCGUAACAUAUGAAUUCUUAGAUUUCGAUCGUUUUUCUUUUAACAUUCCGUGUUUUCUGCAGUGACACACAUUGCACGCUCAUCCUCCUAAGCCCCAAAUAUUCCAUGGCCACGUAUUUCGACCCGGACCGUCAGUCGAACGUAGACUACACAAAUGUCAAGAAGGUUCUUGAUGAUGUUCUCCCCGGCUACGCCAAAUCUGGAGGCACCUUCACCAGGCCUAUUCGUAAGUACGACAAGCACGUGUUCUCCCACAAUACGACGUUCUGCUGCGUCAAGCAGCCGCCUGGAGGUCAGAAGGGUGCCUACUACGCCAUCCAUCACAUGCGGGCGAUCGUACGGGACCAUCAUCAACUUCUGCUACCGAGUAAACUCAAAGAUAGGGCCGCGAGCGUGUCGGCAAUCCAGGACGCGGACAUCAGACAAGAAUUCUUUCGCAUCCAGUCGGAGUUUGCGGAAAUCAUCCAUCAAGAUGUCCUUCGUACCUCGGGGCAGUUCUACCUCAGAAAUCAACCGUCCAACAGUGACAUCGACACAAUGCUACAAAUGUAGGCUGAUUACGCCCGUUCUUUCAUGACUCCCACGAUAGACGGCGGCUUCAUCCACGCUCCGGUCCCUUGAGUCGAGUCGAAAGCAGUGAUGCUGUGUCUAGUUCUGAAACAUCGAUUGGCUCAUGUUGUAAUUAAACUUUAAUGAACUUGUAGUAUGUCUUUUUGGUUUCGAGAGUCGUUCAACUUAGAUGUAAUCGAUGCUAUUAAUGUCUUGCUUUUCUCUUCCGAUUGUUCUGUUGCAUACUUAUAUAUUGCUUAUGUAUUGUCUGUUAAUUGGUACUAACGUUUCGUUUGGCUAGUGCAUAGCGAUGUCGUCGUAUGUCGUGUACAAGGGUAAGAUUCCCGGAGUCUACGACGACUGGGAGGAGUGUCGGAGACAGGUUCACUGAUUCAGUGGUAACAGUUACAAAGGGUACACCACUAGGGCCGAGGCCGAAUCUAGGUACGCCCGCUAUCUAGCGGGAGAGGGAAGGGAGCGUUGGAGGAACCGGAUGAAGACGAGUUUCAUCGUGAUGAUGCUCAUCGUGAUGACCGCAGCUCUCUUCUAUGGGAUGGUGGUUUAUAUGAUCGAUAUCGACUUGUAAUGUGAAGACAAACUCGCUACUCGCGGUCUCGAGACUUGUAAUAUAAUGUUCUAUCUUUGUUCGGUCUUUUCAAUUCAGAGACUAAUAUGAUGAAUUGUAUUCAGAGACUAAUAUGAUGAAUUGUAUUCAGAGACUAAUCUUCUAUUGUAUUCAAUGAAUCUGUUAUUGAUGUGUGUUGUCUAUAUUUUGUCCAAUUAUACAUUUUGUAACCUGUGCAAAAAACAGAAAAUAAAAAAAUAAAAAAAACUAAUAUUCAUACUAAUGGCGCAUCAUUAAACAGUGCGCCAUUAGUAUGCCGAAGUUACUAAUGGCGCAUCUUGUUGUUGUGCGCCCCCUGGUAUACAUGGCCCCCUGGGAGGCAUACUAAUGGCGCACUGUUGUAUAUACUAAUAGCGCAUCCAGUGGUGCGCCAUUAGUAUACCAGAUACUAAUGGCGCACCAGUGGUGCGCCAUUAGUAAAAUAUACUAAUGGCGUGGCACUAAUGGCGCACCACUAAUGCGCCAUUAAUGGCCAAAUUAGGUGCUCCAUUAGUAGGCCUUUUCCUAGUAGUGAUAUAUCUAAAAUCGGUGUCGUCGCCGAUCUAUCCACAUAACGUAUCAGGACCCACAGCCGGUGCAGCCUACCUAAAGCGCACACCACAUGCACACGUUUUAGAAGCCGUCAUCAUUGGACCAUUGAUUCAUCUUCAGGAGAGAGAUUCGCAUCAUCCUUGCCAUUCCAGAUAUCCGUCGACGCCACCACGGCACCUAAAGGCGCCACCGCCCUGCGCUCGUCCGUCCCGACGCAAAGACUCUAGAAGAUCUGUCGUGCGUAGCACCUGCUAAACAGGCAUGACUCAGCGUAGUACCUAUCGGUCAGGCAUGACUUGAAAGCUCCACCGAAGCUCCGUGCAAAAUGAAGCCGCUCCACCUCAUGUCUCUGUCUUCCAGCACUGCUCGACAAACGAUGCUCUCAAGAGAGAAACGGCACCAAAGUACCGCCAUCGUCCGAUCUGGAAGACCGGAUCCUAGGGUUUCCCCCAAAGCAGCAUGAGUGAGUCGACAACAGUUACCCGAUGAUGCCUUCAUCAAGGUAACGGCGCAAAACGCCGUCAUCGCCCGCCAAUGGCUCGGUUUUCAUCGGCAACUACGUCUCCCCGACUCGUAGCCGGGACUAGAUGACGAAUCUCGAGACCUGACCACCCAGCCACAGGCUGACCACCUCUGACAGAAGAGAUGACCACCACCGCCGACUGCAUCGAUCAGAACAUAUCUGACCGGAGGUGCUGCCGACGCAACCACCAAGCCCUCCACGCCACCGCUACCGAUCCAAAGGCAGAUGGCGUGUCGCCGCCGUUGCCAUCCGGACAGGGCUGGUCGCCGCGCCCGCAGCCCGCGCCGUCCCUGACGCCGCCGCGUCACAGCCAUCACCGUUGCCGAUUAGAUCGGGCACGCCUCCACACGAUUUGAGGCCCCGCCCAACCCCAGAUCGGCGCGAUAGAGGGUAUGUCCUUCGCCACCGCCGUCGGCCCCCGAGCUUAGACCGGCGUCGUUAGACCUGGCCAUGGGAAGCCCGGCCCGACGCUGCCCCUUGGCUUGGCUCGGGCCUAGAUUUUGAGCCCGAAGGCCGUGCCGGGCCGGGCCCGGGCCCGUCGUUUUCACGUUUUUUUGAAGGUUGGGCCGGGCCGGCCCGAAGCCCGACGGGCUUUUACGUGUUUGGGCCGGGCUUGGCCCCAGAAAACAAGCCUCAUGGCCGGGCCGGACCCGGGCCUGGGUUUUUUGCGUUGGGCUUGGUUGGCUAGGCCCGGCCCGAAGCCUGGCCCGGCCCGAGGUAUGGCCAGGUAUAGGCGUCGUCCCCCGACGGCGGCGGAGUGAGGGGAGGAGGGAGUGUGCGCUGAGUCGCCCGACACGGGGGCCUCAGGGCGGUGGUGGGUGUUUUUUCUUCCAUGUUGUUUUACAGUUGUGUGCCUGGCGUUCUUUUUCUAUGGCAUUAAUCCAGAUAUCGGGUGGACAACUGAAAUCACGGUAUCCGGCCAUGGAGCGGCAUGGCAAAAAGCGGUGCCACAACCCAACAGCCACCUGACAUGAAAGAAACAACUCUCAGGGAUGAGACGGACGCGAAGCCGAUGGAGGAAGGAUCCCAAUACCCUGACGACCAGUGGGGUAUUUGGAUUAUCAUUCAACUCCCCCUGUUGGUGGCUACAUCAAGUUUUCUCGUCAUCAUUCAAACAUUAUGUUUGUGUCUACCAUGUAUAUUUACCAACGACAUUGUCCAUGUCCUACUUUGGAGCUAGUUCAAAGGGCACCUGAGCCCAAUUGAAGCCGAGAAGCAAAGCAACCUACAAAUAACAUAUUUUACGAAUAAUCCGCAAAGGAGAAAAAACAUAUGCAAAUGAGAACUUAGGCGAUCUAUUUCAAUGAUGUUUGUGAGGAGUUGCCUGCAAAGUGAUUAUGUUCGACCGCACGUCCUACGGCAAAUGAACUGAUCCAUCGGAACCGGCCUUGCCCGGGGAGAGGUGGGUAUCACUACUCAAUCCAGCACACGACAACAAUCGAAUGAACGUCGGAUCUCGGCAGUCACCACACGAGCGAGCAACCAACCCUAGCGAUAGUGGCCACUGUGGGAGGCGGUCGAUCGGUCUGGCAAACAAUCGAAGCAGUGGAGGCUAGACAAGGCCCAACUGUCAGUGCAGGCGACAAGUGAGCAGCAACAGCGGUGCAGCGGCAUUGCUAGUGGCCGGUGUUGGUUGACGUGUUGCCGAGAUGGUUGUCGAUGCAAGGUUCGCCCCAUCUUAAUUUUUUUUACCCCCCGUCACUAUUUUGGCCUUGGCGUUCUUAUGUCUGGCUCACACGUCCUUGAGGUUUGAGUGCGUAUGUGUUCGUCUAAACCUUACUCAAACCCUAGUUUUUUUGGUGAGUCUCCUCCUCUCCUUGUAUGAAAUGGCAGAGCUCCUGCCUGCCUCAGCAAGUUUCCCAGGAAAGGGAAAAGAGAAAAAUUCAUUGGAGGUCAUCAUACUCGUCGCGUUGGCCACAUUAGUCCCUGUAGUUACAAAUACCCGAAAAUACGCCACUAAACUUGUCUCAGGGGUUCGCUUACGGUCCAAUCUACGAUUUCUUAUACGUACGCGCUGAUUUGGCAGCUGACUGGCUUGUCCACGCGUGUGUUGACUGCCAACUCAUUAGCACCCGGUCUAAACGAAUUAAUACGAAGGAAUGCGGGGAUUGUUUUGCAAAAUCUCCUCCUGCUGCUGCUCGCGCCCUCGGUCGUCUCCGCGUCGACGCCGAACUGGAGCUUCCGCGAUGAUGGCACGCCGCUCGUAAAUAUGCACUGCCAGCCGCCCCUCCGCUCAUCAACACCACAAACACAUCGGCGGGGAGGAUCCAAUGGAGUCGUCGUCGGUGGCGGUGGUGGCGGUGCCGUUCCCGAUGCAGGGCCACCUGAACCAGCUGCUGCACCAGGGCCGGCCCUGAGGGGGGGCAGGGGGGGGCGCCCCGGGCCCCCAAAAUCAAGGGACCCCUCCCUAGACGCGCAGGUAGCCCAUGGGCCAUUGCCCAGAGAGGUAGGGGAGGGGCGCAGCCUUCGAUCACGCAGAAGCAACCUUCGUUCCUCAAAAAGAGGCAAGCAUUCCUUUGAUCGAGCAAACGCUGCCUUCCUCCGAUCCUUAAUUGCCCAGUUUGUUGAUUCCUAUCCCCCACCGAGUAGUACUAAUUUUUUCUUCCCAAACUCUUCAAACGGCUUACUCAAAGCCGUGGCGAUCUCUAUUCCGAGUCCUGGUCUCCUGGAUCGUUGGACGUGCACAUCCUCGAGCUCCUGCCGCCGGAGUCAGACGCCGGUCCAAUGGCUUUAGCCUCGAGCGCUGAUGAUCGAUGCCGAUCCGAUCUAUCCCAGGUGCUCCGUAUUGCAGUUACAUAUUCCCCACACAAGUAUAUUGCUAAUUAAGUAAUUUACUUCAGCAUAUACAUUACAUACUUUGCAUUGUUCAUUCAUCACAUCUUUUUAUAAAAGAGAGCGUCCUCUUCGUUUUUAUAUUUAACUAAAAUCACAAUGUUCUUACAGUACCUUCACCGCUUCACCACAUGUAUCUUUCGAAGUAUACAUGUUCAUUAUAUUAGGGCAUGUACAAUGUGAGAGCUAGUAGCGAGCGCCAAUGUGGAGUUCCUUUCGGUUAUACCUCGUUUCCGUUUGAUCACUAGCGCCAAUGUGGAUUUCCUUUUGGUUAUGCCUCUUUUCCGUUUGAUCACUAGCGCCAAUGUGGAUUUCCUUUCGGUUAUGCCUCGUUUCCGUUUGAUCCAAGAGUUUCCCUUUGCGUUGAUGUAUGAAGUGUUGCAGGGCGUCCCAAAGAGAUUCGCUCCCACACACACAUAUUUGACGAGAGGCUAGCGCUAUGCUGGACGCUAAAAACGUCCUAGAAAAUCUUUUAGCUUCAACUAACUCAAAAGAUUUUAGUUGUUGGAUGGAGUAGACGCUAGCAUAGUUGCUCAUCCAUUUUUUCACUCGUAUCGCCUCUAAAUUGAUUUUAUCGGUCAAGCAACAUACUGUAACGACAGAUCAUGCUCGCGCAAUGUGGUAGAUCGCGUUGCGCGACAGGGCAUACAAGCGAAUGUUAGCGCUUUAGAAUUUUUGUAUUUAUUAUUAUUGCUAUAAUGUUUAUAUUAAGGGCCCCAAAUUUUAUUUCGCCCCGGGCCCCCAAAAUCUCAGGACCUGCCCUGGCUGCACCUGUCGCUGCAGCUCGCGUCCGAGUCUCACGGGCUGGACCUGCACUACGCGGCGCCCGCGGCGCACGUCCACUAGGCGCGCGCGCGCGUGCACGGCUGGGACGCGGAGGCGCUCCGCUACGUCCACUUCCACGAGCUCGAGAUCCCCGCGUUCGCCGCCCCGCCCCCCGACCCGGACGCCGCCUCGCCCUUCCCCACCCACAUCAUGCCCAUGUUCGAGGCCUACGUCGCCGGCGUGGCCGCCCCGCUCGCCGCGCUCCUCCGGGAGCUCUCCGCAUCCCGCCGCCGCGUGGUCGUCCUGCACGACGUCCUCAACGCCUUCGCCGCCGUCGAGGCGGAGCGGCUGCCCAACGGGCAGUCCUCCGGGCUCUACUGCGGCGCCGUGUUGUACAUGGUCGGCAUGGUGGACGCCGGGCACCGCCUCCUGCGGGACAGGGGCCUCGAGUACGCCCCCAUGGACAGGUUCGUGUCCAGGGAGUUCAUGGAGUGCGCCAAGAGACAGUACAUCAUGGCGCAGUCGGUCUCGCGCGACGGUGGCAUGAUCGCCAACACGUGCAGCGCGCUCGAGGGCGAGUUCGUCGACGCCUUCGCCCAGACCCUCGCCGCCGUCCGCCAGAGGAUCUUCGCUGUCUGGCCGUUGAAUCCUCUGCUGGAGCUGGAGCUGGACCAGAUCGACGCGAAGCAGGGGCGGCACGAGUGCCUGGACUGGCUCGACAAGGAGCCGGCGGCGUCGGCGCUCUACGUGUCGUUCGGCUCGGAGUGAGGUCCUCACUCCGAGGUUCGCAGGUCGCGGAGCUCGCCGCAGCAAGCAGCGCUUCAUCUGGAUGCUGCGCGACGCCGACCGCGGCAGCGUGUCCACGGCCGACGCCUACAGCUUUGCAUCCAUCCAUCCGUGUGCUUUGCUUUGCUUGCUGGAGUGGUAGUAAUCGAGGCGCUGGUUUGCUUUGAACAGCAGCCGCCUCGGUCGCAUACAUGCGUCGCCACUAGCUAGGCUACGCUAGGAUGCAUGCUCCAUGCAAUGGAACAAAAGAUUGUGCACGACUACAUAUGCAAACCAAGACCAGCAGAACAGGCGGCACAGCAGGGCGGCCAAUGAGUGCGCGGUUGGACUGGCUGGCUGCGCCCUGCCGCUCUGCUCCUGUGGAUGACAGUCUUGGCUCGGCUUGGGUGGCCGGACGACGGGAGGCUGGAUGGAUGGGUGACUGCUCGAAGCAGAGGGGCAGAGGCCGCCGAUCUGCCGCGCUUAUCCCAGGGCUACAGCUGCCGCUACAGCGAGCGAGCCCAUGCAAGCACGUCGCCUCAGGAAUCAAAUGACCGCGGGCAGGGUGUCCACGCACGACGACCACAGGGCGCGGGCGGCGGACCGCGGGUCGAGCCAGAUGUCGAGGCCGGGGACGGAUUCCCAGCGGCGGCGCCAGGUGCGGACCAGCUCCUCGAAGGGGAGCCGAGCACGACGACGAACAUGGGAGAGCAGGGGAGAGCUAGUGGUGCAGCGGUCCGGUCCGACCAGAUGGAUGGCUCGGGCCAAAUUUGCGAAAACCCUCCACAUUCAUUCGUAUUACUUCGUUCCAACCAGCUUCGUACUAGGUGGCAGUCAACGCACACGUGGCCAAGUCAGUCAGCCGCCAAAUCAUCGCGUACGUAUAAAAAACGUACAUUGGACCGUAGGUGACCCCUGAGACAAGUUUUGUGGCGUAUUUUCGGGUAUUUGUAACUACGGUGACUAAAGUGACCAACACGACAAGUACGAGGACCUCCAGUGAAUUUUUCUCAAGGCAAAAAAACAUACGGGCUGUGGCGUGGGCUCCGUGGGCCGGUGCUGUGGCCGAGUGGGGACCACCUGUAAGCGCAGAAAACUCUGAAUUAAUGUGUCAGUUUCUCUCUUGGCUCUGCACUUUCUUCUACCUCUCCUCUCCCCUCCCCUCCCCUCCCCUGUAAUCUCUCCUCUUCCCCAGACCCCUCUCUGUUCCUCUCAUUGGAUCGGAAAGAAGAGAGAUUGGGCGGUGACACUCCACCUCCAUCGAUCCCCUCGAGACCUAACCAGCAUACGCGAAUCGCCGAUCCGGACCAUGGACGCCAACUGGCGGCCCACCCAAGGGUCUGGCCCCGCCGGCGGCGGCGGCGGCGGCGGCGCUGACCCGCCCCCCGCCGGAGGCGACUGGCGCGCCCAGCUCCAGCCCGAGGCGCGCGGCAGGAUCGUCGAUAAGAUGUACGUGUGCCUGUAGGGACUCACUCUAAUUCAUUGAUUGAUUUGAUCUGAUUUCCCCUUCCUCUGCUCUUUCGGUUUCCCGCAAAGAAAAAAAAAGAGGACUUUUUUUUCAUCGAUCCGUCUGACGAGAGCCGCUUUGAUCUAAACUUCCAGUUUCGUGCAUACUGAUUCGUAGCGGCACCGGCAGAUUCGUCCGUCGUCGAUCUAGCUCCCAGUUUCUAUUUUGAUUCUGUAUAUAUAUAUAUAGUCAAAAUCCCGUCUGAUUUGAAUCCAGCUUAUCACUCCAUUAACUCUGAACUGUUUUAACACAAUUUUGCCAUGGCACAACGUUUGAUCACCUAGGGCAGACCCUUCUAUUCGUACUAUUCCAGGACGCAAUUUUGUUAUGAAGUCACACACACAAAAUUUGUUCACAUUUUGCGCUGUGCGUGUAGAAUGGAGACUCUGAAGAAUCAUCUGCCAGUAUCUGUGCCUGUGACGCCAGAGGCACUGAACGAACUUCAAAAAAUCGCUGCGCGAUUCGAAGAAAAGGUCUAUACCGAAGCAACCAGUCAGGUAAUUUAACAUAUCCUCGACCGUGCGAAACUGCUAAUCACACAAGAACUGUUGGUUGUGAGCCGCUAUCAGUAAUUUGGUAUAGAACUUUACAUCGUUUUCUUUUUGUAUUACUCAGUAUGAUUAUUUGCGGAAGAUUUCUGUGAAGUUGCUCUCAAUGGAGACGCAGAGACAGCAGGCUCCUGGAAAUGCUUUGCUGAUUCCAAAUCAAAACAACCCUGGUAACGUACCAUGUACACUAAACUGUGCUGCACAAUUUAUCAUCUUCGCUUGGAUGUCAAUAUAUUUUAUUGCAUCAGGUGCUGAGAUUAUGUGCUUUAUUGCAUCAAGUGCUGAGAUUAUGUGCUUUAUUGCAUUAAAUCACCCUCCACCCUCGUCAGCAUAAUGUAUAAGCUUUUUGCAUAUAGCUUGUGUCAUGUGUACGUGGUUAUUGAACUUGGAGCGACACAGUAAGUGCCUCAGUUCAACCUAUUGGUUCAAUAUAAUAUUAUAGCAUGGUUUUUCUGUUAGUAUGGUAGAAACAAUGUUAAGUACGAAGAUAGCAAAUGAACAGACUAGUUAGUUAUUCAACUGGGGUAAUCCGCCUUCCUACCUUAAAAUGGUCAGAUUCCUUGCACAUACAGCAUUUUACUGACCCCUGGUACAGCGUCGGAUUGGGUUGUUCAACCAGGUUUUCACCGGUUCACAGCAACGAUCUUCAGCUCUUUGUAGAAUUAUGUUUAUUCCCUCCUUGCUACCUUUAGAAGGUACUCCCUCUGUCCUAAAAUAUAAGAACGUUUUUAACACUACACCAGUGUCAAAAACGUUCUUAUAUUAUGGGACGGAGGGAGUAGAUCAGUUGGUUAGCUGUCAGCUGUAUUUACGUUGACUCUCAUAUUAAUAAAAAGAUAUGCAAACACUUGUUUGCAUGCUCUCUAAAACAAAUCAGGUUGCCAGUCCUUUAAUUGCUCUGGCACAUUUAUUUUUCUCAUUGAAAAUGCAGAACGCCUUCAUUUGAUCUGUAAUAUGCUGCUUUCAACACUUUGUGUGCCUGUUACAGUUCCACAGGAAGUAUUUGUUCACAAGAUACUUUAUUAACACACAUAUGGUACCUUUUCUGCACAGCCCCUGGACUCCAUCCACAAGGCAGUAAUCAAGCACAGACAUCAGCAGUUCCCUUGAUGUCUCAGCAACAGGCCCGGCAGCCAAAUGCUUCUACAUCUGUACAAGCUUCUUCACUCACUAAUAUCAGACAGAACUUGCCAGGUGUCAACCAAACAUCAAUGAUGCAGACUGCGUCUGUCAUUCCACAAAACACAAUGAAUAAUGGCUUGGCGCAAGGCACUUCACAAGAUGUUUAUGCUGCACAAAGGCAAAUGGCAGGCAGGCAGCAACAGGAACAAUCUCAGCAAUUAAUUUAUCACCAGCAUCAACAGCCUUCUCUGCAGAGUCAGCAGCCCAAUAUUCCUUUACAACAGCAGCAACAACAGUUGAUGGGACAACAGCCAAAUUUACAACAAAAUCAGCUAAUUGGUCAACAGAAUGGUGCUGUGAUGAUGCAGCAGCAACAGAGGCUAACAGUUCAGUCAAAUAAUCUUUUGAAUGUGCAGCAAACACAUCAGAUGUUGAACCAGCAGUAUAUGCCUUUGUAUCAGCCACAACAAUUGGGCUCUCAAGCAAAUAUGUUGAGUCUAAAGCAGCAUCAACAAAAUCAACAGCAGCAGCAACUUUUUGGAACUGUGCCUAAUGUGUCAAACAUGCAGUGGAUGCAUAUGCAACAAACAAAAGCUCAGCAACCACAGCAACAACAUGCUCAGCAGCCACCAAUGGGUUUGAUGCAACCUCAGUUUCAACACAAUCAACUUCAACAAUUGCAACAUCUUAUGCCACAGUUCCAGUCUCAGCCUAACCAACUACAAGAGCAAUUAAGGACGCAGCAGCAAUCCUCCAUGCAGCAAAGACUUCAAACUUCAGGAGCCAUGUUCUUGCAACAAAAUAACAUGGAUCAGCAAAACCAGUUUAUUCAGGCACAGAGGGGCCUUCAAGAAGUUUCCUCUAGUAGUAAGUUUUCACUUUUCACAUAUACCUUUUUUGUAGAUCCAUCAUAUGCUCUUAUUGUUCUCAUCUUCUUUUUCUCCAUGUUCUUAUAUCAAUCUUCCUGUUGUCACCUUACAUUCCUUGUGCGGUUUAAACUAGCUUAACAAUCUGGCCUCUCAUUAUUUUUGCCUUACUUACAUAGAAACGUUUAGGGAAAAAUGUGUGUUGUCCAUCAGGACCCCCACACCCUUACUUAUCGUGCUAACAAUUACGUUGGACUAUAAUACAAGGUCCGUAUGAGACUACAACCGGAAUUUUUGGAUCCUAACUCUUAUUGAACCCUUAGGGCACUCCCGGUGCAUUGUAUCUUGCAUUGUAUCAUAUGCAUUAAAUAUGUGUAGAUAUAACUCUUCCAAUGGCUUAUAUCUUAGUGUUAUAUCUAAUGGAGCUGCCAUUUAAUAUGUUUUGUGGGAGGAAAAAAAUUAUUUUGGGUUACCCGAUAAGAGUUGUAUUUUCAUAAGAUACAACAAUAUCUCUCUUUUUCCUCACUAACUAGGCUACUUCAACAGUAUUUGGACUUCUGCACAGAUGGCAUGUUUUAGAUACAACCGGCAUUAUUGCACUGGGUUUGCCCUAAGUACGACUCAAAACAGUUUAUGAAAUUAAUGUGAUGCUACAUGAACUAGCUUGAAUGUUCUUUAAAACUUCUUUGAAGAUGACAACCAGAUUCAUAAUUCAGAUGCAAUUAUAUGAUUUUUGACAAGUGAAAUGCGCCACAGGUCCUAGAACUAUCGACUGGUGUGAAGUUAGUCCUAAAGCUUCAAAAGUGCAUUUCAAUCUUUUUUUUUGCCUGAACUACGGUGGAUAGAUGGACAGCUUGAAGAUGGAAUUAUAUUGCGAUGUUUAGUGAUCCAGUACUCUGUAAUAAUAUGUUGACUAAACUGACCCUAUUGAUCUUCAGUGACUUCUGUUCAGCACAUUGGUUUUUCUUAUUUGUUGGAAUUUUUCUGGAAAAGUGCUACUGUGCGAUAAUCAUAUUGACUAAGCUGACCAUAUUGAUCUUCUGUGAUUGUUUGAUUUGGUUCACAAGUUCUCCAAUUGCCCCAUAUUGAUCUUCUGUGAUUGUUUGAUUUGGUUCACAAGUUCUCCAAUUGCCCCUGCAUUCCAUCCUACAAUGUCUUUUUUUUCUUUUCGAAAAGGAGGUUAAACCCCCGGCCUCUGCAUCAAUGCCUACGAUGUACUUGUAGCUUGUUAUUUGUUGGCUUUGUUCAUUUUAUCCUGAUACUCUUUGCCAAUCUUGCUUUUUAUGCAGCAUCUGCGGACUAUACUGCUCAAACAGGCCAUGCAAGUGCAGGUGAUUGGCAAGAGGAGAUACAUCAAAUGGUAAGACAUGAUACUGAUAUCAUCCUUUUUGGCACUCCCUUUCUUGGUACUUCCUAAAAUUCGUAGACAGUGGCCCCUAGAACAAAGAUGUUGAGAUUGCCCUGAUCUAGAUUGUUAGAAGAUGAAACUACACACCAUGUUGGAUGUUGGGGCCUUUUACUUUUGCACUUAAUGUUGUCUAUCUCUUUUUCUUUUGGUCUGUGUUCCAAGAAAUUCCUCUUUUGGAAUUUCAUACAGCAAGUGUGUAGAUGCACUACAUUCUGGCAUUCCACUUAUAAGAUAUACUCCCUCUGCCUGGAAAUACUUGUCAUCAAAAUGGAUAAAAGGGGAUGUAUCUAGACGUAUUUUAGUUCUAGAUACAUCUCUUUUUAUCCAUUUUGAUGACAAAUAUUUUCGGACGGAGGGAGUAUAUUACAUGUAUACGGAAUUCUGUUUGAAUGCGGAGUAUGGAGCAUACAACCAUACAGUCUAUCUAGAUGUAGUAAAGUCUCAAGGCAGAUAGCAAUCUUUAUUAAAGCUAUUUUAUUUAAUGGGCAUCAUAGUUUCUUAUUUUCUUCUAGAUUUGUGUGCUGCUAAAAGCUACUUGAAAUAUCUUGCCAAUGCCAUAUUUUCUGACUUGAUGACAAACCAUGGUCUAUUAGCUGUUCUGUUUUCAUCUCUAUAUUGCUUCUGCACCAAAUUAAUGUUUAUGUGGUCUUUGUUGUCGACAGAUUAAGAGGUUAAAGGACCAAUACUUUGCAGAACUCAGUGAAUUAUUCAAUAAGAUGUCUGUGAAGCUACAGCAUGUUGACAGCAUUAUUCCACCUCAAAUAUCAUCUGAGCAGUAUGAUAGAAUGAAGAGCUUUAAAAUAAUGUUGGAGCGCAUAUUACAAAUGCUGCAAAUUGGUAAAAGUAGUGUCCAACCUGCUAUGAGGGACAAAGUUCCUCGAUAUGAGAAACAGAUUAUCAGUAUCUUGAACUCAAAAAGGAAGCCAGUGCAGCCACAAAUACAACAACAAUUCCAGCCACCUCCAGGUCAAGCUCCUAAUUCUAGUAUUUCACAGCAGCUACAACCUUCCCAAAAUUUGCAGUAGCAUGAUAGUCAUACUAAUACUCAAAGUUUGUUAAGUAUGAGCACCAGAUUACAGUCCUCUAGUGUAGCUGGUAUCCAGCAUGUACCUGUGCCUCGAACAAUCCUUGUGUAGUUUAAACUAGCUUAUCACACUACUGCAGCAAUGCCUACCAGUGGCGGUUGCAAUAAGGCUACCAGUGGUGGGUAGGGCACCUCGCCACGGUAUCCUGACACUGGUAAUAUGUUGCCUGUGGCGGGUGUCAUUUCUCACCCAUGGUUGGCAACCAAUUACCAGUGGGGGCUGGCCUAUUCACCCUUGUAUGUGGCACGCUAGUGGCGGCACGUUCCCCCACCCGCCACCGGUAACCUCCCCCUAGAUGAAAAAUGAACGCUGCCACGGCAACAUAAAGCACUACCAUGUCAGAUUUUUUUGCUGUCGUGGCAGCGUUUUUGCACAUUACAUUAUAUAUGCAUCGCAUUACAUAGAUAAAUUGAUUCAUCACAUUAUACAUGCAUCCAACUACCUAGGAACUAUACUAGAACUAAUUAGAAGUAGGAACUAUGAACUACAUCUUGUAACUAUACUGGGACUAUAUACUAGAACUAAUCAGAAUUGCAUAACUAAGAACUAUAUCUUUUAACUAUACUAGAACUAAUUAAGAGUUGAAUUUAAGAUUUGCAUCAUGAGAAUCAAAUCCCUAGGCCUCGAGAUUGAAUUUCUGAUCAACAGGGAGAAGAGGGAGAGAGCUUACUGUGGUGGCUGAGGCAGAGGCACCCCACGAUCGAGUUGGGCAGGACCGUAUGGCGGUGAGGGUGGUCCGGGCACGCGUGACUAGCGAGGGUGACGACCGUGCAAGCAAGGCAAGGGCGAUGGGCAGCUAGGGAUUUGUGCAAAGGAAGAAGGGGAAUUUGGCCAGGUCCUGUGUGGCCUAGGGUUAAGUGGAAUGAACUUACCGGAGGUGUUGUGGGGGUUGAUUUAAUCAUAAAGUAAUUAUGUGGAAUGGACUUACCGAUGGUUGAAGGGUCUAACAGUUCGGGUAAUAGUAGACAGGACCAGCCAAUGAUUGUUUUCUAAGGCCCACAACUGAUAUUGUUUUUGCAAUUUCCCAUACAAUAUCAUAAAACCAUAAAACCCUAAAACCCUAAAAAUGACAAUAAAUACCUAACAAUGUACCAGUGGUGGGUGGCAAGAGAGCCCGCAAUUGAUUUGUAAAGUAUCAGUGGCGGUCGUCAUAUUUUAACCGCCACCGGAGUUUGAGCUCAGAUAUUAGCCCAUGGCUAAUUUGGGCCAAUCUGGGCAGGUGGGUAUCAUAGACCGCCACUCGUAACUCAAUUACCAGUGGUGGGCGGGCGAACACACUUGCCACUGGUGCCCACGGCUAAUCUGGGACCAUAAUACCAGUGGCGGGUGCGAAAUGAUGCAAUUAAGCAGUAUUGUCGAUCUGGCCUCUCAUUAUUUUGGACAUGGCUAGCCAGCGCCCAUGCGUUCAUUGGGGCUGACGAGCAGUUGCCCAUAUACGGAAAGUCGGUCUGUCACUUUCCCAAAAGAGCAAAACUAGUGUCCCCCACCACGUGAUUCCAAAGCUAGCCGAAUCCAGAAGGGAAAGUACUCGACGUCUUCACCUUACAAGGAAAUCAAUUACGAUCCUAUCCCACAUGCAUUUAUUUGGGUUUCAAAAAAUUUAAAAAGCUAUAAUUUUUGUUUACACGUCGGAACUCAGAUCUGUUUUCACCGCUGGGUUUCUCGCGACAAGUUCUUCAAAAGUAGAUCCCAUAUGGGUAGGUUUGGACAGACUUUUUUCGUGGGCAACUUUGGGUGGUAUUGAGGCAACUUUAGUGCUAUAGGAAGCAACUUCUUUUUUCCCAGUAUAAUUGCCUAACAACAAAAAAUCCUAUGGAGGCAACUUUAAUGCUAUAGAAAAAUAAUUUCUUCUUAGUUUGUCUAGCAUGACUGCCUACAAUAGAAAGUCCUUAUAUUGUUAGCUACCAUUACUAUCGAGUUAACUAGAUUCACCAUCAAGUUGCCUACCAUAACUAGCAAUAGAAGACAAUAUAGCAUCAACUGUAGACGACUUCGGAAUAUUAUAGGCAAUUUAGGAACAACGACAUAUGAGCAAGAACCGUACGCAACUUAAAAGCACCGGUGAGCAAGUUAGGAGAAUGUCGGGCAAAAUUAACUAGAACACAAAAUUUGGUGAAGUUGGCUAUUUUUAGCACCAAAGUUGCCUCUAGUAGAACGAAAAAUGGUUAGGAAGGUUAUGUGAUGUCACCUACCUCUCGAAGUUGUUCACUAUUAGUAGUGAGUGGCUUAUUGUUGCCGAUCAUAACUAGCAAUGGCAGACAAUAGAGCAUCAACGACAGGCGACUUCAUUGUAUUAUAGGCAAUUUAGAAAUGAGCAAUGCUACACAUACAUGAACUUACGUCCAGGUUUUACGUAAAUGAUGAUGUGGGUGUUGUUAAUUGGGCCAGGAUUAGCAGCUGGGGCCCACCCUGGUUGAAAUCAGGGGAGAGGAGAGAAUGAUAUGGAAGGUUAAGUAAGCAUACUUAGGACCUUUCGUAGGUCUAGCAUUUUUGUUUAGAAUUUACGACAUACAAGCAUGAAUGGUAGGCAAGGUUUACGAGUCGAUGAGUGGACAAGUCGUUCUGAGGUUGAGACUCAUAGACUAAGUGUGACUAAUCGACACGAAUCGACACUGAAGUUUCGACUCAGAGACUAGUCGACACUGAAGCCUAGUCGGCCCUGAAGUUGAGACUCAUAAACUAGUCUACAGAAUAGUCUUGACUAGUCCUUGGACUCAUAAUCCAUGAUAGUAGGCAAGUUAGAAGUAGCGGUGAGCAAGUUAGGAGAAUGUUACACAAAAUUAACUAGGACAUCAAAUGUAGUGAAGUUGCCUAUUUUGGUGAACUAACUAAAGUUGCCUCUAGUAGAAGGAAAGUUGCUUAUGAAGGUGAUGUGGUGUUACCUACCUCUUUUUUGAAAGUUGUUCGCUAUUACUAGUUAGUCGCUUAUAGUUACUAAUUAGUUGCUUUUAAUAGAGUGAGUUUCUUCUGUUUAGCACUACAAUUGCCUCAUCUAACAUCAAAGUUGCUUUUGAAAAACAAAUCGAAACAUAUCCAUAUGGGUUCACAUUUUGAAGAGCUAGUCGUGACCUGGCUAGCCAGUGCCCACACUCUUAGUAGCGUUGGCGGGCACAUAAUCCCCCCUACCUCGAAAUGGAAAGCACAAGGCUCUCGUACAAUCCGUCCCCACUUAGUUUCCAAAUUUGGAAUCAUGAUAGGCAACUUAGAUCCCACUUUUUUUUUCUGAUGUUGUAGCCAACUUAUAUCCCUUGAUGGACAACUUCCAUAGUAUUGUAGGAAAUUGAGGAUUACCCAUAGGGAACUUCGUAGCGACGUAGGCAACUAGGUUUUUGAGGUCGACAACACUAGGAGCCAUCUUAGGCAACUUUCCGCUCUAUGAUAAGCAACUUCCAUAGUAUGGUAGGCAACCAAACUAUCAACAACUUAGUUUUUGAUAUAUGUAAUGUAGCAACCAUGUUAACACUUAUAACACUACUGCACACAACUAAUUAGAAGGCUACUAGGUGAAUUCACUAAUACACAUAGUGCAAUUAAGUUGCUUCUUUGUAGCGCCAAAGUUGCCCAAUGUAGCAUCAAAGUUGCUCUAAAAAAAGUUCGUCAAAAUAUACCCAUAUGGGAUCUAGUUUUGAAGAACUCGUCGCGAGACCCAACGGUGAAUAUGAAUCUGAAUACCAAUACUCUAAUCAAAAGCUAUGACUUGUUAAAUUUUAUAAAACCCAAAUAAAUGCACCUACUUUUCCUUUCUUGAUUGAUGUGUGCAAAAUAGGGAGCGUUCGAAGGGAUGAGGACCAGAUACUUUCCCUUUUUGUAGUGUAAUGAUGACACGGGGUGCCAAUUACCCUUUAUAGCAGGUCUGCUCAGAUGCACCCCGUGCCGUGUGAGUUUUUUGUCGUGUACUGCGUGCGCUCAGGAAGCCCAAUUAGUGCAGCUGCACUAAGAAGCAUUUGGGCAUUAUUUUUACCUUACAUAGAAAAAAAGUUUAGGGGAAAAUGUGUGUUGUCCAUCAGGACCCCCACGCCCUUACUUAUCGUGCUAACAGUUACGUUGGACUAUAAUACAAGGUCCUUAUUAGAAAACUGGACUUUUGGAUCCCAACUCUUAUCAAACCCUUAGGGCACUCCUGGUGCAUUGUAUCUUGUGUUUUAUCAUGUGCACUAAAUACGUGUUUAGAUACAACUCUUCCAGUGGCUAAUAUCUUGUUGUUGUAUCUAAAUGAGCUGCCAUUUAAUAUGUUGUGUGAGGGAAAAAGAAUAAUUAUCUUGGGUUACCUGAUAAUGGUUGUAUCUUGGUAAUAUACAUUCUCUCCUUUUCCUCACUAACUAGGCUUCAACAAUGGUAUUUGGACUUUUGCUUAGGUGGGAUGUUUUAGAUACAACUGGCAUCAUUGCACUGGGUUUUCCCUAAGUACGACUCAAAUAGUUUACAUGAAUUAGCUUGAAAAUAUUUUAAACUUUUUUGGAGAUGACAACCAGAUUCAUUUCAGAUGCAAUUAUAUGUUUUCUGACAAGUGAAAUGCACCAUAGGUCCUAGAACUAUCGAGGGGGUGGCAAGUUAGUCCUAAAGCAUUAAAACUGCAUUUCACACUUUUUUUAACCUGAAUUAAGAUGGAUAGAAGGACAGCUCGAAGAUUGAAUUAUAUAUUGUGAUGUUUAGUGAUCAAGUACUGUGUAAUAAUCAUUUUGACUAAACUGACCUUAUUGAUCUCUGACUGUUGUUCACCACAAUGGGUUUUCUUAUUUGUUAGAAUUUUUUGUGGAAAAAUGCUACUGUGCAAUAAUCAUGAUGACUAAGCUGUCCAUAUUGAUCUUCUGUGAUUGUUUUAUUUGGUUCACAAGUUUUCCAAUUGCCCCUGCUUGUAGCUUGUUCUUUGUUGGUUGUUCAUUGAAUCCUGAUACUCAUUGACAACCUUCUUCUCCAUGCGACAUCUGUGGAUUCUACUGCUCAACAGGCCAUGCAGGUGCAGGUGAUUGGCAAGAGGAGAUCUAUCAAAUGGUAAGACAUGAUACUGAUAUCAUCCUUUUUGACACUCCCUUGGAACUUCCUAAAAUUCGUAGACGGUGGCCCCUAGAACUAAGAGGUUAAGAUUGCCCUGAUCUAGAUUGUUAGAAUAUGAAACAAGACACCAUGUUGGAUGUUGGGGCCUUUUACUUUCGCACUUCAUGUUGCCCAUCUCUUUUUCUUUUGGUAUGUGUUCCUGGAAAUUCCUCUUUUGGAAUUUCAUAUAGCAAGUGUGGAGAUGCACUAAAUUCUGGCAGUCUUUAUAAGAUAUAUAUUACAUGUAUGCUGAAUUCUGUAUGAAUGUGGAGUAUGGAGCAUACAACCAUACAGUGUAUCUGGAUGUUGUAAAGUCUCAAGGCAGUUAGCAAUAUUUAUUAAAGCUUUUUUUUAUGGGCAUCAUAGUUUCUUAUUUUCUUCUAGAUCUAUAUGCUGCUAAAAGCUACCCCCUCUGUAAACUAAUAUAAGAGCAUUUAGAUCACUAAAGUAGUGAGAUCUAAACGCUCUUAUAUUAGUUUACAGAGGGAGUACUUGAAAUAUCUUGCCAAUGCCAUAUUUUCUGACUUAAUGACAAACCAUGGUCUAUUAGCUGUUCUGUUUCAUCUCUAUAUUGCUUCUGCACCAAAUUAAUGUGUAUGUGGUCUUUGUUGUCGACAGAUUAAGCGGUUAAAGGACCAAUACUUUGCAGAACUCAGUGAAUUAUUCAAUAAGAUGUGUGUGAAGCUACAGCAUGUUGACAGCAUUAUUCCACCUCAAAUAUCAUCUGAGCAGUAUGAUAAAAUGAAGAGCUUUAAAACAAUGUUGGAGCGCAUAUUACAAAUGCUGCAAAUUGGCAAAAGUAGUGUCCAACCUUCUAUGAGGGACAACGUUCCUCGAUAUGAGAAACAGAUUAUCAGUAUCUUGAAUUCACAAAGGAAGCCAGUGCAGCCACAAAUACAACAACAGUUCCAGCCACCUGCAGGUCAAGCUCCUAAUUCUAUCAUUUCGCAGCAGCUACAACCUUCCCAAAAAUUUGCAGCAGCAUGAUAAUCGUACUAAUGCUCAAGCAAGUUUGUUAAGUAUAUGAGCACCGGAUGACAGUCCUCUAGUGCAGUUGGUAUCCAGCAUGUACCUGUGCCUAGAACAAUCCUUGUGUGUAGUUUAAACUUGCUUAUCGCACUGCUGCAGGAAUGCCUACCAGUGGCGGCCGUAAUAAGGCUACUAGUGGUGGGCAGGGCACCCUGCCACGGUAACCUGACACUGGUAAUAUGUUACCAGUGACGGGUGCCAUUUCUCACCUGUGGCUGGUAACCUAUUACCAGGGGCGGGCUGGCCUACUAACCCGCCAUUGUUAUGCGGCACCAUACCUGGCCAUGGGAUACCCAACCCGGCCGGCCCAACCUGACCCGGUCUGGUCUUGCCCAUGGGCCAGGUCUGUGCCUGAAAUCUAAGCCAAAGGCCGGGCCGGGCUUGGGAUUGGCAUAUUUGCAUUUUAGGGAAGAGGCUCGACCUGAGGCCUGACGGUCUUUUCCUUUCAUGUGCCGGGCUUGGCCCUGAAAUCUAGGCCCGAUGGCCAGGCCAGGCCUGGGCCUAGGUUUUCUGCUUUGGGUUUUGUUAGGCCCGCCCCGGCCCGACGGAUGGCUAGGUAUACGCGGCACACUACUGAUAUCAUACUUUUUGCACUCCCUUUGUUGGAACUUCCUAAAAUUCGUAAACAGUGCCCCUAGAACAAAGAUGUUGAGAUUGCCCUGAUCUAGAUUGUUAGAAGAUGAAACAACAUGCCAUGUUGGAUGUUGGAUCUUUUACUUUUGCACUUCAUGUUGCCCAUCUCUUUCUUUUUGGUAUGUGUUCCAACAAAUUCCUCUUCUGGAAUUGGAACCGGAAUUUCAUAUUAACAUGUGUGUAGAUGCACUACAUUCUGGCAUUCUUCUUAUAAGAUAUAUAUUAUAUGUAUACGGAAUUCUGUAUGAAUGCGGAGUAUGUAGCAUACAACCAUACAGAGUAUCUAGAUGUAGUAUAAAGCCUCAAGGCAGUUUAGCAAUAUUUAUUAAAGCAAUUUUAUUUUAAGGAUGUUAUAGUUUCUUAUUUUGUUUUAUAUUUGUAUGAUUCUAAAAGCUGCUUCAAACAUCUUGCGGGUGCCAUAUUUGAUUCUAUUAGCUGUUGUAUUUUCAUCUCUAUCUAGCUGUGCACCAAAUUUAUGUGCAUGUGGUCUCUUGUUGUUUCACAGAUUAAGAGCCUGAAGGAUCAAUACUUUGCAGAACUCGGUGAACUGUUCAAUAAAUUAUCUGUGAAGCUACAGCAUGUUGACAACAUUAUACCACCUCAAAAUCCAUCUGAUAAGUAUGACAGAAUGAAGAGCUUUAAAAUAAUGUUGGACCGUAUAUUACAAAUGCUGCUAAUUAUCAAGAGUACUAUCCAACCUGCUAUGUGGGACAAAGUUCCUCAAUACGAGAAACAAAUUAUCAGUAUCUUGAAUUCACAAAGGAAGUAGUGCAGAAAAAAAAGGAAGCUAGUGCAGUCACAAAUACAGCAACAGUUCCAGUCACCUUCAGGACAAGCUCCCAAUUCUAGCAUUUUGCAGCAGCAACAGACUUCCCAAAAUUUGCAGCAGCAUGAUACUCAUACUAAUACUCAAGCAAAUUUGUCAAGUAUGAGCACCCCAUUACAGUCCUCUAGUGCAGAUGGUAUCCAGCAUGUACCUGCGCCUCCAACAACAAACUUCAGUGGCCCCAUGCAGCAAAAUGGUGCAAGCAUAUAGCAUCAGGUUCGCUCUAAUUUGGAGGCAAUUUCAAUUCUUUGCAGCAUGGUUCGUUGAGUGGUGCAUUACAAUAGGGAAGCUCUGGGCCGAUGCAGGGAACAAUGAAUACACAACUGCCGACAAGUAGUGGCAUGUUAUAUCACAACCCAAUCAGUAUGCCAACCUAACGGUAACUCCAUGCAAGAAAAUGCAAGUUUAUUACAGCAGCUGAAGCAGCAACAGCAGGAUCAUCAUAUGAUGCAGUGUCAGCAAACAAAGCGUCAGAUGUUUCAACAGUACCAGAAAAGCAACAAAUGCUUCAACAAUUAUAGAAACAACAAGUACAGAUGCAUCUUCAUGCUGGAGAUGAUGUUAAUGAGUUAAAGGUUAGACAAGGAAUUGCAAUGAAAUCUGGAGUUUAUCAACAGCACUUGGGCCAAUGCAGUAACUAUUAUCAUAAUCACAGUUGAAACAGAGUGGUGCUUUCCCAAUUUUGUCACCACAAAACUUGCAAGCAUCAUCCCCACAAAUUUCGCAGCAUUCCCCUCAAGUUGAUCAGAACAAAUUUCGGCUGUUCCAAGUACUACUUUACGAUGCAAAACAAUUCUUUAACUGCAUGGUGCACAUUCAUGAGUAUCCUUGGAUCCUGAUGUAACUAUCAAGUCCCUCGCCUUGUGAUAUCCUUCUGGUCACUCCUCGAUCAAUAAUCGCUGCAAUGAGAAUCCAACCAGGCCAAUCCUUUUUUACCUUAACAUAUAUGGUAUGCUCUGUACUCUAGUGUUUUUUUUUGUUAAUUUUGUAUCAUCCCCUGGCAGAACGAUUGCAAGUGCUUAGUUACAGACUUCUUCUGUCGGUCCCUUUGGCAGAAAUGGUCGAGCGUUUGCUUUGCAAAGAUAAAGGUGCUGCUGUUGGAGCAUGGGCACAAUCAGAGCAGGGUGGAGGCAACUCGGCACCAGAUCGUGGAUUGACAGGGAGGCGGUGAUUGGCAGUUGCAAAUGGUGGACGGGGUGGACGCUGGUGGCAUCUGAUCCCACAUUCGGCAACAGUGGGAUCCGUUCAUUGGUCGUUGUUUGCCACUGGUGUGGAAUCAGUAGUAGCAAGACUAAUUUACUUGCUGCUGAAAAACUGACUGUCGAUUUGGAAGGGUACCAGCCACAUACGAAAGCAUGCCACUCAGUUCCUACUUUACAAUGCUCACGGUGACACGCAUCUGAGAUUCUGAAUGUGCAACAUCCAAGACAUGGUGCCACGCCUUGAAGAAUCAGCUUUCUAACCACACAGCAUGCUUUCUAAAGGGCACCGCUAGGCAUCAGCUACAACUGAUGGUUUGCUUCCUGUCAGAUCGGUUGGUAGUGAUUAGGUGCAUUCCAGUCGUCUGAUCUAUUGUCUAGAUUCCUUUGUUCAAUGCCUGAUUUGUUGAUAACUACUUCCGUGAAAUCUGCUGCUUCCUAAUCGUUGUCCCCACAAUCUGUGAUUUGUUUCCUAAAACUGCUUGCUGGCUUCAAAUUCCAUUAUUUGCGGAUAUAAUUUCAGAAAAAUAUGGCCAUUUCUCACAAGUAAAUCCUGCUAUUAAUUAUGAAAUUUAUAAGAUGUGUUUCCUUACUCAUGGUAGCAUGGUUUUAGUACCAAUCUUCCGUGCUAACGGAAGCAUCGUUUUCACGUGAUUUAUACUUGCUUCCAUCUACCAAUGAAUUGGUUUCCAUGAUGAAAUAAACUUGCUAUAAAUGUAUAUGAAGCUCUACUUAAGUGGUGAUUUGUUUUACUUCAAAAACAUCAACAUCGUGUUUCUGUCAACUGGAAAAUCGCUUCUACACAAAAAAGACAUUUCAAUAGGAAGAAUCAUUAUAAUGAGUACAAUUGCUUCAGACACAUCAGGGAAGUUUGUUUCCAUGGAUGAAAGAUUUUGCUUCCAUAGUUUCAUGGAGAAACAAGCAUCCAUGACAAACAAUUUACACCAAACCGUUCCUUACAAACUGGAUGUUGCUUCUACUAGUUUCAGUCGUGCAUGUGCGAUGCCAGGUAGGUGGCCGCACUUAUGUACUAGUAGUUGGGGCGCCACCGGGUGGCGCCGCUUGAGUCGUGCAUGUGCGAUGCCAGGUAGGUGGCCGCACUUUUCAUUCGCUUUUUGGUGCUAUGGGUAGAACAUGUACAUGAAACUGCCGGUCAACUCAUGUGGACUUUGAUUACGUUCAAGCUGAGCAGCGUAUGUAGUAGUUACAAGACCAACAGAAAUGCAUUACUUGCAAUGUACAUUCAUAAAAUAAAUCAGAUAUAUUAUUAAUAGAUAGGCUUAUAUGAACACAGAGUAGCAGUCUUAUAUCCUACAAAGACUUGUACAUAUAGAGAUGGACUGCAGAGCCUAAAUUUUCUGAACUCAAGCAUCCACAAAAUGAAAUCAUCUGACGACGAUGAUGAACGAUAACCACUGGACAUAACUUCAAAGACCCAAUAAGAAGCCAAGACUCUUCGACUAAAAUUUUUAAUCAUGAAAGAGAAUCAUAGCAGGCCGAUGAUCUGAACUACAACCAAGGAGUUCUUUCCUCCCUCUUUCUUUGAAUUCAUUUCUGCAAAUAAAUUUCAGAACCACGGGGAUGACAUGGAGUUCCAGUGAGUUGGUAUGAGAUCGCAAGAAAGGAGAUCCUGAAGCUCUCUAUCCGAAAUCCAUCUGUAGUAGCAAUAUAUAUCAUACCCACAUAUGAAAAAUGUGAUACUGACCACAAAAAGUAUUGCAGGACAAUUAGAAAAGAACACAUGAGAUCCUAAAAAGCAAAACAUAUGAGAUCUUAAUCACAACAUAUAAAGUUCAAUGUUUUUUCAAAAUCAAAUGACUCUUAAUCUUUUACUGUUAGCAUAUGUGGGACCCGACAAUUUUGCUAAACAAUGAUUCUAUUUUAACUUUGGUUAUACAAAGUUCCUAUAUCAAAUAAUUUAAACAUCAGAAAAUCAUGCAAAAUAUUUAUUGAAAUUUCUGAACACACAAGAUAAGAGCGGAAGGGGAAGACUAAUCAUGAAAAAUACUAUGCAGCGGACAAUAUUUAUUGAUAAUUAGACAUAUUUUCUCAAUAACAUCAAUAACAAAAUGGGGCCCCUAAGUUUUGGAUUAAUGUCAAAGAAGAAGCAAGUGCAGACCUGUGGAGUUGCCAAUCUUUUGACUUUUUGAGGCUACUCAAAGUUGUCCUCCGCAACAGAGAUGCUGCUAUACAGAUGCAUUUGAGAAACCAACACCCAAGCAUAUGAGAUGCGCCAUAUUUCAGCACCAACCCCAUGUUGUGGAAAGCCUUUUUCAACGGUUACCAAUUUGUUUGUUUUCCUAACAAAUGUGUUGAUAGCAGCUCUAUCCGGUGGUCUAAUUGACUGAUGGUUGAUCACAUGUUAACAAAUAUUAGAGGAUAAUAAGAACAUACUAAUGGAUGUAGUCAAAAAACGUAACAUAAUUGUACUACAUAAUGUGUUUUGCAAAAGGUACCUCAGCACUGAUUCCCUCCUUGGAAAGUAUAUCUGCAGCCUGAAAAUUGACUGAGCAUAAUGUAACCAGAACAGUAGAUCAAGAAUUUUAUGUACAAUGUGAAAUGAUCAUCGAUGCUAAUUAAACAAAUGCAUUCACAUCUCAAACACAACUGAUUUCUUAAAAACUUUGUCCCGUUCAAUCAAUGGCUCCAAAAUGAGAUCUCUUAAGCACUGCAGAACAACAAGGAAAUUUCAUCUCUUUUUUUCUUGCUUUAUAAGAAUGUAGUAAUCAUGAGGGUUCUUGACCACAGCCACUGAUGACGAAGACAAUUAUUUUGUGUCAGUCAUCUAGUAACAAAAAUGAAAGAGGCAUAUGAGAAAUAUGCAUAGAUUGAUAGAUAAGCAGAAUACGUAGUCAUUAAAAAAAGAAAGCAAAUGAACGGGAUUGAUCCUUCUUGAUUCUAAAAAAGCGACAACUCCCUCGCGUCGUCUCUCCGAGGCGACCCGGGGGCCCCAAAUCCCUCCACCGCCGGCCGGCAAUCUGCUUCUCCCCUGCCGCCGCUGCCGCCGGCCCUUGCCGCGGUGGCGGCGGGCCCCGUUCCUCGAAGGGGAGGGGGACCUCCGGCCGAUGCGUGGGGCGCGGCGGCGGAUCUUGGGCCCCGGGGCGGCGGCCUCGGUCUUGGCGACGACGGCUGCUGCGGCUGCUUGGGCGGCGCGGUGGUUGGGCCUGGGCGCGGUGCUGCUGCGGCCAUGCUGGGUGCUCGCGGUGGAGGAAGCUCGGUCCUCCUGCUGCACGACGUUCUUCGGCGCGACGACUCCGGCGACUUCGCGGCCUUGCGUCGCCGAGGUCCUUCUCCAGCUGGCCUAGGCGGGGUGGCAGCCCCCUGGUCUGCCUGUGCGAGCUCGUCCCCGUGGCCGGCUUGUCGAUGGUGUUGCCGGCUCGUCGGAUCGGCUUCGGCGGGAUCUGGCCGGCUGUGGUCGGUUUUGGUUUUCUGCGUCCGUGAGUUCUGCCACGACUGGGAGCUCUGUUCUCCGGUGUGCGGUGCCCGUGCAGUGGUGGUGGGUGCCAGAUGUUGGAUCUGGCUCAUCUGUUUUGGCAGACGGACGACGAGGGAGGAGGUGGCUCUGGCGCGGCGGUGGCGUGUUCGCGGCGUCGGAGGUGUGCGGGCCAGCGGAGUGCUCUGCGUGGGACUGUUGUUCGUGCUGCUCCAGGUGAAAGCCUAGCCGAUGCUCGCAGGCCGGCGGCGGCGGCGCCUGUGGGCGUCGCUUUCCUCCUUGGAGGCGCCGUCGAGGAGUUUCUGCACUUUCUCAGCUCUCGGGUUAAGAUCUACGGGCGAAAGUCAUGAUCCUGUUCAAUCGGGCGGCGGCGGCAUCUUCAAUGUCGUUUUCCCUCUUUGGGGCGUCGUCUUGGAGAUCUUGGCCCCUUUUGUGCUUCCUGCAGGCUGGACGUGCGCGGCAUCACGGUUGGCCGGUGUGCAACUGGUGAUGCGUGUGGUUGGCGUUGCGACUCGUGUGAUGACGACGAUGAUGGCGUGCGAAGCUGGGUCACGGCUUGCCCUUCUGAUGUCGACGGUCCGGUGCGCCAAUGGGUGUGCCUAUGCUGGCUUCUGGCUGUGACAGAGAAGUCGAAGUUGCGUGCGAUGCCUCUGCGGCAACGAUGACUCCAUGAGGGCGGUUUUCAGCGGGCGGUGCUCUCCGGAUGAUGCGCUGGACUAGGUCGGCGCGAGGCUUGCAACUUUCUCCUGUGAAGCAUUUCAGCAAAAUCGGAGCUGCCAUGUCCUCGACGCUUCGGUCGACCGUUUGGCUUGUCUGUGGCCAGGUCGGCUGUGUGUGCCCCGUGUGGGGUUGUAUCUGGGUUUUCGCCCGGUUUUCCUCUAAUUAACCGGACAAAUCUCUUCUUCUUAAUCAAUGAAAAUGGCAAAUCUUUUGCCUCGUUUCAAAAAAAAAGCAAGAUUCUAAGGAGACUGAGUGUAGGAUAAGUGAUAAAAAUGAAAUAAAAGCAGUGGAGAAAUAUGCAUAGAAUGGAGUAUGUGUUUCUAUAUACAUACAAGGAUAAAUAAAAUGCAUGAUAGCAUUAUCUUCUUCUGAAUUUUCUUAUCAGUCAUGUCAGUUUCAACAUCUAGUCCCAUCUUAUGUAUCUUAGCAUGAACCUGGGCAUCAAAAGCAGAUUGUCAUUUAACUCGGAAGAAAAAGAACCCGGCUGAUUGAUUACCAUGAGAAACAGCUAAAACUACUAACAAACUGCUAGACAUAACGAAUGGAAAAACGGUCACUGACAAGUUUCAAACUAACACACAAGGGUCAGUUAACUAUUUCCACUCUUAUGGGCGAUCCGAGCUAAACGAGGGCAGGGACGGGGGAUUAAAACAGGACGACUGCCCAGAUUGGAUGUCACCUUCUCCUCGCACUUGGCGUCGGCACUUGGAGCCGGGGUGGAGGUCGAUGUACAUCAGGAGAUCCAGAAGAGGAAGGUCAAUCAUGGCAGCUGCCUGAUGCAAAUACUACAAAACGGAGGGGAGGAAGAGCAUGACAUAGUGGCAUAUAAACUCUACCACUGCUAUAUUUGAGGUGAUAAAACGAAAUAUUCCGACGUUAACAACUGAUUUAGGCUCAAACUGAAAUUUGACGUCCACACUAAGUCAAACUGAAGGUGAAUUCUAAUCAGUUGAGAAGGUCAAAACUGCGUAAUUGACCCAAGUAUCUCAGAGUUCAUGCUGACAAUCUACAAUUUACAUAUUAGAUAGAUGAAACACCACGCCAUAGUUGGCCUAUUAGAUGAUUUUCACCUACCUCUUCGUAUUAAAAGGCCGGUGAAAAACUCAAUAAAAGAGGAAGUGCAAGACUAUGAUAAUGUACAUACAGUUCAUUCAGGAACUUGACGCAUUUCCUCAAAGAGCGCAACCUCCUGCUUAUGGCGCCCACUCGUGUCAAUAAUGAUGAGAUCAUAUUUCACUUCCCUGAACCUUUCCAGGCCAUUAAUGGCAAUCUUCACAGUAUAUGAUUCCAGGUAGCUACAAAGAAAAGCGACAACUUUAUUUAGCGCAGAUCUUGGGGAGAAGCUGCACCAGCUCGGACCAUAUAGGCACAAAUCAGUGAUGGUUUAAAUCCCUUUCAUAUUCAUUCCUUUGCUAGUGUAGUAACCCUCGUAGAAAUGAGCAAUACCGGCAGUGAAGAGAUGGGGCACUACAUGAAAAAAAUAACAUUACUUGAAGAGGUCAGAGAUAACACAUUAGCAGCCAAUUGAGCAGAUAUUCUUUUAUGGUCUAUAACUCUCCUGAUAUUAAUUUCUCAACAAAAAAAUGUGUUCAGGCCAUUAGGGAAAUAUAAUACGCGUAUUUGGUACAUUUAGUGGUUUUUCCAGAACCCACAGACAUAUAUCGUUGCAUGUUCAGUCUUCAACGAUCUUGUAAUUCAAAUCAGCAAACCAUAUAUGGAUAUUGAAAUUCAGAGAUAGGUGUACAACAACAUCAGAAAAAGCAUAAGGGAACACACAACCGAGGUCGGUCAAUCAUAUUGACCUUGCAAAUCUGACGAACAUGGCCUUCUUUAUGACGAGGAGCUUGUUGGUGCCGGCGGUGAGGACCCCAAGGUUGACGGUCUUCCUGAUGUUGUUCUGCAGGUCGCUGAUCUUGAAGCGGACGUCGGACUGCAUAAGCGCGCGCAUGACCUCUAGCCCGAGGCACUAGUAGAAAAACAAUAGUCCCGGUUCGUAAGGGCCUUUAGUCCCGGUUCAUGAACCAGGACUAAUGGGUCGUUACUAAUACCUCCACCCAUUAUUAGUUCCGGUUCAAACACGAACCGGGACCAAUGUGCCUCCAUGUGGCCCUGUGCGCCGAACCCAGUCAGGGGGCCUUUGGUCCCGGUUGGUGGCACCAACCGGGACCAAAAGGCAUCCACGUGUCAGCAUUCCAGUGGUNNNNNNNNNNNNNNNNNNNNNNNNNNNNNNNNNNNNNNNNNNNNNNNNNNNNNNNNNNNNNNNNNNNNNNNNNNNNNNNNNNNNNNNNNNNNNNNNNNNNNNNNNNNNNNNNNNNNNNNNNNNNNNNNNNNNNNNNNNNNNNNNNNNNNNNNNNNNNNNNNNNNNNNNNNNNNNNNNNNNNNNNNNNNNNNNNNNNNNNNNNNNNNNNNNNNNNNNNNNNNNNNNNNNNNNNNNNNNNNNNNNNNNNNNNNNNNNNNNNNNNNNNNNNNNNNNNNNNNNNNNNNNNNNNNNNNNNNNNNNNNNNNNNNNNNNNNNNNNNNNNNNNNNNNNNNNNNNNNNNNNNNNNNNNNNNNNNNNNNNNNNNNNNNNNNNNNNNNNNNNNNNNNNNNNNNNNNNNNNNNNNNNNNNNNNNNACGCUACGUACUAUAUACAUAAGUGAUCGAGAGAACCAUUGAGUACAGAAGUUCGUCAUGCAUACCGAGUGAAGUGAUCGAUCGACCUCUCCUUCUCCGAGAGAACAACAAGUUUUCGUAUCAUGUAUCCGACGCUAUUGGCUACAUACAUGUGCAAUAUGUAUAAGAUCUCUUAAUUACAAUCCCUUAGCAAUUGAAAUCAAUUUCCACAUGGUAUUCUCCGGCUUUAUUGAUGACGUGGUCAAGAAAGAAUCCCGCCAAUUCCUCUUGAAUUGCUUUCAUGCGAUCUGGUUCUAGGAGUUCAUUUCGCAUCUGCCACGUCUAAUUUGAAGAAAGGGAUUAAUUAAUACAUAUAUAUAAAUGAAACUCAACAGAAAUGAUGGUGUAAUAAAAUGAAAUUGUGAAUAUUAUUUCUUACGCACUUCAUAUUGUCUUUUAGAGUAGCCCCGCUUGUUUUUCAAAGUCGCGUUGUGGAUGAACUCGCACACGUAGUAUCCACAGAAAUCAUUCCCUUGUUCCUGCCACGAGCACUUUACGAGAAAUAGAGGUCAAUCAAACUGAUAAUGAAGCAUUAUAAAUGGCAUUGAUGAAAGUAUAACUAUAGAAUCAACGGGAGAUGCGCGCAACUAGCUAGCCAGUAGUACUUACUUUCGGGUAUGUAUAUCGCAGCUCCUUCGGCAGUCCCGGAGCUUCUGCGAUGAAUUGUUUCCAAACCCUGCAAGACAAAGAAAAUAAUUAUUAUUACUUGAGAUAUCAGGAAAUGAACAAAAAGUUGCCGAUAUGGUGCGAUAAUGAUCGAUUGAACUUACUUGUUGAGCAAUUCAGUCAUGUCCGCAUAGGUUUCGGGAUCUUUCUGUCUCGAGUCUAAGACGGUUACUAGUCCCCGCUCAAGCUUAAUCUCCAGAAGAACAUAGUGGUACCUGCGCACGCAUGCAUAACUCAUCAAUUACAUUACUAUAACCUCGCUCGAGUAAUAAGGGAAACCGAAUAUGCACACGACAGUAACACUCACUUGCCGUUAUAAGGAAAGAGUAUGGUAUCUUUGUUUUGAUUUUUGAUCAACGAUCGUAGCAAGUUGUCCUCAGCCUCUUUGACGUCCUUUUUAACCAUAAAUUCAUCUAUGAUAUUUGUGUUAAUGAACCCAAUAUCGUAAAUUUCUUGUUUUUUGCACUCGACGAUCUUCAAUCUGCAUAAUAUAUUGAGGAUAAUUAAUUAUAAAUACAUGAAAUGAAAGAGCCCAACUAUAUAUAGAGACUUAAUGACAAAAAUAGUACUUACAGACAGUAGCAAAAGACCAUUAGUUUAUCGAGGGCCUUUUGAUUGAAGAACGCGAAGAAAUCAUCAAAUGGAACAGUCAACAGAUCAGUUGCAACGAGGUCGUGCUCCUCUUUAAUAUUCAGAUACAAAGCAUUCGUCCCCCAAGACUCUCUGCAGGUUUUCAUGUACCAAUUAUGGAAUCUUCGCAUCAUUGUUGUCAGAGAUUUUUCAUCUUUGACGAGAGGCUUCCCGUACUCGUAUCUGUGUUCGUCCACCUCCAAGAAAUCAGGAAGUUGAUCGUCAGGCAGGUAAUCUGCAAGAUUGCCAUAACCGGCCACCGUCCCCGGAGCAUUAGACACAUUGAGCGGGGGGCAUGAUUGCUGUGCUUGUUCGCCGAGCUGGGCAAUUUUUUCCCCUUUGCUCGUUCUUUUAACCUUUUAUCACUGACAGUACUUCCCGACCGCUGGGCUUCGAGAUAUGUCUGUUCAGUAAUGCGCUGAUAGUUGGUUCUCGGCGGAGACUUUGGUGGUUUCCUCAGGGCAUCGAUAGUGCGCUUUGCUUUCACCGGAUCUACCUUCUCCUCCGGAGGUGGAUGUCUCUUUGCUUUCACCCCUUCAAAGAACUCCUUCACGUGGGUCCGCACAAUCGUAUAGUUUUCCUCCUCGGUCCUCUCGUACGGUAACUUCUCUAGAGGCUUGAGAGGUGGACCGUAUCUGUAUUGCCUCCCGCCUCUGGUUGUGCUGCUAGACGCCGGAGCAGACGGAGCGGCUGCGGCGUCUGUCUUCUUUCGUGCUUGCUUACAAGGUGGAGGAGAAGAAGUACGACGCGUCGAAGCAGCCGGGGCGGCGGCGGGUCUCUUCCGCCCUUGCUGGCGAGGCGGAGAAGGAGGAGGCUGCUGGCUGCUCGGGAGCGCCGGCGCAGGCGGAGAAGGAGGCGGAGUGCCGCCAUGCGCCGGAGAAGGAGGCGGAGUUCCGCCAUGCGUGCCCUGAUCGUCACUCGCCGAAGGAGGAGGCGGUGAAGGAGGCGGAGUGCCCUGACUCACCGGAGGAGGAGGAGGAGGCGGAGGCGUCCAGUUCGGAAGGUUGAUGAGCUCCUUCCGCCAUAGGCAUGGAGUCUUCAGAGCAGAACCCAGUCUAGUCUCCCCUUCACCGGUAGGGUGGUCAAGCAAGAGGUCCUCAAAUCUCUCCGUUAUUUCAUCCACCAUCACCUUAGCAUAUCCUUCUGGAAUCGGCCGGCAGUGAUAAGUUGCUCCGGAUCCAGUAGGAUAAACAGAGCCAACAGCCGCCUUGACCUUCAAAUUCAUCCAUCGCGCCAUAAUGUGGCAAUGUUGAGACUCCGUGAUAGCAUCCACGGGAUAGCUGGCAGGAGCCGUCAAGACAUGCUCCGGCUGAAGCAGCUCGGUGGAAGCCACGCUGCUGCUCCGCUGAGAUGGCAGGGUAGCUUCGGGGGAAGCUUCGGCAGGUCGUUUGCUGCGAUCUGCUGCUUCUCGUUCCUCUUCUCGUUCCUCUAGCCCCAUUACCCUUUCGUGCAGCGCCUGUAGUUGGCCCUGCUCCAGUUUCUUCCUCCUCUCGUGGGUUUUGUAACCCCCUGCGUCCGGAAAACCAACCUUCCACGGAAUGGAGCCUGGCGUGCCUCGUGUCCGUCCAGGGUGCUCAGGAUUCCCGAGGGCCAUUGUGAGAUCGUCCUUCUCCCUGUCUGGAACGAACGUCCCUUGCUGCGCUGCAUUGAUAUAGUGUCGAAGGUUCUUGAGGGGUAUUUGCAGUUGCUCGUCCGUCCAACGGCACUCCCCUGAUAUAGGGUCCAAGGUUCCGCCAGCCUGAAGAACCAAGUCCGGUAACGGUCUGGCCAUCUCAUUGUCUCUGGUUCGAUCCUUUUUUCAAGCAGAUCAUUCUCCUCCUUGGACCACUUAGGCCGGGCUUUGAGGUAGCCACCUGACCCCGUGCGAUGGUGAAGGUUCUUCUUCGCAGCAUUUUGCUUGUUCGUCGCCGACAUCUUCUUACUCUUUUCCGAUGUCUUGUGGGCCACAAAUGCGGGCCAGUAAUCUUUGAUCUUCUCAUAUUUGCCGAUGAAUUCUGGUGUCUUUUUUUUGUCGACAAAAUGGUUCAACUCUUUUCUCCACCUCCUGAAUAGGGUUGCCAUCUUCUUAAGAGUACAAGACUUGAUUAAUUGCUCUUUAACUGGCUUCUCCGGAUCCUCCUCUGGCGGUAGGGUGAAAUUUUCCUUCAGCUGAGUCCAAAGAUCUUCUUUCUGCAUAUCAUUGACAUAAGACACCUCAGGAUCGUCCUUAGGCUUAUACCAUUGCUGGAUGUUGAUCGGGAUCUUGUCCCUAACAAGAACCCCGCACUGAGCAGAAAAUGCGUUCUUUGUCCGGAUGGGUUCAAUCGGUUCACCGUCGGGCGCGAUUUCUAUGAUCUCAAACCUUUCAUCCGAGCUCAACUUUUUCUUCGGGCCUCGUCUCCUUAUCGAAGUUGUGCUCGAUCCGGAGGGCUAGAAAUUAAAAGGAAGAAAGACGAGAGUAAUUAAUAUGUGUACAUAUACCAAAACAAUGGAUGCAUCAAUUAACUAGUCAGCACAGGCUUAACUAAUAUAUAUAUAUACCUGGCCGGACUCGGUUCGGUCACCGGAGCAGUCAGCACGGUCUCCUUCUUGUACCUCCAUUGUGUCACCGGAGCCAUCAUGAACAUAGCCCUCUUCUUGUAACGGCAUUAAUGGGCCGAAGCCAUCAUGAACAUAGCCCUCUUCUUCACCCAGUCCUUCCAGCUGACCAUCGGUGUCGUUGAGAUAUGACGCAACUUCAUCACUUCCUUGUGCGAUUAUGUGCCUCAACAUCGCUUUUGUUGCUUCGUCUCGGGAGUGCUCCAUAGUUUCUGCAAAUAUUUACAACAUGUCAAUUAUUAUUCAAACAUGAUACAGAUGGAUAUAUAUAUAUAUAUAUAUAUAUAUAUAUUAGUGGCAAACAUAGAACUAGCUAGCUAAUCACAAUAAGGAAUCAUGUUAGUGGCCUCGACGCUGCUUCUCUAGGGUUUGGGAUCGCCUCGACACAACGCUUCAAGGGUUUGGGGUGGCCUCGACGACAACGCUCUUUUAACUUGGUAAAUUUGGGUGGGCUCGAGAGUUUUGGUCGAGCGAGAGGGCCGAGGGGGGUGUUGCCGUUGUAUAGGUUAUCACGGUCGAGAGGGGGUAUAUAUAUCGACCGCCCCUCAUGUCGAAUUAUCUCGAGGGGACGGCGAGGGCGAAGGUGAGCAGCCUGACGGCGACAGACCCGAUAAAACAUAAGAAAACGAAGAAGAAAUAAAAAGAGGAGAAGAAGAAAGGAAUAGAGGAGAAGAUCUAAGAAAAAAAGAAGAAAAAAAAGAGGAGAAGAAGAAAGGAAUAGAGGAGAAGAAGAAAAAAUAGAAAAACUUUGUUCUUCUCCUCUUCCUUUUCUUCUUUUUUGUUCUUCUUAUUUAUUUCUCCUCUAUUCCUUUCUUUCUUCUUUUCCUCUUCUUUUUCUUCUUCUCCCUCGAGAAAGGAAAAUAAUUAAGGAAAAGGAAGAAAAGAGGAAGAAGGAAGAAGGAAGAAGAAGAAGAAAAAAGGAAUAGAGGACAAGAAGAAAAAAUAAAUUUUUUUUCUAUUUUUUCUUCUUCUCCUCUAUUCCUUUCUUCUUCUCCUCUUCCUUUUCUUCCUUUUUCUUCUUCUUAUUUAUUUCUCCUCUUCUUUUCCUCUCCUCUUCUUAUUUCUUUCCUCUUCUUAUUUUCUUCUUUCCUAUCCUUCUUUUUCUAAAAUUGUAACUUUUGCAUAUAUAAAACUUUUCUAAAAUUGUAACUUUCUAUAUAUGAACAAAAAACUUUCUAUGAACAAAAAACCAUUUUAACAUAUAUAUUUAGCAAAUUCUAGCCACAUACAUCACAUACACAUAUACAUUAUAGCCACAUACACAUAUACAUCACAUAUGAACAAAAAAAUAAACUAAUAAAAAAAAACAUAUAGCAACAUAUGAACAAAAACAUAUAGCCACAUACAUACACAUACAUUAUAUAUAUAUGAAAAAAUUAAACUAAUAAAAAAAACAGAGCCGGCCGGGCAGAGGGGCAUGGCGGCAGCGGUGGCGCCGGCGGGGCAGGGCAGGGGUGCAGGAGCGAGGCAAGGCAGGGACGCGAGGCAGGUGCUCACAGGGGGGUGGCGGGGCACGGCAGGCGGCGUCGAGGCGCGGGGAGUGGCGUCGGCAUCGGGGCAGAUGGCGUCGAGGGCGGCGGCGAUGGUGAGGUGGACCAGCCUGACAGCGUCGGAGGCGGCAGCGACGACGAGGUGGAGCAGCCUGACGGCGUCGGAGGCGGCGGCGACGACGAGGUGGAGCAGCCUGACGGCUCGGCGGCGACGGCGACGAGGCAGAGCAGCGGGCGUCGGACGGAGAAGAAAGGGAUGGAUUUUGGAGAAACUGCUAAGUGCUAGUUAUAUAUGAAGAGAAUUGGUCCCGAUUCGUGAAACCAACCGGGACUAAUGCCCCCUUUAGUCCCGGUUGGUGCCACCAACCGGGACCAAAGGCCUCUUUUCAGCAGCCCAAAAGGCGGGAAGCAGCGGCCUUUGGUCCCGGUUGGUGGCACCAACCGGGACCAAUGCCCUUCCCCUUUAGUCCCGGUUGGUGCCACCAACCGGGACCAAAGGACCCUGUGCUGCCCGCGUCGGGGCCAAAGUUUAGUCCCACCUCGCUAGUUGAGAGGGGCGCGCAGUGGUUUAUAAAGCCCCACUGCCGCACCCCUCUCGAGCUCCUCUCCACCGUAGGCUUGCGGGCCUAUUUACUACUGCUUUGCCUGAUGGGCCUUCUGGACCUACUGCGGGCCUGAAUCCUGGCCCAUGGUAGGGUUUCUAGUCGUAUUCAGGCCGUGGGGGCCCACUAGGAGGCAUUUUUUGUUUUCUUUCUUGCUUUAUUUAUUUUAUUUUGUUUCUACUUACAACAAAAUACUUAUUGUUGCUAUUUUUAAUUAUUUUUCAGUUUUUUUGUUUUGUUUUCUGCAUUAUUUAUUUUCUUUUGUUUUUUGCUUUAUUUUUUAAUUCUUUUUGCUUUUAGUUUUAGAAAAAUUAUAAACUUUCUGUUAGUGCCAUNNNNNNNNNNNNNNNNNNNNNNNNNNNNNNNNNNNNNNNNNNNNNNNNNNNNNNNNNNNNNNNNNNNNNNNNNNNNNNNNNNNNNNNNNNNNNNNNNNNNNNNNNNNNNNNNNNNNNNNNNNNNNNNNNNNNNNNNNNNNNNNNNNNNNNNNNNNNNNNNNNNNNNNNNNNNNNNNNNNNNNNNNNNNNNNNNNNNNNNNNNNNNNNNNNNNNNNNNNNNNNNNNNNNNNNNNNNNNNNNNNNNNNNNNNNNNNNNNNNNNNNNNNNNNNNNNNNNNNNNNNNNNNNNNNNNNNNNNNNNNNNNNNNNNNNNNNNNNNNNNNNNNNNNNNNNNNNNNNNNNNNNNNNNNNNNCAUUAUUUAUUUUCUUUUGUUUUUUGCUUUAUUUUUUAAUUCUUUUUGCUUUUAGUUUUAGAAAAAUUAUAAACUUUGUGUUAGUGCCAUUAGUUUUCAAAUUUGAAAACACUUUUUUUGUUUUUUUGUUUUCUUUCUUGCUUUAUUUAUUUUAUUUUGUUUCUACUUACAACAAAAUACUUAUUGUUGCUAUUUUUAAUUAUUACAAGGGCCGAACCAUAAGACAUUAAAGCAUUUCAAAUGAACUAUGAAAAAGUUGAAAGUUGGCAUGGUAUCAUAAAUUCACCCACAUAGCAUGUGCAUGUACAAAACGGACAAUGGUAUCAUACUCGUCUGUUACAAAGUUGGCAUGGUAUCAUCAUAAUAGUUGCGGGAGAAAGUCUUCACUUUUUCUUUGCUUGUGUCAUUUGCUUAUUGCGCCGUAACCAUGGAUAAUCUUCAUCGCUUAUCAGGAUGUUGGGGUCAGCCUUGACUUCGAAGGGAGGAAUUUCAUGAAACUUUUCAUAAUCUUCAGACAUGUCUGUCUUGCCCUCCACUCCCACGAUGUCCCUUUUUCUUGAAAGAACUAUGUGGCGCUUUGGCUCAUCGUAUGAUGUAUUCGCUUCCUUAUCUUUUCUUUUUCUCGGUCUGGUAGACAUGUCCUUCACAUAGAUAACUUGUGCCACAUCAUUGGCUAGGACGAACGGUUCGUCAGUGUACCCAAGAUUUUUCAGAUCCACUGUUGUCAUUCCGUACUAUGGGUCUACCUGUACCCCGCCUCCUGACAGAUUGACCCAUUUACACUUAAACAAAGGGACCUUAAAAUCAUGUCCGUAGUCAAGUUCCCAUAUGUCCACUAUGUAACUAUAAUAUGUGUCCUUUCCCCUCUCGGUUGUUGCAUCAAAGCGGACACCGCUGUUUUGGUUGGUGCUCUUUUGAUCUUGGUCAAUCGUGUAAAAUGUAUUCCCAUUUAUCUCGUAUCCUUUCCAAAUCGUAACAAUCGAAGAUGGUCCCCUGGACAACAAGUACAGCUCAUCACAAACAGUGUUGUCACCUCUGAGACGUGCUUCCAACCAACUGCUGAAAGUCCUGAUGUGUUCACAUGUAAUCCAGUCGUCGCACUGCUCCAUGUGUUUGGAGCACAGACUGUUCUUGUGUUCAUCGACAUACGGGGUCACCAAGCUAGAGUUCUGUAGAACUGUGUAGCGUGCUUGAGACCAAGAAUAUCCGUCCCUGCAUAUUAUUGAGUCCCUUCCAAGCGUGCCUUUUCCAGUCAGUCUCCCCUCAUACCGCGAUUGAGGGAGACCUAAUUUCUUAAGGUCAGGAAUGAAGUCAACACAAAACCCGAUGACAUCCUCUAUUUGAUGGCCCAUGGAGAUGCUUCCUUCUGGCCUAGCGUGGUUAUGGACAUAUUUCUUUAGGACUCCCAUGAACCUCUCAAAUGGGUACAUAUUGUGUAGAAAUACGGGGCCUAGAAUGACAAUCUCGUCAACUAGAUGAACUAGGACGUGCGUCAUGAUAUUGAAGAAGGAUGGUGGGAACACCAGCUCGAAACUGACAAGACAUUGCACCACAUCACUCCUUAGCCUUGGUAUGAUUUCUGGAUCGAUCAUCUUCUGAGAGAUUGCAUUGAGAAAUGCACAUAGCUUCACAAUGGCUAAUCGGACGUUUUCCGGUAGAAGCCCCCUCAAUGCAACCGGAAGCAGUUGCGUCAUAAUCACGUGUCAGUCAUGAGACUUUAGGUUCUGAAACUUUUUCUCUGACAUAUUUAUUAUUCCUUUUAUAUUCGACGAGAAGCCAGUCGGGACCUUCAUACUAAGAAGGCAUUCAAAGAAGAUUUCCUUCUCUUCUUUGGUAAGAGCAUAGCUGACAGGACCUUCAUACUGCUUUGGAGGCAUGUCGUCUUUUUCGUGCAAACAUUGCAGGUCCUCCCAUGCCUCAGCUGUAUCUUUUGUCUUCCCAUACACGCCCAAGAAGCCUAGCAGGUUCACGCAAAGGUUCUUCGUCACGUGCAUCACGUCGAUCGAAGAGCGGACCUCUAGGUCUUUCUAGUAGGGUAGGUCCCAAAAUAUAGAUUUCUUCUUCCACAUGGGUGCGUGUCCCCCAGCGUCACUCGGAACAGCUAGUCCGCCGGGACCCUUUCCAAAGAUUACGUGUAAAUCAUUGACCAUAGCAAGUACGUGAUCACCGGUACGCAUGGCGGGCUUCCUCCGGUGAUCUGCCUCGCCUCUGAAAUGAUUGCCUUUCUUUCGACAUGAUGAUUGGUCGGAAGAAAUCGACGAUGGCCCAGGUACACAUUCUUCCUGCAGCUUCCCAGGUAUAUACUAUCGGUGUCAAGUAAACAGUGCGUGCAUGCGUGGUAUCCCUUGUUUGUCUGUCCUGAAAGGUUACUGAGAGUGGGCCAAUCGUUGAUGGUCACGAACAACAACGCCUUUAGGUGAAAUUCCUCCUGUUUGUGCUCAUCCCACGUACAUACACCGUUUCCAUUCCACAGCUGUAAAAGUUCUUCAACUAAUGGCCUUAGGUACACAUCAAUGUCGUUGCCGGGUUGCUUAGGGCCUUGGAUGAGAACUGGCAUCAUAAUGAACUUCCGCUUCAUGCACAUCCAAGGAGGAAGGUUUUACAUACAUAGAGUCAUGGGCCAGGUGUUGUGAUUGCUGCUCUGCUCCCCGAAAGGAUUAAUGCCAUCCGCACUUAAAGCAAACCAUACGUUCCUUGGGUCACUUGCAAACUCAUCCCAGUACUUUCUCUCGAUUUUUCUCCACUGCGACCCGUCAGCGGGUGCUCUCAAUUUCCCGUCUUUCUUACAGUCCUCACUGUGCCAUCGCAUCAACUUGGCAUGCUCUCCGUUUCUGAACAGACGUUUCAACCGUGGUAUUAUAGGAGCAUACCACAUCACCUUCGCAGGAACCCUCUUCCUGGGGGGCUCGCCGUCAACAUCACCAGGGUCAUCUCGUCUGAUCUUAUACCGUAAUGCACCGCAUACCGGGCAUGCGUUCAGAUCCUUAUACGCACCGCGAUAGAGGAUGUAGUCACUAGGGCAUGCAUGUAUCUUCUGCACCUCCAAUCCUAGAGGGCAUACGACCUUCUUUGCUGCAUAUGUACUGUCGGGCAAUUCAUUAUCCUUUGGAAGCUUCUUCUUCAAUAUUUUCAGUAGCUUCUCAAAUCCUUUGUCAGGCACAACAUUCUCUGCCUUCCACUGCAGCAAUUCCAGUACGGUACCGAGCUUUGUGUUGCCAUCUUCGCAAUUGGGGUACAACCCUUUUUGUAGUCCUCUAACAUGCGAUCAAACUUCAGCUUCUCUUUUUGACUUUUGCAUUGCGUCCUUGCAUCGACAAUGACCCGGCGGAGAUCAUCAUCAUCGGGCACAUCGUCUGGUUCCUCUUGAUCUUCAGCAGCUUCGCCUAUUGCAGCAUCAUCGUGCACAUCGUCUGGUUCCUCUUGAUCUUCAGUAGCAUCACCGUAUUCAGGGGGCACAUAGUUGUCAUCGUACUUUUCUUCUUCGCCGUCUUCCAUCAUAACCCCUAUUUCUCCGUGCCUCGUCCAAACAUUAUAGUGUGGCAUGAAACCCUUGUAAAGCAGGUGGGUGUGGAGGAUUUUCCGGUCAGAGUAAGACUUCGUAUUCCCACAUAUAGGGCAUGGACAGCACAUAAAACCAUUCUGCUUGUUUGCCUCAGCCACUUCGAAAAAAUCAUGCACGCCCUUAAUGUACUCGGAGGUGUGUCUUGAACCGUACAUCCAUUGCAAGUUCAUCUGUGUGCAUUAUAUAUAAUUAAGUGUGUCAAAAAUCAUUACAGAACAUCAUAAAUAGAUAAUUAAGUGACCAAAUUAAUAGAAGUUCAUCAUCACAUUAAAACCAAAGUACAUACAUAGUUCUCAUCUAACAACAUAAAGUUUUGCAGAGCAUCUAAAUUAAUUAAAUCAUACAUUGAAAUUAUGUAAAACAUUUCAAUGCGAAAACAAAUGCGAUCAUAAUCGCAACCAAUGUAACAACUGAUCCAACGACAUAAUGAUACCAAGCCUCGGUAUGAAUGGCAUAUUUUCUAAUCUUUCUAAUCUUCAAGCGCAUUGCAUCCAUCUUGAUCUUGUGAUCAUCGACGACAUCCGCAACAUGCAACUCCAAUAUCAUCUUCUCCUCCUCAAUUUUUCUAAUUUUUUCCUUCCAGAAAUUGUUUUCUUCUUCAACUAAAUUUAACCUCUCGACAAUAGGGUCGGUUGGAAUUUCCGGUUCAACAACCUCCUAGAUAAAUAAAAUCUAUGUCAUGUUGGUCGGCAUAAUUGUCAUAAACAAUAGAUGAACCAAUAGUUAUGAAAAUAUAAUAUAUACCACAUCCGAAUCAUAGACAGGACGAGGGCCGACGGGGCGGAUACCAAAACCAUCGCACUAUAUAAGAUGCAAUAAUAAAAGUAAGAAAAUUAUACAAGUAUCUAUAUAAACAUACAAGUAAGAUUUUUUUCCUUUCAGAAAGAAGAUAAGAACAAGAGGCUCACCACGGUGGUGCCGACAACGAGAUCGGCGCGGGCGAUCGACGGCGGUGAAGACGGGGAUGGGACGUGACAGACCGCUAAACCUAGACAAAUAUUGAGAAAAAUGGAGCUUGGAGGUCGAGCUUGGAGAGGAGAAAGCUUAAGUAGUGUGGCUCGGGCAUUCCAUCGAACACCUCGUGUGCAUAAGAGGUGAGCUAGAGCACCACAAAGCUCUCUCCUCGCCGGCCACGAAAAAUAGAGCAGUGAGAGUGCUCUGCUCGCGGGCGAGGGGUAUAUAUAGGCAAUUAAUUGGUCCCAGUUCGUGGCUUGAACCGGGACUAAAGGGAAGCCUUUGGUCCCGGUUCAGGCCACCAACCGGGACCAAUGGUGGUGGGCCAGGAGCAAGGCACAUUGGUACUGGUUCGUCCCACCAACCGAGACCAAAAGGUCCAGACGAACCGGGACCAAUGGCCCCACGUGGCCCGGCCGGCCCCCGGGGCUCACGAACCGGGUCCAAUGCCCCCAGUGGUCCCGGUUCUGGAUUGAACCGGGACUAAUGGGCUGACCCGGCCUGGACCAUUGCCCCCUUUUCUACUAGUGAGGCCUUGACUACGACAACGACCCAUGUGAGGAAACCGACCGCAUUAGGAAGGAAAGCAAAUCAGACCUCCAUGAAUAACAACAACGCAACAUCAAAAUCGAAUCCAAUCGAAGAAAGAGGAGAAAAGAGGGGCGUGAGAGGACCUUGUAGCUUGUACAGUCGGGCUCUUAACGUCGGAUGGAACGGCUGUGUCGUCGCCGGAGAAAAACCACGCGGAGAAGCCUGGCUCCUCUUCCGGCGCGCAACCGUUCACCUUGUACCAGAAGCGGGCCCAUGCCGGUGGAUGCAUCGCAAACGUGGCGGGGUCCUGUACAUGAUGCAAACAAAGUCGUGCCAAGUUAUGGCACAAUUACACAAGUCAAUAACUGAAUCCACAACUGUAUUUGCAUAUGCUGCAGCAAACAAGAUUGAUAUUAGUUUUUCUUUUUGGUUGAGGUUGUGAUUCAGUUAGGCGUUGAUGGGUGGAAGGAAUACAAAGUGCAGGUAGCAGCAAUGUACAACUAGCUAGAGCAGGAGUAGGAGGAGCAAAACCAAACCUCCUACAGAAUAGCAGUUAGGCGUUCAGUUGUGCAUUUCUGCUGGUGAGCUACAGAAUAGCAGCAAUGUACAACUAGCUAGCUUUUCUUUUUGGUUGAGGUUGUGAUUCAGUUAGGCGUUGAUGGCUGUAUUUUAAGGUGUUCGAGGUUGCAUCUCAGAUUCUCCUACAGAAUAGCAGAGAGGAAGCUUCACCAAUAGAGCAUAACCAAGGAGAGAACUUCUUCUCCAGAUUGCCAUUGGCGUUCACCACACACUCAUACUUGUCCUGCAAAUAAUGUCAUCAUGAGUUCAACAUCAGCCAUCUACCUGCCUUUCAAAUUAGUAACCAUCAGAACAGAGAUACAACAAAAUAAUAGGCAAAAUAAUAAGUUGUGAGGAGCAAAUUAGAAACCAUCCCUGCUGUAGUAUGUGAAGGGAUUACUAUGAGCUAGACUGGAGUAGAGCAUGUUCAUCCUGGGCAUAGAAAUUUUACCACUUGGACGGAAUCAAAUCACCGGAGGAAGUGCCAUAAUCAUGAGAAAUCAAUCACUUGUCAUAAUUAAAUUAAUUUCCAGUUGCAGCUUUUUUCCAAUCUGAUAAAUUGGUGGUUGUCUUCAUACCAACACAAGCAAAAGGGUUGCACGAACCUCAUGCAUCUCUAGAACAACAAAAGGCCUUAUUAAUCUUCAUCAACUUCCAUUCGAUCGUCAUAUACACCUACUGAAUAAAAGACAGAGAGCUUUGGAGAGACAACAAGCUCAUGUGUGUGUGUCUUGUGUUCUCCAGAGCAAAGGUUCAGAGAACAAACCUUGUGCGUCUGUUGUGUCCUUGUUGUCCGGGAGCCCAAGAAUUGGAGGCUAGCUCGUGUCCCAGGUUGGUUUUCUGACACCCACCUCCUGCAGCAAGAUCCAGGGGUGUCCUGCAGCACAGCGGAACACGACGAAUCGGAGCAACGUACACUGCAGUCAGUGUUCAUCCACGGUUGCCAGAUGGGAUCGACACGAAUCGAUGAGAGAAGCCGAAGGGGAAGUGGUGGGUGUUCAUCCACGGUUGCCAGAUGGGAUCGACACGAAUCGAUGAGAGAAGCCGAAGGGGAAGUGGUGGGUUACCUUAAGGAUCGAAUCGAUCCGCGCCGUUGCCUUCCUGGUAGCCGGAGACCCGUGGCCGGUGUGUAGCGCCGCCACCGCAAACCCUACGCAGAUCACACGCGCGCCACGGUCCGGCCAGCUUGACGGAGGGCCGCGCAUCGAAGCACGCACGCACGCGCCGGCGAGCAAGCCCGCCGUGACGCCAUGGUCGCUGGGCGCCGACGCCGGGGCUGGUCGAGAAAGAGGUGGACAGGACAUGCGCCCCCUCCAUCGAUCUAAAUCGGGGAAGAGGGAGAUAGACGAAAGGGGGUCGACAACAUCAAAGAGCGCCGCUGCCGGGGAGGGAGGCGGGAAGGAGGGCGGGCGCCGUCGCCGAAGGCGAGAGGGACAGGGGCAUCGGGUGGAUUCCUUCGGCCUUUCUUCGCGGCGAAGCGAACUCGCUUGUCUUUCUCUUGAAAAAAAAACUCCCUUGUCUCGUAGCUUGCCGACGUGGACAGAGCCAUCGACCGCUCCUUGCGCGACUGUUAUUGGGUUGUAUGGGAUGUGACGAUGUGGCCCUCAAGCUGGGUGUUGGCGUAGUUCCUCAAGGCACGCAUUAUCUUGGCGCCGAUGUGACACACUAGGAGCUGCAUAUCAGUUUUCUUCUGCCGGCUUGAAAAAAUAACUAGUCAAUGUGGCAGUGAUUCAAACGGUGCAUACAACACUGUCCAAAUCACCUGAAGCAAAACAACGUUCCAACCGAAGCAACAAAAGGUUUGAAUGGACAGUGUUGUAUGCAAGGUAUGUUUGGUGAACUAGUGUGGAAAAACAUGUAUAAUCAAACCUCAUACUUUAGCAUUUCAAAGCAAUAGUAAGUAAGAUGGAAGCAUACAUAUACAAUUAUGUACUCCAGCAAAUGAGUGUCAUUGUAAUUGUCUUAAGCAUUAAAACACAGGGUUACAACCGACGAUAGAGAGACCGCCUGAGGAGAUAUAUGCAAUGAAAUAUAAAUAUAUAUGGAUUAACUAUAGGACAUAUAUGCAUCAUUACUAGAAUGAAAAGGCUAAUUACAACCUGAAGUGGCAAUGCAAGGAAAUGAAAUUAUACAAGUGAUGAGAAAUAUAAUGAAGCAUGUGUUUAAUAAAAAUAAAAUAAAAAUCUACAAAUAAUGGAAACACAUAUACUAAAUCAAGAAGCAUGAUUGCAGUUCUAUCUAUACAUAAAAUAACAUGGAUGCUCCGAAGCAAUGGACUUUACAUCUGUACAUCUACGAAACAUGGCAAGAGACUGAAGCUCCAUUGCAUGGAAGAAGUAUCUGUACAUAAGACACCUAGGAAGUAUAGAUGCUAACUAAUGAAAAAAAUAAUAUGUACAGCGAGCAUGCAUGGCAAUAGAUUGACAUUCCAAUCGUACAUACGAAGGAUGGUAGAUGCAGCAGUACAUAGGAAGCUACCUAGAAGCAUGGAAAUAGAUUGAAAUUCCGCUGUACGUAGGAAGCACGAAUGCAUGAAGGAAAUUGCUAUCACUAUAUAAACAAGGCGUACCGGAAGCACAAAAAAAUGAAGAUGCAAAAUAGCAUGCUCGCCACUGAUAUCGGGUGCAGAAUUUAUGAUCUGCAAACGUAUCUCAUCUGCUCUAAUUGGAGGUUUUGUGAGCUUACAUCAACUUGAAUUCUUCAAAUACAUGAAUGAAAACAGAUCCACACAGAUCCCACCGCUGGUGAAUCUCCCAGCCACAUGUUGCAUCCUUUACGAAGACCUACACAGAUGCCUAGAUCGGCGACGAUGCUGCAGCUAGGUAGGGAUGUGAUCAAAUACAUAUUAGCUAGAACAUCCUUAUUUUCCGGAUGGCAAAGUUGGGCAGUGAUCCUGGAAAUCUCCUCUGGAACUAAAAGGGAUGUGAUCAAUUACAUAUCAGCGAACAUCCUUAUUUUCCGGGUGGCAAAGUUGGGCAGUGAUCCUGGCAAUCUCCCCUGGAACUAAAACAAGGUGCUCCCUGCGCAUUGAGGCAGCAAAAGCAGUGAUGGGCAUUUGGUUCACCUUUGGUGUUACAAUCCCUUGCGACACACCAUUUUAUGGUAAGUUUGCUCUCAUCUAAGGAUGAGGCCACCAUAGUCUCGUUGUCAUGGCCAUCUCUGUAGGUGCUCUUGGGGACGGAACGACCUGUUGCAUAUGACAUAUUAUGUGCUCAUCAGUGCACAGUAGGCAAGUAUCUUAUGUACAUAGAGGAACAAUAGUUUUGAAAGACAGUGCAAAGAUAUAAGCAAUAUGAUAGUGAAGGUGCGCUUACAUUGUCCAACCAUGAUUAGGCACCCGACAAAGAAAACAGCAACCACUACGCUGCUCCCCUUCAUAUUUUCAAUGAACUGUAUACGAGAUUAUGAGAUAGUUAGAAGCAAUCAGAGGCAAUAAUCACAAUCCCCUCUCACCUCAGUAUAUACAUAUAGGGUAGGGUUGGAGUCGAGCCGAGUUCAGUCCGAGCCACGCUCUGGCUCGUUCUGUAUGGGUGUCUUUGCUCGGUCCAGCCCAACCACCAGAAAACAAUGCAUCCCUUUACAGUGAGUAAACAGUAGUUUUUUUUGUGUGUCUUUUGUUGUUUUGAUUGCAAAUUAAGACAAUAUAUUGAAUAUUUAGCACUCUAUAUUAAUUGCUAAAAAAAUUGAAGAUCAAGCACCAUAUAUUGCUAAUAAUGAUCAAAGUGUUGAAAACUAAGCAUAUGCAUCUUGAUGUUGUCAAGUACAUGGUUUGGUGCUCUUCACCUCUGUGUUACAAGUUACAACCAAUUAAAAAUUGACAAGUCUAUACUUCAGACUUCUGCAGACGCAAAAACAUGUUGCAGUCACUGCAGUCUAGAGGCUAGAGACUAGCACAGUUUAGCAUCUCAUUCUUGAGCAGAUAAAGCUAGCAGCAAGAACCAAACUACCAGAUGCCAGGUGAUGUAUUAUCAACCAUUCAGGUUACAAGCAGGCUUCCUAUGUAAAAAUGAGAAGCAAAUAUUCUCAAGCACAUGUACAGAAGUACGAAUCAAAAGCUUCACUACUUGACACCAUGUACAUCUCCUACCCAAGCUGCACAAGCCUCUGCUCUGUGGCCGCUCUGCUCUUGAUCCGAGAAAAAAAGGGGGAAGCAGACGAACCUUAGGCAGCCGUUGGCGUCAUUGUUGCGGGAGGGAAGGAAACUUCUUGAGUAGUCGUCGCUUGAAUCAGCGAGGGGUUCGGGGCGCUUCUGCUUCCCCAAGACGUAGGGAAGUGGGCGCUCGUUCUCAGGGAGCUGCUGGGACGUCUUCUCCCCUAACAGACCAGCGAUUCCAUCAGUUGAAAGGAGCAUUGUUACAUUCCAUAUAUGUAGAACAAAGAACGGCAGAACAGCUAUGCAAUUUGAGAUCGCAAAGUUAUGGUAGUAAAUAGUACUCCCUCCGUCCCAGAAUAAGUCUUUGAUUUAGUACAAACUACAAAGUGUACUAACUUUGUAGUCACUUAUUUUGGGAUGGAGGGAGUAUGCAUUAUGUGAGGGAGGCAACUAUACCCAAAACGGAAAUGGGUCGGUUUUCCACCCCUGCACGUGUCCGUACCCACACCAUGCCCCCAGCUGGUCCCGAUCACGCACAGGCAAAAGCAAAACAGGGGAUAAAAUGCCACCACACAAGAAAGGGUGGAACAAACAGGAAAAAGAGGCGGCCAUGGCGUCCUGAAGGUUAAGAGAAACAAAAACAUAGAAGUCUUCACAACAAGUUAUGCAAGCACAGGCGCAAACACAGAAAUCUAGGUGUAUUUAUUUUGUCACAACCCUGGUCUGUAGCAACACUCAUAGUAUUCUGAUCUGUUUGGCAGAAGACACAGGAAUCUCGAAAAAUAUCCUCCUACCUCUCCCCUUGAUUUGAUUCUUCAAAGAUUCUGGGUACAAGGUCUUUGGAAACUUGAAGCCAGAAUUGUAGAUUCGGUUUGCCUGUGAGUGAUCCUGACCUGCAUAUAUGCAUAGGAGAUGUUAGGUUGGCUUGUGCACAACUGAAUUGUAAUAAGUUGCUUCACAUAUAGUUGGUUUAUAAGUAAAAAAAUUGUUGGUUGCUUGCCUUUCACGACAAAACGACCUAUAUGUUCCCCAGAUAGUACUAUGCUAGUUUGUUUGUGUGAGAAGUUUUUAGAAUACACCAUUUUUCUGUGGAAAAAGCAAACUUUUUACUAUAGAGUCCAGCUUUAUAAAUGGAUCAUCUUAACAUGAAAUGCAAAUUAACCCGCUUGUCGCCUAGGCAAUGCACUAUACCAACUAGGAAGAUUGUUCCAGUUAGUAUUACUGGAAUAAAACUAAUAUUCCCCAGUAAUAAAAAUUACCAAUUCAGGCAAGGAUCCUCUUUGUGCUAUUGUGCAACAUGGAAAACUUGCUCACAAAAAUCUGGUGCAAGACACAGCUACUGCAUCUUAAACAAGACCAUGGAUAAGCUACAUUAUUGCUGGACUGUGGGGAAGCAACUUUACUAUGCUAAGUAAGGAACAAAAGAAAAACAGAAAGUAUCAACGAAAUGACUUAAGUAGUCGAGUAAAAGUGUCCUAUCUAUCUGCGUAGCAACAAACACAGAUAAGUAGUAAGAGUGUUCUCUCAGAAAAAUGCCUCAUGUUGUCCCAAAGGUUUAAUGGAAUGUAUUGUAUCAGGCAUCUGAUCAGUGUUUUUUUUUUUGCGGGUUAGGCAUCUGAUCAGUGUUGACCAACAAAGACCCAAAAACACAAAGUGAGCAACCACGCAGGCUCUUGCACGGACAUACAGAGGACAAACGAAACCCUUGCUUCAUUAACACAAAAAAGGUGGGAGAACUAGAUGUAUCAAAUGGCCUGGAAAAGCUACUGAGCACAAGUAGAUUGCUUCUCUCUAUCUGUUAUAUCUCUAUCUCUUCUACCUCUAUUUUUUCUCUACCUACCUAUCUACUUGCUUCAUUGGCACACACAAAAAUACAACAAUGCCAGAUCGCCAUGAAGGGAUAGACAUAAGAAACUUGCUUCACCGGCACAAACAAAGUGAGAGGACUUGCUUUAUCAAUUUGCCUGAGGAAAGCUACUUAUAUAGCACAAGUAAAUUGCAUGUGUCGAUGAAAACAAAAUGCUACAACCAGUCGCACUAGAAAGCACAAAAAACAUGCCCCCUCGCGCUAAUCUUCACCAAUCUCCUGGAGGAGUUUGUGAGCAUGCCCCUUGACGGUAAAAACAUCGACUAAAUAAACAUUCCCCCAAAAUCUACUGUAAUUCGUAAGAAUGAACAGUAGGUGCUCUACUCUCCUCAGCAAGAAUCGUAAGAAACGAGCGCUUCUAAUCGAUGAACGGGUGCUCUGCUCAGUGCUCACCCUUCUAAAUCGGCCAAGGGAGUGGCUCUGGUCCUGGCGCAGCUACGGAACGGGGGUAAACUGCAUUACGGCGCCCUCUUGCUAGGCUGCUACCCACCCCUUCCGAAUGUGGCGGGCCCCGUGGAGCGCGCGCAUACCUGAGGUGUGGUCGUCGGCGGCAGGCAGCAGGCUGGGUCGAUGCUGCGCUCCUCCUUUCGCCGGCGCUCCAAUCCCUCAAACUUCCAGCGCCGCCGCGACCGCCCUGCUUCGCUUCUCUCCCCUCUCCGUCUUCCCCAUCUUCAGUGACCCAAGCAGCGCCACCGAGGCCGCGGCGGCCGCCUUCUGAUUUACCGUUCCCCGCGCUCGUCUUCCUUUCUCUGCCUCCACACGAUCUCCGCUGGGAAACCCUAGCAAUGGGGAAUUUCGUGCUCACUUAUCAGGGCAUCUCCAAUCUCCAAUAAUGGGCAUUGCUACAGUCGGCCGGCGGAUAUUUCUACAAGCCGCCGCAUCGGCUGUUAGGCUAGUCACAGGGAGUUAUCCCAAGAAAAUAUUGCUUAUGUGGCAUAGAGUUAAUAAAAAGUGAGACACUUGUGGUAACAUAAUAUGUUACUGUAACAUAACACAUCCCGAGAUAAUGAGACUAUAUCUCAAUUAGUGAAGGCUUGCAUGUUAUCAUUCAUAUGUUACUACUCAUUAUAAAAGUAGUAUGCUUAGCACAGAGAUGCUUGUUUUGAAAUGUGCGACCCGUUAGGUGUACGGCCUGGCGACUGCGCUGGCGACCGCGAGCCCCCGGUGGGGCGUGCGCUGGGUGGGAUUCCACCGGCGGCAUGAACCUUGGUCCGCCAUGGAGUGGGUUCGGCCUAGGUACGCGCGGCGGUGGAGCGUGCUGUUUCACCGGCGACGGGGGCUGGGGCCUGCCGGAACCGUUUCUGGGCGCUGUCGGAGGCGGACUUUGAUGAUGAAGACGAGGGGGAGGAUUGCGAGAGUUGUGUGCGUGCGGUGCUGGAGGGGCCGUCGAUUGGUGAUUUUGUGACCUUCGCGGCGGAGGCGCGUGGCCUGGGAGCAGCGCGGGGGCGGCGCUUUGCUCCGGGAGGUCGCGGUUCCAGGGCCACGGCCCAGCGCAUCUGGCAGCCGGUGUUGGCGGGGAGUGCGGGCUCGGGUCCGGCGGAGGCGACGGGUGCGUCCCGUCGCAUCAGAUCCUUGACGGCGGCUUGUCCGAUGAAGGACAGGGCUGCACAGUCCGGGGAGGACUGGCCUCGCCUGCCUGCGCCUUCGUCUCCUGCGCCGGCGGCGGCGUCGUCGGGCGAGAGGGAGCAGGCGUUGUCUGCCCGGGGGCCUAGGGUUGGGCCGUUGGGGCCGAGUGCUGGUGUACCGGAGCCGGCUAACGAAGCGGUUCAAGGGUUGGGCCCAUCCGCGGGGCAGGUGCUGGGGACGACUCAGGAAGCGAAUACACUUGGGCCUCCAAGGCCCAGGUCGCCCCGGCCUGCCGCGCGUCCGGUCGCCGGCUAUAAAUGGAUGCGGAGAGGCUGUCUGGACCCCCUUUUAGGGUUUCCAGCCACUGCGAGCGAGGUGCGGCGCCUCACACACUCCGCCCGCACUCUCAAGAUCUCGCCCCCUCCCCCUCCCCUUCUCAAAUCCUUUGCGGCGGUGGUGAUGGAAGACCGGCGAGCUGACAAGAGGCCCAUGGAGGUCUCAGAUUCGGAAGCGGAGCGGCGCAGGGAGCGGGAGCUGCGGGACCAGGCGAAGCGCUCGAUGCGGGAGCGCGCGGACGGUCAUGAGGUUAGAGCCGAGCGCGGCGGAUCUCGUGACCAGGGCAGGCACGAGGGGGAUUGGGGUCCUCCUCCCCCAUGGUGAAUCCAGCAACAAGAAAGAAAGAAGAAGAAGAAGGUCACUCAGAGGCGGCGCGAGCUCGAGUAGAAGCCGGAGGCACAUCCCAACUGUGGUGGGGGCCAUGGGGAUCCGAUGGCCAAGAAACCUUGGGCGGCCGCAGAUCCACUGGCAGUUGCCUUUCCUUCUUCCUCCAAGGGCACGACGGAGGAUCCCAUUCCGGUGGAAGAGGUGCCAGAUGUGGAAUGCUUUAAGUGCGGCCGCCUCGGGCACUACCAAUCCAAGUGUAAGUUUCAACCCUUGUGUGUGCUCUGUAAGGAGGAAGGACACGCGUCUGCGCACUGUCCGACGCGGGGGCGUCAACUCCGUUUGCAGAUCAUGGGUAGCGCCAUCUCCGGAGAGGGUUUUUUCUGCUUGGAGUUCGAUGAGGAGGAUGAGGCAGAGCUGCCUGUGGAUGCAAGGAUCGAGAAUGCGACAAUUCUUUCUGCCGAGCCAGGGAGGCUCAACCUUCGCAUCCUCAAGCAAGAACUUCAACACAUGGUGACUGGAUCUUGGAAUUGGCAAGUGACCCAGGUUGGUGACAAUGAUUUCUUGGUUGUUUUCCCUUCAGCUGAUCUCCUUCACAUAUUGAAGACAAGUGGAAAGCUUUUUCUAUCUAUCAAUGACAUCACAGCCUCGGUCCGGGACAUGAUUCACGAGGAGGUGCAGCCGAUGGCCAUGCUAGAGACUUGGGUGCGGCUGCACGGCAUCCCGAAGAAACACAGACGCGAGGAUCGCAUCAAGGAAGGGUUCCGGGAUGCUUGGUCGCCCAAUCGUGGUAGACGAACUGUCCCUCAUUAGGAUGGGGCCGGUGAGGAUGAAGUUAGCAUGCAAGGCUCCGAAGAAACUAAAUGGUUUCGUGGAAGUAUGGUUCAAUCAUGAAGGUUACCAGAUUAAGGUGGAGCGUGAGAUGUUGCCCAAGCGUGGCGGUGAGCGUGUGGUGACCGUUCCUGGUCCAUCUACCCCCCCCCACCCAAAGAUCCCGCUGCCAAUGGAGGGGCGCACCCUUCGGGUAGCGUGCGUCCCAACGGCGUGGCCCCUGGUGCGGCCCCUCAAGGAGAUGAUCGGGCUCCCACCAUGGGAUCAGACGGUGACACCAAGAUGCAUGACAUGGGAGAUGAUUUCGAGGAUAGCCAGCAAGAUACUUCUAUAGACACGGAAACUUGGGACAAGCUGGGUGCUCUCUCAACUGAUGCGGGUACCAUGGGGGUGGCGACGCAGGACACGGCGACGAGCGUCCCACCGCUGGCUCGAUCCCUUGCGUUGACGUUCGACGAAUACAGAUCAAACUUGACGGCCACUAUGGUGAUGCAGCUGAAGCCUAACAAGGAGGUUGGGUCAUUUCGGUCCCGGCGCCAUCUCUGGCUGUGGCAACCGGGGCAGACUCUGGGUGUGUCGUGGAUUGGGACCUGACCCCCUCCAACAAGCGUGGCUCCAACAGUGUGGGGCGUCACGCAAAGAAGACGACGGACAGAAAACCGACCAAUAAGCAGGUGGGGCGGGGGAGACGGGAGCGGCGGCAACCCUUCGUGGCGAAUUGGGGGCGGCGCUGGGUGCGGCAGAAGUGGGCACCAAGGCCAGGCGUUCCAAGGUUACUCCUGUUGCGCAGUGGGUGCCCAGCGCGCGUGCCAAGGCCAAGCUUGGGGAGCUGACUUCACUAGAGAGUGCCAAACUUCGGCUUGCUGACAAGAAUCUGGAGGCCGCAGGUAAUCCCUUACCAUCUUAUUGCAUUCUGAACACUUUUUCGGAUGAACAUCUUGCGAACAUCUUAGACGAUAGUGGAGUUGUAAUUAGUGCUCCGUGUAGUGAGAUCAUCUCACUGGUGCGCGCGCAGGAGGAAGCGCAGGCCAUGCUCGCGGCUGCGGCUGCGUGUUGUGCUGACUUGAAUCAACUUUCCAUCGUGCCGGUAGAGGCUGGCUGCAAGGCAGGGCCCGAUGAGGGGAUAGAGGCAAGGGAUGCCUCUGAUCUACCUUCUUCCAGCCGGAUCCCAGCGCGGAAGCGAGUGUUGAAGGCGGUGACAUCCAGGGGGGUGCGCUUGCGUAAUCGAAUCAUAUAGAUGCGCUAUCUAUUUUGGAACAUCCGUGGGUGGCCACGGCGGGAGACGUACACAGCUCAAGGAAUAUAUUUCCAAGGAGAGGAACGGCGCAGUUGCGCUUUAGGAAACGAUUAAAUCUGACUUCUCGUACCGUGAUAUCCUUUCUUUUGACCCGCUGCAACGUUUCUCUUGGCACUGGGUGCCCUCGUCGGGGCACUCGGGUUGCAUUCUUAUGGGUUGUAACCUUGAUAUCUGUGAUGUACUACAAUGGGAUGUUGGUGUAUUUUUCCUUGCGGCUACAGUUCAUCAUCGUGUCACGGGUCUCUCGUGGGUCGUUGUGUGCGUAUACGGACCUGCAGACCAUUCACGUUCAUCAGAGUUCUUAUUGGAGUUAACCAACUUGGUAGGGGCCAAACGAACAAUCAAUUUGUCACUUGUGGUGGGUGGUGACUUCAAUCUAUUCCGUUCGGGGGCGGACAAAAGCAACACCAACAUUGACUGGACUAGGGUGUCCAUGUUCAAUGGUGCCAUUGCGGCAAUGGCUUUGCGUGAGGCGGCUCGGACCGGUGCGAGAUUUACAUGGACUAACAAGCAAACGCAGCCAGUACAGAGUGUGUUAGAUAGGGUUUUCUUUACUCCCGAAUGGGAGGUUCUAUUUCCCUUAUGCACACUAGUUGACGAAACACGUAUCGGCUGGGACCAUGUUUCGUUGUUUUUCUCCUCUGGGGAGGAAUUCAUUAGGCGUAGCCCACGGUUCUACUUUGAAAUGGCUUGGUUUGAAUCCGAGGGGUUUGCCCAGAUGGUGGCAGAAUGUUGGUGUACGAUCUGCGCCCAGCUUGGGCCACAAUGUGGACCAGCUGAGUUCUGGAUCUCGGCGGCUAGCAAACUCCCGGCUUUUCUUCGUGGGUGGGGGGCUAACCACGGCAGUGAGACUAAGAAAGAGCGGGCUAACAUUGUUGAGGCAAUAGCCGCGAUGGACUAGGAGGGUGAUCAGCGGCCCUUCUCGGAGGGAGAAUGGGCCGCUCGUUACGACCUUGAACGCAAGGUCUUAGCCAUCCUUCAAGCGGAAGAGGAGCAUUGGCGCCGUGGGGGCGGUAUCAAGUGGGUCACCAAAUGAGACGCUAACACUAGUUAUUUCCAUGCCUACGCUAACGGUAGGAAACGUAAGAGUAUGAUCCUUCUGUUACAAUCUGAUCAAGGUCUAUUAGUUACUAACGAUCGCAUUGUGACCCACAUUUAUGAGUUUUUCAUUGGGCUUUUGGGGACGGCCGAGGAAAAGGCUCUUUGCCUCCAUGAUGACCUUUGGGACCCUUCCGAACAUGUCACGUAGGAGGAGAACGACGGGCUCAUUCUCUCAUUCCUCCCGGAGGAAAUUGAUCGUGCUUUACACGAUAUGAAAACGGACACGGCACCUGGUCCGGACGGGUGGCCGGUAGAGUUUUUCAAAAAGUUCUGGCCUAACCUUAAACACAUUUUCUAUGGUAUAGUGAACGGGUUCGCGUUAGGUACUGUUGACCUGGCUAGAUUAAACUAUGGGGCCAUCAGCUUGAUCCCCAAAGUUAAAGGGGCUGACGACAUUAAACUAUUCAGACCAAUCUGCCUGAUUAAUGCCCCUUUCAAGAUUUGCGCGAAAGCUUACGCUUCUCGCCUGGCGCCCGUAGCUCAACGGGUGAUUAGCCCUAGUCAGACAGGUUUUUUGAAGCACUAUAACAUCCUAGAAGGACCUUUAGUGCUUCAGGAAAUCAUUCACGAGCUUAAAUGCACCAAGGUGCGUGGCGUCCUUCUCAAGUUAGAUUUUGGCCUAUGAUCGCGUGAACUGGGAGUUCGUGCGAGAGGUCCUCAUCAAAAAGGGUUUUGAUGGGGGUUUUGUUCACCGUAUCAUGCACCUCAUGAGCAGUGGGCACAUGGUGGUGACCAUCAACGGUGAGAUCGGCAAUUUCUUCCGCAACAAGCGUGGCCUCAGGCAGGGGGACCCGAGCUCACCUUUGAUCUUUAAUUUUGUUGCGGAUGCGCUCGCGGCGAUGAUUAGCAAGGCCAGAGAUGCGGGACACAUCAAAGGGCUAAUCUCUCAUCUUAUUCCAGGCGGUGUGACAUAUCUGCAAUACGCAGAUGACACGAUGUUGUUAUUCCAGCUGGAUGACCAUAGCAUUGCCUCGAUUAAGUUACUGUUAAUCUCUUUCGAAAUUUUGUCGGGCCUUAAAAUUAAUUUUCUCAAAAGCAAAGUGAUCACCAUAGGGAUGGAGGAGCACGAAAGUAGGGGGGUCGCAAACUUGCUCAAUUGCAAGAUUGGCAAGUUCCCGAUCAAGUAUCUUGGACUACCGAUAACGCACAAGAGCCUGACUAUAGCUGAAUGGGCGCCACUAUACGGCAAAUUGGUGAAUCGGGUUAGUCUGUGGAGAGGAAGGUUUAUGUCCUCGUCCGCUAGGUUAAUUUUGACCAACUCUAGCUUAUCCUCUCUUUCCAAUGGGCAUGUUCCUCCUUGCCAAUGGAGUGCAUGCUAAACUUGACACGCCGCAUGCCCAGUUCUUUUGGGAAGGAACUGGGACGAAGCGCAAAUAUCACUUGGUAAAGUGGGCGGCGGUCUGCAGGCCGAAGAAGUUCGGUGGUAUUGGGAUCACGAAUUCGAAACUGAUGAACGUUGCCCUGCUAACCAAGUGAUGGUGGCGGCUAGCCCAAAACGAGAAGGGUCUCUGGGCGGACAUUCUUCGGGCAAAAUACUUCCCGGACGGUAACCUGUUUAAGGCCAAGACCAAGGGAUCGGCCUUUUGGAAUGGCAUACAAGCGGUGAGACCUGCCUUCUCGGUUGGGGCCCAAUUCUCUGUCAACAACGGAGCGUCCGAUGUAGGAAUGGGACAUCCUCCCCCAUCCCACAGAUGGUGCAUGUCCCAUUCGCCAAGCGCAACGGUCCGACGAAUGGGACAUGCACCAUCUGUGGGAUGGGGGAGGAUGCUAACCACGUCUUCUUCAGAUGCGGUCUCGUUAGAUUUGCGUGCAGUGCGGCCAGAGAGGCUUUUAACCAGAACUGGAAUCCGCAAACUAGCAACCACCUUCUUACCAUACUAACCGCGCAGAAGGGUAUGAAUGCUCGGGUGGUGUGGAGAUGCGUAGGGGCGAUGCUUUGGUCAAUAUGGACCGUGUGGAACAAAAUUACUAUCGAACACAUGUUCCCUGUGUAGGGGAACGUAGUAAUUUCAAAAAAAUUCCUACGCACACGCAAGAUCAUGGUGAUGCAUAGCAACGAGAGGGGAGAGUGUGUCCACGUACCCUCGUAGACCGUAAGCGGUAGCGUUAUGACAACGCGGUUGAUGUAGUCGUACGUCUUCACGAUCCGACCGAUCCAAGUACCGAACGUACGGCACCUCCGAGUUUAGGACACGUUCAGCUCGAUGACGAUCCCCGGACUCCGAUCCAGCAAAGUGUCGGGGAUGAGUUCCGUCAGCAUGACGGCGUAGUGACGAUGAUGAUGUUCUACCGGCGCAGGGCUUCGCCUAAACUCCGCGACGAUAUGACAGAGGUGGAAUAUGGUGGAGGGGGGCACCGCACACGGCUAAGGAACGAUCACGUAGAUCAACUUGUGUGUCAUGGGGUGCCCCUGCCCCCGUAUAUAAAGGAGGGAGGGGGAGGUGCGGCCGGCCAAGGAGGGCGCGCCAAGGGGGAGUCCUACUCCCACCGGGAGUAGGACUCCUUCUUUCCUAGUCCAACAAGGAGAAGGGGGGAAAGGAGUGAAGGAAAUAUGCCCUAGAGGCAAUAAUAAAGUUAUUAUUUAUUUCCUCAUAUCAUGAUAAAUGUUUAUUAUUCAUGCUAGAAUUGUAUUAACCGGAAACAUGAUACAUGUGUGAAUACAUAGACAAACAUAUAGUCACUAGUGUGCCUCUACUAGACUAGCUCGUUAAUCAAAGAUGGUUAUGUUUCCUAACCAUAGACAUGUGUUGUCAUUUGAUUAAUGGGAUCACAUCAUUAGGAGAAUGAUGUGAUUGACAUGACCCAUUCCGUUUAGCCUAGCACUUGAUCGUUUAGUAUAUUGCUAUUGCUUUCUUCAUGACUUAUGCAUGUUCCUGUAACUAUGAGAAUUAUGCAACUCCCGUUUACCGGAGGAACACUUUGGGUACUACCAAACGUCACAACAUAACUGGGUGAUUAUAAAGGAGUACUACAGGUGUCUCCGAAGGUACAUGUUGAGUUGGCGUAUUUCGAGAUUAGGUUUUGUCACUCCGAUUGUCGGAGAGGUAUCUCUGGGCCCUCUCGGUAAUGCACAUCAUUAUAAGCCUUGCAAGCAAUGUGACCAAAUGAGUUGGUUACGGGAUGAUGCAUUACGGAACGAGUAAAGAGACUUGCCGGUAACAAGAUUGAACUAGGUAUUGGAUACCGACGAUCAAAUCUCGGGCAAGUAACAUACUGAUGACAAAGGGAACAACGUAUGUUGUUAUGCGGUUUGACCGAUAAAGAUCUUCGUAGAAUAUGUAGGAACCAAUAUGAGCAUCCAGGUUCCGCUAUUGGUUAUUGACCGAGAAUAGUUCUAGGUCAUGUCUACAUAGUUCUCGAACCCGUAGGGUCCGCACGCUUAACGUUACGAUGACAGUUUUAUUAUGAGUUUAUAAGUUUUGAUGUACCGAAGUUUAUUCGGAGUCCCGGAUGUGAUCACGGACAUGACGAGGAGUCUCGAAAUGGUCGAGACAUAAAGAUUGAUAUAUUGGAAGCCUAUAUUUGGACAUCGGAAAGGUUCCGGGUGAAAUCGGGAUUUUAUCGGAACACCGGGGGGUUACUGGAACCCUCCCGGGGGUUAAUGGGCCUUAGUGGGCCAUGAGGGAGAAGAGGAGGGCCGGCCAGGGCAGGCCGCAUGCCCCCUCCCCCCUAGUCCGAAUAGGACAAGGAAGGGGGGGUGGCGCCCCCCUUUCCUCUUUCCCCUCCCCCCUUUCCUUCUCCACCAAGGCAAGAGGGGGGAGUCCUACUCCCGGUGGGAGUAGGACUCCUCCAAGCGCACCCCAAGGGGGCCGGCCGCACCUCCCCCUCCCUCCUUUAUAUACGGGGGCAGGGGGGCACCCCAUAAGACACAAGUUGAUCUACGGAUCGUUCCUUAGCCGUGUGCGGUGCCCCCCUCCACCAUAUUCCACCUCGGUCAUAUCGUUGCGAAGCUUAGGCGAAGCCCCGCGCCGGUAGAACAUCAUCAUCGUCACCACGCCAUCGUGCUGACAGGACUCAUCCCCGAAGCUUUGCUGGAUCGGAGCCCGGGGAUCGUCAUCGAGCUGAACGUGUGCUGAACUCGGAGGUGCCGUACGUUCGGUGCUUGGAUCGGUCGGAUCGUGAAGACGUACGACUACAUCAACCGCGUUGUGCUAACGCUUCCGCUUACGGUCUACGAGGGUACGUGGACAACACUCUCGCCUCUCGUUGCUAUGCCAUCACCAUGAUCUUGCGUGUGCGUAGGAAUUUUUUUGAAAUUACUACGUUCCCCUACAGUGGUAUCAGGGCCUAGGUUUUAUGCGUUGAUGUUAUAUGCACGAGUAGAACACAAGUGAGUUGUGGGCGAUACAAGUCAUACUGCUUACCAGCAUGUCAUACUUUGGUUCAGCGGUAUUGUGAGAUGAAGCGGCCCGGACCAACAUUACGCGUACGCUUACGCGAGACUGGUUUCACCGUUGCGAGCACUCGUGCUUAAAGGUGGCUGGUGGGUGUCUGUCUCUCUCACUUUAGCUGAAUCAAGUGUGGCUACGCCCGGUCCUUGCGAAGGUUAAAACAGCACCAACUUGACGAACUAUCGUUGUGGUUUUUAUGCGUAGGUAAGAACGGUUCUUGCUAAAGCCCGUAGCAGCCACGUAAAACAUGCAACAACAAAGUAGAGGACGUCUAACUUGUUUUUGCAGGGCAUGUUGUGAUGUGAUAUGGUCAAGAGUGAUGCUAUAUUUUAUUGUAUGAGAUGAUCAUGUUUUGUAACCGAAGUUAUCGGCAACUGGCAGGAGCCAUAUGGUUGUCGCCUUAUUGUAUGAAAUGCAAACGCCCAAUAGUUGCUUUACUUUAUCUCUAAGCAGUAGCGAUGGUCGUAGAAGCAAUAGAUGGCGUAACGACAACGAUGCUACGAUGAAGAUCAAGGUGUCGCGCCGGUGACGAUGGUGAUCACGACGGUGCUUCGAAGAUGGAGAUCACAAGCACAAGAUGAUGAUGGCCAUAUCAUAUCACUUAUAUUGAUUGCAUGUGAUGUUUAUCCUUUAUGCAUCUUAUCUUGCUUUGAUUGACGGUAGCAUUUUAAGAUGAUCUCUCACUAAUAAUCAAGAAGUGUUCUCCCUGAGUAUGCACCGUUGUGAAAGUUCUUCGUGCUGAGACACCACGUGAUGAUCGGGUGUGAUAGGCUCUAUGUUCAAAUACAACGGGUGCAAAACAGUUGCACACGCGGAAUACUCAGGUCAUACUUGACGAGCCUAGCAUAUACAGAUAUGGCCUCGGAACACGGAGACCGAAAGGUCGAGCGUGAAUCAUAUAGUAGAUAUGAUCAACAUAGUGAUGUUCACCAUUGAAACUACUCCAUCUCACGUGAUGAUCGGACAUGGUUUAGUUGAUUUGGAUCACGUGAUCACUUAGAUGACUAGAGAGAUGUCUGUCUAAGUGGGAGUUCUUAAGUAAUAUGAUUAAUUGAACUUAAAUUUAUCAUGAAACUUAGUACCUGAUAGUAUUUUGCUUGUCUAUGUUUGUUUGUAGAUAGAUGGCUCGCGCUGUUGUUCCGUUAAAUUUUAAUGCGUUCCUUGAGAAAGAAAAGUUGAAAGAUGAUGGUAGCAAUUACACGGACUGGGUCCGUAACCUGAGAAUUUUCCUCAUUGCUGCACAGAAAAGUUACGUCCUGGAAGCACCGCUGGGUGCCAGGCCUGCUACUGAUGCAACUGACGAUGUUAAGAACGUCUGGCAGAGCAAAGCUGAUGACUACUCGAUAGUUCAGUGUGCCAUGCUUUAUGGCUUAGAACCGGGUCUUCAAAUGACGUUUUGAACGUCAUGGGGCAUAUGAGAUGUUCCAGGAGUUGAAGUUAAUAUUUCAAGCAAAUGCCCGGAUUGAGAGAUAUGAAGUCUCCAAUAAGUUCUACAGCUGCAAGAUGGAGGAGAAUAGUUCUGUCAGUGAACACAUACUCAAAAUGUCUGGGUAUAAUAAUCACUUGAUUCAACUGGGAGUUAAUCUUCCUGAUGAUAGUGUCAUUGACAGAAUUCUUCAAUCACUGCCACCAAGCUACAAGAGCUUCGUGAUGAACUAUAAUAUGCAAGGGAUGAACAAGACUAUUCCCGAGCUCUUCGCAAUGCUAAAAGCCGCGGAGGUAGAAAUCAAGAAGGAGCAUCAAGUGUUGAUGGUUAACAAAACCACCAGUUUCAAAAAAAAGGGCAAAGGGAAGAAGAAGGGGAACUUCAAAAAGAACAGCAAGCAAGUUGCUGCUCAAGAGAAGAAACCCAAGUCUGGACCAAAUCCUGAAACUGAGUUCUUCUACUGCAAGCAGACUGGACACUGGAAGCGGAACUGCCCCAAGUAUUUGGCGGAUAAGAAGGAUGGCAAAGUGAACAAAGGUAUAUGUGAUAUACAUGUUAUUGAUAUGUACCUUACUAAUGCUCGCAGUAGCACCUGGGUAUUUGAUACUGGUUCUAUUGCUAAUAUUUGCAACUCGAAACAGGGACUACGAAUUAAGCGAAGAUUGGCUAAGGACGAGGUGACGAUGCGCGUGGGAAAUGGUUCCAAAGUCGAUGUGAUCGCGGUCGGCAUGCUACCUCUACAUCUACCAUCGGGAUUAGUUUUAGACCUAAAUAAUUGUUAUUUGGUGCCAGCGUUAAGCAUGAACAUUAUAUCUGGAUCUUGUUUGAUGCGAGACGGUUAUUCAUUUAAAUCAGAGAAUAAUGGUUGUUCUAUUUAUAUGAGUAAUAUCUUUUAUGGUCAUGCACCCUUGAAGAGUGGUCUAUUUUUAUUAAAUCUCGAUAGUAGUGAUACACAUAUUCAUAGUGUUGAAACCAAAAGAUGCAGAGUUAAUAAUGAUAGUGCAACUUAUUUGUGGCACUGCCGUUUAGGUCAUAUCGGUGUAAAGCGCAUGAAGAAACUCCAUACUGAUGGGAUUUUGGAAUCACUUGAUUAUGAAUCACUUGGUACUUGCGAACCGUGCCUCAUGGGCAAGAUGACUAAAACACCGUUCUCCGAAACUAUGGAGCGAGCAACUGACUUGUUGGAAAUCAUACAUACUGAUGUUUGCGGUCCAAUGAAUGUUGAGGCUCGCGGCGGAUAUCGUUAUUUUCUCACCUUCACAAAUGAUUUGAGCAGAUAUGGGUAUAUCUACUUGAUGAAACACAAGUCUGAAACAUUUGAAAAGUUCAAAGAAUUUCAGAGUGAAGUAGAAAAUCAUCAUAACAGGAAAAUAAAAUUUCUACGAUCUGAUCGUGGAGGAGAAUAUUUGAGUUACGAGUUUGGUCUACACUUGAAACAACACGGAAUAGUUUCACAACUCACGCCACCUGGAACACCACAACGAAAUGGUGUGUCCGAACGUUGUAAUCGUACUUUACUAGAUAUGGUGCGAUCUAUGAUGUCUCUUACUGAUUUACCGCUAUCAUUUUGGGGUUAUGCUUUAGAGACGGCCGCAUUCACGUUAAAUAGGGCACCAUCAAAAUCCGUUAAGACAACGCCUUAUGAACUAUGGUUUGGCAAGAAACCAAAGUUGUCAUUUCUUAAAGUUUGGGGCUGCGAUGCUUAUGUGAAGAAACUUCAACCAGAUAAGCUCGAACCCAAAUCGGAGAAAUGUGUCUUCAUAGGAUACCCAAAAGAGACUAUUGGGUACACCUUCUAUCAUAGAUCUGAGGGCAAGAUUUUCGUUGCUAAAAUCGGAUCCUUUCUAGAGAAGGAGUUUCUCUCGAAAGAAGUGAGUGGGAGGAAAGUAGAACUUGAUGAGAUAACUGUAUCUACUCCCUUAUUGGAAAGUAGUUCAUCACAAGAACCGGUUCCUGUGACAACCACUCCAAUUAGCGAGGAAGCUAAUGAUAUUGAUCAUGAAACUUCAGAUCAAGUUUCUACUGAACCUCGUAGGUCUACCAGAAUAAGAUCCGCACCAGAGUGGUACGGUAAUCCAAUUCUGGAAGUCAUGUUGCUUGACCAUGAUGAACCUACGAACUAUGAGGAAGCGAUGAUGAGCCCAGAUUCCGCAAAAUGGCUAGAGGCCAUGAAAUCUGAGAUGGGAUCCAUGUAUGAAAACAAAGUAUGGACUUUGGUUGACUUGCCAGAUGAUCGGCAAGCCAUUGAGAAUAAAUGGAUUUUUAAGAAGAAGACUGACGCUGAUGGUAAUAUAACUGUCUAUAAAGCUUGACUUGUUGCUAAAGGUUUUCGACAAGUUCAAGGGGUUGACUAUGAUGAGACUUUCUCACCCGUAGUGAUGCUUAAGUCUGUCCGAAUCAUGUUAGCUAUUGCUGCAUUUCAUAAUUAUGAAAUUUGGCAAAUGGAUGUCAAAACUGCAUUCUUGAAUGGAUUUCUGGAAGAAGAGUUGUAUAUGAUGCAGCCAGAAGGUUUUGUAGAUCGAACAGGUGCUAACAAAGUGUGCAAGCUCCAGCGUUCCAUUUAUGGACUGGUGCAAGCAUCUCGGAGUUGGAAUAAACGCUUUGAUAGUGUGAUCAAAUCAUAUGGUUUUAUACAGACUUUUGGAGAAGCCUGUAUUUACAAGAAAGUGAGUGGGAGUUCUGUAGCAUUUCUGAUAUUAUAUGUAGAUGACAUAUUAUUAAUUGGAAAUAAUAUAGAAUUUCUGGAUAGCAUAAAGAGAUACUUGAAUAAAAGUUUUUCAAUGAAAGACCUCGGUGAAGCUGCCUAUAUAUUGGGCAUCAAGAUCUAUAGAGAUAGAUCAAGACGCUUAAUAGGACUUUCACAAAGCACAUACCUUGAUAAAAUUUUGAAAAAGUUCAAAAUGGAUCAGGCAAAGAAAGGGUUCUUGCCCGUACUACAAGGUGUGAAGUUGAGUCAAACUCAAUGCCCGACCACAGUAGAAGAUAGAGAGAAAAUGAAAGAUGUUCCCUAUGCUUCAGCCAUAGGCUCUAUCAUGUAUGCAAUGCUGUGUACCAGACCUGACGUAUGCUUAGCAAUAAGCUUGGCAGGAAGGUACCAAAGUAAUCCAAGAGUGGAUCACUGGACAGCGGUCAAGAACAUCCUGAAAUACCUAAAAAGGACUUAGGAUAUGUUUCUCGUAUAUGGAGGUGACAAAGAGCUAGUCGUAAAUGGUUACGUCGAUGCAAGCUUUGACACUGAUUCGGACGAUUCUAAAUCGCAAACCGGAUACGUGUUUUUAUUAAACGGUGGAGCUGUAAGUUGGUGCAGUUCUAAACAAAGCGUCGUGGCGGGAUCUACAUGUGAAGCGGAGUACAUAGCUGCUUCGGAAGCAGCAAAUGAAGGAGUCUGGAUGAAGGAGUUCAUUUCCGAUCUAGGUGUCAUACCUAGUGCAUCGGGACCAAUGAAAAUCUUCUGUGACAAUACUGGUGCAAUUGCCUUGGCAAAGGAAUCCAGAUUUCACAAGAGGACCAAGCACAUCAAGAGACGCUUCAAUUCCAUUCGGUACCAAGUCCAAGUGGGAGACAUAGAGAUUUGCAAGAUACAUACGGAUCUGAAUGUUGCAGACCCGUUGACUAAGCCACUCUCACGAGCAAAACAUGAUCAGCACCAAGACUCCAUGGGUGUUAGAAUCAUUACUAUGUAAUCUAGAUUAUUGACUCUAGUGCAAGUGGGAGACUGAAGGAAAUAUGCCCUAGAGGCAAUAAUAAAGUUAUUAUUUAUUUCCUCAUAUCAUGAUAAAUGUUUAUUAUUCAUGCUAGAAUUGUAUUAACCGGAAACAUGAUACAUGUGUGAAUACAUAGACAAACAUAUAGUCACUAGUGUGCCUCUACUAGACUAGCUCGUUAAUCAAAGAUGGUUAUGUUUCCUAACCAUAGACAUGUGUUGUCAUUUGAUUAAUGGGAUCACAUCAUUAGGAGAAUGAUGUGAUUGACAUGACCCCAUUCCGUUUAGCCUAGCACUUGAUCGUUUAGUAUAUUGCUAUUGCUUUCUUCAUGACUUAUACAUGUUCCUGUAACUAUGAGAAUUAUGCAACUCCCGUUUACCGGAGGAACACUUUGGGUACUACCAAACGUCACAAUGUAACUGGGUGAUUAUAAAGGAGUACUACAGGUGUCUCCGAAGGUACAUGUUGAGUUGGCGUAUUUCGAGAUUAGGUUUUGUCACUCCGAUUGUCGGAGAGGUAUCUCUGGGCCCUCUCGGUAAUGCACAUCAUUAUAAGCCUUGCAAGCAAUGUGACCAAAUGAGUUGGUUACGGGAUGAUGCAUUACGGAACGAGUAAAGAGACUUGCCGGUAACGAGAUUGAACUAGGUAUUGGAUACCGACGAUCAAAUCUCGGGCAAGUAACAUACCGAUGACAAAGGGAACAACGUAUGUUGUUAUGCGGUUUGACCGAUAAAGAUCUUCGUAGAAUAUGUAGGAACCAAUAUGAGAAUCCAGGUUCCGCUAUUGGUUAUUGACCGAGAAUAGUUCUAGGUCAUGUCUACAUAGUUCUCGAACCCAUAGGGUCCGCACGCUUAACGUUACGAUGACAGUUUUAUUAUGAGUUUAUAAGUUUUGAUGUACCGAAGUUUAUUCGGAGUCCCGGAUGUGAUCACGGACAUGACGAGGAGUCUCGAAAUGGUCGAGACAUAAAGAUUGAUAUAUUGGAAGCCUAUAUUUGGACAUCGGAAAGGUUCCGGGUGAAAUCGGGAUUUUACCGGAACACCGGGGGGUUACCGGAACCCUCCUGGGGGUUAAUGGGCCUUAGUGGGCCAUGAGGGAGAAGAGGAGGGCCGGCCAGGGCAGGCCGCACGCCCCCUCCCCCCUAGUCUGAAUAGGACAAGGAAGGGGGGGGGGGCGGUGCCCCCCUUUCCUCUUUCCCCUCCCCCCUUUCCUUCUCCACCAAGGCAAGAGGGGGGAGUCCUACUCCCGGUGGGAGUAGGACUCCUCCAGGCGCACCCCAAGGGGGCCGGCCGCACCUCCCCCUCCCUCCUUUAUAUACGGGGGCAGGGGGGCACCCCAUAAGACACAAGUUGAUCUACGGAUCGUUCCUUAGCCGUGUGCGGUGCCCCCCUCCAUCAUAUUCCACCUCGGUCAUAUCGUCGCGAAGCUUAGGCGAAGCCUUGCGCCGGUAGAACAUCAUCAUCGUCACCACGCCAUCGUGCUGACAGGACUCAUCCCCGAAGCUUUGCUGGAUCGGAGCCCGGGGAUCGUCAUCGAGCUGAACGUGUGCUGAACUCGGAGGUGCCGUACGUUCGGUGCUUGGAUCGGUCGGAUCGUGAAGACGUACGACUACAUCAACCGCGUUGUGCUAACGCUUCCGCUUACGGUCUACGAGGGUACAUGGACAACACUCUCCCCUCUCGUUGCUAUGCCAUCACCAUGAUCUUGCGUGUGCGUAGGAAAUUUUUUGAAAUUACUACGUUCCCCUACAAGGAGGGGAGUGGAGAAGGAAGGGAGAGGGGAGCCGCGCCCCAAACCCCUUGUCCAAUUCGGACUGGGCUUGGGAGGGGCGCGCGCCACCUCCUGGCUCCUUUCCCACUAAGGCCCAUUAAGGCCCAAUACUCUUCCCCGUAUUCCCGUAACUCCCCGGUACUCCGAAAAAUACCCGAAUCACUCGGAACCUUUGCAAAGUCCGAAUAUAGUCGUCCAAUAUAUCGAUCUUUACGUCUCGACCAUUUCGAGACUCCUCGUCAUAUCCCCGAUCUCAUCCGGGACUCCGAACUCCUUCGGUACAUCAAAACUCAUAAACUCAUAAUAAAAUUGUCAUCGAAACCUUAAGCGUGCGGACCCUACGGGUUCGAGAACUAUGUAGACAUGACCUAGAACUAUUCUCGGUCAAUAACCAAUAGCGGAACCUGGAUGCUCAUAUUGGCUCCUACAUAUUCUGCGAAGAUCUUUAUUGGUCAAACCGCAUAACAACAUACGUUGUUCCCUUUGUCAUCGGUAUGUUACUUGCCCGAGAUUCGAUCGUCGGUAUCCAAUACCUAGUUCAAUCUCGUUACCGGCAAGUCUCUUUACUCGUUACGUAAUGCAUCAUUCCGUAACUAACUCAUUAGCUACAUUGCUUGCAAGGCUUAUAGUGAUGUGCAUUACCGAGAGGGCCCAGAAAUACCUCUCCGACAAUCGGAGUGACAAAACCUAAUCUCGAAAUACGCCAACCCAACAUGUACCUUUGGAGACACCUGUAGUACUCCUUUAUAAUCACCCAGUUACGUUGCGACGUUUGGUAGCACCCAAAGUGUUCCUUCGGUAAACGGGAGUUGCAUAAUCUCAUAGUUACAGGAACAUGUAUAAGUCAUGAAGAAAGCAAUAGCAAUAUACUAAACGAUCAAGUGCUAGGCUAACAGAAUGGGUCAUGUCAAUCACAUCAUUCUCCUAAUGAUGUGAUCCUGUUAAUCAAAUGACAACACAUGUCUAUGGUUAGGAAACAUAACCAUCUUUGAUUAAUGAGCUAGUCAAGUAGAGGCAUACUAGUGACGUUAUGUUGGUCUAUGUAUUCACACAUGUAUUAUGUUUCCGGUUAAUACAAUUUUAGCAUGAAUAAAAAACAUUUAUCAUGAUAUAAGGAAAUAAAUAAUAACUUUAUUAUUGCCUCUAGGGCAUAUUUCCUUCAGUCUCCCACUUGCACUAGAGUCAAUAAUCUAGUUCACAUCAGCAUGUGAUUCAACACCAAUAUUCACAUCUGUAUGUGAUUAAUACCCUUAGUUCACAUCGUCAUGUGAUCAACACCCAAAGGGUUUACUAGAGUCAAUAAUCUAGUUCACAUCACUAUGUGAUUAACACCCAAAGAGUACUAAGGUAUGAUCAUGUUUUGCUCGUGAGAGAAGUUUAGUCAAAGAGUCUGUCAUAUUACAGAGUCGUAUGUAUUUUGCAAAUAUUCUAUGUCUACAAUGCUUUGCACGGAGCUACUCUAGCUAAUUGCUCCCACUUUCAAUAUGUAUCCAGAUCGAGACUUAGAGUCAUCUGGAUCAGUGUAAAAGCUUGCAUCGAUGUAACUCUUUACGACGAACUCUUUUAUCACCUCCAUAAUCGAGAAACAUAUCCUUAUUCUACUAAGGAUAAUUUUGACCAAUGUCCAGUGAUCUACUCCUAGAUCACUAUUGUACUCCCUUGCCAAACCAGGGCAGAGUAUACAAUAGGUCUGGUCCAUAGCAUGGCAUACUUUUAUAGAACCUAUGACUGAAGCAUAGGGAAUGACUUUCAUUCUCUUUCUAUUUUUCUGCCGUGGUCGGGAUUUGAGUCUUACUCAAUUUCAUACCUUUGCAACACAGGCGAGAACUCUCUCUUUGACUGUUCCAUUUUGAACUAUUUCAAAAUCUUGACAAGGUAUGUACUUAUUGAAAAACUUAUCAAGCGUCUUGAUCUAUCUCAAUAGAUCUUGAUGCUCAAUACGUAAGUAGCUUUUCCGAGGUCUUUCUUUUAAAGAACUCCUUUCAAAUACUCCUUUAUGCUUUCCAGAAAAAUUCUACAUCAUUUCUGAUCAACAAUAUGUUACUCACAUAUAUUUAUCAGAAAGGCGGUAGUGCUCCCACUCGCUUUAUUGUAAAUAUAGGCUUCACCGUAAGUCUGUAUAGAACUAUAUGCUUUGAUCAACUUAUCAAAGCGUAUAUUCCAACUCUGAGAUGCUUGCACCAGUCCAUAGAUGGAUCGCUGGAGCUUGCACAUUUUGUUAGCACCGCUAGGAUUGACAAAACCUUCUGGUUGCAUCAUAUACAACUCUUCUUUAAGAAAACCAUUAAGGAAUGCAGUUUUGACAUCCAUUUGCUAGAUUUCAUAAAAUGUGGCAAUUGCUAACAUGAUUCGGACAGACUUAAGCAUCGCUACAGUUGAGAAAAACUCAUUGUAGUCAACACCUUGAACUUGUCGAAAAACCUUUCACAACAAGUCGAGCUUUGUAGAUAGUAACACUACUAUCAGUGUCUGUCUUCCUCUAGAAGAUCCAUUUAUUUUAUAUGGCUUGCCGAUCAUCGGGCAACUCCACCAAAGUCCACACUUUGUUCUCAUACAUGGAUCCCAUCUCAGAUUUCAUGGCCUCAAGCCAUUUCGCGGAAUCUGGGCUCAUCAUCACUUCCUCAUAGUUCGUAGGUUCAUCAUGGUCUAGUAACAUGACUUCCAGAACAUGAUUACCAUACCACUCUGGUGCGGAUCUUUACUCUGGAAGACCUACGAGGUUUGGUAGCAACUUGAUUUGAAGUUUCAUGAUCAUCAUCAUUAACUUCCUCACUGAUUGGUGUAGGAAUCACUAGAACUGAUUUCUGUGAUGAACUACUUUCCAAUAAGGGAGAAGGUACAAUUACCUCAUCAAGUUCUACUUUCCUCCCACUCACUUCUUUCGAGAGAAACUUCUUCUCUAGAAAGGAUCCAUCUUAGCAACGAAUAACUUGCCUUCGGAUCUGUGAUAAAAGGUGUACCCAAUAGUUACCUUUGGGUAUUCUAUGAAGAUGCAUUUCUCCGAUUUGGGUUCGAGCUUAUCAGGUUGAAACUUUUCCACAUAAGCAUCGCAGCCCCAAACUUUUAAGAAACGACAACUUUGGUUUCUUGCCAAACCACAGUUCAUAAGGCGUCGUCUCAACGGAUUUUGAUGGUGCCCUAUUUAAAGUGAAUGCAGCUGUCUUUAAUGCAUAACCCCAAAAUGAUAGUGGUAAAUCAGUAAGAGACAUCAUAGAUUGCACUAUAUCCAAUAAAGUAUUGUUAUGACGUUCGGACACACCAUUAAGUUGUGGUGUUCCAGGUGGCAUGAGUUUGUGAAACUAUUCCACAUUGUUUUAAUUGAAGACCAAACUCGUAACUCAAAUAUUUGUCUCCGCGGUCAAAUUGCAGAGACUUUAUUUUCUUGUUACAAUCAUUCUCCACUUUACUCUGAAAUUCUUUGAACUUUUCAAAUGUUUCAGACUUGUGCUUCAUUAAGUAGAUAUACUCAUAUCUGCUCAAUUCAUCUUGUGAAGGUCAGAAAAUAACGAUACCCUCCACGAGCAUCAAUACUCAUUGGACCGUAUACAUCGGUAUGUAUUAUUUCCAUCAAGUCAGUAGCUCGUUCCAUUGUUCCGGAGAACGGAGUUUUAGUCAUCUUGCCCAAAAGGCACGGUUCACAAGCAUCAAAUGAUUGAUAACCAAGAGAUUCCAAAAAUCCAUCUUUAUGGAGUUUCUUCAUGCGCUUUACACCGAUAUGACCCAAACGGCAGUGUCACAAAUAAGUUGCACUAUCAUUAUCAACUUUGCAUCUUUUGGCAUCAAUAUUAUGAAUAUGUGUAUUACUACGAUCGAGAUCCAACAAACUAUUUUCAUAGGGUGUAUGACCAUCGAAGGUUUUAUUCAUGUAAACAGAACAACAAUUAUUCUUUGACUUUAAAUGAAUAACCGUAUCGCAGUAAACAUGAUCAAAUCAUAUGCAUGCUUAACGCAAACGCCAAAUAACAUUUAUUUAGGUUUAACACUAAUCCCGAAAGUAUAGGGAGUGUGCGAUGAUGAUCAUAUCAAUCUUGGAACCACUUCCAACACUCAUCGUCACUUCCCCUUCAACUAGUCUCUGUUUAUUCUGUAACUCCUGUUUCGAGUUACUAAUAUUUAGCAACCGAACAAGUAUCAAAUAGUCAGGGGCUACUAUAAACACUAGUAAAGUACACAUCAAUAACAUGUAUAUCAAAUAUACCCUUGUUCACUUUGCCAUCCUUCUUAUCCACCAAAUAUUCAGGGCAUUUCCGCUUCCAGUGACCAUUUCCUUUGCAGUGUAAGCACUCAGUUUCAGGCUUUGGUCCAGCUUUGGGCUUCUUCGCGGGAGUGACAACUUGCUUGCCAUUCUACUUGAAGUUCCCUUUCUUUCCCUUUGCCCUUUUCUUGAAACUAGUGGUCUUGUCGAUCAUCAACACUUGAUGCUCUUUUCUUGAUUUCUACCUUCGUCGAUUUCAGCAUCACGAAGAGCUCGGGAAUCAUUUUCGUCAUCCCUUGCAUUAUAGUUCAUCACGAAGUUCCAGUAACUUGGUGAUGGUGACUAGAGAACUCUGCCAAUCACUAUCUUAUCUGGAAGAUUAACUCCCACUCGAUUCAAGUGAUUGUAGUACUCAGACAAUCUAAGUACUUGCUCACUAGUUGAGCAAUUCUCCUCCAUCUUUUAGGCGAAGUAUUUCUCAGAGGUCUCAUACCUCUUGACACGGGCAUGAGUCUGAAAUACCAAUUUCAUCUCUUGAAACAUCUUAUAUGUUCCAUGACGUUUCAAAAACGUUUUUGUAGUCUCGGUUCUAAGCCAUAAAGCAUGGUGCACAAAACUAUCAAGUAGUCAUCAUAUUGAGCUAGCCAAACGUUCAUAACGUCUGCAUCUGCUCCUGCAAUAGAUCUGUCACCUAGCGGUGCAUCAAGGACAUAAUUCUUCUGUGCAGCAAUGAGGAUAAACCUCAUGUCACGGACCAAGUCCGCAUCAUUGCUACUAACAUUUUUCAACUUAGUUUUCUCUAGGAACACAUAUAAAAACACAGGGAAGCAAAAACAUAGGGAAGCAACAACGCAAGCUAUUGAUCUACAACAUAAUUUGCAAAAUACUACCAGGACUAAGUUCGUGAUAAAUUAAAGUUCAAUUAAUCAUAUUACUUAAGAACUCCCACUUAGAUAGACAUCCCUCGAAUCAUCUAAGUGAUCACAUGAUCCAAAUCAACUACACCAUGUCCGAUCGUCAUGUGAGAUGGAGUAGUUUCAACAGUGAACAUCAAUAUGUUGAUCAUAUCUACUAUAUGAUUCACGCUCGACCUUUCAGUCUCCGUGUUCCGAGGCCAUAUCUGUUAUAUGCUAGGCUCGUCAAGUUUAACCUGAGUAUUCCAUGUGUGCAACUGUUUUGCACCCGUUGUAUUUGAACGUAGAGCCUAUAACACCCGAUCAUCACGUGGUGUCUCAGCACGAAGAACUUUCGCAAUGGUGCAUACUCAGGGAGAACACUUCUUGAUAAUUUAGUGAGAGAUCAUCUUAAAAUGAUACCGUCAAUCAAAGCAAGAUAAGAUGCAUAAAGGAUAAACAUCACAUGCAAUCAAUACAAGUGAUAUGAUAUGGCCAUCAUCAUCUUGUGCUUGUGAUCUCCAUCUUCGAAGCACCGUCGUGAUCACCAUCGUCACCGGCGCGACACCUUGAUCUCCAUCGUAGCAUCGUUGUCGUUACGCCAUCUAUUGCUUCUACGACUAUCGCUACCACUUAGUGAUAAAGUAAAGCAAUUACAGGGCGUUUGCAUUUCAUACAAUAAAGCGACAACCUUAUGGCUCCUGCCAGUUGCCGAUAAGUUCGGUUACAAAACAUGAUCAUCUCAUACAAUAAAAUAUAGCAUCACGUCUUGACCAUAUCACAUCACAACAUGCCCUGCAAAAACAAGUUAGACGUCCUCUACUUUGUUGUUUGCAAAUUUUACGUGGCUGCUACGGGCUUAGCAAGAACCGUUCUUACCUACGCAUCAAAACCACAAUGAUAGUUUGUCAAGUUAAUGCUGUUUUAACCUUCGCAAGGACCGGACGUAGCAACACUCGAUUCAGCUAAAGUGAGAGAGACAGACACCCGCCAGUCACCUUUAAGCACGAGUGCUCGUAACGGCGAAACCAGUCUCGCGUAAGCGUACGCAUAAUGUCGUCCGGGCCGCUUCAUCUCACAAUACCGCUGAGCCAAAGUAUGACAUGCUGGUAAGUAGUAUGACUUGUAUCACCCACAACUCACUUGUGUUCUACUCGUGCAUAUGACAUCUACGCAUAAAACCAGGCUCAGAUGCCACUAUAGGGGAACGUAGUAAUUUCAAAAAAAUUCCUACGCACACGCAAGAUCAUGGUGAUGCAUAGCAACGAGAGGGGAGAGUGUGUCCACGUACCCUCGUAGACCGUAAGGGGAAGCGUUAGUACAACGCGGUUGAUGUAGUUGUACGUCUUCACGAUCCGACCGAUCCAAGUACCGAAGGUACGGCACCUCCGAGUUCAGCACACGUUCAGCUCGAUGACGAUCCCUGGACUCCGAUCCAGCAAAGUGUCGGGGAUCAGUUCCGUCAGCACGACGGUGUGGUGACGAUGAUGAUGUUCUACCGGCACAGGGCUUCGCCUAAACUCCGCGACGAUAUGAUCGAGGUGGAAUAUGGUGGAGGGGGGCACCGCACACGGCCAAGGAACGAUCACGUAGAUCAACUUGUGUGUCAUGGGGUGCCCCCCUGCCCCCGUAUAUAAAGGAGGGAGGGGGGAGGUGCGGCCGGCCAAGGAGGGCGCACCAAGGGGGAGUCCUACUCCCACCGGGAGUAGGACUCCUUCUUUCCUAGUCCAACAAGGAGAAGGGGGGAAAGGAGGGGAGUGGAGAAGGAAGGGAGAGGGGGGCCGCGCCCCAAACCCCUUGUCCAAUUCGUACUGGGCUUGGGAGGGGCGCGCGCCACCUCCUGGCUCCUUUCCCACUAAGGCCCAUUAAGGCCCAAUACUCUUCCCCGUAUUCCCGUAACUCCCCGGUACUCCGAAAAAUACCCGAAUCACUCGGAACCUUUCCGAAGUCCGAAUAUAGUCGUCCAAUAUAUCGAUCUUUACGCCUCGACCAUUUCGAGACUCCUCGUCAUGUCCCCGAUCUCAUCCGGGACUCCGAACUCCUUAGGUACAUCAAAACUCAUAAACUCAUAAUAAAACUGUCAUCGAAACCUUAAGCGUGCGGACCCUAUGGGUUCAAGAACUAUGUAGACAUGACCUAGAACUAUUCUCGGUCAAUAACCAAUAGCGGAACCUGGAUGCUCAUAUUGGCUCCUACAUAUUCUGCGAACAUCUUUAUCGGUCAAACCGCAUAACAACAUACGUUGUUCCCUUUGUCAUCGGUAUGUUACUUGCCCGAUAUUCGAUCGUCGGUAUCCAAUACCUAGUUCAAUCUCGUUACCGGCAAGUCUCUUUACUCGUUACGUAAUGCAUCAUUUCAUAACUAACUCAUUAGCUACAUUUCUUGCAAGGCUUAUAGUGAUGUGCAUUACCGAGAGGGCCCAGAAAUACCUCUCCGACAAUCGGAGUGACAAAACCUAAUCUCGAAAUACGUCAACCCAACAUGUACCUUUGGAGACACCUGUAGUACUCCUUUAUAAUCACCCAGUUACGUUGUGACGUUUGGUAGCACCCAAAGUGUUCCUCCGGUAAACGGGAGUUGCAUAAUCUCAUAGUUAUAGGAACAUGUAUAAGUCAUGGAGAAAGCAAUAGCAAUAUACUAAACGAUCAAGUGCUAGGCUAACGGAAUGGGUCAUGUCAAUCACAUCAUUCUCCUAAUGAUGUGAUCCCGUUAAUCAAAUGACAACGCAUGUCUAUGGUUAGGAAACAUAACCAUCUUUGAUUAAUGAGCUAGUCAAGUAUAGGCAUACUAGUGAUGUUAUGUUGGUCUAUGUAUUCAAACAUGUAUUAUGUUUCUGGUUAAUACAAUUCUAGCAUGAAUAACAAACAUUUAUCAUGAUAUAAGGAAAUAAAUAAUAACUUUAUUAUUGCCUCUAGGGCAUAUUUCCUUCACCCUGCUCACCCCGCUGAGAUUCUUUUCAAAUGUCAUACUUUAUUACAGGCUUGGGCGCCAUUGCGGAAUCAGCGUGACGAGGGAAGCAUGAUCGAGACUAUGGAGAAGAUCAAGUGGUGCAUGACGAUAUCAAGAUUACCAACGCUGCAAACUUGAUUCUUUUGCAUAAUACUUAUCUAGUUGCAAACUAAACUAUGUUAUAUCUUCGCCCAUGUGAACUGCUAGCUUUAUCUUUGUCGAGACUGCGAGCCCGCUGAACUUAUGUUAUUCUGGUUGUAAGGUUGAACUGAUGUGGAUGUUGCCUUGUGGCUUUAUUAAUUUAUAAAGCCGGACGCACCAUGCGUCUACGUUCCAAUUUUUUUAUAAAAGUAGUAACAUAGACUAGUAACAUACAUGUUACUAGUUUAAGUUACUCCCCAUUGUGACCAAACUUAGAUACUUAGAGCAUCUCCACUCGGGCCCCAAGACGCCCCCAAGCACCUUUUUUAGCACCGGCGGUAGGAAAAGUCCUAGUCACGCCCCAAAGACAUUGUUUUGCGCCGGAUUUGAGCAAAAAUAGCCCCGGCGACCCGGACCAAACUCAGCCCCCCCACGGGGGGGGGGGGGCGCUAUUUUGUGCAUGGUCAAACCCUACCAGUUAGUCUCUCUCCUCUCUCUCGUCCCUUUUUCUGCUAGGCCCACCCCACCCACUUGCAUGAAAAAAGAAUCUCCCCUCUCUCUCUUGUUGGGGAACGUAGUAAUUUCAAAAAAAUUCCUAUGCACACGCAAGAUCAUGGUGAUGCAUAGCAACGAGAGGGAAGAGUGUUGUCCACGUACCCUCGUAGACCGUAAGAGGAAGAGUUAGUACAACGCGGUUGAUGUAGUCGUACGUCUUCACAAUUCGACCGAUCAAGUACCGAACGUACGACACCUUCGAGUUCAGCACACGUUCAGAUCGAUGAUGUCCCUCGAACUCCGAUCCAGCCGAGCUUUGAGGGAGAGCUUCCUCAGCACGACGGCGUGGUGACGAUGAUGAUGUUCUACCGACGCAGGGCUUCGCCUAAGCACCGCUACGAUAUUAUCGAGGUGGAAUAUGGUGGAGGGGGCACCGCACACGGCUAAGAGAUCAAUGAUCAAUUGUUGUGUCUAUGGGGUGCUCCUUGCCUCAGUAUAUAAAGGAGGAGAGGAGGGGAGGGGCCGGCCCUCUCUAUGGCACGCCCUGGGGAGUCCUACUCCCAUCGGGAGUAGGAUUCCCCCCCCCCCCUUUCCAUGGAGUAGGAGUAGGAGUCAAGGAAAGGGAAGAGAGAAGGGAAGGAAAGAGGGGGUGCAGCCCCUCCCCCUAGUCCAAUUCGGACUAGGCCUUGGGGGGGGGGCUGCCCUAGGCAGCCCCUCUCUCUUUCCCGUAUGGCCCAAUAAGGCCCAAUACUUCUCCCCGGUGAAUUCCGGUAACUCUCCGGUACUCCGAUAAAUACCCGAAUCACUCGGAACCUUUCCGAAGUCUGAAUAUAGUCGUCCAAUAUAUCGAUCUUUACGUCUAAACCAUUUCAAGACUCCUCAUCAUGUCCAUGAUCUCAUCCGGGACUCCGAACUACCUUCAUUACAUCAAAACACAUAACCUCAUAAUAUAACCGUCAUCGAACUUUAAGCGUGCGGAACCUACGGGUUCGAGAACUAUGUAGACAUGACCAAGACACGUCUCCUGUCAAUAACGAAUAGUGGAACCUGGAUGCUCAUAUUGGCUCCCACAUAUUCUACGAAGAUCUUUAUCGGUCAAACCGCAUAACAACAUGCGUUUGUUCCCUUUGUCAUCGGUAUGUUACUUGCCCGAGAUUCGAUCGUCGGUAUCUCAAUACCUAGUUCAAUCUUGUUACCGGCAAGUCUCUUUACUCGUUAUGUAAUACAUCAUCUCACAACUAACUCAUUAGUCACAUUACUUGCAAGGCAUAUAGUGAUGUGCAUUACCGAGAGGGCCUAGAGAUACCUCUCCGACAAUUGGAGUGACAAAUCCUAAUCUCGAAAUACGUCAACUCAACAAGUACCUUCGGAAACACCUGUAGAGCACCUUUAUAAUCACCCAGUUACGUUGUGACAUUUGGUUGCACACAAAGUGUUCUUCCGGUAAACGGGAGUUACAUAAUCUCAUAGUCAUAGGAACAUGUAUAAGUCAUGAAGAAAGCAAUAGCAACAUACUAAACGAUCAAGUGCUAAGCUAACGAAAUGGGUCAAGUCAAUCACAUCAUUCUCCAAUGAUAUGAUUCCAUUAAUCAAAUAACAACUUAUGUCUAUGGCUAGGAAACUUAACCAUCUUUGAUUCAACGAGCUAGUCAAGUAGAGGCAUACUAGUGAUGUUAUGUUUGUCUAUGUAUUCACACAAGUACUAAGUUUCCGGUUAAUACAAUUCUAGCAUGAAUAAUAAACAUUUAUCAUGAAAUAAGGAAAUAAAUAAUCUUGCCUCUAGGGCAUAUUUCCUUCAUAUCUCUCUCUCUCUCUCUCUCUCUCUCUGCAAGCAGAGCUCCUCGCUCUGGCCGCGCUCGCCGCUGUCUCCUUGCUGCCUGCAGAGCCCUCCCCUUGGUCGCCGCGCGCCCUUGCAACGCCUCCUCGUCUCCAGCAAGGGGUCGAUGCACUCCGGGUGGAAGGCGUGUGAGCAGUGCGGCAGCAACCGGAGGUCUUCGACCUCCUCGAACGCCAUCAGGCAGACGUCACACUCCAGCAUGCCCCUGCCGAUCUUGUGCCACCACCGCCGGGUCCAGCUCGCGCUUCCCCCUCCUGGAUGCCCAGACCCCGGCCACAGCGGAGUUGCCCCCCUGCGGCGCGGUGUUCUUGGUGAGGCGGCACUGGUUGAUGUAGCCGCAAAAUAAGAGCAGGAAGAAGAAGGCGUUGAUGGCCACGGUGAUGACUGUCGACAUGGUGCGCCUGAAUGGCGUGGGCCUGGGCACCGCCGCCGCCGCCCCGAACUGUGGCACCGGCGACGACGGCAAAGACUGCGCCAUGCCCACGACGACGCCGAUGCCAAGAAGGAAAACAAGGACGAGGAGGUGUGGACGCACGUUGGUCCGUCGCACGGUGCACCGGCUGGAGGCCUACCCCUACGUCACAUGGCCUCCCUCCCGCUCCACGGCUUCCUCGGGCUGUACCUGUGACACUCGGAUAAUUAGGCUACAGUAAUCCCAUGUUAACGAUGCCACGUCACCUCGGUUACUGUUGAUAAUCUCGUGUUAGAUCGAAACGGAUUCAAAAUCAAAAUUCGAACUAAAGUUAAAACAAUUAAAGUUUUCAAAAGUCAAAACUAAAAUGUUCGAUGUGUUGAAAAUAUUCCCUAACUAUUUAUCAUGAAGAAACCAUGUUUUUAUAUAAGGCCUAUAUAUGUAAAAUGAGCAAAAACAGAAAAAAAAUAUAAAUAAAAAGAGAAACAAACAGAAACAAACCAAAAAAAAAGAGAAGAGGGAAACCCCUAGGACCCCCCCGGCGGACCGGCCCAGCUGCCGGCCAGCCAGCCCAGUUGGCCCAGCCNNNNNNNNNNNNNNNNNNNNNNNNNNNNNNNNNNNNNNNNNNNNNNNNNNNNNNNNNNNNNNNNNNNNNNNNNNNNNNNNNNNNNNNNNNNNNNNNNNNNNNNNNNNNNNNNNNNNNNNNNNNNNNNNNNNNNNNNNNNNNNNNNNNNNNNNNNNNNNNNNNNNNNNNNNNNNNNNNNNNNNNNNNNNNNNNNNNNNNNNNNNNNNNNNNNNNNNNNNNNNNNNNNNNNNNNNNNNNNNNNNNNNNNNNNNNNNNNNNNNNNNNNNNNNNNNNNNNNNNNNNNNNNNNNNNNNNNNNNNNNNNNNNNNNNNNNNNNNNNNNNNNNNNNNNNNNNNNNNNNNNNNNNNNNNNNNNNNNNNNNNNNNNNNNNNNNNNNNNNNNNNNNNNNNNNNNNNNNNNNNNNNNNNNNNNNNNNNNNNNNNNNNNNNNNNNNNNNNNNNNNNNNNNNNNNNNNNNNNNNNNNNNNNNCUCGCGGCGCGCGCGCGCACACACACACACCAUGCCAGGGAGAGAAGCUCCCUACGCCCGAUCCCCACACCCUGACGACCGCGCCUCAACCAUCGUUGCCCGCCCCUGACGCGUCCCCGGCACCAUCGCACCGGCGCCACCCCGCCGUCGGCACGUCGUCCCCGUCGCCCCCGACCUCGUCGCCGUCGUCCUUCCCGCCCCGCUGCCCAAAUCCCUACGGCCCCCGUGAGCGCCCCCUCUCCUCCUCUCUCCAUCGCGCGCACGCGCUCAUGGUCGUGGCCUCCUCCCCGCGGCUCAUCUGUCACCGACGUGACCCGGGAGUGGUGCUGCACCACCGCCCCGUACUGCGCUGCUCCCCGCCCCGUGAUGCAGCAGCUGCUGACGCCGCUAUUGCUGCAGCUUCGCGCCGACCAGUGCUCCGCCACCCGCACCUGCUCCUUGCGCCGGCAUCCUUUCCCCCUGCCGCGCCGCCCGCAUCCGCCCCCCUGGCCGCUCGCCGCUGUUGCACGCGCGUGCACAUCCACACUUGGGUAUGCCCCGACUCGCCGACGCGCACCCACACCCCACCGCACGCCCCUGCUCCCCUCGCCCCGCCUCAGGCGCCGCUGCCGGCCAGCCGCCCCGCUCGCUGCUGCGCUUGCUGCAGCCGCUGGCACCUUCACUGGCAUAGGCGGGCACCCAAACGGGCGGAUGCCCACACUGCCCGACCCGCUCGGGCUGUGCCCCGCACCCGGCGCCCGUUAAGCUCCCCAGAGCCACUGGCAAUCGGGCCCCACGCCAAAAAAAGAGUUAAAAAUGUAUUUAAAAUAAAUGAAUAAAUUAUUAAUUAAUUAAUUAAUAAGUUAAUUAAUUCUGUUAACUAAACUAAGUAACCCUAAAUUAAUCUACUAACUAAUCUAAUUAAUCUAUUAGUUAAUUAGACAACCUAUGACAUGCAAGACCCACGCGUCAGUUUGACCAAGUCAACUGAGUGUUGACUGCUGACAUCACCCUGAUGUCAUGCUAACAUCAUAAUGGCAUUUCCUAAUUAAAUUAAUUUUGUUAAUUCUAAAAAUAAAAUAAAACUUUGAAAAUUAAUAUUAAAUAAUCCGUAACUCGGAUGGAAAAACUGUGUACAUGAAAGUUGCUCAGAUCGACGAGAUGAAUCCGAAUACGCAGCCCGUUCAUCAGCCACACGUCCCUAGCAUAGUGAGCCUGCAACAUUUCACCUCCGGUUCAUCUGUCCGAAAACGCGAAACACUGGGGAUACUUUCCCGGAUGUUUCCCCCUUUCACCUGUAACACCUACUACCGCGUUAGGGCACACCUAGCAUCGCUGUUUGACAUGUCAUGCAUCGUCAUGCUUAUAUUUGCAUUAUAUUUAUUGUUUCUUCCCCGUCUUCUCUCCAGUAGACUACCAGACCAACGCUGCUGCUUCCCCGGUCGACUAUGGAGUUGACGACCCCUCCUUCUUGCCAGAGCAACCAGGCAAGCCCCCUCCCUUGAUUACCAGAUAUCGCCUAUUCAUUCACUCUACUGCUUGCAUUAGAGUAGUGUAGAAUGUUAUUGUUUCGGUUAAUCCUAUUAUGUUGCAUAGCCUGUCAUUGUUGCUACAGUUGUUGAUACCUUACCUGCAAUCCUAAAUGCUUAGUAUAGGAUGCUAGUUUAUCAUCUGUGGCCCUACAUUAUUGUCCGUCUGCCUUGCUAUACUAUCGGGCCGUGAUCACUCGGGAGGUGAUCACGGGUAUAUACUAUACAUACUUACAUACUAUACAGAUGGUGACUAAAGUCGGGUAGGCUCAUAGAGUACCCGUGAGUGAUUCAUGGAUUGGGGGCUGAAAGGACAUUUGUUCCGAUGACCCUCUAGGUGGAUCUUUGUGGCGGAGCGAUCGGGCAGGCUGAGACCACCUAGGUGAUAGGCGGGCCUGGCCCUGGUCGGUGUCCACGGUUACUUCAAAAUAACACGCUUAACGAGAUCUUGGUAUUUGAUCUGAGUCUGGCCACUGGCCUAUACGCACUAACCAACUAUGUGGGAAUAGUUAUGGGCACUCGACAUUGUUGUAUCAGCCGAAGCCUUCUUGAUGUCAGCGACUAAGCAGCGCGCGCCGGGUUGGACGGUGUAAUGCAACUUCCUUUGUAAUGGAGGUUGCUAGGUCUGCUCAUCGGCCGCCCUCGCAACGUGUAGGUGUGCAAUGGGCGAUGGGCCCAGACCCCUGCGUGCAUAGGACUUAGACCGACGUGCUGACCUCUCUGUUGUGCCUAGGUAGGGCGGCGACUUGUUGAUCUUCUGAGGCCGGAUGGGCAUGACCCAGGAAAGUGUGUUUGGCCAGAGGGAUCAAGCAUGUUGGGAAAUGUGGUGCACCCCUGCAGGGAAGUUUAUCUAUUUGAAUAGUCGUGUCCCUUGGUAAAAGGACGACUCGGAGUUGUACCUUGACCUUAUGACAACUAGAGCCGGAUACUUAAUAAAACACGCCGAGACAAGUUCCAGAUACAACCCGAUGAUCGCUUUCCCACAGGAAGACGAGGGGAGGAUCACCGGGUAGGAUUAUGCUAUGCGAUGAUACUUGGUGAACUUCAAUCUACUCUCUUCUGCGUGUUGCAAGACGGAGGCUGCCAGAAGCAUAGAUUUCGAUAGGACUAGCUAUGCCCCUCUUAUUAUGGCAUUUUGCAGUUCAGUCCAUCGAUAUUGCCUCUUUACACAUAUACCCAUGCUUGUGUAGUGUAGAUCCUUGCUUGCGAGUACUUUGGAUGAGUACUCACUGUUGCUUUGCUCCCUCUUUCCCCCUUUUUCCUCUUCCUCUCGGAUGCCGCAACUAGAUGUUGGAGCCCAGGAGCCAGACACCACUGUCAACGAUGACCCCUACUACACUGGAGAUGCCUACUACUAUGUUCAGGCCGCUGACGACAAGGAGUAGUUUAGGAGGAUCCCAGACAGGAGGCCUGCGCCUCUUUCGAUCUGUAUCCCAGUUUGUUAGCCAUCUUAUAGCAACUUGUUUAACUUAUGUCUGUACUCAGAUAUUGUUGCUUCCGCUGACCCGUUUAUGUUCGAGCACUUGUAUUCGAGCCCUCGAGGCCCCUGGCUUGUAAUAUGAUGCUUGUAUGACUUAUUUUACUUUUAGAGUUGUGUUGUGAUAUCUUCCCGUGAGUCCCUAAUCUUGAUCGUACACAUUUGCGUGCAUGGUUAGUGUACAAUUGAAACAUGGGCUUCACAAGUUGGUAUCAAAGCCAACUACCUGUAGGAAUCCCUUUCCAACUCCUUGGCCGAAGUCGAGUCUAGUCAUUGCAAUUUUUUACUAACAUGGCUGUGUGGCUUACGGGCCCACGUCGCCAUGGGGUGGUGUUAGGAUCUUUUAUUCCUCGUCUAUACUCUGGGACUCUGAUCUCUCUUCUAUUCGGGUUAAAUGAUUUUAUUAACUCUGGCCUUAGGUUCUCGUAACUACUUCCUCUCGGAGAGCCUCUUACUAAUGAAUCAAGCCUUCAUCUAGAAUGUAGAUCUCGAAGACACUCUCCGAUGUUUUCUCGGGACCCUCGUGCCCUUUGCCGUUGCAAUCCCUACCAUCGAUAAAUCCUUAUGGAUAACUACCUACAUUUGUCGUUCAUAUCUUCAUCCCCAGUUUCUCUUGAAUUUACGGGAUGCCCUGAAAUACUCUCCGAUGUUUCGAGAAUCCUUUAUGCUUACUGCCCUGCAGUUCCUUGCCACCUGAAUACCCCUACGAAUAAUUCUUCACCCUUACCAAGGAAUUUUUCAUUACUAGUUAAUCAUAUGAUUCACAAGAUACAUUGAAAUACUAUCCGAUCUUCCGGUAAUUCUCAGCCAACUAUUGCUCUGUAAAUACUUGUCUACUUGCAUUAUGGUUGAUGUCCAUAUGUCUAGCAAUAUUCAUUAGUAUCCUUUGUCGUCGUCAUUUUCAGCUUUUGAUUUGAUAUGUUGUGAAUGCUCGUAAUCCUUAGUCAAAUCCUAUAAUUCAUCCUUCCGGCUCAGACGUCAUUUUGUACAUGAGCUGGUUCUCGGCAAAUCAAAUUGCCGUCGAUUAUACCCCUAAGUCUAUUCAAAUUAUCCAUUCUAAUCAAAGCGUUUGCUUCUGACCCCUUGAUUUGGAAAUCAUAAUUCCUUUGCAUUUGAUCUUUGAAUUAGUCAGUUGUUUGUAUAAUCCGAUGUGUUUGCAUUCAUUCUUCCUCUGAUUGAGUACCAAUACUCAUGUCAGCUCUGUUGUAGACCACAAGACCCCUUGUUGGAUAAUUAUCCAACAGUGUCAUUCACAUUCAAAAUUCUUGUGAGCCUUUCCUCGGAUACAUAAUGCCUUUGGUAAAUCGUAUGCUCUACUUUCUCAACCAUGCUCUGUUGUCGAGGUGGUAUAAUUUACUCCUGGAGUUUGUGUUAUAUGUUCCUAAGAUGCCCUGAUGGGUUGGACCUAUCCCUUCCCUAAUAUGUGUAAGCUCGUAAGUUAUGCAACUUAUACUCUACUGAAUUUUCGUCAGAUAAAAUUUCAACACUACAACUUCUUCGAUAGCGAGAAGUGAAUGGUAAAUUGUGCAUUGAAGAAGUGGGAGUCGACCUUGAACUUUGUGUUCAUGCCCAUGGAAACAAUGUUGAUCUUAUCAUGAUAGCUUCUCGUAACAAUAAUUAUUCACUUAGCAUAUUUUGAUCUUGUAUCUAUGAUUUUGUCCUUUGCAAUCGUGGUUCUGACCGUGAUUGUUCUUCUUUGAUCCCAUUCUCGGACAAGUUAAAAGUACUUGCCUUCAGCAGAUCAUUACGUCUGCCAAACCUCUAAUUUGAUAUACCUCCGAGUAUUAUCCCCCUGGUAUCUCGAGGAUAUCAUGCCAUUGCACUACAUCUUAUGAAUUUGUACUAGAGUAAUACCUUUCCCUAUCAUAGUCACUCCACGAGUUCUGGGUUGUCUCCAACAGAGAACACCGAAUAGUGAAUCAGGUCCACACUAUGAUUCGACAACUCUUAGUAAUCUUCAUUGCUUACGAGUUUGUACUCGAUCAUGUCAGUCCCAACUGAUUGACUACAUCAUCAUUGUCAGGCUGACUGCUUGACCAUUCCACCUAUGUCCUUCAUCCCUGGGACACAAUCCCGACAGUGCUCUAAGCUUACAUCGAACUUUCCGCAUCAUAUUGUUUGUCUUGAGAGACAACUCCAAAUUCUGAGUUGGCAUCCUAUCUAUGGUUAUAGUAACCUUAUGCUUCACCAUUCCCCUUGGUGUGAUGUCGUCGCUGAUCGAUUACAUCUUCUAGAAGCCUCUCGAUAAAUGUGUCAUGAUCAUCGUCAACAUUUUAACUUCUCCUGAGACGUACAUUGAGUUCCUGAUGAGAAAUUCCAUGCUUACCCCCUCGAUGAUUUGUGUUAACAUCGACAACAUUAUUGAUUUCCCUCCCAACACAAAACUUGUUCUAGUUUUGCGUUGUUCCUUGAGUUCCUUGCUAUCCGACUUAUAUUAUGCUCUACCUUGGAGUAUUACCAUCGUUUAUGUCAAAAAUCUCGUGAGAAUUUCACCACCUGAGGGAGUCCCGGAUUAGGGGGUGUCCGGAUAGCCGGACUACCAUCAUCGGCCGAACUAUCAUCGGCCGGACUAUCAUCAUCGUUGACCGGACUCCAAGACUAUGAAGAUACAAGAUUGAAGACUUCGUCCCGUGUCCGGAUGGGACUUUCCUUGGCAUGGAAGGCAAGCUUGGCGAUACGGAUACGUAGAUCUCCUACUAUUUUAACCGACUCUAUGUAACCCUAGCCCUCUCCGGUGUCUAUAUAAACCGGAUGGCUCUAGUCCGUAGGACACAACAACAACCAUUACAAUCAUACCAUAGGCUAGCUUCUAGGGUUUAGCCUCCUUGAUCUCGUGGUAGAUCCACUCUUGUAAACAUCCACAAUAUCAAUAUCAAUCAAGCAGGACGUAGGGUUUUACCUCCAUCAAGAGGGCCCGAACCUGGGUAAAACAUCGUGUCCCUUGUCUCCUGUUACCAUCCGCCUAGACGCACAGUUCGGGACCCCCUACCCGAGAUCCGCCGGUUUUGACACCGACAUUGGUGCUUUCAUUGAGAGUUCCUCUGUGUCGUCACUGAUAGGCUUGAUGGCCUCUUCAAUCGACAAUGACGCAGUCCUGGGUGAGACUUUUCUCCCCGGACAGAUCUUCGUAUUCGGCGGCUUCGCACUGCGGGCCAACUCACUUGGCCAUCUGGAGCAGAUCGAAAGCUACACCCCUGGCCGUCAGGUCGGGUUUGGAAGCCUAAACUUCACGGCCGAUAUCCGCGGGGACUUGAUCUUCGAUGGAUCUGAGCCACAGCCGAGCGUGCCGCGCUGUCACGAUGGGCACGACCUAACUCUGCCGCCGGACAGCACCUUGGAGGCCGCACACGAAUCCGCUCCGACCCAUAGUCCGGAGCCGAUCGCUCAGAUCGAGGACGGAUGGCUGGACACCGCCUCGGGAGCUGCAACUUCUACGGUGAUGGAGCCGAACACUUACCUUGUCCCGCAUAAAGCUCAUGACUCCGAGGUGCCGGACUCUCUGCCGGACUCCGAACCUCCUGCGCCCCUGCCAGUCGAAUCCGACUGGGCGCCGAUCAUGGAAUUCACCGCUGCGGACAUCUUUCAGCACUCACACUUCGACGACAUCUUAAAUUCGCUGAAGCAUCUCUCGCUAUCCGGAGAGCCCUGACCGAACUACGGCCAGGAUGGUUGGGACGCGGACGACGAAGAAAUUCAGAGCCCACCCACCACCCACUUCGUAGCCACCGUCGACGAUCUAACCGACGUACUCGACUACGACUCCGAAGACAUCGACGGUAUGGACAAUGAUGCCGGAGACUAUCAAGAACCAGUGCCUACAGGACACUGGAAGACCACCUCAUCAUACGACAUAUAUAUGGUGGACACCCCAAAAGAUGGGGACGGCGAAGAAGCAACGGAGGCCGAUUCCUUAAAGAAAUAGCCCAAGCGCCGACAUCAGCGGCCCCGCUCUAAAUCCCACCACAGCAAGAAUAUAGAUUCCGGCACAGGAGAUAAUAACACCCCAAAAAGUGCCGAAGACAACCCCCUCCAGCAUGAUCCAGCGCAGGAGGAGGCAGAAGCAAGCCCUCACGAGAGGGCGGCAGACGAAGAGGUCGAGGAUGAUCAUUACUUACCUCCCUCCGGAGACGAGGCAAGCCUCGACGACGAUGAAUUCGUCGUGCCUGAGGAUCCCGUCGAACAAGAGCGUUUCAGACGCAGGCUAAUGGCCACGGCAAACAGCCUAAAGAAAAAGCAGCAACAACUUCAAGCUGAUCAAGACCUACUGGCCGACAGAUGGACCGAGGUCCUCGCGGCCGAAGAGUAUGAACUCGAACGCCCCUCCAAAAGUUACCCAAAACGCAAGUUGCUCCCCCGACUAGAGGAGGAAGCGUACAAACCUGCAUCACCAGCGCACAAUACGGCAGACCGACCACCUCGUGGCCGCGAUAGAGAGGCGUGCAAGCCCUCCACCAAAACUGUACCCCGACACUGCUCAAAAAGCAUGAAGCCACGGGGGAACGCGCCGGACUUGCGAGAUAUAUUGGAGGACAAGGCAAGACAAUCCAGAUCUAUCUAUGGAUCACGUGGGCGCCCCAAGACCCACGACGAAUACCGUCGCGCCGGAUACAACUACUCCGGCCGGGCCGAACACAACAGACAACGCUCUCUCGAGCUUCGUCGCGAUAUUGCUCAAUACAGAGGCGCCACGCACCCACUAUGCUUCACUGACGAAGUAAUGGAUCAUCAAAUCCCUGAAGGGUUUAAACCCGUUAAUAUCGAAUCCUACGAUGGCACAACAGACCCCGCGGUUUGGAUUGAGGAUUAUCUCCUCCAUAUACAUAUGGCCCGCGGCGACGAUUUUCACGCCAUCAAAUAUCUCCCGCUCAAGCUUAAAGGACCAGCUCGGCAUUGGCUUAACAGCCUGCCCGCAGAGUCAAUUGGAUGCUGGGAAGACCUGGAAGCCGCAUUCCUCGACAACUUCCAGGGCACGUAUGUGCGACCACCGGACGCAGAUGACCUAAGACACAUAAUCCAACAGCCAGACGAAUCGGCCAGGCAAUUCUGGACACGGUUCUUAACAAAGAAAAAUCAAAUCGUCGACUGUCCGGAUGCAGAGGCCCUCGCUGCCUUCAAACAUAACAUCCGCGACGAGUGGCUGGCCCGGCACCUAGGACAGGAAAAGCCGAAAUCCAUGGCAGCCCUCACAUCACUCAUGACCCGCUUCUGUGCGGGAGAGGAUAGCUGGCUAGCUCGCAGCAACAACCUCAGCAAAAACGCUGGCAGUCUGAAUACCAAGGACCGCAAUGGCAGGUCGCGUCGAAACAAAAACAAACGCCGCAUUAACGGCGACAACAAUGAGGAUACGACAGUCAACGCCGGAUUCCGAGGCUCCAAGCCCGGUCAACGAAAGAAUCCAUUCAAAAGAACCACUCCGAGCCCAUCCAAUUUGGACCGAAUACUCGACCGCUCCUGUCAAAUACAUGGAACCCCUGAAAAGCCAGCUAACCACACCAACAGAGAUUGUUGGGUAUUCAAGCAGGCAGGCAAAUUAAUCGCCGAAAACAAUGACAAGGGGCUACACAGCGAUGACGAGGAAGAGACCCGGCCGCCGAACAACAGAGGACAAAAGGGAUUCCCCCCUCAAGUUCGGACGGUAAACAUGAUAUACGCAACGCAUAUACCCAAGAGGGAGUGGAAGCGUGCACUAAGGGACGUAUACGCGAUGGAGCCAGUCGCCCCAAAAUUCAACCCAUGGUCCUCUUGCCCGAUCACUUUCGAUCGAAGAGACCAUCCGACCAGUAUCCACCAUGGCGGAUUUGCCGCAUUGGUUUUAGACCCAAUCAUCGAUGGAUUUCACCUCACGAGAGUCCUGAUGGACGGCGGCAGUAGCCUGAACCUGCUUUAUCAGGAUACAGUACGAAAGAUGGGCAUAGACCCUUCAAGGAUUAAACCUACAAAGACAACCUUCAAAGGCGUCAUACCAGGUGUCGAGGCCAGUUGUACAGGCUCAGUUACACUGGAAGUGGUCUUCGGAUCCCCAGAUAAUUUCCGAAGCGAGGAGUUAAUAUUCGACAUAGUCCCAUUCCGCAGUGGCUAUCACGCUCUGCUCGGACGAACCGCGUUCGCAAAAUUCAACGCGGUGCCGCAUUAUGCAUACCUUAAGCUCAAGAUGCCAGGCCCUCGUGGAGUCAUCACGGUCAAUGGAAACACGGAACGCUCCCUCCGAACGGAGGAACAUACAGCGGCUCUCGCGGCAGAAGUACAGAGCAGCCUUUUGAGGCAAUUUUCGAGUCCGGCCGUUAAACGACCGGACACGGCCAAACGCGCCCGGAGCAACAUCAACCAAGACCACCUGGCACGUUCCGAGCACGCGUAGCAAUGCGGCCUCAACCCCAGCCCUCGCACAAUUGUAAGACAAACUCUCCGCGUACAUAAUUACGCCCUGGAGAUACCAUGGGCAUAGGGGGAGAGGCACAACCACAACAGACCUAGAGUGCGGUUCGACCACACCAGGGGCUCCCAAGUGUGUCGCUCUUUUUAUCUUUUAUUUCUCUCUUUUUUAUACAGAACUCUGUUCGGCGGCGAACCUGCCGAACUCAUGAUGCAACAGCCAGGGAGGGACAAAGGCUGCGACGAACACUCAGGUGGUCUCCAUUACGAGCAUUAAAUUUGUUAAAUACACCAUUCCGCGGCCUACCCCUGGAGGGAGACGCCUUUAAUUCGUCCAAUCCCUUGCUUUCCGCACUAUUUGUGUCAUUCCGCACUCAUAGCAAAUCUUCUCAAAUAAAAUGCAGCACUUUUUGCCCAUAAUUGCAUUAGCUUAUAUAUAUAUAUGUUCAUUUACGACAUGUUGCAUCCGUACAUUCUGGUACGGCCAAAUACACCAAGGGCUUAUGUUCCCCGCAUUAUGGUGUGAUAAAGUCCGCACACUUUCACAAGUGCGGCACCCCGAACUUAUAGCAUUAUAUGAAUCGGCUCCGAAUCAUGUCUUGGGUCAAUAGUUGGGUUUGCCUGGCUCCCAUGUUUGGCACCUUACGUUCCAUUCUAUCGGCUAAGGUAGCACUGGGAGAACCACUGCGAUUACGCCCCGGUUGAGCCGGGUUAACGCCUCAGUGGAGAAAGCUAAAACUGACUAUCAUGAUAAGGCGAGAGACUGGUCGCUGUUCGAGAGGUCUUUUCGGGUCCUUAAAGACCUACGCCGCUUCGAGCGAAGUUCCGGAUAAUGUCCGACGAAGGCGUGGAUAGCGCCCCGAAUUCGGUCUUCCGAAUACUAGGGGCUUCGCCGAAAUUUAAAAUUAUAGAAUUCUAUGGCUAAGUGAGAGUGUUCAAGCACUAUAAGUCCGGUUGCCUUGUUUGUUGUGUUGAGCGCCUCCCUAGAUGGACCCAACAAUGGGAACAAGAGUGCUCAAGUUUAUCCCGAACACCCCAGCACUCGUGGCAUGGGGGCUGAAGCCGACGACUUGCCAUCUCUCAGAUUUAAUAAACGGCCGCACAGAAGGUAAUAUUUUAAAUUAACAAGCGCUGCUUAGCGCAUAUGAACAAAGUUUUCAGCGCGCAGGAUAACACAUUGCAAAUUUACUCAAUAAUUACAUCCCUGGGGCACUCAUCCGCAAUCUUGCGGGCACCCUUUAGGACAGUCUUAUAGUACAUCUCGGGCGUAUGAUAUUCCUUGCCCGCUGGUGGCGCGUCAGUGAUUAGCUUCUCCGCAUCUAGCUUGCCCCAAUGCACCUUUGCGCGGGCAAGGGCCCGACGAGCACCUUCAAUACAGGCGGAGCGCUUGAUAACCUCCACCCAGGGGCACGCAUCCACCAACCGUCGCACGAGGCCGAAGUAGCUCCCAGGCAUGGCCUCUCUAGGCCACAGCCGGACUAUGAGGCCCUUCAUGGCCUGCUCGGCCACCUUGUGGAGCUCGACCAGCUGCUUCAGCUGGUCGCUAGGGGGCACUGGAUGGCCGGCCUCAGCAUACUGAGACCAGAAGACCUUCUCCGUUGAGCUCCCCUCCUCAGCUCGGUAGAAUGCGGCGGCAUCAGACACGCUGCGAGGCAGAUCUGCAAACGCCCCUGGAGAGCUCCGAAUUCGGGUAAGUAACACAUAAUUUACAUUCACAUGCUUGCUUUGCAUGAAAAAUGCCUUACCCGCCGCUAUCUUCCUCACCAACUCAAUCUCCAGAAGGGACUUAUGGGCAUCGGCCUUGGCAGUUUUGGCACUUUCGAGAGCCGAGGCAAGCUCGGACUCUCGAGUCUUUGAGUCACGCUCCAAACUCUCAUGCUUUUCCAUGAGAGCCUGGAGUUCUUGCCGAACCACCGCCACCCGCGCCUCCUGCUUUUCUCGCUCUGCCCGUUCCACGGCCGCAUUGCGUUCGGCCGCGGACACGGCCUCCUUCAGGGUCGCCACCUCGUUCGUGGCCCCUGCAGUACCCAUGUUAUCCUUGUUAUUUUUUGUUGCAACCUAAAUCCUUUUCUGUAAGGUACAAGUUCAAAGUGGUGUUACUCACCUUCUUUGUCCUGGAGCUGCUUCUUGGCGCGGCCGAGCUCUUGCUCGGACCGCUCGAGCUCCUACUUCAAAGCACCGACCUCCGCAGUCAGUGCGGCAGAGGUCAGCAGCGCAGCCUGCAACCCAUAUUGACAUAAUUUUUUAGCAACCCUGCGUAUAUCUUCUUUUUUUUUCAGAUCCUCAGUCCGGCUUUUCUUUCUGAACACCGAACCGAGCAUCAGGGGCUACUGUCUAUGCGGUAUGACAUUGCAUAUUUUUAACUUCUUACCUCAAAGCCUGAUAGAAGGCUAUUGCAGGCUUCGGUCAGCCCGCUCUUGGGAAGCUGUACCUUCUGAAUCACCGCACUCAUAAUAGUGCGGUGUUCUUCCUCGAUGGAAGCGCUCUGCAGCGCCUCCAACAAAUUGUCCGGCGCCUUCGGUUGGACGGAAGCUGCCGGCGUCACGGUCUUGCCCUUCGUGCGAAGGGGCCGCCGACCGGACUCCGGAACCACUGCGGGUUCUGAUGUGGAGUCCAGCGCAAAGUCCGGGAGGCCGCCUUGUGGUGCCUCCGGAGCCUCCCCCUAAUUGGUCCCUUCUUGGGAUCCCACCUUGGCGUCCUCGGUGUAGCGAGGGGUGGAGGCGGUCGGGAUGGAGUCUACAUCCGACGGAGCCAACGACCCGCUCGAUGAAGCGGGGAGAUCAUCAUUGGCCGGACUACAGGCAGCAUGCGGCAUCAGAAUGACACUAUGUGACGCAGAAAAAGAAAUUAUAAAUCAUUCAGGAAUCCGGAUACUUACGAUCUCGCCGGAGGCCUGGCCCUUGAAGGCCAUUCUUCCUCGCCAACGUUGAUGUUGGCGGACCUGUCCGGGGGAAUAGUCCUUCCCCUCUUGGACCCUUCGGCCUCCCCUGUUGGGGAAGCCUUCCUCUUCCUCUCUCCCUCCUCUGGGAGAGAGUCCUCUUUCUCCUCCUCGUUUUCGAGGGAGGAGUCCGCCCCGGAGUCGUCGGACACCUGAAAACGGGAACUCUUUCGAGCACCCGUGGCCUCCUUCUUGGCCUUCUUCUCCGGCACCACGUGCGGUGCCGGAACCAACAGCCUCGCUAGAUGGGCGUCUACUGGGUUUUCUGGCAUAGGAGCCGGGCUGAUAAUCUGCUCCGCCUUCCUCAUCCAGUCCUGUCAAAGGAAAAGGGGAAAUUAAAACCCGCAUAAAGUCAAACUAUGAAAAGCAAGUGUCCCGUCAAGGGGUAGAAUCACUUACCUCGUCGGCUUGAUGCUGCGAGCGAAAUUCGCGAUCUUCAGUCGUGGAUGCGGGGGCUUCGGCGCCCUUAAACAGCACCCUCCAAGCGCCUUCGUACGUCAUGUCGAAGAGCCCGCUCAAUGCUUGGUGCUGCUCCGGAUUGAACUCCCACAGAUUGAAUGCCCGCCCCUGGCAUGGGAGAAUCCAGCGGACGAGCAUGACUUGGACCACAUUAACCAGCCUGAGCUUCUUCACCAGCUUCUGGAUACAGGCUUGGAGUCCUUUCAGCUCCUCCGAACUACCCCACAGCAAGCCCUUCUCUUUCCAGGAGGUGAGCUGCGUGGGGAUACCAGAUCUGAACUCGGGGGCCGCCGCCCACGUAGGGUCGCGCGGCUCGGUGAUAUAGAACCACCCCGAUUGCCACCCCUUGACGGAUUCCACGAAGGCCCCUUCAAACCAAAGGACGUUGGGCAUCUUGCCCAACAUGGCGCCUCUACACUCCGCUUGAGUGCCCUUCACUACCUUCGGCUUGACAUUGAAGGUCUUGAGCCACAAGCCGAAGUGGGGCUAGAUGCAGAGGAAGGCCUCGCACACGACGAUAAACGCCGAGAUGUUGAGGAUGAAGUUCGGUGCCAGAUCAUGGAAAUCCAGGCCGUAGUAGAACAUGAGCCCCCGGACAAAGGGGUGAAGUGGAAAGCCCAGUCCGCGGAGGAAGUGGGGAAGAAAAACGACCCUCUCAUGGGGCCUGGGGGUGGGGAUGAGCUGCCCCUCGUCGGGUAGCCGGUGCACAAUGUCGCCGGACAGGUAGCCGGCACUGCGCAAUCUUUUGAUGUGCUCCUCCGUAACGGAGGAGGUCGUCCACUUGCCUCCCGCUCCAGACAUGACUGGGGAAGGUUGAGACAAGAUGUGCGGGCUUGGGCGAUGGAGCUCGAGUGCACGGAGAUGGAUAAGCAAAGGAGGAAGAAGGUGUAGGUGAAAAGGUGAAUCCUUAUCCCUUAUAUGGGCGGGCGAAGUCUACGCGUCCCCCACCGGCCUGGUAAAACUCGCUUAUCCCCCAAGCGUCACCAUCAAUGGCGCGGUUGGGUUACCCACGUCCGUAUUGAUGAGAAUCCCGGAUUAAGGGGGAACACGAUCUCUGCUUCGACAAGACGUGCCAAGGAAACCGCUUCGCUAAAUGCACUGAGGUGGUGGAGUAAAAAACGAUUCAAGUAAUGGCUUGGUGGUGGCGUGACGUCAUGCCGCAAAAAACGUCAGCAAAUUGAACUUGUGUAUAUAUUAUUCUCUCUACGGUGGAAUGUGGAAUUUAUUUUGCAGAGCCGGACACUAUCCUGGUGUUCACAAUCUUCUAUCAUUCGGAGGAGGAACCCGCCUUGCAAUGCCAAGCAAUAUACGCGCCGGACUUAUCAUCAUUGAAGCCUGGUUCAGGGGCUACUGAGGGAGUCCCGGAUUAGGGGGUGUCCGGAUAGCCGGACUACCAUCAUCGGCCGAACUAUCAUCGGCCGGACUAUCAUCAUCGUCGACCAGACUCCAAGACUAUGAAGAUACAAGAUUGAAGACUUCGUCCCGUGUCCGGAUGGGACUUUUCUUGGCGUGGAAGGCAAGCUUGGCGAUACGGAUACGUAGAUCUCCUACUAUUGUAGCCGACUCUAUGUAACCCUAGCCCUCUCCGGUGUCUAUAUAAACCGGAUGGCUCUAGUCCGUCGGACACAACAACAACCAUUACAAUCAUACCAUAGGCUAGCUUCUAGGGUUUAGCCUCCUUGAUCUCGUGGUAGAUCCACUCUUGUAAACAUCCACAAUAUCAAUAUCAAUCAAGCAGGACGUAGGGUUUUACCUCCAUCAAGAGGGCCUGAACCUGGGUAAAACAUCAUGUCCCUUGUCUCCUAUUACCAUCCGCCUAGACGCACAGUUCGGGACCCCCUACCCGAGAUCCGCCGGUUUUGACACCGACACCACCUCUUAUGAAUUAUUGAUGCAAGUAAUACUUCUCCCCAUAACCUUACCUUCUUGGCCCCCAUGUUGAUUCUAACUGGGAUGCCAACAAGUGGACGGUGCUGCUUGGAUUCUGUACUUCUAGCAACCCUAUUGCUUUGAAGUUGAUGGUCAAUAGUUCGUUCUUAGACUAUUGGUUGUUGAACCCCCAUUCUAACGUUGAUCACGCUACAUAUGCCCAUCUUUCGGGUGCACCUUUCAACCAAUGUUUACUUGCGUAUGUUUUCCUCAGGCAUACAUCAUUAUAUCAUUUGACCUGACAAAUGUUAUAUCUUUGUUUACAUUAUCAAGGAGAUACAUCUUUUUGGAAAUCUCGAUGAGUUGUUGCCAAGUCCAUCUGCCACCUCCUCAUCUUCUCCUUGGUUUAAUGAUGAACUCUUGUUUUGGAACUCGCUUCCAUAGUUCAUUUCCCAAGAAUUUUCGAUGUCAUCUCAUCAAUUUGUGUCGCACCUUUUCUCCUCGGGCAUCCUGAGUCUGAGGUAUCAUAACACCAAUCAGAUCUGAAUCUCGGUCAGUUAUGAUGGUUGGAACAUAUAUCCAAGAGUUAUAACAUUGGUCUUUAUAUGAUCCGGUAAGAUGAUGUCAUGCCUAGCACACCCGGCCAGAGGCCCUAUUGUUAUAGUUUCCUUUUCUCAAGGUUAUCCAUUCUUCCAUGAGGAAAUGGUAAGACUUAUUCUACAAGUUGUUCCUGAUAAAUCCUUCGUGUAUCCAAGGCCCGACCUAUGCUUGAAGACCUUUUCAAUGCCAUCUCGAAGUAUGUCUGUGCUACUCCGAUUCUCAAUAAAAAGAUAUAAAGCACAAGGCUAAGUUUUCCUUAUCAAUUAGCCAAACACCGUUGUAUGGGUAAUGCAUGAAAUUUCUCUCCCCUUUCCUAAAGGGUUUUCUACAUUAUAUCCUGUCAUGGAUAUCUUGCUCUGUUUGACCUUGGAAAGGAUAUACCCCUGAAUUAUGUGUUUAAACACAUUUUCCCUUUCCAUUGUUCUGUUUAAUCUGAUAAUCACAAUUUCCUUUCCAUUGCUUUGUUUAACCUUUCUUGAAAUCUACUUAACUAAGCAGUAAUAAUUCCCUGCUUAGGUAAGCACCUCGUUGUAUCAUUUCAUCAUUAAGACCCUGUUACUAUUGUUGAUGACAUUCCGGUAACCACCGAUGGACGAGAACUUUGCCUAUUGGCCUGCCUCGUUCAACGAGCGGGAAAAUGGUUCUCUUUGUCCCUCGCCCUUGGUACCGGCAUUGUUGCCAACAUAACUGACAAGCUAUCCUCCGUCAUGCCUUGUUAUCGUGACUGUGCAAUAUGUUAGUGCACCUUAUCUACUUUUGACCCACAUGGUGGGCCCAUAACCCAAAGUUCCACAGGAUCGAAACCUGACUCUCCUGUACACCCCUAUUGCCAAUGCUAUUCCUCAUGGUUGACUUCGUAUGUAAUUCAUGUGCCACGUUCCUAGUGAUCUAUUAUGGUAUCGGACGCUAUACUUAAACUCGUUGCUCUAGACCCCUUUCACAUGUUAUUUCACACAUCGAACGAUUGCCUGCCCGUCCGAAACUUCCCUUGAUACCUCCUUACUUUGCUCUUGAUAUUUUCUUCAGUUUCAAUACGAGAGUUACUUUCCGCCACCUUCCCCGAUGUUAUCUACCAGAUAGUCAACCUUGCAGAGGUCCGUUCUCCCGGAAUACCCACCCUUUAUUUUUUCAUAAGUACAACAGAGUUCCCGAAGGAAGAGUGACAACUUCGUCAUGAUGCCCUGGAGAAAAUAAAUAAAGACAUCAACGAAAAGGAUCCACUACUUCGGGAAGAGCAACCAAGACCAAGAAAAUUCAUUAGAAUUUCGUAACCAGACCUUCCCCCCUUAUUCCACCUCAUAUCGGGAUGAGAUUUCUUGUAGUGGAGGAGAUUUGUGACGCCCGGAUAAUUAGGCUACAGUAAUCCCGCGUUAACGAUGCCACGUCACCUCAGUUACUGUUGAUAAUCUCGCGUUAGAUCGAAACAGAUUCAAAUUCAAAAUUCGAACUAAAGUUAAAACAAUUAAAGUUUUCAAAAGUCAAACUAAAAUGUUUGAUGUGUUGAAAAUAUUCCCUAACUAUUUGUCAUGAAGAAACCAUGUUUUUAUAUAAGGCCUAUAUAUUUAAAAUGAGCAAAAACAGAAAAGAAAUAUAAAUAAAAAGAGAAAGAAAAAUAAAACAGAAGCAAACAAAAAAAGAGAGAAGAGGGAAACCCCCAGGACCCCCCUGGGCCAACCGGCCCAGCUACCGGCCGGCCAGCCUAGUUGGCCCAGCCGCCCCCCUCACCCCCUCGUAUCCCCCAAACCCUAACCUCCCUGGCCGCACCCCUCGCCCCACUCCCCACUCCCUCGAUCCCCAUCUCUCUCCUCGAUCCCCUCCACCUCGCGGCGCGCNNNNNNNNNNNNNNNNNNNNNNNNNNNNNNNNNNNNNNNNNNNNNNNNNNNNNNNNNNNNNNNNNNNNNNNNNNNNNNNNNNNNNNNNNNNNNNNNNNNNNNNNNNNNNNNNNNNNNNNNNNNNNNNNNNNNNNNNNNNNNNNNNNNNNNNNNNNNNNNNNNNNNNNNNNNNNNNNNNNNNNNNNNNNNNNNNNNNNNNNNNNNNNNNNNNNNNNNNNNNNNNNNNNNNNNNNNNNNNNNNNNNNNNNNNNNNNNNNNNNNNNNNNNNNNNNNNNNNNNNNNNNNNNNNNNNNNNNNNNNNNNNNNNNNNNNNNNNNNNNNNNNNNNNNNNNNNNNNNNNNNNNNNNNNNNNNNNNNNNNNNNNNNNNNNNNNNNNNNNNNNNNNNNNNNNNNNNNNNNNNNNNNNNNNNNNNNNNNNNNNNNNNNNNNNNNNNNNNNNNNNNNNNNNNNNNNNNNNNNNNNNNNNNNNNNNNNNNNNNNNNNNNNNNNNNNNNNNNNNNNNNNNNNNNNNNNNNNNNNNNNNNNNNNNNNNNNNNNNNNNNNNNNNNNNNNNNNNNNNNNNNNNNNNNNNNNNNNNNNNNNNNNNNNNNNNNNNNNNNNNNNNNNNNNNNNNNNNNNNNNNNNNNNNNNNNNNNNNNNNNNNNNNNNNNNNNNNNNNNNNNNNNNNNNNNNNNNNNNNNNNNNNNNNNNNNNNNNNNNNNNNNNUCCGCCACCCUGGCCACUCGCCGCCGCUGCGCGCGUGCGCACAUCUGCGCUUGGCUGCGCCCUGGCUCGCCGGUGCGCGCCCACGCCCCACCGCACGCCCCCUGCUCCCCUCGCCCCGCCUUAGUCGCUGCUACCGGCCAGCCGCCCCGCUCACUGCUGCACUUGCCACAGCCGCCGGUGCCUUCACUAGCAUAGGCGGGCGCCCAAACGGGCGGAUGCUCGUAGUGCCCGACCCGCUCAGGCUGUGCCUCGCACCCGGCGCCCGUUAAGCCCCCCAGAGCCACUAGCAUAAAUGAAUUUAAAAUAAAUGAAUAAAUUAUUAAUUAAUUAAUAAGUUAAUUAAUUCUGUUAACUAAACUAAUCAACCCUAAAUUAAUCUACUAACUAAUCUAAUUAAUCUAUUAGUUAAUUAGACAUCCUAUGACAUGCAGGACCCACGCGUCAGUUUGACCAAGUCAACUAACUGUUGACUGCUUAGAUCACCCUGAUGUCAUGCUGAUGUCAUAAUGACAUUUCCUAGUUAAAUUAAUUUUGUUAAUUCUAAAAAUGAAUUAAAACUUUGAAAAUUAAUAUUAAAUAAUCCGUAACUCGGAUGGGAAAAAUUUGUACAUGAAAGUUGCUCAAAUCGAUGAGAUGAAUCCGAAUAUGCAGCCCGUUUGUCAGCCACAUGUCCCUAGCAUAGCGAACCUGCAACAUUUCACCUCCUGUUCAUUUGGUAAAAAUGUGAAACACCGGGGAUACUUGUCACAUCCCUAGUCUGGUAUGACCUAGACUAGCUAGCCAUUUGUGCAUCAUAUUUAAAUUUCAUUUAAAUUUGAAAUGAGGAUUGGUGGAACCCUCAGAAUCAUUUUUGAAAAUGACCCAAAUAAAUAUUUCUCCAAAAGGGUCCAAGAAAAUGCUCAUGUUGCCCUCUGAAAAUAUUGGAUAGAGAUAAAAAUCAAAACAAUAUUUUUAGGAGCUCAUGGACAUUUAUUUUGGCCAUUUGGAUUAAUUCGAUAAAUAUUUGCAUUGGAAAGAUAUUUCUAUAUAUAUGAAAUAUGGCCCAAAAAUUAUGUCAUCUUUAAAGGAGCUCUGGAAUAAUACCAUUAGCCCCUACAAAAAUUGGCAUAAUAAAAUUAAAUGAUUUAAUAUAUUUAUUAAAUCAAACAAAUGUCAGAAAAAAAUAGAAAAACAGAAAUAAAAGAAGGAGGGGCUUACCUGGGGCCUCCCCUGUGCAGCCCAGCCGCAGCAGGCCGGCCCAGCCGGGAGGUGGCCCAGCCCACCAGGCUCCCCCUCCUCUGUCGUCUUCCUUCCCGACAGGGGAACAGAGUGUGGCCGGCGCGCGCGCGCGCCACCGCGCCACGCCUCCUCCCUCCCUGUCUGCCUGUCCUCCCCUCGCCGCUCUGGAUGGAUCGCGCGUCGCCACGCAGCCGCCCCGGUCCUUUUCCCCUCCCUCUCGCUCAUCCCCUCCUCUGGCUCCCCCUCACUCCCACCGAACGCGACCGCCGCCGCCGACGGGCAUCACCGUAGCCACCGCCUCUCCCUCGCCUCCCCGUCGUCCCCAGGAGCUCCGCCUCGUCGCCAGCUACCUCCUCGCCGAGCCACGCAAGCCGGAGUGCCCCGUGGAGCCGUCGCCGUCGCCAAAUUCGACUCCGGCCGCCGUGGAUCCUCGCCGGCGAUUCGGGAGCUACCGGGCAUCCCCGACCUCGCCCUCGCGCUCGCUGGUUCCGCGGUGAGCCCCCGCACCGAACCCCCUCCCCCCCGUGUCCGUUCGCGCCGUCCAGGCCUUAGCUCCGCUAUGGCCGAAGCUCGCCUCCGCUCGAGCUUGUCGCCGGCGUUGCUCCGGCGACCUUUUGGCCACGCCAGUGCACCUAGCACUCUCGCCGCACCUCGUAGUGCCCCGCUAGCGCUCUAGUUUGCGCGUUUGCACGCUGCAGCCGCGUCCCCGAACAUAGCCGAGCUCCGGCCGCCGCCCCGAGCUUCGCUCCGGCGAGCUCCGGCGCCCCCGCAGCCCCCCACCAGCUCCCCUGGUUGCGGACGACGACGGGCUACGCCCUGGUGGUUUUCGCGCGACCAAACGCCGCCUGCAGCGCAAGUCCGGCGAGUCGCCGCCGCGCUAAUGGUCGCCGCCGGCCAGAACCCCGGCGGGCUGACGUGGCUUGUUAAUUAGUCACUAAUUUCCCCACCCACUGACGCUGACAAGUGGGCCCCAGGGUUUAGUCAAAGCUGACCAGCCCAGGUUUGACUCGGGGUUAACCCCCUGUCACUGACGUGUGGGUCCCACACGUCAGAUUUGACCUGGACAGCCGCGUUGACCCGCUGAUGCAAUGAUGACGUCAUGCUGACGCAAUUAUACAUUUUCUGGAAUUAAAAUAAUUCAGAAAAUCCAGAAAUUGAUUUAAACUUCAAAAAUUCAUAUCAAUUCAACCGUAGCUCAGAUUUAAAUAAUUUAUAUAUGAAAAAUUAUCAGAAAAAUGCAACCUUUCCAUCUGUACUAGUUUCAUGCAUGAAAAACCAACUUAUACAUGCUGAAUAUGGGAAAACACAUUAUGGCAUAUAUAAGAGACCUAAUUUAGAAAUGCAUUUGAACCUUUGGUUCAAAUGGACUUCAAACCAAUUGAACACUAGUUGCAUUAGCUCAACAGCAUCACAUCUACAUGCCAUGUUCAUGCAUCAUAUUGUUGCAUAUGAUUGUGUAUUGAUUGCCGGCACCGUUCCUUCUCGAUAGGUCCUACUCCGGAGACGUUCCAGAGUACCUGUCUGUGAAGCAGUGCCUCCCUUGUUGAAUUACCAGGCAAGCAACCCCCCCUUGUUCAUUUCGAUAAAACCCUACUCUCUCGCUCCUGCUCUCAGAUAUUGCAUUAGGACAACAACGAUUCAUCUGCUACUUUGUGCUGCGGUAGUUGAACCCAUUCCUCUGCAUGACCUGUCAUUGCCACAGUAAAUAGUUGAAACCCACUAGCAUGUGUAGGAGUUGAUUGAAGCCACUGAUGUGUUCCUACCAUGCUAUGCCUGCUAUUGCUUAGAGUGUGUCAGGUCUGGUUCAUUGGGAAUGAAUUGGAGUGUCACGAUAUGUUCUAUUGCUGAGAGUUAAGUGUGUGAACACGAUUUGGUAAAGGUAGCGGUGAGAGGCCAUGUAGGAGUACAUGGUGGGUUGUCUCACUGGAACCGUCCUUAAGCACUGAGUUCUAUGUAUGUUGUCCAAUGACUCGAUACUACCACACAUUGGGCUCCGGGCGCUCCAAGCCCUCUCGACUUAUUAACCAACUUGAUCUCUGUCCAGGAGUCGCAACUAGUUUCUGGCGUUUGUAGGUAGUGUUAGUAGUCUACCAAGUGGCACCCGGCCAGGUGGGCUUGGGACAGACUAGGCACCAGUGGCACGGUGUACCAAGCGUAGAUCCAUCCGGCGAGGUGGGCUUGGGAACCCUGCACACAUCGUUUGGGGCCGUGAGUGAAACCCCGGCCGGAUCUCCUUGCGGAUGGAACCCGAAUAGGCGAUAAACCUGGAUUAGAGUCCUGUGUGGUUAGUCAGGUCGUGGCCGACACCCUCGCCAGGCUUCCGCUUGAAGGUUGCCGAGAUACAUGACGUGUACAUGGCGGUAAGUGGCGAGAGCGUGUGUGAAGAGGUACACCCCUGCAGGGUUAACAUGAUCUAUUCGAAUAGCCGGGUCCGCGGUUAUGGACUUCUUGGAUGCUUACAUGGUACAUAGACAACUUGAAGUGGAUACUAUAAAAUGCUCAAGACAAGUGUGAGUGCUAUGGAUGGCCUUCUCGUAGGGAGACGGGGAUGAAUCCAUAGUAGUGUAUUGUGUGGUGAUUAGUGGACUCGUGUACGUUGUUUCACCUCCAGAGUUUCUGGUAGUCGUAGAACAGGAUAGCCACAGAGUCUAAGCUGGCUUGCUGCAACCAAACCCCACAUUACCCUCUUGGUACAAAUGCAUGUAUGAUAGGAUCUGAUGUAAGUCUUGCUGAGUACCUUUGUACUCAUGUUGCUUUAUUUAUGUUUUUGCAGCGGAGACUUCGGUCUUACUAGGGUUCUCAUGGACUUCGACUAGUAGCUAGUACCUCAGCUACGAUCUUGAUCGGAUGUUGUAGAUAGUCAGGCCUUCAGCCUUUUUCAUUUAUAGAUGUCUGUACCCAGACAUGUAAUGCUUCCGCUUGAUGCUUGUAUGCUCUGUAUGACGGGUCUUGUGACCCCUGUUUGCAAUAAAUGCUAUGAUGGCUCUUCUGAGCCUUUAUCUAUAUAAUUGUUGGGUUAUGCUGUGACGCCAUGUUGUACAGCACAUACUUGCAUGUUAUGCGUACGUGUAAUGUGUAGUGCUAUGUGUGGGAUCUGACUAUCUAGUUGUUUAUCUUUAGUAGCCUCUCUUACCGGGAAAUGUCUCCUAGUGUUACCGCUGAGCCAUGGUAGCUUGCUACUGCUCUGGAACACUUAGGCUGGCCGGCAUGUGUCCUUCUUCGUUCCUGUGUCUGUCCCUUCGGGGAAAUGUCAUGCUUUGAGUACCGGAGUCCUGUUAGCCCGCUACAGCCCGGUUUACCGGAGUCCUUCUAGCCCAGUGCUACAGCCCGGACCCACUUGCUGAUGACCGACACGUUCGAAGCUGGGUCAUGGAUGCCUGUCCCUGUAAGUCUGUGCCACUUUGGGUUUACGACUAGUCAUGUCAGCCCGGGCUCCUUAUCAUAUGGAUGCUAGCGACACUAUCAUAUACGUGAGCCAAAAGGCGCAAACGGUCCCGGGAAAAGGUAAGACGACACCCGAGGGGAUACCGUGCGUGAGGCCGCAAAGUGAUACGAGGUGUUACCGGCUAGAUCGAUGUGACAUCGAGUCGGGGUCCUGACAAUACUUUCCCGCAUGUUUCCCCCUUUCGCCGGUAACACCUACUACCGCGUUAGGGCACACCUAGCACCGCUCUUUGACAUGUCAUGCAUCGUCAUGCUUAUGUUUGCAUUAUAUUUAUUGUUUCUUCCCCCUCUUCUCUCCGGUAGACUACGAGACCGACGCUGCUGCUGCUCCGGUCGACUACGGAGUUGACGACCCCUCAUUCUUGCCAGAGCAACCAGGCAAGCCCCCCCUUGAUCACUAGAUAUCGCCUAUUCCUUCACUCUACUGCUUGCAUUAGAAUAGUUUAGCAUGUUACUAUUUCGGUUAAUCCUAUUCUGUUGCAUAGCCUGUCAUUGUUGCUAUAGUUGUUGAUACCUUACCUGCAAUCCUAAAUGCUUAGUACAAGAUGCUAGUUUAUCAUCUGUGGCCCUACAUUCUUGUCCACCUGCCUUUCUAUACUAUCGGGCCAUGAUCACUCGGGAGGUGAUCACGUGUAUACUAUACAUACUUACAUACUAUACAGAUGGUGACUAAAGUCGGGUCGGCUCGUAGAGUACCCGUGAGUGAUUCACGGAUUGGGGGCUGAAUGGACAUUUGCCCCGACGACCCUCUAGGUGAAUCUUUGUGGCGGAGCGACAGGUCAGGUUGAGACCACCUAGGUGAGAGGUGGGCCUGGCCCUGGUUAGUGUCCGUGGUUACUUGAAAAUAACACUCUUAACCAGAUCUUGGUAUUUGAUCUGAGUCUGGCCACUGGCCUAUACGCACUAACCAACUACGCGGGAAAAGUUAUGGGCACUCGACGUCGUGGUAUCAGCUGAAGCCUUCUGGACGUCAACGACUGAGCGGCGCGCGUCGGGUUGGACCACGUAACACAACUUCCUUUGUAAUGGAGGUUGCUAGGUCUGCUCACCGGCCGCCCUCUCAACGUGCAGGUGUGCAAUGGGCGAUGGGCUCACACCCCUGUGCGCAUAGGACUUAGACCGGUGUGCUGACCUCUCUGUUGUGCCUAGGUAGGGUGGCGACAUGUUGAUCUUCCGAGGCCGGGCAUGACCCAGAAAAGUGUGUCCAGUCAGAGGGACCGAGCGUGUUGGGAAGUGUGGUGCACCCCUGCAGGGAAGUUUAUCUAUUCAAAUAGCCGUUUCCCUCGAUAAAAGGACGACCCGGAGUUGUACCUUGACCUUAUGACAACUAGAACCGGAUAUUUAAUAAAACACACCCAGAUAAGUUCCAGAGUCAACCCGAUGAUCGUUUUUCCAUAGGGCGACGAGGGGAGGAUCGCCGGGUAGGAUUAUGCUAUGGGAUGAUACUUGGUGAACUUUAAUCUACUCUCUUCUACAUGCUGCAAGAUGGAGGCUGCUAGAAGCGUAGUCUUCGAUAGGACUAGCUAUGCCCCUCUUAUUCUGGCAUUCUGUAGUUCAGUCCACCGAUAUUGCCUCUUUACACAUAUACCCAUGCAUAUGUAGUGUAGAUCCUUGCUUGCGAGUACUUUGGAUGAGUACUCACGGUUGCUUUGCUCCCUCUUUCCCCCCUUUUUCAUCUUCUUCUCGGAUGCCGCAGCCAUACGUUGGAGCCCAGGAGCGAGAUGCCACUGUCAAUGACGACACCUACUACACUGGAGGUGCCUACUACUACAUUCAGGCCGCUAACGACCAGGAGUAGUUUAGUAGGAUCCUAGGCAGGAGGCCUGCUCCUCUUUCGGUCUGUAUCCUAGUUUGUGCUAGCCAUCUUAUGAAAACUUGUUUAAUUUAUGUCUGUACUCAGAUAUUGUUGCUUCCGCUGACCUGUUUAUGUUCGAGCACUUGUAUUCGAGCCCUCAAGGCCCCUGUCUUGUAAUAUGAUGCUUGUAUGACUUAUUUUACUUUUAGAGUUGUGUUGUGAUAUCUUCCCUUGAGUCCCUGAUAUUGAUCGUACACAUUUGCGUGCAUGGUUAGUAUACAAUUGAAAUGGGGGCGUCACAGUACCCCAUCAGCAUCUAGGCGCAUGUGUCUGCGCAUGCGGAGCGACAGCAACACCAGCAGCAGGAGCACGCGGCGACGAGGAGGCCAGCUUCAGGUGGCCCGACAGCUUCAGGCCGCCACCACUAGGCGUCAGCGCACCACCACCAGCAGUAGCACGCAUCAAUGAGGAGGCUACUUCGGGUGUCCUGGCAGCUUCAAGCCGCCACCACCGGGCCCGACAGCUUCAGGCCGCCCCGCCCUCACUCAGGGCCCAAGCCUGGCGGUGUGGGGGUGCGAGCAUCUCCACUCGGUGGCGCAUGGGGAAGAAGAUAAAGGGGAUUUUGACACUUUGGCGUGGUGGUGGCAGUGCAGUAGAGUGGGGAGAAAAAUUAUCAUCCCCAAUACAAUUUUUUUGCUGGGGCAACCCUAGGAGGCCAAAAAAGGCGUCCUUGGGGCACAACGACUGGAGAUGCUCUUAGAGCAUCUCCACCCAUCCCCACAGGAACCCUUUUUUGGCGCCGACAAAUGACAAAGUUUCGCUUGCGCCCCACGAGCUUGAUUAGUGCCCGAUUUGGUCAAAAUUUCGACCGGCAAACCAACCCCAAACCCAAGAUCCUUGUGGGCAGCUGGGGAGGAGAGAGACUGUUUUGCAUGUCAUUUGGUUCACCGCUAGCCUUUCACUCCCUCUCUCCUCACUUUUCCUUCGAGGCCCACCCACGUGCUGCUCUCUCUUCUCUUCUCUUCUCCUUCUCCCCCCACCAACUCCCACACCCACGCAGAACGCCUCGCCCAGCACUCCGCCGCCCUCUACUCGCCUCGCUGCGCACAGGUCUGGGACAAGCUCCGCGCCACCGCCACCUCCUCGCCGCGGCAUCCCAGCUCCGUCACAGCGUGAGUAGGGACACCCUCCGCGGCAUGCCAGGCACAGGCGAGCUCGCGGUUCGCAACAGGGCGGGCAGCCACGGCAGGGUGCUGGCCCGGGCGGGGUGCGGUCGAGGUCGACGGGGUGCGGGCGGUGGGCGCCGGCCCAACGCCGACACGGGCGAGCUUGGCGGCGAGUGGCGAGGCGGCGGUGAGUGGCAAGUCGGCUCUGCGAGCGAGCGUGGCGCGGACGUGGGCAUGUGGGAGCGCGGGACGAGCUCUGCACCGUCGGGCGAGCAAGCUAGCGCGGGGCGGACGCGGCGGCUGGUGCGACGAGCGAGUAAGGCGGCCAGGCGGGCGAGCGAGGUGGCGUGGCGGGCACGCACGGGUCGCUGGCGAGGGACAAUGAUGACACGACACACACACCUCCAGCACGGCGGCGGGCUCCGCGGUGCGCGGCGUUGACUUGCUCGGGUACUCGAAGGCGUGGACUUGGAGCUCAACUACUUGGAAACUUUGCCCCCCCCAGCAAAAUUAGCGCCGGCAAAUCUUCAUCUGGCACAAAAGUCGUCCCUGUGGGGGCACAAUGGCUGGAGAUGCUCUUAGAUUCGGCACAAUCCAACGAUCCAGCUAAUUCAUUGUAACAAAGAUAGUGUUCUAAAGCAUUUCGUAAGAAAGAUCAUAUUGUAAAAACAUUUGCAACAGAGUUGUUGCAUAAUUUUUUUCCGUCUUCAUCUUUUUCAACAUAGAUAAUAUUGCAAUUACACCGUGCAUGAUGUUGUAGUUUUUUUUGGCGAUGAAUGAUGGUGUCGCACCAGCACCGUCGUCGUUGUCGUCGCCGUUUUGCAACUCCGUCAUUGUUGCAGAAACUCGUCAAUAUGCGGUGGCACAAUCGGACAUGGACAACUUCCGUUGGUGAUGUUGUGGAUUUUUUUCGUCUUCACUUUUUUACAACAUGAGAGUUGUUGCGAAAGAAAUUUUUACAACACAGAUGAUGUUGGAGAAAACUUUCUUCGCUACGCAAGCACGCGUCGCACGGAACCGCUAGAAAUAGUACUAGAUGGAUCAUGCAAGAAGGAGGUUGCGGACGCUCGCUUGGGAUCCACCGGCUGAAACCAAGCGUUUCCGUAAACCAUAUUGUGGUUGGAAUAAAAUAUACAUCAUAAAAAAUGCUUUUUUACAUCACCAAAAAUGUUCAACUUCAAUAGAUGAUAUAAAAUAGGGCAGCCUCAACCGCUCUAAUAGACGAUGUAAAAAUAGGCCAACGCACAACAACAACAAAAAAACACAUAUUUGAAUCGAAAUCAUCCCAAAUUAAUCUUUAUAAGGAAACAUAACAACAAUUUCAUCACACACAUUGCAUAUGAAUUAGGCAAAAAUAAUAUGUCAAACUUUCAUCACAUUCAUAAUGAACGAUAUGUCAAAUUCGACAUCAACAUAAUAAAAUCAUAGUCUCAUAGUGCAUCAUAGCAAACAUAGUUUAUGGUGCAACAAAUAAAUGUGUAUAUAAACAUAAAGAUAAACAUAGCCUCUCAACUUCUAUCUUCUCUGUUGUCACUUGGCAUGUUGUGAACAUUGGCUUGAAGAUCAUCAUUGACUUCUUUCUCGCCGUUGUCACUUGCACAUUGUGAACAUUGGCUUGUGGUCCAUCCAUGCCGCCACCUGCACCAAAGACACCCCCCAUGCCACUCAUGUUACCACCAUAUCCACCUCCCAUGUUAACACCAUAGCCACCUCCCAUUCCUCCUCCCAUGUUGCUACCCAUGCCACUUGUUGCUCCUCCCAUGCCACCCACUGCUCCUCCGAAGCUACCCAUCAAGUCCCUCAUGAUCAUGGUCUUCUUCAUGAUCAUUUCAUCGCGACAGAAGCUCCAUAAAUGCUUUUUGCUUUGCUUGAGGCCACUUGUGUCCAUGCAAAUAAAUUUAUCCACUUUCUCCUCCACCGACUUAAGCUAUUCGUCCGCCACCUUUCUCUCCUCUAGCUUAACCUUCCUCUCCCUGGCCGCCACUUUCUUCUCCUCGGUAUCCGCCUUCCGCCUCUCGGCCUCCGUCCUCUCCUCCAUUUCCUUCAAUUUCAAGAGCUUUUUUCUUUGACAUACUGUUUUCUUGCAAUGACGAUGACUUCAAAUCAUUCUUUAAGAUCAUUGUCUCGGCCUUUGAACCCUUUGCUUUUUUUAUUUCGAUUGGGCCUAUAUGCUUUGGCAACCGAGUGAGGAGUGGGGCUCCUUCUCACCUCCUCACCACCACCAUCAUCUUCUUCUUCAUCGUCACGAUCGACAACCAAGCUCUUCCUCCUUGCAACUUUAAAAGCUUCCCGAUUCUUCCACUUCUUCUCAUCCUUGAGCUCUUUAUAGCAAUGUUGGAAAGUGAACGGUUUUCCUUUCCUCUUCUUCUUAUCCCCAUUAUUCCCUCUUUGUUAAUACAAAAUACAAACAAAGUAAUUUGACUCUAUUAUGCCCACAAGAAAAGUACAAAAUACAAGCAAAAAUGCAAAAGGAGAAGAGCCGUGACAAUUUUUCCAGUGAUACAACUAACAACAUAAAGCAAUGGAGACACGAAUAAUACUCUACAAACUUGGUGAGUAAUUCGAAUGUCGUGUACACUAGUGAUCUGUUAUGUAGGCCACACAUUAUAGAUGUUUUGCACACUUAAUCAUAUGUAAUAUCUCAUUUGGCUAUAUUUAGUAACCAUUCAAUUUUCUCUGCAUUUUUAUGGAAAAAAGGAUCCAACAAUUUUUUUGGCAAAAACAAAUUGGAUUUUGUCAAGUGGUCUCAUCGUGGGCGUAUUAGAGGCCAAUAAGUGUUGCAACAAACGGCGAAUGUUUGAUUGACCCUGGCUUCGAAAAGGUUUGAUCCACCAUGAUGUGAGCAUGAUUAUAUGGGCUCGGAGAGGUUUGCGAUGAACAAACCAUGUCAUUUUCAUGUCACGUUGACAAUAAUGGGCAUGGUUUAUGUCUUAUAGCGUUGUUGAUCACUAGUUUAACCUCACAUUUGAACUUGCCAUGUGAUGAUGUGGACUCGUGUUUACUCUUCGAACAAUGCGUAUGUAGGAUCUUUUUGAAGCACCUCAUUGAACAUCGUGUAUCGCGUACACUAGUGAUCUACUAAGAAGGCUACACAUUUAUAAUCAUGCACACUUGUAACAUCUAGUUUACUCAUUUUCCAUUUCACGUUGACAAUAAUGGGCAUGGAUCAUGUCUUAUAUCAUUGGUGAUCACUAGACCUCAUUGAACUUGCCAAGUGAUGAUGUGGGCGUGUGUUUACUCUUCAAACAAUUCAUAUAUGUGAUCUUUUUGAAGCACCGUAUGUGAGAAUGGCAUUUGAACGUUGUUUACAUUAGUGAUCCAUUAUGUAGCCUACACAUUAUAGAUGUUUUGCACUGACGGUGCGUGAUCCCAUCAGUACCCGAGGUAGGGUACCUAGCAUGGCUGGAAGUCUUAGAUUGGAGGUUACACAAGGGUUUUGCCCAGGUUCGGGCUUCCGGUGAGGAGUAAUACCCUACAUCCUGCUUGUUGUUGUUAUUCAUGGUGGGUAAACCCCGUUCGAGGGAUUACAAUGAUGUAUAGAGUGCUACUGAGAGUUUAAUCUAUGAGUAUAGAUGGGAAUGCGAGCCCCUAGCCCUCCCCUUAUUUACAUGGUGGGGGCUAGGGUUUUACAAAGAGGGAUAUGCGAUCUAGGUCGCCGACAGUAUAGACUUGGGGCCAAGAUGGUCUGAAGAUACCCAUCUCGAUCCUCCUCUGGGCUCCUUCCCGUCGAUAGGUACACGGUUGGCCUUCUAGGCCCUUGGGCAGGCCUGCUGAUGGGCUCCCUGUGGAUGAGCCACUCUCAGUGUAUUACACCAUCAUGCACACUUACACAUGUGUCAUAUCUAAUCUGGUUGUUUCUAGUCACCAUUCAGGUUUUCUUUGCAUUUUUUUAUGGAAAAGAUGAAUCCAACACAAGUGUUGGUAAAAAAAUGGAAUUUGCGAAUGGGUCUUAUCGUGGGUGUAUUAGUGAGGUGAAAAAGUGUCGCAACCAAUGGCGAGUGUUUGGUUGACCUUGGAGAUUUGAUCCACCGUGAUGCAAGCAUGAUUCGACGGGCCGAAGAGGUUAGCGAUGAACACUACUGCCGCUGCACCAACACNNNNNNNNNNNNNNNNNNNNNNNNNNNNNNNNNNNNNNNNNNNNNNNNNNNNNNNNNNNNNNNNNNNNNNNNNNNNNNNNNNNNNNNNNNNNNNNNNNNNNNNNNNNNNNNNNNNNNNNNNNNNNNNNNNNNNNNNNNNNNNNNNNNNNNNNNNNNNNNNNNNNNNNNNNNNNNNNNNNNNNNNNNNNNNNNNNNNNNNNNNNNNNNNNNNNNNNNNNNNNNNNNNNNNNNNNNNNNNNNNNNNNNNNNNNNNNNNNNNNNNNNNNNNNNNNNNNNNNNNNNNNNNNNNNUAAUUGGCGUGGAGAUCGUGAAUUUCGUUAUAUUUUCUGUUGUGUCUUAAUCCGCAAAAAAGGUCGCUUUUAGGAACUACCUCCUUCAUCAAGGAAUGCCAAUGUAACCACGCGGGUGGUUACCUUUUAAUUUUUUGCUUCUAUUGUUCGUUCUUCUUCCUUAUUCCUUAUUUUCGUUUUACUUUUUAAAAAUUUUGUUUUCUUUUUUUCUCUUCGUCUUGGUCCGAUGAAUUGGUUCGCAAAUACAUGAACGUUUUCUUCAAAUUGAUGAACUUUUUGAAAAAUUUGAUGAAUUUUUACUCAAAUUUGAUGAACUUUUUUGAAUUUCGAUGAACUUUUUUAAUGUUGAUCAUUUUUUGUAAUUUUUCUCAAAAUCGAUGAACUUUCUUCAAAAUGGAUGAACAUUUUUUGAAUUUUGAUGAACUGUUUUCUCAAGAUUUGUGAACUAUUUUUUCAAACGGAUGAACCUUUUUCAAAAUUGAUAGAAAUUUUUCUCAAAAUUGUGAACUCUUUUUCAAAAUUGAUUAUUUUUUUCAAAACAAAUGAACUUUUCUUUAAUUCAUGAACUUUUUCCAAAAUGUUUUCCAAAAAAAUAAAAAUCAAAGCGCCACAGUAAAUGGUGACAUGUGUGAUAAAUUACGCGGCUACGAAGUACUUAAAAUGUUCGCCCUGUAAUUGGUCAGCAGCGCAAAGUUGGUCAGGUAGUUAGUAACUCGUUCGCUGUUCUCACGGCUCGCUGAGAACCAAUUUUAGAGUGUUUUUUUUCCGCUUUUUUCGCGCUACGCCUGUACCCGAUGGAGUUUUGCUGGGCUUACGUGUGUUAGCACCCACGCCGCAUUUGUCUGACCGUUUUUGUCUGACCGUUUGCAGCUAAUUAAUAUUCAUUUUACUUUCUCUCUCAAAAAUAUUAUUAUUGUUAGAUUUUUGAAGAACAUAAAUUAAUAUACAUAUAUAUUUAAAAUAAUUAAAUAUGUUCGGAAACUACUAAAAAUAUGAGAAACACUUACCAUUACCCAGCGGAUCAUAGCAGCCGUGUCCGCCACCUUCUCUGCAUGACACGCGUCUAAGUGAAGGCCCGCAUGCCAUCCUUUGUCGAACUAGGUUUUGCAACUGGACCUAUACUUAUGAAACGUAUGCGUUGUUGCAAUGAUCUACGACAGGUCUAUGUUUUGCAACAAAACUUCCCUUGCAAAAAAAUACUUAUGAAACAUAUGCUUGUUGCAAUGGUCUACAACGGCUCUACGUUUUGCAACAAAACUUCACUUGCGCAAUUUUUCUGCAACAAGACCUUUUUAUAUUUAGGAAAAAGUCCAAAACAAACCUUGAAGUUCUAGACGAAAGCUAAAUCAAACCCUGAACUCUGAAUCCCGGAAAUUGGCACUCUGAACAUGUAGUCUCGGUCUAUUUUGGACCAUAGACCUGUUUGGCACACUGGGAAUAAGAAAAUCCCGGCCGGGAUAACCUGCUACUCAGAAUUUGGGCCGGCCCACUAUAACACAACAAGAAAUCAUGAACUUUAAAAUAUAUUCGCGCAUUUCUAAAUUUUCCAGCAGUUAAAAAAUAUUUCUGUUUUUAAUUUAUCACACAAAUUUAAUUCAUUUUGUGUUUUGAAUUUUUUCUGGAAUUUUGAAAUUCUAUUCGCAUUUUAAAAAGCUGUUUGUGAUUCUAAAAACAACUACAAAAAAUAUUCAGAUUUCAACAGUUUUUCACAUGCUAUGAAAAUGUUUCGUAUUUUCAAAAAUUGUGUCACAUUUUAUAAAUAACGUUUUUUUAUUUUUUUAAAUUUUUUUUUAGAAUAUGCUUCGGAUCGUUGGCUACGUACUCGUCUGGGCCGGCCAACCAGACAUGAAGCGACCUUUUCUGUUCUGAAAGCUGAACAAAAAAUUUAAGUGCGCACACUUUUUGAAACAUAAACAUAAUUUUAAUGUGUGAAUGCUUUUUGAAAAUUUAAAAAAUAGGAACAAAUUUCAAAAUCUGAACAAAUUGUAAGAAAAAAUUUUGUGACAUCUAAAAAAUAUCGCAGGUUUUAAGAAAAUGUACGGACCAAUUCAAACAAAUGUUUAUAUAAUGUAUAAUAAUAUUUGUGUGAUUCAAAAAAUUGUUUUGUACAUUCGAAAAAUGUAGCAUUUCAAUAAUGUUCAUGAGUUUAAAAAAAUGUGUUCGUGACAUUUUCAAAGAAAAAUGUGUGUACAAUGUAAAGAAAAAGUGUGCAUGUUGUAAAAAAUUGUGUCUUACAUUUAAGAGAAUAUACUUGGCAUGUGCUUGAAAAAAGUGUCUACAUAUUUAAAAAUGGUGAACCAUGCAGCAGAGUUUGUUUGAUUUUACAAAAUGUUUAUUGUCAGUAAGAAAAUGUAAACAUGCAUUUGUAAAAAAUAUAACCAUGUAUUCAAAAAAAAUGAAAACAUUUAAUUUAAAAAUGUACAUAAAGAAUAUGAAAGUAUCAAAAGUUUAUCAAAAAAUAUUUUAUGUGUUCGUUAAAAAUGUACAUUGGAUACGAAGAAAAAAUAGACAUGAUUAAAAAAGAGAAAAAAAACAAAAAAAAAACAAAGAUAUCCCAGAGCAGUGCGCGCGCGCGAGCGACGACGUUAAUGGGCCGUCCUAAUUCAGCAAAUACCGGCUAAGUCCUCUCAAGGUUUAAAAUAGACCGGGAUACGGGAGUUUGGUGUGCUGAUUUCAGGGAGUGAGAGUUCAGGGUUUGAUUUACCUUUCCCUGACAAAUUCAAGGUUUGUUUUGGACUUUUUCCUUAUAUUUAUGACUUGGUCCUCACCAACUGGUAACAAAAAUCCACCUUGAUUCCUCUUUUAAUUUCUUGGCAUGUACAUCCUCUGUUAACAAAUAAGACGAUUUGGAUAUUUCAAUAUUAAUUACAUAUGAACUGAAAUGAGUCGACCACCACAAUAGAGCGUGUUUAUAUACAUUUGAUUCAAAACAUUCGAACAUCUUUAUAUUUAUGAAGGGAGGGAGUUCUUUUCUUGAAAAGGGGGAUUACCCGCCUCUGCAUCGAGCGAUGCACACAAUUAUUUAUUAAACAAAGAAAUGUGUCAAAGUACUAAUAAGUACAUCACGGUAAUGCAUUGUAAUCCAGAAGCCUGUGCUCAUAGACACGAUGGAAAUCCACCAAUGAAGAAGAAACAAAAUAAUAACCCACAGAAAAAGGAGAAGAACAAACAAAAUAAAAUUAGGCGAGGUACUCCGUACGUUGUUACCAAGUCUUGGUUAUGAAAAGGUCCUGCAUGACGCCGAUCGCUCUCAUGACACCCACAAACUUGUCGCGCGUGGCCCGUUCGUCCUCGGUCCUCUCGGGGAUUGGCUUCGGGCAGUCGUCCCCGCAUGUCGGCCUGAACUCCGAGCUGAAGGACAGCACCCCCGCCUCGUCGCCAGGCUUAACCGCCUCCACUGGGAGCCCCUCAAAUGCCUUGGCCACUCUAUGAAGGUCGUCGAUGCAGUUUUGGAGGCAUUUGGCGGGGUGCGGGUUCGUGGUGAGCCUGGCAUUGGCGAAUCCGUUGGCCAUCUUGGCGAGCUUUGCCGCGACUUGCAGGGACAUUAGGGGGACGCUGUUCACCUCCGGUGAGCCGGCGGCCGUGUUGGCGAGCAGGACGUGUUUGCAAGAGUCUGGCUGUAUUGUCUUGGCGCAUGUAUAUUGGAUGGCCUCGAUGGUGGGGGCCGAAUGAACAACCGGGGCGAUGGCGAGGCCGAAAGCACCGAGCAGCGCCAGGGCUAGUGCCGGGGCCGGCAUGCAAGGCAUUGCGAUGGGCAUGGUGUGUGGUGUUUGAUGAGCGAGCUGGUCAGGUCGGGUGCUUCCUUAUAUAACCUGCAUGCGUGUGUGCAUGAGUCUAGUCUUUAUUUUUAGUAGAGAAGCAGGGAGCUAAUUAAUUGGUGGUCACGAAUCCACUUGGUCUUCCUAUCCACACAUGUUUCACUGGUUUGCCCUGGGUUCCGCCGUACCUCUAGUGUUUUUCAGGGGUUGGACAAUCACAAGAGGCAAAGAAACACAUAUUUACCUCUAGUAUUUUUCAGGGAAUGGACAAUCACAAGAGGCAAAGAAACACAUAUUUACUCUUGUAGUCAUGUCAUGUGUGUACUGACCGUAUGAAAAAAUUUCUGGAACGAUCAACGCCAGAUAACAAAUUUUUUUUCUCAAACGGAGACAAAAUAUUUGCCUAAUCAGUUAAUUAAGCAUAAGAGAAUUAUUCAGUUAGUUAAUGAAAAAUCAGAAAAAAAACACGACACAAACCUAUCACACGCGCAUGCAACCCCAUAAAAGCACGAUCACUCCGACAAUCAAACCCAACAGGCAAAGAAAACAUGCAAGACGAUGCAAGUGGCACGAUCAGCCAGAUAUCGAAUUUGUUGGGCAAGCGCCCAGUGUGAUGUACGUUGGGAAAACUUGCAAGAGGAUGCGACCAAAUGAACUGGUAAACCAUCCCGUGAGCGUGGCCUACACAUUUUAAGCCAGCGGUCUCUUUCGACUUGUCUUACAAAAGCUGGUCCAGUCACGAGCCUUAGCCCUAACCAUAGCCACAAGUACAUCUCAUCCAUUUAAGGCCUCUGGCUGCACCAAUGGCAUCCAAGCUGCAGAUUUCUUUUCACCACCGUCUCUCUUGUCAGCUGUCACCAAGCACCAACCAAUUAAUUUCUCUAUAUUCUUGUUCCCUCAAGGCUCAAGCUCUUUAAAUAGCUCCAUACAAUCUCCUCUUAAACCAUCUCCACACACUCAAGCCACACUAUUGGAGAACACACAGGGACAACACACCAUAAGUGCAGCGCAAUGGCGGCCACCACCAUGUCUCUUUCCUCUUCGUCCUUCGCCGGCAAGGCCGUCAAGAACUUGCCCUCGUCGGCUCUCAUUGGUGACGCACGUGUGAACAUGCGCAAGACUGCGGCGAAGGCCAAACAAGUUUCGUCGAGCAGCCCGUGGUACGGCUCUGACCGUGUGCUCUACCUCGGCCCGCUUUCCGGCGAGCCCCCCAGCUACUUGACUGGUGAGUUCCCCGGUGACUAUGGGUGGGACACCGCCGGGCUCUCGGCUGACCCUGAGACCUUCGCCAAGAACCGGGAGCUCGAGGUGAUCCACUGCCGAUGGGCCAUGCUCGGUGCGCUUGGUUGUGUCUUUCCCGAGUUGCUUGCCCGCAAUGGUGUGAAGUUCGGCGAGGC
rnacentral:lncRNA from 1 species